rnacentral:lncRNA from 1 species
GACAUUUCAAAAAAAAGACUAACUUGAGCUGUGCAAGCGCAACAUCUUGACAACAUUCAAGAGGGUUUGAACCACAGCAGCAUCUGCUACCUUGGAAGCUGCUCUAAGUUAUUAAAGAGUUGAGAUUCGAGGUACUAACCCCCUUUUAAUUACAACGGGCAUGCCUUUUCAAAGGCUUGCUGCUCUUUGCGGCAUAAAUCGAACUCGUUUGUGUGGUAAUACAUGCAACCAACAUAAGCAUCCAUCUCUUUUGUGCACCUCUCGUGAAGAUCUUUCAGCCCAAUUCUCCUAAUUGAAUUAUGUAUAUAUAUAUAGCAUAAAAAAAAUAAUAAAUAAGAGAAAAAUAAGCUUGAUUUGCCCAUGCAUUCAGCCAAUUCCUGAGCCUACCCAAGGCAUAUCUAACUUGGGACUCACAAAAAAAAAAAAAAAAGCGUUCUCUUCGAAAGAAACGACCAGUUGGCCGUUUAUACUCCUCCGUUCGCCGCCGUUCGUUGUAGCCACCGUUUCUGACCUCGCCAGAAACGACAAUCCUCGACCGGCGCCAAGAGUUCCUUCUUCGCUUCUGUUAAGAUCCGCUUUUCUCGACACCAAAUCGAUGCGGGAGCCGAAGUUCCGACCACGAAGCAAGUACAAAGCCAGGCCCAGCCACACCGAACAAACCAAAGACGCUCCUCUCCGUUGCCCCUGCCUUCCGCUACCUCAGAGCUCACCGGAUACGUUUGUGUUUCUCGCAAUUCGAUCGAACCACGCCCAGUUUUAUAUGCGAGAUAUAAACGCCUGUUGGAUGCUGAUAUAUCAGGUGAAUUGAAACGUUGAAAUCGAGUCCAUAGCUCAGUUUCUAAAUCGCCCAUGCACCGUCCGACGAAAUACCUCAAUGAAGGAAUCGAAUCCGAUUUAGCCAAAACAGUGUUCGAGAUGUUAUUUUUAUGCUCUAUUAGUUCUGAAAUCAUUAAACUGAGACUGAAUAGGCGUUUUCUUUGAUUUUUGGUGGCAUUAUUUCUCAUUAUCCGAGUCGGUCAUGAGCGCCUCGCCGGAGGAACCCGUGGUUAGAGGCCGCUGUAGUUAGUUUCUCGUUUACGCACUUGUGUGCUUGUUCCGUUAGAAUGGAUGCCGUUUUACAAUGUCCAUUUUUUUUUUUUUUUUUUUUUUUUUGGUGGCUUAACAUCACCGGUGAGGUUCGGUGAUGGCCGGAAAGGGGCGGACGGUGACCAAGCGAUGGCCGGCGGUGACUGGCGCCUGUCGGACCGAACGACCCAGCGGGCGUGCUGGCUCGACGGUCGCCUCAGCACCGGCGAGGGGCUCAUCGGCCGGCACUCAUCGGAAAAUGGUGCUGGCUGGGAGUUAUGGACUGAGUGUAGUGAGAUUAAAAUGAAGAGAGUUGGGCUGAGUGUUGUCGGUCGGUAGUAUCAUUCCUAAAAUUAAAAUUUUUUCUUCCAGCCUUAUGUUUUUUCAUCAACCCAAGUCCCGACUUGUCCCAAAAAAGCCAAAGUCAGGUUUUAAAGGGGCACUCUCGUAAUUUUGCGGACACAAGCGUUUCCAUUUACAAGAGAGAAAUUCAGAGGUAUUGUGUUAAUUUUUUUUUAUCUCUGAUUAGUGUUUAUAAUCAAUUCUUUACUUGUGUUCUCAUGUAUUUGUAAAAUGAAGUUCAACUAUAUGUGUUUGUGCUCAAAUUACAAGAGUUAGGCUCAGCGGUUGAUUGUCGUUUGAGUUCAACGAACUGGAAAUGUCGGUAGAACUGCAUUUCUUGUGCCUUAGAUAGACACAGGCGACUAAGAGAGGAACAUAAACUCGAUCUUGAUUCUUGGAUUUUGAAGUCCAGGUUUAGGACGAUUUGGACACCCGAUCGUAGGCUCUCGAAAUUGAUGGCGGGAUAUCUCGAGCUAAUAAACUGUUUGACAUAUGGUUAGUGAAGAAACCUGUUUUUAAUGUUGGUUUCUGGUCGGAGGAAGAAUUGCUGUUUUAAUUGAUUCUCCUCCUCCUCCAUCCCUCCCAUUGGAAUACUAAUUUGGAAUACAUUGAGCUGCCAAGCUGCAUAUGAUUGAAGGAACAGAUGACCUAAAAAACUUUUGAGAGAAUGAUUGGUUCUACAAUUCCAGGCUUACAUAAAAUCAAUUCGCUGUUGCCUUUUUUUACUAAAAAGGAUGGCACUUGUCACAAGACAUCUGCGUUUGUGAGUGUGCCAUAUUGCCAUUGUUUUACAGGUUUUUCUUACCUGUGUUUACAACGUGGGUGCCAUUUUUGAGAGGCUUGUUGUUGGCUGUUUUCUGAUACAAACUAAUAAACUGUGUACUACUUUCUUUUUUGGUAUUAAGCUACUGGGAUUUCAGAAAUAGGCAAAAAUCGAAGAGAGGAGAACCAUUACGUGUUGAUCUUUUUAUAUCUCAUCUCCGACAAUCACGGGGGAUGUAAUUUAGUGACUUCAGUGAUUGUAUAUUGCAUUAACAGGGAGCCUCGUGGCUUUGGAUUUGUGAAGUUCCGAUAUGCGGAAGAUGCAGCUGAGGCUAAGCAGCAAAUGAAUCAUACUGUUAUUGGAGGACGUGAGAUAAGAAUUGUUUUUGCCGAGGAGAACAGAAAAACUCCUCACGAGAUGCGCGUGACUGAGAGUGUGAGGUACAAUUUGUCACAUUCUCCAUUUCACUAGGUUGUCUUUAUGGCAUUUGUUUCCAUCGAUUCAUGACAGGUUUUUUUGGUAAACUCUUUUUCCCCCCAUUUUAAAAUGAAGUGGGCGACACAGGGAAAGAAGGAGAAGUACAUCAAGGUCUCCAAGACGCCACAAUCAGUGUCAGUAAUUUUGACUUCAUGUCCAUUCUGAUUUGUUGCUUUCUCUCCCUUUGGGCUGUACAACGAAUGGAGCAGUCUGUCAUGAUGGACAUCCUUGUGAGUUUGGAGAAUCUUAUUCUGUUUUUGUAUUUUCUUACAGCUUACUCUAGGUCACCAACACCAGAUAGGCAUGACUCAAGGUUUGGCAUUUUUGUCCGAGUGGGUUUAAUUGCAUUGUUACUGGUUUUAUACUUUUUCUGUUCCUCUUUUAGGAUGAUAAGUACACUGUAGUUGAGCAUAUUAGGAACUUACAGUACUAAGGGUGCCUUAUUGGCCUGGGAAGAAUAUACAGAACUCUUAGUGGCAUUCUUUCACUUUUAUGUCAAGUAUAAUGUGAUAUUUAUACUGUCUGUAUGUAUUUUCAACUAGUAAUGCUUUGUACAUUGUAGUUUUAAUCUUUUUGGUACGUGAAAUUUAGAUCAAGUUAUUUCAGUUCAAUCUUUGCUAUAUAAAAAGUAGUUUGAGUUGUCUGUCGAUUCUCAUCCUUGGUGAACUUUAGUGGAUGAUAUUGCCCAAGGCAUUAAAGUAGUAGAAUUUCACACUCUUUUUAUAGUUUUAUGUGUUUUGUAAGCCCUGUAUGUUUGUAGUAAUUGUGGUAUGGGAUUUUCACUCUAGCUAAAUUUUGAACAGAAAGCUAUGCAUUCUUCAUUCAUUUCUUGUCAAUAUAGGUAAACAUUUUGUUGUUUAUUUCCCUUGGACAUUUGUGCUUAUAGAUAGGAAGCUGUUCGUCUAUUCUGGAUAUAGACCAUGGCGAACUAUUCAAAUUUAAUUUAUUGAAAUAGUAGCCUUUUGUUAAAAUAUCUAGAACUGGCUAAAUGAGUGGCAAAGGCAACCGAUCGUCCUAGCCAACCAUUUUUCUUGGAAUGGUUUACUUGUGGACCAAUCACAUUAUGCUUAUGAGUGAAAAAGAGUGGCCAUGUACAAUUGAAAGGAAAACUUUGCUGACUUUAGCAUGGCAGAUUGGUGUAUAUGAGAAUUUUAUUAUUUUGCUGGCCUUGUUACUUUUGGUAUUAGUAAUCUGAUGCAUCUCUAUCCUAUUAUGUUCAUACUACAGUGGUUUUUAUCAAUUUGGGGUGAUUGAUGCAGUACAGCAUCGUUUCUGUGGUAUUGAACAGUAUCUGCUUGUGGCCUUGUUUAUGCAGAUAUUAAAGUGAACAGGAAGAUUUUAAAGACCUAUGGGUAAAUAAAGUUAAACGACAAAAGAGAGAGAUGGACAACUCCCUUACCAUUCUGUCAAAGCUUUUCUAAUGUUAUUAUCCCACCUUCGCCAAUUACUGUCAAAGCAUGGGCUUUUGCUUACUAGGUCUGGUGGCCUGCAGUUGCAACUGAACUGAUUAGUAAAGCACCGUCGGCAGAUGAUUAAAUCACUAAAGUACCUUUUUUUCACUAUUUGUUUUCUCUGUGUGAUCUAACAUAGUUAUUAAUGAAAAGGUUUUGAAGCUUUAUUUUGUUUUGCAUAUACCAUCCAGUUAAGAAAAGAACUAGAGCUUUUUUAUGGCCAAAGAAAGAAAUCAUCCUCAAUCAAGGGAAGCAAUACCGGUGUAGAGAUAUGAUGACAUUGUCAAAGAUAGUUUGAGGUUUUAGAAAGUUGGGCCAAAGAGAGCCAUGCAGUUGUUGGACGCUGACGGUACAUCGUUAAUGAGACUAAUUCCAGUAUUUGGGCCCAAGUUGGUAAAUUGUACGGAACUCUUAUUAAGGUGCAGGUAACGGUCAUCUUCAAUCAGUUAGAUAGUGAUGCCAUCAUGUUGAUGCUUAUGUAAUUUUGUAAGUUGAGUGUAAUUUUUUUACUUGCAAAACGGAUUUUCUUGGUACUUUUUAUUAGCUUUUGCUGAUGGUAUUUUUUUCUUUUUUCGUAAAAUUCAUGCUUCAAGCCGAGUAAUGUUUCCUUGUAAGAUCUUUUGUUACCCUAGAUCGUGUUCUGUUUUAUGUAAGGGAAUCUUUAUGUUCCAUUUUUAUUAUUUCCCAUCUCAAUGGAUAUACCGAUUCCUUGAACCAGGAGCCGUGGGGCAAAGGAUUGAUACCAGUCUCCAACGCGAUCUGGGUCUGUACCACAUUCUCCAUAUCCUCAGGAGCACAAGAUUAAGCGGUCUAGUAAGAGGUCUCCAAGUCCAAGGGAAGAUAGUCGAAGUCCCAUUCAGGAGAGGGGUUAUCCAGCAAGCAUGUCUCAGAGUCCAAGGGGCAAUAUUCGCAGUCCUUCAAGGUCUCGUUCACAGUCUUACAGGUAUAUCUGUUGUUUUUCUAGUCUUGGUUGGAAACAACGCAUCUCUUCCUUGCGCUUCAUCCAAUUGUCAAAUAAUUUCUCCUUUAAUCUGUUAUUUUUCUAGUCUUGGUCUGGAACAAUGCAUCUCUUCUAUGCACCGGCUGAUUGUCAAAUAAUUUUUCCUUUCAUCAAAGUCAAUUUUCUGUUUUCGGAAUAUGACCUUGGCGAUUAGGUUGGCAUGAACUUGGUAAUUAUUUUUAUGUUGCAAAUUUAGUGGUUGACCAUAAAUGGCAUAGGUUGUUCUGUUGAGAUAGAUCUGUGAGAAUUCCUCCAGGUGCAUAGGAUGCGGUAUUUUUUGAUAUUUUACUCAAUUUUAGGUGCUGUACCGAUAGCAAUUGAUAUUUAUCAGGUGAUUGCUUUGCUGUGACACCCAUAUGAUGUUCCAUUGGCAAGAGAAUUGAUAAAGAUGGUAAAGUACUUCAAAUUUUCUUAUGAGAGAAAGUAUUAAUACUUUGAAUUUGCAUGAAUGAAGCAUGUUCCCUCAUUAUGUUGUUGAAAUUCAACAGUCCCAUUUACUACUAACCAAUAGCUAGAGGAUUUAUCUGGUUUAUGGUGGCAUAGUGCUAGUAUCUACAGUUUUAGCAUAUUUUCUGUUCAUUAAAGUAGUUUCUUUGUGCAUUUCCUGUGCAGCCCACGCUGAGAGCCUUCUGAGUAAGAAUUACGGGGCUUGCAGUCAAGUUGGUGGUAUGCCAGUGGUGGUUCUUUACAAAGUGCACUUCCAAGUAUCAAAGUGAACGAUAAACAGUGUCCUUUUGGAGAUCCUAUUGCUCUCUUCGAAUUUUAAAUAUCAUGGAUUAGGCUAUGCUUUAGAAAUGCUUUGUACGUUUUUGUUGGAGUUGGGCUUUAUGAACAUCAAGUGCAAGAUGGUUGUUGGUUGUUGGUUGCUGGUCACUCUUUUAAGUCCUACGUUCGACCUUAAUGCAUGGCUCUUAACUUUAUAUGUGUCUGGUUUUUCUUUAUUGUCGGUUUAAUGUGUAUUCCCGGGCUUAGACACCAGAUAAAUGUGUGGGGUUACCCAGUGCUUGGGGUCGGUCCCAGUUCUGUAUUAACCGCGGUUGAUCUGCAAUGAGCUACUCUGUCUCUUCCUUGUUAUCGUCUGAACAUAGUCGCGUUGAAACUAAGCCGGUUCUUGCUAUUUGAUGGUCAUCUCCAUGCACAGGAACAGAUGAUCAACAUUGAUUUUGAAUGCUUGAGGGUCAGUGGACAUAUAAACACUGAAUCAUUUGAAGCUGGGUGGUCUGGGAGGACUUGGAUGGAUCAUUUGAACUUAAAUUGUUUGGUCAAAAUAUAGCACCGACAUCCUUGGUGUAAGAGACCUGUUUUGGCGCCCCAGGUUCUCGCGAUUGUUGUCAUCUCAUCGAUGGGUAUGGAAGAAGGAGGAAGAGAGGGAGAGGCGGGGCGGCUAUGGAGAUCGGAACGCAGCUAUGGAGAUCGGAACGCGGUGGAGGUCGAUAUCAGUCGUGUCGUUGCGUUAAGGAGCUAUCUAGAUGAGCUAGGCCCUCUUUAACCCUGCCCAGCACAUAGCCUAAGUAGGGCCGAACUCAAUCCCAUCCGAAGAACUACAUUCGAGUGCACUGAAUUAAGCCACUGCGACGACCAUCACUCUACGAUGUGCCUCUGCUGCCGAAUCUCAUCCAUAUGUCUAGAGAAACACCUAUCCUAUUUCUUGAAUUUUGCUAUCUGCUAGAUACAACGUGACUUAUAAAUUAGCAUCAGUGUCAUUUUUUAAUAUUUGUUCUAUUGUCGAAUAAGACGUUUGGAUUGGUGUGAGAAGAUGAAAAGAAAAAGGCCCAGAGUAACUUUCAGUUUUGUAGAAGUAAAAUGGUAGGUACUGCUAAAUUGCAUUUCAAUGUUUGUACUGCACUUUCCAUGUAAAUGAGAAACAUUUCUUCGCCUUACAAAUAAAAUGAACUUGCCAAGUUGCACGGACAAACUCGGGUGACCUUCUUCCCAAAGUUCUCUUAAUAAGAAAUUGGAAGAGAUGAAACUAACUCAUGAAUCUCAUGUUUACUGAAUGAGAAGUCAAACAACCUUUUAUUCAAAAGAAAGGUCGACAUGCCAAAUUGAAUGACUUGAGCUUAUGAGGACACUCAAAAUUUGGAUGAAUUACGCUGACAUGUCGAAGUAACUGAAAUACAAAGACAAGAAGUCAGCCGUGACACUAAAGGCAAAUAGGUGAACUCAAAUGCCCAUAACGGUGAAACUACUCGCAAAUGUAGGAUGAAACCAAUGUAAUGGAGAUCACGUCCGAGCUUGGACACCUAAUUUUCUCUUCCUCUGGGAAGCCUUAUUUUCAUGAGGAUUUUCUGUCAAUGACCUAAAUCUGAAGGAAAAGGAGUUCAAUAGUAUCUCAGCCUGGAGGUCUCCACUGAUUUAAUUAAGGCAAUUGGCCGUUCUUAGCCAGCAGUUUGAAUUUUAGACCUUCAAUGCUUGCUUCUCAGCAGCAAGAAAUUCACCCUUAAGGGGGGGGGGGGGGGGGCUCCCACAAAAUUGUAGUUUCAGCAAGUAAUGAGGUCACAACGUAUGGGUUCUUGUUUGAGGCAGGACACCUAUCUUCCAAGUAACCUGUAUAUCAUUUUAAGCCAUUAACUAACUGAGCAAGGAAGGUGAACUUUGUACGUUUUAUCGAUAUUCAGAAAUAGUGAAGCAUUUCAGAAAGUCUUUGAUGCACUAAAAGAACCAAGAUGUCCAAAGUUCUUACUUCAGCUUAGGAAGCAAGACUGUGGGAAUGCUUUAUGAUUGUUAAAAAGUCAAAAUUCCUUGUGCAUAGUUCCAAUCAUGGAAUCGAUUGAGACCAGAAAGGAUAAAGAAUACUUAUAUGUAUUAUUUUUUCGUGGUAGUGUUUCUGGAAUCAUUUGAUAAAGUUGAGCACCUCCAAAUGAUUUUCAGAUAGAGCACAGAAGGGAACCGGUAUGGUCAUUGUUAUGGUACCUUUUCCUUGCUUCUCAUUGUCACGGCCCACACAGAUUAAGCAACCACAAUUGGCAACUCCCUGCAUAACAAUACAAGUAAUUCAGGCAUCACAAUGAAAUAUGAGUUCAUUAGCAGGGCAUUGUUCAUUAGCAGGGCAUUCUUUAAAUUUGACUAGUAGUUGGUAUGCUUCUUCUGAGCAUUAUCGAAGACAAUGUGUCAGUGUUGACUAUUUCAUGCUUUCCCAUCAAUCUUCUCCAUAGGCGCUAAUGUGCUCCUCAUGGCGAAGUGAGAGAUUCAGAAAUGCCUUCUUUAUCGCUUCAAAGCCUCCCUCUUCUCUCAUGCUUUUUGUAUUGUAGAAAAGUUGAAGAACACACUCUUAAAGGUCCUUCAUUGAACAAAAAUUCUUAACCAAGUCCAUGUUAUUUCUAUGGUGUGAACCUGUUAGUUGGUAUGGCAUCCUGCACCAUUCCAAUCACCCUGAGAAGGAAGAGAAUGCUUUUAUCAACUUUGGGGUAUAAUAAUGCGUAAACGGUGAUAGGGAAGUCAGCUACCUCUAUUGGCUUUGGAUCUUACAUGAGGACAACACAAGCUUGCUCAGUUAUUCUCUGUUGUAUAUAAAAGAUAAACAAUCAAGUAUUUAAAUACCUUAGAACAUGUCUGUAUGCACUUAUUUUGUUUGCUGUUAAUGGAAUUUCGUUAUUUUCUUGAGCAAGUAAUUGAAAUUUCACCUAAAGAAGGUAUCUUGAACACCAGAGAUGAUCUCCUGCUUCAAUUCCCAUGCUUCGUCUGACUUGGUGUUCUCACUGCAAGAUAGAAGCCAGUGUUGAUAGCAACAGCCUCGGUGGUUUUCUAUUUUCCUUUUUGAAAUAACAAGCAAGCUGGAGGUCAGGUAUUACUUGGCCCAGAUCACCACUCCAUUGGUGCUAUUAAUGUUCAUACCGGCAUAUAAGCAAGCCUUGUAGCGAGCAUCGGAUAUAUCUCAGUCGGAUGACUUAUCAGCCCCAACACCACAAUAAUAAGGCCCCUAAAUGAAGACAAAACCUCGCAUCACAAUACAAUUUUUUUCUCAUCAACUCAAAGCCAAUUAUCUAUCAAUAUACAGGGAAAUUCGUUGGGAAAAAAAUUCUCACCUGGGAACCUCGAUAUCCUCUGAUAGGCCAACCGAAUGGCUAUUGAACAUUUAUCUGCAAUACGGUGUUUUCUUGCUCAAUCCAAUACAUAAUGUGAACAUUUAGCCCAAAAGUAUGAACUUGUCUAUUCCAAAACUUUCUAAUUCACGAUAUAUAUAAACUCAUGUUUUUGGAUCUCCCACCAUGAAAUGUCAUUGAUAACCUUUGGGUUACUGAAUUUCAGCAACCCUGGUGUGCUUGGUCGCUGGGAUCGGCUUACCAGCAGGUGUAUAUGAAUUGGAAAUAACUCGAAGACAAACAAUAAUACUCCGUAAACCAAUUGAAACACCCUUCCUCAUUUCAUCAACCUGUUUAGAUGAUCUAACUGGUGGUCAGUGAGUUCUUUGUGAUCCUCAUUUGGCAUUGUGUCCUCAGUGCCAAAAUUCACACCAUUUCUGUCUAGCCUGAAAAAUAAAGCAGUGUAAGAAAUAGACAUAUCUACUGAAACAAAAGCCCUAUGAGGUUAAUCUCAUGUUAGAUAGUUCAAACAACGAGCUCUGUCCGUAUGACUUGGCCUUUUGGUAUGCAUGAGAGUUUAGUUUUGAAAAGAUAAAAAGAAUAGACUGAGGCUGCGUUUGGAUUCGACUUUUCAAAGCUACUUUGGGCUUCCAAAGCCCUUUGGGCUAAAAACAGGCGUUUGGGAAAAAAAUUUCUAAAGAUCCUUAGCUGAAAGUUUGCAUUUUGAAGGCUGAAAGCCCAAGGCAGGGGGAGACCUGCCUUGGGCUUUCGGCAUUUUCGGCAUGCCACGCCCGCACUGUUCACACUUUUUUUUUUCCAAAAUUAUCCUCACGAAUUUUUGGAUUUUCCGGAUGCGUGCCCUUGUCGACACUGUUCAUCUUCUCCGGGCGUAAAGAGACGCCGCGACCUACGUGAUCUUCGUCGGAGCUUCGGGCGACCUCCGCAAGUCGCAGCUCUGGUGGCCAAAAGGCACGCGGUCACCGGCGACCGUCGCCUGCCGCACCGCGACCUCCGCACGAAGCUCACCGGGGCCGCGCGACCCACCUAGUUGCAGGUCUGGUCGCGACCAGAUCUGGUGCCGGAGGCUCGAGCGGCGACCAGAUCUGGGUCGCGCCUCGCCGCCCACGGAUCUGGGUCGCGGUGGCGCCGUGCGACUUCCCGCGACCUCGCCGCCCCAGAUCCGGGGGCGGCGAGGCGCGACCCAGAUCUGGUCGGCGGCGAGGUCCUCCCCAGAUCUGGUCGCGACCAGACCUGCAACUAGGUGGGUCGCGCGGCCGCGGUGAGCUUCGUCCGCCCCAGAUCCGGGGUCGCCUGAGGUCGAGGCGGCGUCGCGCGACCUCGCCGCCCCAGAUCCGGGGUCGCCGGAGGUCGCGACGGCGUCGCGCGACCUCACCGCCUCAUAUUCGAGGUCGCCGGAGGUAGUCGGAAGUCGCCGGAGGUCGCCGGAGGUCGCCGGCGGUCGCUGCCCUUGCCGGUCAAUUUUUUUUAAUUUUUCUUUUGUCAAUUUUUUUUUUAUCACAAAGAUCUUUGUAAAUGCAAUUCCCCAAACAUUAUUUUGUUCAAAGUACUUCACAAAGGGGCUUUCAAAGUACAAUUUACCAAACACGAUUGCAUUUUAAAAAAACACCUUUAACUCUAAGGUUUUUGCAUUUUCCCAAGGACUUUCCCCAAAAGUAGUUCCCAAACUCACCCUGAGUACUUCAAAGAAAGGGGUCUCCUUAGCAAGUGCCGUCGUCGAAAAGUUGAAAACCGCUUUUUGAAGACUAGUUUCAAGAAGGAUGGCUUACAUUUUGAAGCAUAAAUAGUGAGUCUUAUCGAUUUCCCUAAGGACACUACCACAAAUUUCCUUUAAAAGAUAAACUAAAAAUAGUGACAUAACUAUGCUUCGCAUUUCGGAACCAUUUCAAGGUUAUUCUCAAGCCUCGUUCCCAAAAGUGAGCUCGCGAACAAGCAAAAAACCGAGGGCAGUUACAGAGUUGAAGGAAGUAGACUGCAGAGUGCCACGGUUUAAGAGAAUAAUGAAAUUCCACCCCAGCAAGGAUCAAUCAUCAAACAUGUUAUUCUGAUAUUUCCUUAGAUCUAAUGGAUGAUCAACUCGUGAAUAUUGACAGUGCACCUAAUUCUUUCCUCUUGCAAUCAAAAGGCAAUCACAUUGAAGUACUUUCUUCUCUCACAAACUUCGCACAAUCACAAAUUGCCCUCGCCAACGGCUUUGGCGAAAAUAUCCAUCAGAUAUCACCAUGGCAAAGCAAGACCACCAAGCACAACAAUCAUCAGUAUGGCCGAUUGAAGUCACAGAACAAGAAAAAUCUAAGAUGAGAGUGGAUACAAGAGAAACCAAUUCCACACGAGGUCCACAACAUAAGACUUCACACAGCACACAUUUCUUCUGCCUCGCACAGCACACAUUUCUUUCAUAGACAUUGUGACAAGAGACGAAGAACAUAUCAAUUGUCAACCAAACAAAAUGUGCAGGACAACCUUGCUGAGAUCAAAAUGGAGAAGUCACAAAGUUCGACCUCUUUCAAUUUCAAAACAUUUACUCGAUUGCUUCAGGCGGUGCUCAAGAUUGGCAAAAGGAUUUUACCUGAGAACCCCUGCAGAAUGGCCGAACAGCAAAUCGAGAGCGUCAAUUGUGGUCAAAUGCUAAAGAUCAGCUUUGCAAUCCUCCCCUCGAGCAGAAAUAUAUACUUGGGAAAUCAAUCGCUGGAUGAGACGAAGUAUGAAUUUUUCCUCAUUUUUUCUCGCCACUCUUCGGAAUGAAGCGAUGCGCCCAAACCUUUCAGCGAUUUGUUUCAUGUCCCUCCCCAAAUCAAAUUGAGUAUGGAGACACGAUAUCUGAAAAUUAAAAAUGCAAAAAUCUGGGAAACAAGGUCCCACAUACCUUCAGUGAAGAAAAUUAGGGCUAGAUCUACCAUUCAAAUGAUAUGUGCGGGAUAUGAGCGAUCUUGUCCCAGUCCUCGCCUGCUUGUCUUUUGCAACUCUCCUCCAAUUCUCCGCAAUCUGCGAUUUGUAGGUGAGUAAGGAAUGUGAGCCUUCGCAUUGCUUUAGGGAAUGAUUUCAACGAGGAGCACCGCUCGAUGUCGAGAUUUUGAAGUGAUUGAAGGGCCUCGAUUUGCUCUGGUAUAUCCUUCAAAUUGCGGCAUUUCCAAAUAAGGAGACGCUCGAGAUUGCGGGCCUGUAGAAGCCAGUGUGGGAGAGAUGUCGGUUUGGGAAGGAGCUUUAUUCUCACGGAGCGGAGACUCGGAAGGCCUCCAUGGAAAUCCAAGAUGUUGCCGCUUUCGUCUUUGGAUAUAUCCAGCGCCUCACAAUCCUUGAAACGGAGAUCCACGAGGCUCGAUAGAUGUCGCAUACCUUGCGAGAGGGAAGUCAACUGAUGACAACCACCGAUGCUAAGAGAUUCAAGGGAAGUGAGACUUUGGAAGCCCUCCUCAGGCAAACAUUCUAAAAACUUUAUAUCGUAGAUAUUCAAUCUCUUCAACUUAUUAAGGCCAAGCAUCAUCUGAUUUAUCAACGCCGCUCCGUUGGCACGUGUCAGAUCUAACUCCUCGAGAUGAGGAGUUAGUGGCAUGGCUUUUAAUUUUUCACAGUACUCGAUCUUCAAUCGCAAUAGACUAGGAAAUGAUGCUGGUGAAGGGGAUGAUUGGUCCGACUCAAUAUAUUCCAAUUCAGGCAUAUAAAAGAAAUCCAAAGACUUGAGGCAAGGUAGUUGGUCCAGUGGGGGGAGACGUUCACAUCUUUUGCAAGCACGGAACGAUACGACAACUAAAUGUGGCAAAAAAGAUACAAGACUAUCCAUCAUCCACUUGGGAAAGCUCUCACCGUUAUAUCCCCAGAUCUUCAACCUUUGCAGAUUUGACGGCAGCUUCAGUCUAUCAAACAACACUUCAUCUUUUACUACAUCAUCAGUAUUGAAAUCUUCCCAACUAAGUACCAAAGAUUCUAGAGAAUGCUUCCCCAUCAAUAUCUCAUCCUCGCAUUUGACUUCCACAUUUGUUACGUAUCCCAAAUUUUUAAUUAUAAGUUGUCCCCGGAUGUUAUUAAGCCCCUUUAGCUCCCCAAGUCCGCAAUAAUUCUUAGCACGAGCUUUAUCUUUGGGCAAAAUGAAGUUCGUUAGCCUAUGCAAAGAACUCAAUUCCCCUAUUCCACGUGGCAAAUAACUAAGUUUCGGACAACCAUCUAUGUCCAGAUUCCGAAGGCUAACUAACUUCUUUAUAUCACUUGGCAACUCUUCGAGGGCAUAACAGUGGUAGAGAUUAAGUAUUUGCAAGCUUUGCAAUCUCGUAAUGGAGUUAGGAAGCCUUCUGAGUGUUUUGCUGUAAGAGAGAUCGAGAUAUGUGAGAUACUUCAACUNNNNNNNNNNNNNNNNNNNNNNNNNNNNNNNNNNNNNNNNNNNNNNNNNNNNNNNNNNNNNNNNNNNNNNNNNNNNNNNNNNNNNNNNNNNNNNNNNNNNNNNNNNNNNNNNNNNNNNNNNNNNNNNNNNNNNNNNNNNNNNNNNNNNNNNNNNNNNNNNNNNNNNNNNNNNNNNNNNNNNNNNNNNNNNNNNNNNNNNNNNNNNNNNNNNNNNNNNNNNNNNNNNNNNNNNNNNNNNNNNNNNNNNNNNNNNNNNNNNNNNNNNNNNNNNNNNNNNNNNNNNNNNNNNNNNNNNNNNNNNNNNNNNNNNNNNNNNNNNNNNNNNNNNNNNNNNNNNNNNNNNNNNNNNNNNNNNNNNNNNNNNNNNNNNNNNNNNNNNNNNNNNNNNNNNNNNNNNNNNNNNNNNNNNNNNNNNNNNNNNNNNNNNNNNNNNNNNNNNNNNNNNNNNNNNNNNNNNNNNNNNNNNNNNNNNNNNNNNNNNNNNNNNNNNNNNNNNNNNNNNNNNNNNNNNNNNNNNNNNNNNNNNNNNNNNNNNNNNNNNNNNNNNNNNNNNNNNNNNNNNNNNNNNNNNNNNNNNNNNNNNNNNNNNNNNNNNNNNNNNNNNNNNNNNNNNNNNNNNNNNNNNNNNNNNNNNNNNNNNNNNNNNNNNNNNNNNNNNNNNNNNNNNNNNNNNNNNNNNNNNNNNNNNNNNNNNNNNNNNNNNNNNNNNNNNNNNNNNNNNNNNNNNNNNNNNNNNNNNNNNNNNNNNNNNNNNNNNNNNNNNNNNNNNNNNNNNNNNNNNNNNNNNNNNNNNNNNNNNNNNNNNNNNNNNNNNNNNNNNNNNNNNNNNNNNNNNNNNNNNNNNNNNNNNNNNNNNNNNNNNNNNNNNNNNNNNNNNNNNNNNNNNNNNNNNNNNNNNNNNNNNNNNNNNNNNNNNNNNNNNNNNNNNNNNNNNNNNNNNNNNNNNNNNNNNNNNNNNNNNNNNNNNNNNNNNNNNNNNNNNNNNNNNNNNNNNNNNNNNNNNNNNNNNNNNNNNNNNNNNNNNNNNNUAGUUUGGUGGUUCUUUCUUCUCCACACAAACUAUGAUAUCUUUCACUAUUUUUAUCAUGUCAAAGUCAUUAGAGACACAAACCCACAUUUUCAAGUCAAAAUGUUUACUGAUCAUCUCAUCAUUAUACACAAUUUUAGCAAGAGCUGUUUUUCCAAGCCCACCGAUACCAACUAUUGGAAGGAUAGAAACGUUCUCUUUCACUUCCAUAUCCAGUAAGAAUUUCAUGACAUUCUUUUUAUCAUUAUCUCUUCCAAUAAUGUCUUCCUCACAUAUAAACGAAUGCGUCUCCUCUCUCUUCCUCCGCCCUCUCUCUGCUUGCGAAUUCAUAGGUCCCUUGUCCAAGAGGAAGUUCUUUUCAGCCUCAAUAGCUUUCAAUCUCUCCCUCACUUCUCUUAUUUUUCUACUCAUCUUCAGUUCAAAAGCAAGCUGGUUUGAACUUGAGAAAAAUGUUCUUACCACCUUGAUCAUUUGAUUGUCGCCCCUCAGUUCUCGUCGCAUAGCUUCUAUAUUAAAUUCUUCAAGCACAUCCUGCAAGUCAUAGAAAGCCUCUUUUAGUUUCUCCACCCAAUCUUUGAUUUGGGAACUCUGGUGUUGUUGCUCUUCUGCAUCGUCCAGCACAGAAUGAAGCAUGGUGACGGUGCUCUCGAGCACCUGAAGUUCACGCUUGACGCCUCCUAAAUUUCCAACCUUCUCCAGUGCUUGAAUAAUCAGAUUGGCAAGGAUCCUUCCACCAAUGCUGGUGACAGCUUCUGCCAUAUUUGUUCUCUUUCUCUAUGGGGUUGAGAAGAUUUUAGUCCUGUCGUUCCAAGGCUAGAGUCUUCUUAGAUGAUGUAUAAAAAGUCUGUCCUUGAGAUUAAAUAAGUGUACAAUAAUAGUAGAUAAUAGAAAAUAUUUAACUGACAAACAGUAAUUCCAAAGCAUCCUAUGUCAUAUAAGAUUCCAUCCCAUCUAAUAAGUAAGGCGAGUUCUUAUUCAUACAUUCUUCUAGAAACAUCAUGUUAGAUUAUAUUAGAUUGAUAAAGUUUUUUUUUCUACCAUACUGUUAAGUAAUAUGUCUAAUUAACAUUAAGGAAAUUGGGAGGUAAUUGAGUGAUGAUGUGGUUUGACCGUUAAGCUCCAUUCUGCUGGACUUUCUUCUUAGUUUGGUUUUAAUAUAUGAUGCGUAAUAAAUUAAAUUGGAACAAGGUAAUCACAAUGAUCGGAGGCUUUUUAAAAAAUAAAAACAACUUUGUGUUUUCUUGUGUAAAAUUCAAAAUGUUAUUUAAAUAUAAUAAGUUAUGAUUCAAAUUACAUAUUAAUGCUUACGUGUUGUGAAAAUUUAAUAUGUUUAAAGACAAGAUAAUGUAAAAUGUAGACUGAGACAACAUUAGAAUAAACAAAAAUAAAAUGUAAAAAUCUAUCAAGACAAGCCAUUAGCUUAGUUGGUGAUGUUCUUGAAAUCCGCUAGAGGUGGUGGACAAUGUCAUUGUCCUUUGUACUUGUCAACUUUUCUUUUUUCCUUACUUUUUCUCUUUUGGGCGAACAGAAAGUGUAAGGUAACAUGAUGUUGAAGCAAAGCCAUAAUUUUUCACUUCAUUGGCCGACAAAUGAGAAUCAAAAUCCACUUACGAGGGCUACAGCAUCUGCUCAAGCCCGGAAACCAUCUCAUUGCAGCUUAGAAAGUUAUCAUAGCUGUCUCGACAAGGGCAACAGCAUAGGGAAUGCCCCGAUGGAUGCCCACUCUCUAGUGUUCAGUGGACAAGAUCAGCUUAUGCUCGGUGAUAAAAUGUUGUACUUUGCAAGACCGUACGUGUCAGAUAACAAGACAAANNNNNNNNNNNNNNNNNNNNNNNNNNNNNNNNNNNNNNNNNNNNNNNNNNNNNNNNNNNNNNNNNNNNNNNNNNNNNNNNNNNNNNNNNNNNNNNNNNNNNNNNNNNNNNNNNNNNNNNNNNNNNNNNNNNNNNNNNNNNNNNNNNNNNNNNNNNNNNNNNNNNNNNNNNNNNNNNNNNNNNNNNNNNNNNNNNNNNNNNNNNNNNNNNNNNNNNNNNNNNNNAUGAUACUAAAUAUUUCACGAAACAUUUGGCAAGAUGCUGAGAUCUUUAAUAAGGAUAGCAGUGUUGCACGUUCUUAUUCACUUAUAAUCACAAUUAGUUGUUGUAUUUGGUCACUUCCCUUCCAUGUUAGUUGCAUGUUCAUAAUUUCUAUGGAUGCCGAUUCAAUUAUAUUUAAUUCCAUUUCUUUCUAACCGCCCCUUGCUCUGCCAGGAUUUUCAAAAGAAAUCAUGUGACUCUUAGUAUGUACGUAGCGAGUAAUUUUUCAUGUGACCAGUAACUUUUUACAAGAUAUUCGACUUCCAAUAUAUAAAUAAAUACUCACCUAUUUACAUUAUUAAUAAUUUUUUACAUAAAAGGUAACCUAUCUACAUUGAUUCUUAUCGUCCCAUGUAUUUUUUUUUUAAAAGGACAAGUUUGAAAAAAAAUUGAUGCUUUUUGCAACGUAACAGUAAAUCUUAAUUUGUAAGACCAAAAAUUUACAUGAAGUUUGUAACCUAUUCAUGGGAUGAGUAAGUUUUGCUUUAAAAAAGUAAUUACCACCGACCCUGUUUAAUAAAAGAAAAUAUAGGAAUUGACAAACAAUAUGUAAGCCGCCCACGGUCUAGAAAGUGAAAAUUAAAGUUUUUUUUUUCUCAGCAGCUGUAAAUGAAAAUUUCUCCCAAGGGGGCUAAAGAACAAAUGAGCCCGGCUUUUUUCUGAUGAUGCCCAUUUUCCUAGUUUCAUCACAUGCUUUCCUUAGAAAACAGUGCACGUUCACCUGCUUAGAAAACAGUGCAUGUCCACAUGCUUUCCUUAGAAAACAGUGCACGUUCACAUGCUUUCCUUUUAAUACAGUGCCGGUUCUCAUGCAUGCCCCAGUUGUUUUGUAGUAAACACUAGAGUAUUAAGAUUAAUAGAACUUGGAUCUUGAGAAGACGAAAAAUUAUCAUAGCUGCGGGGGCAACUUAAAAUCUAACUUCACGUGGUAAAAAAAAAUUAUGUUAAUGAAUUUCCGCUUUUGUCCGAAUAAAAAACUGAAGAAAAGAUUAUGAAGUAUAAAGUGUGAAUGAAGUAGUAUGAAACCUUUGUGUGCAAAAAAGAAAUUGCAGAUUGGUAUAGAAGUACAAUGUGCGGUGGGAUAACAAAAAAGCAAGCUGAUGAGGAUGCUUUUCGACUUUAGAUUUUAAUAUGCGGAAUGGUAGAACAGCUCUUAAAGUUGGCUAUUCUUCUCUUGUGAAUUCCAUUUAGAAUUGGAAAUUGGGACAUGUUACAUCUUCUUAUAUGCCCAAUUUGAAGAAGGCUAAAUAUCCUAAAUAUGUAAAUCUUUACACCAUAUAAGUCAUAUUUUUAAAUCCAAAUAAAAGACAUCGAUAGUUUCCCUAAGCAUUCUUUGUUUCAUCAAUCUAUUCAUUUUCAGAAAAGCUCUCUGGUUAGUCGCUAUAAGAAAGAACGAACCUGGCUAAUAGUGGGCUAAUCGACGACCGACCAACAAAGGUGAGGACCCAACCGACCAGAUCAAGAGAGGAGGACAACAAAUAGUGUCGGCAAGAUCAAGAGAGAGAUGAGAUGAGACGAGACGGCAUGGGCAAAGACUCUAGGAAUAGAGAGAUCAAGGGCACUGUUUGGGAAAGUCGAGAGACGAAGAGUCUAAGAGAGAGGCUAGCUAUGAAAGUGAGAACUAAAAGAGAGUAGCGAGGGUCUUUAAAUAGAAAAGAUUUAGCAUUGUUUUGAACUGUUCCAAACCAGUUCUUCCAAAGGCUGGUUCCCAAGAUUUUUACAUGAGAGCUAAUCGAAAGUUGUUGAGGUCAGUGAAUCUGAAAUGUUGCAGCACGUGGCAGAGCGUGACGUGCAGCAGCGAACAGGGUUGAAAUUUCAAGGCCUAUCACUUGGGAGGACGGUGAGUUUGAUGAGUUUGAUGAUGGCGUCGAUUUUGCGAGAAAAACAAUAUAAAGGGGGGGGGGGGGGGGGACAUCCAAUAGCGACGGGUUUGACCAAUACAUGAGACUUAAUGGUGCUUCAUCUAUUAAUAAUGGCUCUUGUACCAUGAUAAGAAUAAAAUGAAGAGAGAAAAUGGGGAAUAACUGUAUAUUUUUAUGUAUUGAUAAACAAUACGUGAGACUUUAUUAGAUAACUAUUUAAAGUAAUAAGAUAAAUAUAAUGCCACAUAUAAUUAAAUAAGGAUAUGCAUUAUUGAAGGAGAUAUAUGUAUAAUCCUGAAAAAUAUGCAAAAUCAAGUAAAUAUCCAAAUAUCAUUAACAAUUAGAAUGGAGAUUUUACAUACUAUAUACUAAAAAUCAAAUGUUAAUUUGUUAAGGGCGGAUCUAUUUCCACCCCCUAAAUAACUUUAUCCAACCCCAUUUAUACUAAAAAGACAACAUUAUUCUUAAUCUUUCAGUUGCAGUUUAUAUUGAUGGCCCCUUUCCUUUUCUAUUUAGGAUAAUUACGAUAAUUAAACAUUUCAAAUGUUUUGUUUUGCUUUUUAGUGUAUUAAAGCAAAGUGCAUUAUCAAAUAUUCUCAUAACGUUUUAUAUACUCCCUAUCAAAUUAUCUCGCUAAUAGUAAAUACAUUUUUUGAUAUCGUAUAAAAUUGAAAAGUCUCUUCUUCAUCAUUGAUCUUAUAAUAAUUUAUCAAUUUUUUGUCCCUCUUAUCUCAAAAACUCACUUCCUAGGUGGACUUUUUUAUUAAUUUCAUUAGUCUAAAAUAUUUAUCAAGUCCCUUUAUUUACUAUAUCAAGGAAUUUAUCUUGUUUCCUUAUUAUAUUGGCGAGAUAAUUUUAUAGAAAGCAUGUAAGAAUAUACUAAAAAUAUUGUGUGCAAUGAGGUAUCUUGAUAUUUUUACAUAAACAGUUCAUAGAUGAUUUUGAUUUUUCUCAAUCCAAAGUUCUUACUUUAUGUGAUGUUUUGGUUUGAUGAAAUUUUAUCUACUUAACAAUUUAUCCAUAAAUUUGAUCAACUAUGUAGAAAAAAAAUAGAUUUCUUGGAAAUUUCUCUUUUCGACUAAACAAAUCUUUAUGGAAGUAAUAUCUAACUGUAAAAAAGCACAGUGCCUUUAAUUUACCUAGAAAAUCUGCAAUAAACAAAAAAGUAAAUGUAUGAAAUUCUUAAUUUCAGUAUAGAUUUUACAUGGAUAUAGAAAUACUAAAAAAAUGGAAAAAAAAUUAAUUUGGGACAAUCAAUUUAAAUUGCAAUUGAAUGAUCGAAGGUAGUUUUGCCUUUUCGGUGAAAGAUGGAUGGAGUUAGUCAUAUAGGGUUGGAAAAAGCGCCCCCUUUGUUAAUUGUCCCUCAUUAAUGGCCAAUCACCUCAUUUUAAAGACAACUUAACAUCGGCACCAUACCUUAAUUAUUUUAUAGAAACUCUCUUAAGGCGAUAUGGUUGUACAAUAACAAUAGAAAAAUUGAAACUACCUAAAUGACAUACAUUGAUAGCAAAACCUCCCUUCAUCAAUGCUCAAAACUAUUUCAUCACUUGCUUUCCUCGGAAAACACUGCAGGUCACAUGCAUGCCAAAUUGUUUAGUAGUAACAUCGUAUUCAAAUUAGUAGGAUCUUGAGAAGAUAUAAAAUUAUUAUAGCUCUCUGGGCAACUUCAACAUCUAACUUCUCUUGGUAAAAAAACUCAUGUUCAUGAAUCUCCGCUUUUGCCCUAAAACAAAAAGAUGAAAAAGAUUAUGGAAUACCAUAUCUAGUAUGAAAUCUUUUAUGUGCAGCGAAAAAAAAAAUUAAAUUUUCUUACUGAAGUACCAAUGUGUGGUGGGCACAUAAAACCAAGCUGAUGGGGAUGUUUUAUAACUUCAAAAUUUUAAAAAAAGAAAUGGUAAAACAGCUCUUGAAGUUGGCUUUUUGCGAAUACUUUAAAAAACUGUAUUGUUUUCUCGUGUGAAUACUUUAAUAUCUAUCUAGAUUAUCUAAAGUACCCUUUAACAUCUAUUUUGAUUAUCGACACGUCCGUAUGUGAUGCUAGAAAGACUAGUAGGCAUCGUCUUUCAUAGAGGAUGUGGUAGGAGAAGUAACUCUUCUUGACAACUCUUCUGGAAAGAUGUAAUUUUUGUUUGGGAAAAUGUCAUAAAUGGUCCCUAUACUAUUACUUAAUGUGCAAUUUGGUCCCUAAACUUUCGAUCGGCUCAAUUUGAUCCCUAAACUAUUGAUAAAUGUCUGAUUUGGUCCAUGAACUUUCGAUCGGCUUAAUUUGAUCCCUGAACUAUUGAUAAAUAUCCGAUUUGGUCCCUGAACUUUUGAUUGGCUCAAUUUGAUCCUUGAACUAUUGAUAAAUAUCCGAUUUGGUCCCUGAACUUUCGAUCGGCUCAAUUUGGUCCCUGAAUUAUUGAUAAAUGUCCGAUUUAGUCAUUCGUUAAUGUUUUUUUUUUCCUUUUUUUUUUGCUUCUUUUCUCUUCGGAGGGAAGCCAGCGUCCGGAGAGGCGAGCUAGCGGAGGGAAGAGAGAAGAAGCAAAAAAAAGAAAAAAAAUAUGGAGACAACUCUAGAUAUUGAAGGCCAAAUCACCUCAAUUGUCACUCAUUAAUGGCCCACCACCUCAUUUACAUAAAACUUAAUAUAAGCACCCACCUCAUUUAUUGUGAAAGAACUCCUUAAUGAUAAUAUAAGUGCACAAUAAUAGUAAAUGAUAAAUAAUAUUUGAAUGACAAAUACCAAUUACAAAACCUAUGUCUAUAUGCAUAUAUUGAAAAAAUAUGUAAAUUAACAUGUCUGAUUAAUGUUAAGGAAAGAAAGAAUGAAUGAAGUUUUGCAAUGAUACAGCUCAACCAUUAAGCUCUAUUCUAUCUUACUUUCUUAUUAUAUAUAUUAGCUUAGCAAUGGUCUCUUCAGCAAUGCUCCCGAGGACAGCUUUGGCCAUUUUUGUUCUCACUUUGGAUUAGAAGAUGAUUAGUCUUGUGGUUCCAAGUCCAUAGACUUCUUGGGACAUGUACAGCAAGUCUGUGUUGAAAAUAGCAUUUCUCAUCGGCCACGCAUAACAUAAGGUGAAGCUUAAGUCCAUAAUGCAUCUAGGACCCACCGACAUUGAUAUUUAUUUCACAGGUUGGUUUUAUCUGGCAGUUUCUGAGGCCCGGAAGCAAGGGAGAAUAGGACCAAGUUGUGAAAGCAAAUUGCCUCUCCAAGUACAAACACUUCAUUUUUUUUCCCAAGGUUUUAUUCUAUAUAUUAAUUUUUUUAAAUUAUGGAGGUCAUUGUUUAAUUUAUUGGGAUGGAUUUUGAGGUAUGACAAAGUUGGUAACAAAAAAAAACCUAGGGCAUAUUAGUUUGCUUUGAUCCAACACCGUGAGAUGUGUGAUGUGAUUAAUUAGUAACUUAUAUGUGUAGAUAUAUUGAUACGUACGAUAUACAUGUUAGGACAGAGAUUAUUUCCAUUAAAAUAGAAAGUUUUAUAUACAUGGAUAACACCAGAUUUGUUAACAUUCCAUUGCCAGCACUACACCAGCACUACGCCUCUCAAUUCAAAACUCUCCUUCGUAUCUUCACUUGACAUUAUUGGUAUUAUUUUACUAAAACCUUACUGUUUAAGGAAGUUCACUCUCCUUGCCAAUCUUUCAAAACUAUUUGCUUCCUAUGAAUAAAAUGCUUCUAGAUUAUUUCUUUCUUCCUUUAUUUUUUCAUAUUCUCUAAAUAAAUGAAUAAAAUUGCUUUAAAGAUCUCUCUUCCAUUACUAGACAAUAUGAAAACUUGCACAUUUAUGUAAUGUAAAAUGAUAUAUUUAGACAUUUUAUGCAUGCCACUCCUUUUUUAUAAAUUUCAAAAGGAUUCACAUGUAGGGCAAAACGACGUACACACGAUUUUUUCUAGCAUAUACAAUAUGUACAAAAUCUUUUACUAUCUCAGUAUCCUAUUGCAAUUAUUAGUUUAGGAUACUCUUUAGUUCAAAUUUAUAGCUUUUUCUUUAACAAUUACUAUAAGAUAAUUCAUGUUUCUUAUCUUUUGAGUCCGGCACUUAUUCCAAUACCCCUAAUAUAUUAUUCUUCCAUUCGAUGUACACAAUCAAAUCUUUGCCAAGUUUCCUUGUGGAUGUUUUCUAAUAGUGCUUGCAAGACCGUAAGAAUUCCUAGUUGGUCAUUAAUGACAAGUUAGUGACAUCGGACCAAGUAGACCUCGUGUGACAAUAAAAUUUGUUGAAGUGGUAUGGAUUAUUGUGACAUGGCUAGAAUGUGCAAAGCAUCUUUUAAAAUCCUAGAAAAAUUCGGAGUGUUAAAACAAUCCAUGCCGCUUUCUUGCUUGAAUACUCUAAUACCUGCUUGAACUACGCGGGAUACCCUUAACAUACUUGUGGAGCAUCUUUUGUAGUGUAAACACGUUCAUCUCUGUGUAUGCGCCUAAACUAUGUGCGAAAGACCAGUAGCCAUUAUCAUUCAUGGAGGAUGUGAUAGGAGUAACUCUACAUAACCUUGUGCAGCAAUGAAAUUUGUAACUCUUCCAAAAAGAAUGUAACUUUUGUCUUCCCUUCCCGAGAAUAUGUUUCCCGACAAUCAUUUCGACAAGCAUUUCCUUUUUUUUUUCCAUUAUAGAAACAAGAAAUACUGUUUGUCCACUGGUGCUUUUCAAAGAAUUUCUCCAAAUUUUUUUUGUCUCGAAAGUGAAGCAAAAGACAAAAAGAGUAAUGGCAAAGAAACUCCAAUAAAUUCCAAGAAGACCACAAAUUUUGCGGACACAAAUUGAAGUUUGUUGCUUCGCUUUUCGCAUCCCUCCUCAUGAGAACGUCUCUUUUUCCAUCACUAGUAGAACUUCCAUGCAUUAUGUUUGGAUUAAUCUCUGUUGUUUUUUCUUUUUUCAAAAUUGUCUCAAUUCGAGGCAUUUGUUAAAAAAUUGCCACAUCGUAAUGAUUUUAUUGACACAAUUCGUUUACCCUGUGAAUUGGGUGAUGUGGAGAGAGUUUGUAUUGGCUUAGAUAAUCUUAGCAUCUAGUGUCUUUGUUGACGUGGCAACAUCUCAAGAUGCCAUAUUGGACACUUAUAUGGACAUUUAACAACUAUUUAACGGUGUUGGCAUCAUGUCAACAUUUUUCAUUUGGAACAUUAACGAAGUCCUCACAUUGACCUCAUGAAAAAUUCAGAUAAUUGAUUGAACGAGAAAACUUUAGGUACCUAAUUGCGAAAGGGCUAAUAAUACAAGUACUUGUAAUGCCAUUGUUCCAAAGAGUUUAUCACAAAAUCAUUGGUCUAGGCUCAAAUCUCAAACAUACUUUUGUUUACGGAAUAUUUUCUCCACAACUCAUCCUCUCGAUUCAUUUCUUGGUUUCCCUUUAAUAAUUUUCUUUUGUAAGAUUAUUCAUUCUUUCGCGUGAAAGAAAACAGGAAAUAAUUUUGUUAAUUUCACGUGCCAAAAGAUUUCAAUGGCUAAAUGUCAAGCACAUUGGAGGACUACAAAAUUUCUCAAUGUCGAUUUCCCUUAGAUUUUUUCCUAAUCAUUCGAUCAUAAAAAUUCAAGCUUUACACUUGAAAAUUUUUAGUGGAUUAUCAAACGUUUGAUUGAAAAUAAACUUUUUCUUAACACUUGAUUUUAGUUCGGUUGGAUAUCAUAUUAAUAGUAUUAUCAUCACAUGUAAUUGUAUGGGCACACUUAAUUUAAAACCUUACUAUGAUUUCUUUACCAAUUACAUCUAAUUUGCCUAAAUAAUAUUUUUUGUAGAUAAUUUGUUCCAACUUUUCCAGAGAUCAAUUGAUAUCAUCUGGAAUCCCCAGUCUGACCCGCAAGAGACAACAUUGAUACCACAGAAUAUAUUGCAGCCCAAUAUAAGCAGUUAACGACUACUUAAUAGCAUUGAUGUCAUAUAAACAUUUUCCGUUCACGAUUCAAUGGAGGUCUCGCAUUGACCUACAUCCGAAUUGUCGAGAUAAUUGAUUGAAUGAAAAAAAAAAAAACUCUAGAUACUUGAUUGCCAGUUCAUAGGUAAGAAAUUUCAUGCACCUAACGAUCUACUUUUAUUUUAGUCAAUUUGAAUAUUUUUAGAAGCCGUAGAUACAUAAUGAAAUUGAUGACGUUUCUUUUAUGAAGGGUUUGCUUCAACCACACGUAUGAAAAAUCGAAUAAGCGCCUCCUCUGAUUGUCUUUCUCUUUUCCUUAUUCAGCCAGAUCCCAAAUGCUUGAAACAAGGCGCCAUCAAAUCAUAUAUAUGUGCCAAGAGAUAUAUAUAUAUAUAUAUAUAUAUACAAGGCGAUUGUUAAUGAUAGUUGUAAAGUUAUACACAUAUUUCAAUAGUAUUGAAAUACUCCCUCAUCCAUUUAAUUUUGGUGCGCUUCACCACAUUAUGGUCAGUAUUGAAUAUAUAUAUUUUUCUCUUUUAAUAUUCAAUAACUUUGCGGAUUCCAUAAUUUUUUAUUUUGUGAAAAAAGAAAAACGGAAAAUUGAUAGUGCUUGCAAUUGAGGCCUCCAUGUACCAAAUUAGAUUAGUGCAUUUGUCAAUUUAAUUAAUUAAUUAAUUAAUUAAUUAAUUUAUGUAGGCACUCAUAUUUGGUUCAAGUAUACCAACUUAUGAGGUUGGAGUUGAAAACAAUCAACCAUAAAAACAGCUCAUUUUAUGCUAAUUCCUUAUUCUUAAUCAGAUGUGAUAUGGAAAUAUCGAAUAUGGACACUAGUAAAUUUCAUAUUUUAGAUUUCAUAAUUAAAGGACCUCACUAAUUGGCAUCAAAUUCAAAUGAACUUUGGAUUUCAUAAACAAGAUGUUUACUUACUUAUUAAUUUUUUUCAUUUUUUCUUUGAUAGAUUCCAAGAAGACCAAGACUUUUACAUGUUUGUAUGUUAGUGGGAAAAAAACUUCAAUAGAUAUCAAGAAGACCAAGACUUUGUAUGUCUUUCUUGCCAUUACCAAUAGAAUUUCUAGGCGCUACAAGUCUUGCUUAAAAUUAACAAAGCCAUAAUUUUCCUUCAAUUCUUUUUGGGUUUAAUCAUUUUGGGAUUUUUUCAUUCAUUAAUCUCUAUUGUAUCGCAAAGUGAUGAUGAGCAAAUGGAGAGAGAACCAUAAAGUCCGGGAAGAUCAAGACUUUCACCUACUAAAAAUAUCAUUUUCAGACAAGGACUUUCACCUACCAAAGAUGUCAUUUUCUUUUUCAAAGAAAAAGUGAAAGAGUGAUGGCGAGAGAGAAACUAAUAUAUUCUAGGAAGACCAAGACUCUGCAUGUCAUUUGAUUGUGCACGUCUUUUGAUGGUGGGAAAGAAACUUCAAUAGAUUCCAAGAAGACCAAGACUUUUGCACGUUUGUACGUUAGUGGGAAAGAAACUUCAAUAGAUGCCAAGAAGACCAAGACUUUGUAUGUCUUUCUUGCCAUUACCAGUAGAAUUUCUAGGCGCUACAAAGUCUUGCUUAAAAUUAACAAUGCCAUAAUUUUCCUCCAAUUCUUUUCGGGUUUAAUCAUUUUGGGAUUUUUUUCAUUUAUUAAUCUCUAUUGUAUCGCAAAGUGAUGAUAAGCAAACGGAGAGAGAACCAUAAAGUUCGGGAAGAUCGGACUUUCCACCUACUAAAAAAAUCAUUUUCAAACAAGGACUUUCACCUACCAAAGAUGUCAUUUUCUAUUUUUGUGGAAAGUGAAGCAAAAGUGAGAGAGUGAUGGCGGGAAAGAAACUAAUACAUUCCAAGAAGACCAAGAUUGUGCACGUCUUUUGAUGGUGGAAAGAAACUUCAAUAGAUUCCAAGAAGACCAAGACUUUUGCACGUUUGUAUGUUAGUGGGAAGGAAACUUCAAUAGAUGCCAAGAAGACCAAGACUUUGUAUGUCUUUCUUGCCAUUACCAAUAGAAUUUCUAGGCGCUACAAAGUCUUGCUUAAAAUUAACAAUACCAUAAUUUUCCUCCAAUUCUUUUCAUUUUGGGAUUUUUUCAUUCAUUAAUCUCUAUUGUAUCUUUUCAAAUUUGAGUUCAACAAAUGAAAAGAAAAAAGCAAAGAGAAAAAACAGACAAGAAGAAAGAGCAAAAAAGUUUAAAAAGGAAGUAAAGAAGGAAAGGGGCAAGAUAGAGCACCAUUGAAGCACAUCCACAGUGUGUUGUUGCCGUUAGCACCAUCACUUUGGUGACUAUUUCCAACUUUGCCACCUUAUAAGUUACAAUGACCUUCGUAGACAAUAUUUUUCUUGAGAUGUUUUCCUUAGACUGGUUCAGAAGUUGAGGAUAAUGGCAUCGAAAUUAUCAAAACUUUCGCUUGUUUUACAAUAGAGUACCUAAACUUUUCUUUUUUCAAUCAAGUAUCUCACUUUUUCAAAUUUGAUACAAUUUGAGGCAUUCGCUAAAUGAAUCAUCAUGUCAUAUGAUUUUGGUUACAUGAUUUGCUCACCUUGCAUAUUGAGUAAUGUGGAAAGAAAAAAUAUUGACUUAGAUAAUCGUAGUGUCUUAUAUAUCUCGGCCGAUGUGGCAGCAUAUCAAGAUAUCGUAGAAAACACUAAUGUGGGCAAUUAAUGACUAUUUAAUUAAAUCGGUAUGAUAUCAACAUUUUUUGUUAGUGAUUUAAUAGAGGACUUAACCUAUAUUCGGAAAAUUGAGGUAAUUGACUGAAUGAAAUAAAAUUUUGGUAUGAUUAAAAAAAGGGUAAUAAUUUAUCCAAUAAUUUAUCUUUUUUUACAUGAUAUUCAUGUGAAAGAGAAUAUUAAGUGGUUUUGUCAAUUUCAAGCCAUUGCAAAAAGAUUUUAGUGGCUAUAUGUCAAGCCCAUUUGGAGACUAUAACGUUCUCAAUGUUGAUUUCCUUUAUAUUUUAUGCAAUCAUUCGAUCAUAAACCAUUCCUGCCCCUUUUUCUUGGCCAAUUCCACUGCUUUCCCUUUCAUCUAUUCACCCAAAACUAAAAAAGUAUGUGUAGUUUGGCCUAAAUCAGUUUGAACCGGUUUGAAAAUGUACCAAUUUUCAAAAUUGGAUCUGCCUAGUUUUAGAAUCCCAUGGGUAUAGAAUUGGGCUUUUGGCUACUGUUGCACAUGGGGGGACUCAAGCACUCAAUUCCACAGAUCACCGGCAUUUUACUUUACCACUAAGGCCGAACGAUUCAUGUGUUCAUGGGCAAUUGACAUCAUUGCAUAUCUAUAAUCGUUUGCUCUAGACACAAUCACUGAUUCACUCCUAGUCCAAUCGUUAGGACCACAAACUGGCAACCUAACUGGUUCUCCGACUGGCCUAAGUUUGAAAACAUUGGUGCCAAGUUCCUAUCCCUUCUUAAAACAAGUAGAUAAUGACCAUCUUAUAUGAAUUGAGUUGUAAUUGACGCAAUACUUUUGCCACGUAAUGAAAGAUGAUAGCUAAGUGAUUAUAACUAAUAAACGUUGAUGCUCCUCUUUCUCCUUGGUUAUAUUAGACCUAGAAAUUCUUCGUACUGCUCCAAAUGAGGUUGAUGCUCAACUCCCAUGGUACAUUACUCCUGUCAUUGCUCUAGUUGGAGCUAUGAUUGAUGCUUGACAUUUCCCUUAAAAAUUUCGUAUUCAACAGUAAGUCUUUGCUUUGGCAUCGCACAUACUUCAAUUUGAGAUGCUAAUAAAUAUUAGUCAAGAGGGAAAAAAAGUUAACAUCUACCACUCUUAGGAACCUUAUAUGCUAUUAGGAACUUUGUCCAGCAUGGCAUGCUAUCGAGAGGUCGUAGGACUUUGUCAGGCUUAAGAAGAGAUCUAAUCUCCCCAAUCAAAAGAAAUGAAAUCUAUCAACCAUUGGAUUUUGUUAUAAAGCAAAAAUCUAGAAAAUGAUGCAGUGCAAUAUAUUUAGCUACACAAUAGUAGUUUGAUUUGUCACAUGUAGUUUUUGGAUAUCAUGGUUUUUACAAGCAUGAGAAGUAAACUAGUCACAACAUUCGGAAGCAAAUUACUCAAUAUCAUCUCCAGUGAGUUUGCUAAGAAUUUUCUUUUGAUAAGCAAAAGAAAUUUACUGCACAAUGGCGUCAAGUAGAUGCUAGCCCAUGUAACAAAUGAUAAACAUGGUGCCAUGAGGUAUAAGAAAGAAUGCACAUUAGUAACGUCGUUGUCACACAACCAAAAGCCGUGGAAAGCCAUCUAUCAUUCAAAUAAAAUAAAAUAAAAACCAGUCUUGCUAUUUUCAAAAGCGCUUGUAUUUUUUUAUUUUUUUUGGUAAAGGUAAUGAUAUAUUGAGCCAAGAACCAAUAAUUACAGAAGAUUAGGCACCACAAAACUUUCACUCAAAGAGACACAGCGUCAAAUGGAGUGAAAGGGCGCCUAAUGCAAAAGACCACCGCAAAGCCGUCAUAGCAAGCAGGCAAACACAGACGGCCGAAAAGAAAGACAAAACAGCCACGCAGGGCUGGGGAAACAAAGAGAACAACACCAACCAAGGAACAACAACAAGGAGGACCCGAAGAUUCGAGGCAGCCGCGGAAGGCGCAGAAAACGGGGAGGAAGCCGCAAGACACUAGGCGGUUGGCGAAUGAGAUACUAGGCAGUCAACGUAGGAGAAGAGAAAAUAGAAGGGUCGAGCCCCCAAUUCCGAUGAAGCCUUCUAUUUGUCUUUGACCACUUUAAUGAGAUGCUUCUUGAUAGCCACAAGCACCACUGGAUGACCUCUGAAGAGAAUGUCGUUCCUAUACCUCCAAAUAAGGUGGCAGAGGGUAGCAAAAGAGAAGCGCCCUAUAGCAUGAUAGAAGUCCUUACCUGAUAGGAAAUUCAUCGCCCACUGAAGAUUUUCCACCCACGACCCGUUUCUCCACGGGAGAUUGCACUUGGCCACCCAAAAUAAGCCAUACGCGAAGUAAUACCGCAUCCGAAGAAGAGAUGGUCAAUAGAAUCCGGCGUGUGCUUGCAAAAGGCACAAACUUCCCUCCCGAUCCUCCCAUAGGACAUAAGAAAAGCUUGUGUAGGAAGGCGGUUCUUAACGAUUAGCCAUAAAUUGAAUUGGUACCUCGGAGUGAUAGCUUUACUCCAUAUAAAGGAUGACCAGUCCACUCUCGCUUUCCUCUUUCUGAAAAAAUGCCAUGCAGAAGCCACUGAGAAGAGACCAGACGAAUCGACACUCCACACAAAUCUAUCCGGAACCUCAGGGAGAAGAAUAGGGAGCUGGCCCCACGAGUCCAUCGCCAUCCUAAAGGCUCGACUAGGGUCUGAUAAAAGGUCCGCAACGGCUGCACACCUAUGAAGUCCCGACUCUAAGAUAGUUUGCUCCGAGCAAAUCAGAUCCAACGGCCCCCUCUGGUGCCAAUGAUCAUACCAGAGAGAGACCGUUCGCCCAUCACCAAUCCUCCAGCGGAAAUUGAGUCAGACCUUGGGUCUUAGGUGUAGGAUCCUCCUCCAAGCCCAAGAGCAGCGAGCCGGAGCCUUAACCAUCCAGAAGUUCUUCCCUCUUAGAAAAGUAGAGUGAAUCCACUUGCACCACAAGGACUCUUUGUCAGUGAAGAGGGUCCAAAUAUGUUUGAGCAUAGCCGCUUUGUUGUACUCUCGUAGUCUACGAAUCCCAAGACCACCUUCCUCUCUAGGGAGACAUACAUCCUCCCAGGAUACCUUGGCACCUCCCUUACCAAGGUUAGGCCCCUUCCGCAGGAACCAUCUGAGAAUUUGCUCUAUACGAUCUAAGACUGCGAUAGGAAUAAUAAAUACACUUGCCCAAUAGGCCUAAAUCGCAUGGAGCACUGACUUAAUAAGUUGAACUCUUCCGGCAAAUGAGAGAAAUCGAUGAGUCCAAGAUUGCACCAUUGCCGUAAUGCGAUUGACCAAGACAACGCAAUCCGCCUUGUCGAAACUCGAGGAGAUGAUAGGGGCUCCUAGAUAGCGUACCGGUAGCUUUCCUUCAACAAAUCCAAGGGUCUCCUUGAUCUGAGUUCUCAAUUCAUCCGAGCCACCCACGAGGAACACCUCACUUUUGCUGUUGUUCGGUAUCAAACCACUCCAAGUCGAGAAAGUAUCAAGCCCAUCUUUAAGAAGCCUGACGGCCAUAUCUGCUCGGCAAAAAAGAAACACAUCGUCCGCAAAGAAUAAAUGAGAUAACCGAGUGGCCUUGCACCUCCAGGAGAAGUUGAAUCUAGGUAGGUCCGCAGGGGAAGUGAGGAUCCCCGAGAAGACUUCCAUCACCAAGGUAAAUAGAUAAUGGGACAUAUGGUCCCCCUGUCGAAGGCCACAGCUGCUAGGGAAGAAUCCAUGGAGCUCUCCAUUCAAUGAAAUAGAAAACAUAGGCAUGCGCACACAUACCAUGAUAAGCCGAAUGAAGUGGUCCGGGAAGUGAAAAGCCCGGAGAACCAUCUCAAGGAAGUCUCAACCUACCGUGUCAUACGCUUUCUAAAAGUCCACCUUGACAGCACAUUUGGGGGAAUAUGGCUGAAGAUGAAACCGUGCGAACAACUCCUGGGCUAGAAGAAUAUUGUCCCUGAUCCGGCGACCCUUAACGAAGGCGUUUUGAGAAGGGCUAAUGGUAUCCUAAAGAACAGCCGUGGCACAAUUGGCUAAGACCUUGGUAAAACAUUUGUAGAUCGUGUUGCAACAAGCAAUAUGUCUAUAAUCAUUUACUGAGGUCGCAUUAGGCACCUUGGGAAUCAACACCAGGAUGGUGGCAUUAAUCUCUCUCAAAAGUCUCCCCGUGACAAAGAAGUCAUUCGCUGCAUCCAUGACCAACGAUCCAACAAGGUCCCAGUUACUCUUGAAGAACUCAACGCCAUACCCAUCUGGCCCCGGAGCCUUUCCUCUGGCUAGAGAGAACAAGGUAUUCUGAAUCUCCAUCUCUGAGAAUGGACGGGCGAGUGAGGCAACCUGAGCCUCAGAGAGCGGACACCGGAUAGCUUGCUGUAAGUCGUCCAAGGCUGGCCUAUGAGGGAGAGAUCGCGAGGCAAACAACUCUUUGAAGUGAGAAACGAAUGUCUCCUGAAUAAGGUUCGGCUCGCUGACAAGAUUCCCAUUUCUAUCCAGGACUGAGAUGAUUCUAUUCUUCAGCUGCCUCGUAGUCACUGAAUGAUGAAAGUACUUGGUGUUCUUGUCACCAUUCUCUGCCAGGAGGAUGCUUGUUGGAUCCAGCUGUAGGUCCUCUUGUGCUAACCUUAGAGCAUUCCUGGAUUGGGCAACCCUCUCAGACAAGUUAGAUAAUGAGUCUCUAUUCAGCUACUUGAGCCGUCUCUUCAAGGCUUUUAAUUUGGUAACCAAUUUGAAAAUGGGAACACCUUCCCCCGGAGCCUCCCACACCUGGGUAACAAUGUUAUGAAAUGAAUAGUGCUCCAUCUAGAAAUUAAAGAACUUGAAAGGCUUCCUUCACAAAACCGGUUGAAUCACCUUGGCCAACAUCGGAGAGUGGUCAGAAAUACCAGGUGUCAGAAACAACGCUUCAGAGUAAGAGAAAUGCAAACUCCAAAGAGCGUUAACCAGCACCUGGUCAAUCUUUCUCGCUUUCCGGUUGGCCCCUGAAGACGUCGACCAGGUAAAUCGAAGGCCCACAUAUCUCAAAUCCUCAAGCUCUGAUUGAUGCAAGCAAUGAUUAAAUUCCCCAAAGGAGGGAAGCUAGGCAUUAGUACCACCAAAUUUGUCAGAGGGGUCUCUAAUAGCAUUGAAGUCACCAGCAACCAUCCAUGGAAGGUCGUAGAUGCAAGAGCUCAUCUUGAUCAAGUCCACCCAUAAGGGCCUUCUAGAAACAAAAGAGUGCUAUGCGUAGACAAUUGAGGUGCAGCAACAAAGACCCAACGACAGAAGCCUAACUCUGCCAUGGAUGACUUGAUCAUUAGAAGCUAUCACCUCAAAAUUAACCAAUGAAGGGUCCCAACCGACCCAAAUUCUGUCCCUCGGAGACGAACUAUAGUUGGCAAUCCAAGUCCACCCCGAAAGCAGACCAGACGAUAAAGAGCAAAAUAGAUAAUACGGGACUUUAGUCUCUAGAAGCCUGACUAAACAAAGACCAUUCGAAAGAACCAAUUUACGAAUCUCGACUCUCCUCAAAGGAUCCAUAAGACCACGAAUAUUCCAAAAGCUAAAAUACAUAACGAAACUAAGAACAAACUACGCUAAAUAAGAAAGACUAGAGCAAGGCUACUUGGCUUUUGAAGCUUCGGCGGAGGGGGUCCCAGCGCACCACCAAUGGAUUCAUCCGAUACCGGAUCCGGGGCAAGUGCAAGAAGCCGAUCUUGGAUGGUCUCCACCAUUGUCGCGGCAUGAGGCUGCUGAUGAAAAGGUGAACCAGGGGAUGUUAUAUCCUCCUCAUCCGACGAUGCAAAAGAAGCCGCGACUUCCGACUCCAAUCCAUGAUCCACGGUGGAGGAGAGAACUGGGAGCUGUGGUGGGUCUGCCAUGAGAGAAAGAACCACCUUGGGAGAGGCACUGGCUCCCCUUACCGUCUUUCGAAUAGGAGCGGGCGGAGAAGGACCCGCUGUGGGUGGAGGUGGAUCAACAGCCGGGGCUUUGUCCCGAGAGGGUUGUCCAGGCCCUGCAGUAGCGGAGGAACUGGGUGACUCCCACACGAAGGGGGCUUGAUUUUUCUUCUUCUUGCCCUUUACCUUCCUCCAAGGCUAUUCCUGGGCGGGUUGAGGAGGAGCACCCACCAUUGGAAGAUCCUCAGCCUCCGGGGGAACGGACAACGAUGGGAUCGGAGUGGACUAGACCUGAGCAGGGCCAAUUGCGGACUGAGGAGGGACAGAUUCGACCACGGCAUUUCUUUCUUCACAACGAAACAAUAAGCUAUUGAAGUGAACAACCACGAACACAGCCCGACAUAAACAAGGAGUAAUAAAAACUACUUACUGUUUGAUGUUAGGUUCUAAAGUCCAACAAAAGGAAGUUCUCUAGUAGAACCCAAAAACAGGAGUGUGCCAUAGAUUCACAGAGAAUUUAAACAGAAAUUACAAGACCUAUGAAACAGGCAAUGGGAUAGAAAGCAAAUGAAGGUUUGUUGCAGAAGGCAGGCAUAGACAUUGUGGACCUGAAUAUCCAUGCACAGUGAUGAACAAGGCAUUACUGCAGGGUGAGCUCGGCAUCUAAUUUGUAACAACAAGAGAGAGAAUGUCAAUCAUCAUAGCAGCUGAGGCUGUGUUCUCCAUGAUAGCUACUACCCAAUCAUCUCUUUGACCCAACAAUUGAGAUUCAGAUGCAGGGUGGCAAGUUGAUGCAAGCCUAGGGGAGGCUUUCUCAAACAAUAGGAUCGGGAGAGUGACUCGCACACAGAAACAGGACAAACAGGAAUUUCAGCACUGCGCGAGCUCAGGAGAACAGCUGUAUCUCUGUCGAUACAGAUCGGAUCGACCUGAUUCCAAAGCAAAAUGAACAAAGACUUCUGGAUCUACAAUUUCUCUGUUUUGGGUUUUCUGAAAUAAGCACUGUAGGAUAGUCGAAAUUGGGUAGGAAGUAACAAACAGAACAGGAAAAGACAGAGACUCCGUUGGUUGCUCUUCUAGGCCUCCAAGGAAGUUGAAAGGGACACCGAUUCUUCUAGAUCGAUGACUGCAACUCUUCAAGGAUGCAGAUUUUGAAAGCUCCGACUCUUCAAGGACGGAGUGAAAACUCUUCUAGGUUUUCAAGAGUUGAACUCUACAAGGUUCACGAUACUUGCUUCAAGCAAAGCUUUUCAUUCAUAAAAAAUUGUCUGUCUUCUACAAGGGAUUGGCUUAUAUCAUCAAAGAAAUAAAAAUAGAACGUUGAAAAUAGGAGAAAUAAAGACAAAGCGUAGAAAACUAGGAGAAAUAAAAACGGAGCAUUGAAAAUAGGAGAAAUAGUAAAGGGCAUGGAAACUAUAAACUAGUAAAAGCGUCACGCGAGCUUCCAAUGUGUCUUUGACUCAAGAUGUCAUUAUGGCUUCUCGGUUUCGUCGAGCUUUAAUGCGGGCCGAUCUUCUUGGUCGAGAGAGCCGGUCUUCAAUGUGGGCUGCAUCACAAGUUCAUCUUCAGAAUAGCAGAUUAGGACAGCCGCUCUCAUUAAGUCAGACCAAUAACUGAGAAUGAACCAGUCAUUGUAAAUAGACUGCUUCUGAUGACCUUGCUAGCAUCAAGGUGAGCUAAGAGUUGCCAAAAGCAUUAUUUGCACAUUCUUUCGGAAUCAUUGAUUUCUCAGAGUUCCAGUGGCAAUUUUAGGACUAACAAGGAAUGAGAUGGAUCGGUCCACUAUUAAUUAACUUGGUUUAUAGAUGUAAGUAGAGUAAGUUUAAAGUCAUCUGUACAAUAACUGGAAUCAGUGAACUCGUGAAGAAGAAGACUGGAAAGCAAGUUAUCUUGACAACUCGAAUAAGAACAUAUGACCUUAAAGUGAAUCCUGAGGCUAGUAUUUAUAGUCAAUAUCAUGUAUAUCGAUUAAGGAGCUAUCUCCAAGUACAAUAUCCUUCAAUACACGGAUGGCUUUUAUUUGGUUAAGUUGCAUAGCAAGGCCUCCAUCAUAAGAGGUACCCUUUAGAAAAUCAUUAUCUUCCAUAUCCGAUGAGUCCAUAAAAGUUUCCAUCUUUUUCUUCCUCCCGUAUAACCAAUAAGGCUUAGGACUUUUUCCUUCCAAAUAACGAGCAGACAUUUCUGAAUCAGCUCCGCACCUUCAUAAACUCCUCUGAAGAACACACUAAACCUCUUUCCCCUCUCAGAAACAUAGAAAACGCCAUAAUGCUUCAACAGGAGUCUCAUCAACUUCCGAGGCAUCACAAAUUCUUGUCGAAAGUGCGCGGGGUGAUUGGUUACCAACCUCUUUUCCAUUGUGAAGCUAAGUAACUCAUGCAUUGCUGCAAUGGAUCUCUUAUUGAAUUCUUUCAAUCCAGCUUGAAGGCCACAUGCAUUAGCGUAAGGAGUCAAGUAAGACCUUUUCUGAAAGUGCUCAAUCUUCCCUCCGUAGCUACACACCUUCUUGUAACUGGCAGGAAACUUGAAGGGGGAAAGAUAGGGAAAGCAACCCUGGAGUAUGAAAAGGCAAAUUCUGAUACCCCCAAUAUGGGCUUCUCCAACUCUGUGAUAGCCCAAGUAGGAUUCCACCCUAUGAGCUCGAGGUAAUCAACUUCAUCUGGAGAUUUAACCACUUUGAAGUGCUGCGGAUACUCGUGUACCCACUUGCUCCUAAAAUUAGCUGGCAAACCAGACUCUCUCCUGUAAUGAGCAAUUUUGUCCGGAGGAAGCCAUUUGUCGACCGACAUCAUCAACAUCCUAGUCACGUAUUCAACAGCCGUGCCAGAAUGUCCCCUAAUCAAUCUCUCCUCUUCCUCUAACAAGUCUUCAGCUUCUUUAGUUAUUUCCAAACCACAAUACCCCCUUCUGAUCUUUACACAACUCAAAACAAUUUUGGUGACUUUCGAAUAAAAUCCACUAUACUGUUUGCUUGGCUAUAGAUCCAGCGAUCUCACAGGGAUUAUCAUCUCGGGUUCCUUUUUCAACAUUUCCAUCAAAACCAACACCUUUGACACCACUUUUGCUUCUCAGUGGCAAUUUCGAGAUCAUGGACCCUCUUGUCCUUGUUCCUAUCUUGCACUCUCUUGCUGGUGUUCAUGAAUCUACGCUAUGACCAGUUAAGUAAAAUCUCGCCAAAACUCAAGUAUCCUCUCAGGGUAGGCGAAUGCACUGGUGAGGUGACAAAGCAACCAAACUCUCUUGCCGCGCUUCAUUCAUUCAUUCGAGAAAGCCACUGUUUUACCAAUGAUUUGAAAACGGGUCAUCUCAAGAUGGUAAUGCCUCGCUCCAAAUUCAAGAAACAAGCCCAACAAAAGCAAAUGCCUCUUGCUCAGGGCAAACAUCAAACGGCUUACGUGCAAUGGAACGAGGAACAACAAGAGCCCAAGACAAAAACAUUCGAGAAGAUCGCCGUAAAAGAAAACACAUGCUCCUGUCAUUGCCUUUUACUGAAUCAUUGAGUUACAAAUUUUAGGAAGUGUGCCCAAACUAGUCACGAGCAAGUUCUUAGCAAGUCAUUCCGGAUAACUCAAUUAUUCAUUGAUAUUUUCUUAAUUCCGUGAGCAAUAAGCGUGCAGUUUGAACAUAAUGCAACUAAACCAAGUAUUUACCACAAUAUGGAUUGAUUCUUUUCCUUUUUUAAGAAGAACUUAAUUCAGUUCAAUUUAAGAAAAUUAUAAGCUGAACAGGAUUAAGAUAAAUAUACAACCAAGCUAAAUAAAAAACUGAGUUAUUUAAUGUGAAAUAAAAAAAAAAAAACCAAACCAAUAUUUUCCUGUCCCUCUGUAGGAGUGUAUUUGAUAAAUUCUUAAAACAGAUCCAUUAAACCUCAGUCAAACCUCAGACUAACGAAACUCAGUCAAACCUCUUUUUCUUAAAAGAGAAAAAAGAAAAAAGAAAAAUAAGCCGAGAGCCAUUCACCCCCUGCGCAGAGUGAAAUUCCAUGGUCGUCGAAGAUGCUUUUGUCUCUCAGGUGAGUUUCACGAAGCUCCGCUUGAUUUCACCUCAUGUCCUUUUCUGCAGCGCGAUCGCCGGCGAUGAUGAUUCUGAGUUUCGUCUCGUGUUCAGAGCCGAAGAGCAGAAGAUCGUGGAACGAGAGGACGUAGACGACGGAGCAGAAGACCUGCUCGAAACGAUCGACAAACAAACGUGAGUUACGGCAAAACAGAGUGUAGGCAACUCCUCUCUGUUCAUAAUGCGUUUUCGUAAUGCGUUUCGGUACAUCCUUUGAUUCUGAGAUGAUUAUCGUGAUUUUCUGAUCCGUGCCCCGAAAGUUAAAAUUGAGAUGCAAAUGGUUCGAUGAAGCUAUGGCUGUGAUUAUCGUGAUUUACAUCUCGAGCUUUCUCUCAAACUUGCUGUGAUUUACAUAGAGUUUAACACGAUGGUUAAGCUCGAGUCUUUGUUGAAGGACGAUUCUGAUUCACUCAAAUCCAGCAAAGUGAAGAAUAAUGUGGAGAGAAUCGACUACUGGAAGCCAAGCCCUCGAUAAGCUUUUAGGCGGGAACAGACUUUCUUUUGCAGACUGUGUGUCUUUUUCUCCAUGCAUUUCAACGAAAACAAAUUUCACCGGUUUGGCAAUGUUUACAGGUGGUAUUGAAACUCGGGCAAUUACGGAAGCAUUUGGCGAACCUGGGUGAAAAUCACAGUCCAACAACGUUACCUUUGAUGAACUUUUAGUUGCUUUUGUUAAUUAGCUUUCUCAGAAAAAUGCUGCUGACGUCACUUCAGGUCUGGGAAAACACAGCUUGCAUGUACCCCAUGCGUUACUUCUCGGGUUGGUCUGAAUUAGAUAUUAGGUUUCUGUCUUGAACUUCUGUUGCAUUUUUUUUUUUUUUCUGAUGAAAAAUGCCAAAUAGUAACAUAAUGAUUGAAUUUCUAUGGAGUAUAAAGAUGUGUGUAUUAGGUGAUUCUGGAAGUACGGCACUCUCAUUUUCUGUAAUCUGCAGUCAGUAUACUGGAACGCAUGUACAGUGGCUCAAACCAAGCAGGAAAAAGGCCAGAAGAGUUUGUACUAUGUCACAACCGAGUAAAACCCUUAAUCAUAGUCAGACUCGGACUUGGGUUGAUCAUUAGUCGAAUGUGAUGCUUGAAGAUACUCUACUUUAUUUCCAAAUCCUACAACAGUAUUUACCCCUAUUUUCAAUCAUUCUUUAUUAAUGGUUUGUGGAUUCCAUGGCCGUAAAAUAUUUUCAGCUGCCAACUCACAUGAGAGGAGGAAAUGGCAAGGUAGCUUAUAUCGACGCAGUAGGAACUUUGUAUCCUAUUAUGAUCUGUCUGUAUUUUUCAUGACCUUGACAAAGAUACUUGUGUUUCUGAAUCAUCAUCUGUCCAUGUAAGCGCAUGUGCACUUUCUUAACUUAGUACACCUGCAGUCUUAGAUAAUGUAAGCAAUGCACUUUCAAUUUUAAUCAAAUUCUAGACAUUAAACAUGCUCCAUGUCCGUCACUCUUUACUAAAUCACCUAGUUACAAAUUUUAGGAUGUAUGCCGAUCUAGGUUCAACACAACCAAAUCGGUCAUGAGUAAGUGCUUGGCAUGUCAUUGUGAAUAAACUUAAUUGUUGAUUGAUAUUUUCAUGAUUUUAUGAGCAAUAAGUGCGGAGUUUGAGAACAAUGCAAUUAAACCAAGAAUUGACCACAAUGCAGAUCGAUUAUUUUCCUUUUCUAAGAAGAAAUUUAUGUGGUCCAAUUUGAGAAAAUUAUAAACCAAGCGAGACGAAGGUGAGUGCAAAAUUAAGCCAAAUCGAAUUAAAUUAUUCAGUCCGAAAUUACAAAAAAAAAAGUCAUACCCAAUUUUCUCUCAUCCUCUUUAAGAGUGGAUUUAAAAAGAUUUUAAGAAUUUAUCAGAUCCAUUAAAGCUCAAUUUAUAAUAACAAAACUCCAUCAAACCUCUUUUUCUAUAAAAAAAAAAGAAAAAGAAAAAUAAGCCAAUAGCUAUUCUUCCCACUUCCCGCCUCUAUAUCUAUAUGGAUUCCCUCCGAUUUGCGAUCGUUUCCAAAAUCCACAAAAAAUUUGAAAGUCUCUUCUCCUGCGCAGACGCACCGAACUCCAUGGCCGUUUGAUUCUGAAGUUGAUCAUCGUGAUUUUCUGGUCUCUGUUCUCAAGUUGACUGUAUAUCUCUUUGAAUGUCGAUGUUAAGUGACUCUGAAUACUGCUAAGUGCAUGAGCUUGAUUUCGGUUUCGGUUGCUCAGUUUAGCUCGAUUUUCCUGGAACAUCACCGUGAAUCCAUUGGCAUUUUUACAUCUCGGCCUUUCUCUCGAACUUGUCGCGAUUUUCUGCACGCGCACGAUAGUUUUUAGUUUUUGUCUUCUGAUCAUCCAAGAGCAAUUCAGCCUUCGUUAUGUUACGUGACAUCCACCGGAUGUCUUUUUUCCCGUGUGUUCGUGACGUAGCUGGAUUAAUAACGAAUAUCCUAAGCUUAAUUCAUCAAUAAUAUCUGUUGGAACGCUAGAUUGUCAGUGAUGAUCUAGGAAAUGCUUUUGUCCUGACAUUCUACAUUCACCAGAAAACUUAGUUUAACGCGAUGGUUAAGCUUGAGUCUUCAUUGGAGGACAAUUCUGGUUCGCUGAAAUCCAGCAAAGUGAAGAAUAAUGUGAAGAGAAAAUCAAAGACUAAGAUCGAACAGUAUCUCGAGCGUGUAAUGCGGAAAGCUGAUAUAUCUGCCGAGGAGGAUCUGGAAUUGGAAAGGAAGCUUGCCAAGAAGCUCUAGGUAAAGGAUGGAAAGCUACUUGGGUCAGACGAUGGAAUGAGUAUGUUAUUUAAAGGAAUUCCUUCUAUUCUUGAUUCUUUUGAACAAGACGCACCAGGGGUAAGAGAAAAUUGUAGUGAAAGAUUUGAAGGUAAAUCUUCAGGAGAAAAAAAAGAAAUGUCCAAGCAAGAGCAUAUGCAGGAUGAUGGAAAAGCUGUUCAUGUUAAGGCUGGAGCCUGUGACUCAGUAGACUAGAAACCCCUUCAUUUCAGCUCUCAAGUGAGUUCGUGAGCUCCACAAAUUUCAAUUCAUUUCCUUUUCGUGAUGCGAUUGCCAAGAAUGAUUCUGAGUUUCCAUUCGACUUCCUCUUGAACUUGUUGUGAUUUUCUGUGCAUACGAUAGUUUAAUUUUCUUUCCUUAAAUGACGAGAAGUAAUUUCCACCACUACUUGAAUAUGAUAUGUCUAAUUCACCUCUUCGACGUAUGUCUUCUAAAUUAUACAAGAGCAAUUUGGCCUUUGUUAUGUUACGUCACAUAGUAAUUGUACCAUCGGUACAUCUAUUAUCCAUGUAUUUACAGCAUAGAUGGAUUAAUAACGAAUUUCCUAAGCUAAAUUCGUCAACAAUCACUAUUGGAACACUUGACAUUCUACAUUCACCAGAAAAUAUAGAGUUGAACACGAUGGUGGGUUGGUUUUUUUUUGUUUGCAGGUAUUUCUCAGGGAAUCCAUGCUGGAGAUGUGAAAAAAGAUACAGGAUGCAGGGAUCGACACUUGCAAAUGUCUUGAUGAUGCAUACAGAGAAGGUAUAUCUGAUAUUCAGUUCCGAAAAUUAAGUGGAGGUAUUAUUUGGCUAAGGUGAUUUCCUCUGUCUUUGUUUUGUUUUUUUGUAGCACUUAACUAGAACCAAAGGUUUCUCUGAAGCAAAAGUUGAUAAGAUAUGCGUAUCAGCUGAAAAGAUAGUGGUUAGAGCUUAAUUUCUUCUUAUCCUGAGAUGGCGAUGUAAUCAAUUGCAAUUUCUAUAUGCAUCUCACAAUAACUUCUCUUUGUUUUCAUUAGAAUUCUCGUUUUAUUACGGGAAUUGAAGCUAUGCUCAGAGUAAGUCCUUAAUUCGGCAAAUUUCGAGCUAAAAAUGGUUCGGAAGACCUGAAUGAGUCAUUGCCCCUUGAAAUAAAGCCUGCAAAUUAGCAUAUCGACUGUAGAAAACUGUACUUGCUCUAAACACAAAGUACUUUCAAUGUCUUUAUUUUUUCCAGAGCAAGUCAGUUAUUUGCAUCACAACUGGAAGCCAACCCCUCAAUGAGCUUUUAGGCGGUAAUAGACUUUCUUUUGUAGAUUGUGUAUAUUAUUCUUCAUGCGUUUCACCGAAAACAGCUUUCCCUGGAUCUGCAAUGUUAAACAGGUGGUACUGAAACUCAGGCAAUUACAGAAGCAUUUGGUGUAUCUCAGUGACAAGCACAGUCCAAUAACGUUACCCUUGAUGAACUUUUAGUUGCUUUUGUUAGUUGGCUUUCUCAGAAAAUGCUGCUAACGUCACUUCAGGUCUGGGAAAACACAGCUUGCACAUACCCUGUUUGUGACUACUCAGGUUGGUCAGAAUUGCAUGUUAGGUUUUCGUCGUUAACUUCUAUUUCAUGUUAUGUUUCCUAGAUGAACAACAUAAAUAGCAAGAUAAUGAUUGAAUUUCUAGUAAAGAAUAAAGCUGUGGUUAAUAUUGGCAUCGGAACGUGUUUAUUAGGUGAUUCUGGAAGUUGGCACUCUCAUCUUCUGUAAAUGGCAAUCAGCAUACUGGAACACGCAAUCUAUAGUGGUUCAAACCAAGUAGGAAAAAGGCCAGGAGAGCGUACUAGGUCAUAACCAAUCGGAAGCCUUGGUCAUUGUCAGACUUGGACUUGGGUUGAUCAUCAGUUGAAUAGGAUGCUUGAAGUACUCUACUAUAUAUGCAAAUCCUACAACAUUAUUUUCUCUUCUUUCCAUCACUCUUUAUUAAAGCUGAUCCCGUUCCAUGAGAUGAUAUCUUAUGGUUUGUGGAUUCCACGAUCCUAACAAUUUUAACAGCUGCCAACACACGUGGGAGGGGCAAAUGGCAAGGUAGCAUACCUCGCCACAGAAAAAACUUUGUAUCCUAUUAUAAUCUGUCGGUCAUUUCCUUGACCUCAACAAAGCUGCUUUUGUUUCAUACUCGGCUUAUGUCCAUGUAAGUGCAUAUGCACUUUCUUAACUUGGUACACCUGCAGUUGCCAUGAUUGAAUUGUACAAAUAGCUGAAAGAUUUGGCAUGGAUCCUGGUGCCGUCGCACAUAAAUGCUUUCUACACUGGUGGCAAGUCUUCCUUCUUUUCUGGCUAAUGUACUUGCUGUAAUCUAGUCUUUCCAUGAAUUUGAAGAUCAUUUAUGCCUGUGCCUCUACUUCUGAGCAUCAGUACAACUUCCUUCUCAGUUUGGCUGCCAAAGUGUCUGAAGAACCAUUUAGGUUCCUGGUAAGACAGUGUUCAAGAAUCAAACUGCACACAUUUUGUAAGGUGUCGAUGGUUGACCUUAGCUGAGUAUAUCCUUCAGAUUGUGGAUUCAGUGAUCACUCUCUUUCGAGUGGAAUAUAAUGGAAGGGGAGAACUUGCAGGGCAUCAGGUCGAUUCUGAAACCAUGAAAUCAUGCGAGUUGCAAAUUUUCAGCUCAUCUAGUUUGACACUAAUAGAUUUCCAAUUGCAGCAAACAUUGGCACAAAUGCUCUCACGCUUACUUAAGAUAGCCGAGGAAUUUAAUGUGGCAGUGUACAUGACCAAUCAAGGUACCGCAUCACAUCUCAUUUCUCCCACCUAGUCAUGGAUCCUUUAAAGGAUCUUAUCCAAUUUAGCUCUUUGAUGGUUGCACACUGAAAAAUAGCAAUUUGGUGACUACACUAAGCUCAUACUAGUUCUCAUAAAUCUCAAGAACCAGUUAUUUGGUGUAAACUAGUGAUGCAUAUGGUAGCUGCAGUCCAUGAGUUAAGCAAAAAAGAUAAUUUUUUUGACGACUUUUUCUUCGAUUUCUUUGUUUCAGUGGCAUCAAAGAAGCAUGCAGGUGGGCAUGUUCUGGGUCAUGCAACCACAAUUAGGUUGAUGUUUACAAAUGGCAAAGGUGAGCAGUGGGUUUGCAAGGUGUUCAAAGCCCCAGACCUACCUAAAGCUGAAGCUAUAUCCUUUUUGUCUGGAUCUUUGUCUACCUAUACACUUUAUUGAAAUUUACCAGAUUACACUGCAGACAUUAAACGAAAUUUCUAGAAAUCUAAUAUCAAUCGGAGAGAAAGUCAAUACUAAGUCUAUAUAUGGAUAGGUGGAGACUAGAAUUUGAGCAGUAUACUUGUAGUAUACUUACAUGCGCUGCCUGUGCUAUGGAAAUAAAAUACCCAACCAUUGAUGAUGCCAUACUGCAGAUCUUCCUCUAGUUAUAUACUUCGUUGAAAUUUUUCAGACCAUGCUGCAGAGACCAAGUAAAAUAUCUGGAAGUCUAGAUCAAAAUCUGUGAGAAAGUCGAUAAUUAGUCUAAAUAGGGAUAGGUGGAUACCUGAUUUAAGCAUGAUACUCACUUUAUACUUGAUGUUGCCUGGAGAUCCAUGAACAUGUUGAAUACGAAUUUUGUCCAGAGGAAUUAAACAAAAAGAAGUAGCUAUUGAGAAUUUUCCUCAGUAGGACCAGUAUGUUAUUUUUAGCUGUGCUGUUAUGUAGAUGAUGCACAUCUAUCAAGACCAUCACUUAAUUUAAUCAAAAAAUUUAGGAAGAGCUCAUCUGUCAAUAAGAUGAGACAGAUAUUCCAUAUAUGUUGAACUUGACAGACACAUGUUUUUCAGAUAACACCAGGAGGCAUCACCGAUGCGAAGGACUGAAGGAGUCUCUCCAACCAGGAAGGCAGGCGAAGUGCUUUUUUAUUUUUAUUUUUAUGUUAAUCUGCAAUUUGAUGUUAGUCAUCGUAUUGACCGCAAGAGGCAUAUAAUGAUCUCCCAAGCACUUGUUCAUUUCCUUUCUCUGCAAUGGACACUUUGUCACCCUUGUCAUAGCUUGUCCCUAAGUUUCAUGUGCUCGACAACAAACCAUUCAUGAAUGACAUGAGUUACUUUCUCUAACUGUGAUGGUGACCCAAAAGAUUUGUCAACUACAAUGUCACCUUUGUGUAUCAAAUGCAAAAUAUAUCAUAAGGGUAAGGCCGAAGUAUCCUUUCUGCUUCUUCUAUUUAUGUUUAGCCAAUUGAAUGCAAAUAAUACAGCCUUAUAUUCUCUUAGGAACUUAAACGAGCGUGGCAUGUCUUAUAUUCUCUUAGGAACUUAAUAGAGAUGUAACCAAAAGAAAAUUAUUCAGUGUCAUUUCGAAUUACCUCAAAUGAAAUGAAAUUUAUCAAUCACCGUGUUUCGUCAUUAAGAAAAAUAAAUAAAGUUAUCCACUGCAAUAUGUUUUUAAUUACACAUAAGGUCAACAGUUUGUGGAUAUCAUGGUUUUUAUGAGCUUGAGAAGAAAUCUAGUCACAAUAUUUGAAAACUAAUUACCCAACAUCAUCUCCACUGAGUUCACAAUAAUUUUCUUUUGAUAAUUAAAAGAACUUAGUUGAACUUUCUUACACGAGCAAUCUGGCUUUUGUUUAUGUUACACGACAUUCAAAUCGCACCAUUGCAGUAGCUGCAGUCCUUGAGUUAAGGAAAAAGAUGAUUUUUGAUGACUUUGUCUUUGAUUUAUUUGUUUCAGUCGUAGAUGAUCUAGGCGGUGCUGUGUUCAUAUCAGACCCAAAGAAACCUGCGGGUGGGGAUGUUCUGGCUCAUUUAGCCACAAUUAGGUUGAUAUUUAGGAAAGGCAAAGGUGAGCAGCGCGUCUGCAAGUUGUUUAAGGCCCCAAACCUACCGAGCUGAAGCCAAGUAUACUGAGUCUACAUAUAGAUAGGUGGAGACCUGAUUUAAGCACGGUGCUCACAGUAUACUUGAUGGUGUAUGGAGAUCCAUGAACAUGUUGAAUACAAAUUUUGUGCAGAGUAAUUAAACAAAAAGAAGUGGAUAUCCAGAAUUUUUUUAAGCAGGAUUAGUAAGUUAGUUGUGCAACCUGUGCUAUGUAGACUGCACAUCUAUCAAAACCAUCACUUAUGUAAGAAAUUUUAGCGAGAGCUCAUAUGGCAAUAGGGUGAAAUCGACAAACGCACAUUUUUCAGAUAACAACAGGGGCAUAGCCGAUGAGGACUGAAGAGGUCUCUCCUACCAAGAUGGCCAGGUGAGGUGUUUUUUAAUUUUAUUUUUUGGGUUAAUCUGCAAUUUGAUUUUAGUCAUCGGAUUGAUAGCUACCUCUAUCUUCAUGUUAAGUUUGUAUUGGCAGGCAUCAAGCUCCUUUUGACAGCUUUAAGUUUAAAAUUGCCGGAGAGGUUACCGCUUUAGCCUUAAUAUCUAACAUGCUGUCAUUGUCUGUUAUUAAAGUUCACAUGACCCUUCACAAGGUGUUGUGUAAACUUGAUUUCCAUAUGAGAACCAGCACGCUCCAAGUUAUAAUGGUUCACAUUUGUUCUCAUAUGACAAUAUCGUCCUGGUCUAAUUUACUAGUAGAGAUUCUAUGCGGAAAAUAUUACAUUGGAUAGACUUUGCAUGACGGCUAAAUGAAAUGCCAGAAAGAUAUUACUGCACAAAGCAUGAUCAGGUUCUGUAAAGGCUUGGUUUUAUAAGUACAUAUAUAGCUGCAUAAAAACGAUGUCAUCUCAAACUCUCAAUAUAGAGCAACGGACCAUUAGAGCUGAAAAAAUUGUCAAUGUAUGAGAAAGGGCGACUGGGUCAUAAGCAACAGAAGGCCAUUCAAUAGCUAAUGGCCUGGCCAAAAGGGACCGCAAUGCAUAUGACUCGGCAGUGCAAGGACAAGUUCGCAGCACUCCCAACUCUAGGCAUACUGGACUCCUUAGUCUCUGCACCACUUUUCAAAUGUAGCGCUUUGUACUCAGCCCAAGCUAUUCACCCUAGGAACUGGCUUCACCUCAUUCGGCGCAUGCUCGUAACUCCUCAAACAUUUAGAGCUGGUAAAGAAGCAUCCUGAGUUGGAAAAGAAGGCAACGUUAACAGGUGAACGAUUCGGCACUCAAAAAUCAUUCGAAGAGCAACAUUGUACGUGAAAAGGCACAUUUCAAUACAAGGAUACAGGUAAAGAACACCAUUUUAACCUUAGAUUAUAAAUUUAUGUUCGAAACCAAUUUUUCCAAAAUGCUGUUACCCAACAACAUAACAUUCUCCUCUGAACUCUGCUUAAUAUCAUCAGAGCUCAUCCAUCCUUACUUUUCAGAUUGCAAUGCAUGGACCAAAUUCCAGUGGAGCCGCAUCAACAAACUGAAAAAAUAAUUGCCGCUAGGAAAUGGUGCAAAAGACUUCCCAAAACCCAUCUUCAUGACUUCUGCAUCAUCUGAGCGAACAAGACUGCCUCCAGAAUCAAUUCCCCAGAAGGAAGGAAAACUGCCAUAACAUCCUGAAUGAUUCAGAGGACAGAAAGGAUUAGAUAUAGAUCACAGGUGGAGGGAGAGAUUGAGAGCGAUGUCCCAGAAUGAAACCAAUGAACAUUAUUGUUACUCACACAGGCCAGAAAAGGGGUUUUAGAAGAGCUGUCGAAGAGCACAAAACCAAACUUCCUGCUGAUCUCUCUCACGACUUGAUCAGCAGGGUAGGCCGCCGAUCCCUCAGAGUUCAAUAAGCUUCUACGACAAUAAUGACCUCAUUAGCGGUUUUAUUCCAUCCAUAUUACUGCAACAUUGCCUCUGUCCUUGGAACAAGCAACCGAAAACAAUCUGUCACAGAGGGUAAGGCAUGUCAAAUCUCGAUGUGGGACGAGCUGAUUGAGAAGAGAAGACAGUACGGCAAUUUCCCUCAAUUAACAAUCCAAUAAAUUUCAUUUUCUGGCUUUCAAAAUGAACCAGAGACUCAAGUUCCACUAUCUCCUUUAGGCUGACAAAUGGAACCUUUCAUGAUAUCACAGUAAAGUCCAACAAAAAUCAGUUUGAUCUAACCGUUGCCUCUCUAAACAAUGAAAUCACGAUUAUUUUUUCUUUUUUGGUGGUUAAAGCUACCUUUAUCAAGAGAUGGAGUGGGAAUUUGCAUAGAAGAACGAUAAACUUUAUUCUUUGACCAGGUAAUCAGUUUUUAAAUGGGUUUUGGCCAACAUAAUUCAUUCAAAAUUUAGCUGUUUCAUUCACAUAUUCAAACCUCUGUUUGAAAUUUAUCCUUCCAUCUAUACAAUAACUGUUAUGGGAAGAAAGAGAGCUUCUUAUUUUGAAUAUUGACCUGUCAAUGUUAAAAGGAUAUUAUCUAACCAAUUCACAUACAGAAAUUCACAUUGUAUUUUGUGGCUCCUACAAUAUAGUCACUAAAAGCAAUUCUGUACUUAGAGUCAAAAGUACAACUUUUAACCUAUUGGCAAGUGAUACUGCAUAUUCAAUGUUAAAAACUUAAGACUCGUCCUUCCAUGAGCCCCGAUCAAAAUGACAAACGAGGGCCGCUGUUACUGUGAGUACAUCAUGUAUAUCAGCAGCAAUCCUCUCUUCAUCCUUUUUGGCUUUCUCUAUGUAACAAAGCCUCAUUUUAUGUUUUAUAAGGUAAUGUGAUGUGAUCUCAUUGAACCACUCUUGGCUGAUGACAAGAACUAAACUCACCUGAUUCGACCAGGACUGAAGUAUCUUAUUAUGAUCCUGGAAAUUCCCACAGAAAGGCGCCACCUUGCCUUAAGAAACCACCCAAAGCUUGUCCAUGCUUCCAGAUAUUGGAUGCUCAUCGUGACUAACCUGCAAAUCAAGGUGAAAAGAUGGCUAUUAGCUGUAAAGACAAUCCAUCAUUGGUCAAAUUGAAGUAUUCUGGCAAAAAAAUCAAUCUCACCAUCAGACAUCUUCCUUGGAACAAGACCAGCCCUCGAAUGAGCACCUCAACCACAUCCAAAUCCUGCAGUUUGGGAUAGUAAAAAACACAGAAUCAUACUCAUCAAUCCUUAGACAAGAAACUAGCAAUUUACAAAGAUAGAACUUUAGUAGUCAUAGGUCAUUAAAGUAGAACUUAAAGUCGCUUGGUGCAAGUGGAUCCACUCCACGUUCCUAAAAAGGAAGAACUUCUGGGUGGUUAAGAAGCCGACCUGUUGCUCUUGGGCCUGAAAGAAAAUUUUACAACUCAGAGUAGAAGUCCGGCUCAGUUUCUGGUGGAGAAUUGGGGAUGGCCUUUCUAUGUCACUUUGGUUUGAUAACUGGCAUCCUGAGGGCCGCUGAANNNNNNNNNNNNNNNNNNNNNNNNNNNNNNNNNNNNNNNNNNNNNNNNNNNNNNNNNNNNNNNNNNNNNNNNNNNNNNNNNNNNNNNNNNNNNNNNNNNNNNNNNNNNNNNNNNNNNNNNNNNNNNNNNNNNNNNNNNNNNNNNNNNNNNNNNNNNNNNNNNNNNNNNNNNNNNNNNNNNNNNNNNNNNNNNNNNNNNNNNNNNNNNNNNNNNNNNNNNNNNNNNNNNNNNNNNNNNNNNNNNNNNNNNNNNNNNNNNNNNNNNNNNNNNNNNNNNNNNNNNNNNNNNNNNNNNNNNNNNNNNNNNNNNNNNNNNNNNNNNNNNNNNNNNNNNNNNNNNNNNNNNNNNNNNNNNNNNNNNNNNNNNNNNNNNNNNNNNNNNNNNNNNNNNNNNNNNNNNNNNNNNNNNNNNNNNNNNNNNNNNNNNNNNNNNNNNNNNNNNNNNNNNNNNNNNNNNNNNNNNNNNNNNNNNNNNNNNNNNNNNNNNNNNNNNNNNNNNNNNNNNNNNNNNNNNNNNNNNNNNNNNNNNNNNNNNNNNNNNNNNNNNNNNNNNNNNNNNNNNNNNNNNNNNNNNNNNNNNNNNNNNNNNNNNNNNNNNNNNAAUUUCACCUUUGGCUGUCACCAGGCAUAGGCUUCCCACCCAAGCUUUCCUCCUCUCUUAUGGCAGGAUUGAUACUACUUUUUGCCCCUUCUGUGAGAAAGUGCCUGACUCUAUUGACCAUCUAUUUUUUAAGUGUCGGGUCACGGCUGGUUUGGCUUUCUUUUGGGCAAUCAGAUGUAACCUUCUGUGGCGAAACCGGUCUUGGGAUGAAAAUCUCCUUUGGGCCACAACCUUUCUUGUGGGCAAUGACUUCUUCAAAAGCAUGGCGCGAUUUUCUUUUCGCGCUCUUUGUCAUAUCAUUUGGAGGAAUAGGAACAAUAUUCUCUUCAGAGAUGAGCCGCUGUCCAUUCUAGCCAUGAAGAAUCAUCUCCUCAAAGUGGUCAAAGAUAAGGCACUCUUUUUCAGGGAUGUGGAAGAUUCCUUCAGAAAUAGGAGACUACAGCGCAGUUGGGACUUGGAUCUGAGUAUCUUUGCUCUGCGCGUUUCCCUCUCGGGUGACUAGCCGUCUCUAGACCGACUGAUGUUGGUCUUUGUGUCGUCGUGCUUGUCUGGCGGUUGUUCAUGCUGUCUGGGUCUCUUUCUUUUCUUUUCUUGCUCUUGCCACUUGGCCUCUUUCUCAGCUUCCUUCCACUCAUAAUGAGCCUGUUCAUCUUGAGUGCAAGUUUCUAAAGCCGGUUCGUUUUGUACAUUUUGGUCUUCCCCAUUUAUAUAUUGCUUAUUUUACCAAAAAAAAAAAAACAAAGAAAUUUCCACAUUAAUUAUGUGCAAAACCCAACGCUGCCUAUAGGAUAUUAGAACUACUUGGUAUUACAGAUUACUGCAAUACAAAAAACACCGAUCAUGCUAGCAUACAUGUUCGAUUCCCAAUAUUUUGCCAAUUGGAACAAUUAGAUUGGUUCUGUUCCAUUAUAAGUUAGAUGUAAGAUGGCAGAGGCUCCCUGUUGUGAUCACCAAUUGGUUCCAUUGUAUUUUCAAUGCAAAGACCAGAUUCCUAUAAGUUCAAAUAGUGCAAGAACAAUAUAACAAGCUAACUGAAAAAGUCAUCGAAGUCACAAAAUGGAGAAAAAUGAGUAAAACUUACCAGAUGAUCGGAUGGCUCGCAAGCAAAACUAUGUGAGGUUUCUCAAAAGUUAUCUUGGCAAAUGCAACACUGCUUUUCUGACCACCUAUUUAUAUGGGCAAAGAAUCAUGUUAUAUGUGCAAUAACAUUCAAAAAGCCUCAGAGAAAGUACAGUGAACUGCAAUUUAGAUUACAAAUUAACUCACCUCUAAAAGAGCUUCACGACCUCACACAAAAAUUGCUUCAAUAAAAUUUUUUCAUAUGCAACAGUAACAGAGAGGGAGGAGAUGUAUCAGACAAGGUUUGCAUUCGUCGAACUGCAAGAUUUCCAGUUACACCAAACAAACACAAGUAAGCUCGAAACUUUUGUUCUGGAACUCCCCACACGAAAAAUGCCACAUAAGAAGGUAUUUUCAGAUAAAAUAACAUAAUGUAAGACAAAAUAAUAUUUCACAUUAGAGUAAACGCACAUGACUGAUACUUUAAAGAACUAAAUAGUUUUGCCCCAGAGGUCACUGCUGACAACACAAUCACAGAAGCAGGUAGCGUAUCAUUUCAAUCUCAACCAAACAAGCAUAAGUAGUUUGGCUACAAAUUUCUUGCAAGCUUUUAGUAAUAGUUCCUAACCCACUAGAGAUCAAGACCCAAGCGGAAGGUGAUUUAUGGAAUAUCAAUGCUGUCAUGAAUUGGUGUGGCAUUGAAAGGUUGGAGCCAUGAGGCGCCCCAGAAUUUUAUCCCAGAUCGACUGGUUAAUACUACAAAGGAUCAUCAUCAACAAAAAGAAGGUUCUCAAUGAUAAAGGAAACCAUUGAAAAAAAAAAAAAAAAAGGAAGUGCAUCCCUUUUCUUCACAAUCAUAUCACAGCAUCCACAUAACUAAUCAUGUUUUUAGAUUUUAGAAAAGAUUAUUCUUAUUUAGAUCGAAUUCACUAGAAGAAAAUUUAGAACAUCUCAAUGCACCAUAUAAAAUGAAAUGCUUCUUUUUUCUAUUAUUAAAUUGCAAAAGGUGACACUUAACAUUGACAGCAUUAGCCCCACCUCAACAGCAUUCGCAAGUGAUCCUUCCAAGAGAUUUUGCCAAUACAGAUCACAGUGGUAUUUGCAAAGCACCACAGUGAACAAGCUUAAGCGCAGAAGAGAAAAGAAGUUGGGAAGAGAAAAUACAACAAACGCUGAAAAGCAUAGUGCAUUUUGAUUCACAAUUUGUUUGGCGGGUCACGCAAGUGCGAAAGUAAGCACAGUUUUUGGGCAUCAAGAAGAGUUCAAGAUAUGUCAUCAAUAUAGCAAGAUGCAGCUUUGUGAACAGUUCGUUCUACAUAUGUCAAUCUUUCACCUUCAGUGGCUGGUUUUCGAAAAUUUAUGUGAAAAAUCUGAAUGAGGAAAAUCAGUUCGUAUCAAGCAUCGAAUUUAGGAACUGGCUUCACCUCAUUCGGUGGGUGCUCAUAACUCCUCAAACCUCCAGAGCUGGUGAAGCAGUAUCCUAAGUUGGAAGAGAAGGCAAUGUUAAAAAGGUGAACAAUUUGGCGCUCAAAAACCAUUGGAAGAGCAACAUUGUAAGUGAAAAUGCACAAAUCAAACAUGCAUACAGGUAAAGAGCACCAUUUUAAACAUAAAUUAUAAAUUUAGGUUUGGAACCAAUUUUUCCAAUAUGAUGUUACCCAACAAAAUAACAUUCUCCUAGGCAGGCUUUGGUUGCCGAUCUCUUCUCUGAGGAUGGAUAAGCUAUCAGAUCAGAGAUUGAGUCUUGGGGUUCGCCGCUUCCUUCCUUAUCUGGAACCCAAGAUCGGUUCUGUUGGAGGGAGGACUCGACGGGCUUGUUCUCGGUGGCCUCGGCUUGGGAGGCCUUAAGGAGGAAGAAGGCCAGAGUCAAUUGGCAUUGUUUCAUUUGGAGUAAUGCCAUCCUGCCUCGCUACCAACUGAACCUGUGGCUCAUCACCAAGAGGAGGUUACCUACUCAGUCUCUUCUCAUGUCUUAUGGUAGGAUUGAUGCUGCUUCCUGCCCUUUUUGCAACGAGGUGCCUGAUUCAAUCAAUCAUCUUUUUUUUGGUUGUCGCAUUACCUCGAGUAUUGCCUUUUUUUGGGCUACUAGAUGCAAUCUCCCCUGGACCAACAGGACUUGGGAGGAGACUCUCAGUUGGGCCAUUACGCUGAGCAAGGAGUUUUAUAAGUGUGUUGCCCGGUUCUCCUUUGGGGCGCUGUGUCACAUCAUCUGGAGAAACAGGAACAAUAUUCUAUUCAGGGGGGAGCCGUUAUCUAUUUCGGCCAUGAAGAAGCAUCUCCUCAAGGUUGUUAAGGAUAAGGCCUUUACCUUUGAAAAUGUUGAGGACUCUCCCAGGAACAGGCGGAUGCAACGCUCGUGGGAUGUGGACCCCAUUAUCUUCGCUUCCUCUGAUUAUAGUCUGACUUAGGCUUUUCGGUGGUUGUUUAGGUGUUUUUGCCAGGCUUGUUUUGCCGUUGGCUUGCUGUUGGUCGUUUUGUUUGCUUGUCCGCGGCUUCCUUUCACUCUUAAUGAGCGUGUUCAUUUUGAGUGUAAGCUUUUGGAGCCGUGUUGUUUGUACAGUUUGACCCCUAUUAAUAUAUUGCUUACUCUUACCAAAAAAACAAAAACAAAACAAAAUAACAUUCUCCUCUGAAUUCUGCUUAACAUCAGCAGAGCUCAUCCAUCCUUACUUUUCAUAUUGCAAUGCAUGGACUGAACCCCAGUGGAGCCGCAUCAACAAACCGAAAAAAAUAAUUACCUUUAGGGAAUGGUGCGAAAGAUUUCCCAAAGCCCAUCUUCACGACUUCUGCAUUAUCCAAGAGAACAAGACUGCCUCCAGACUCAAGUCCCCAGAAGAAAGGAACACUUCCAUCAACAUCCUGCAUGAUUCAGAGAACAGAAAGGAUUAGAUAUCGAUCACAGGUGACGGGAGAGAUUGAGAGUUAUAUCCCAGAACCAAACCAAUGAACAUUAUUAUUACUCAGAGGCCAGAAAAGCGGUUUUAGAACAGCUGUCGAAGAGCACAAAACCAAGCUUCCUGCUGAUGUCUCUCAUAACUUGAUCAGCAGGGUAAGGCCUCCGAUCCCCAGAGUCCUAUAAGCUUCUAUGAUGAUGACGACCACAUUAGCAGUUUUGUUCCAUCCAUACUGCUGCUUAAGAAGAGCAACAUUGUCUAUGUGUCCUUGGAACAAGCAGAAGAUAUUAUCGACAACCGCAAACAAUCUGCCACAGAGGGUAAGGCAUGUCAAAUCUUGAUGUGGGAUGAGCUGAUAAAGAAGAGAAGACAGUACCACAAUUUCCAUCAAUUAACAAUCCAAUAAAUUUCAUUUUCUGGCUUUCAAAUGAACUAGAGACUGGAGUUCCACUAUCUCUUCGAGGCUGAUAUAUCGAACCUUUCAAAAUAUCACAAUAAAGUCCACCAAAAAUCAGUUUGAUCUAACUGUUGCCUCUCCAAACAAUGAAAUCGUGAUUCUUUUUUUUUUUUUUUUUUUUUGUGGUUAAAGCUACCAUUAUCAAGAGAUGGAGUGGGUAUUUGAAUAGAAGAAAGAUAAACUUUAUUCUUUGACUAGGUAAUCAGUUUUUAAGUGGGUUUCGGCCUGCAUGGUUCGUUCAAAAUUUAGCUGUUUCAUUUGCAUAUUCAAACCCCCGUUUUCAAUUUAUCCUUCCAUCUAUACAAUAACUGUUAUUAGAAGAAAGAAAGCUUCUUAUUUUGAAUAUUGACCUGAACAUGUUAAAAGGAUAUUAUCCAACCAAUUCACGUACAGGAUUUCAUAUAGUAUUUUUGGCUAGGCAUGGCCUACAAUAUAGUUACUAAAAGCAAUUCUGUACAUAGAGUCAAAAGUACAAACUUUUUAAGAUAUUGGCAAGUGAUACUGCAUAUUCAAUGUUAAAAACUUAAGACUCAUCCUUCCAUGAGCCCUAAUCAAAUGACAAACAAGGGCUACUGUUACCGUGAGUACAUCCUAUAUAUCAGCAGCAAUCCUCUCUUCAUCCUUUUUCGCUCUCUCUGUAACAAAGCCUCAUUUUAUGUUUUGUAAGGUAAUGUGAUGUGAUCCCAUUGAACCACUCUCGGCUGAUGACGAACUAAACUUGCCUGAUUCAACGAGGACUGAAGUAUCUUCUUAUGAUCCUGGAAAUUCCCAUGGAAAGGCACCAGCUUGCCUUGAGAAACCACCCAGAGCUCAUCCAUGCUUCCAGAUAUUGGAUGCUCAUUGUGACUAACCUGCAAAUCAAGGUGAAAAGAUGGCUAUUAGCUGUAAAGGCAGUCCAUCAUUGGUCAAAUUGAAGUAUUUUGACAAGAAAAUCAAUCUCACCAUCAGACAUCUUCCUUGGAACAAGACCAGACCUUGAAUGACCGCCUCAACCGCAUCCAUAUCCUGUAGUUUGGGAUAGUAAAAAUCACAGAAUCAUACUCAUCAAUCCUUAGAAAAGAAACUAGCAAUUUACAAAGAUAAAACUUUAGUAGUCAUAGGUCAUUAAAGCAGAACUUAAAGUCCACAUUUAUAAACAAAGAAAUUUCCACAUUAAUUAUGUGCAAAACCCAAUGCUGCCUAUAGGAUAUUGGAAAUACUUGGUAUUAUGGAUUACUGCAAGACAAAAACACUGAUCGUGCUAGCAUACAUGUUCGAUUCCCAAUAUUUUGCCAGUUGGAACAAUUAGAUUGGUUUUGUUCCAUUAUAAGUUAGAUGUAAGAUGGCAGAGGCUCCCUGUUGUGAUCACUAAUUGGUUCCAUUGUAUUUUCAAUGUAAAGACCAGAUUCCUAUAAGUUCAAAUAGUGCAAGAACAAUAUAACAAGCUAACUGAAAAAGUCAUCGAAGUCACAAAAUGAAGAAAAAUGAGCAAAACUUACCAGAUGAUAGGAUGGCUCGCAAGCAAAACUAUGUAUGGUUUCUCGAAAUUUAUCUUGGCAAAUGCAACACUGCUUUUCUGACCACCUAUUUAUAUAGGCAAAGCACCAUGUCACAUGUGCAAUAACAUCCAAAAAGCCUCAGAGAAAGUACACAGCGAGCCGCAAUUUAGAUCACAAAUUAACUAACCUCUAACAAAGCUUCACAAUCUCACAUGAAAAUUGCUUCAACCAAAAAUUUACAUAUGCAACAGUAGCAUAGAGGGUGGAGAUAUAUCAGACAAGGUUUGCAUUCGUCAAAGUGCAAGAUUUCCAGUUACACCAAACAAACACAAGUGAGCUUGAAACUUUUGUUCCAGAACUCCCUAUAGGAAGAAUGCCACAUAAGAAGGUAUUUUCAAAUAAAAUAACAUUGUGAAUAUUGACAGUGCACCUAAUUCUUUCCUCUUGCAAUCAAAAGGCAAUCACAUUGAAGUACUUUUCUCUUGCAAACUUCGCACAAUCGCAAAUUGCCCUUGCCAACGGCUUUGGCAAAAAUAUCCACCAAAUAUCACCAUGGCAAAGCAAGACUACCAAACACAACAAUCAUCAGUAUGGCCAAUUGAAGUCAUAGAACAAGAAAAAUCUAAGAUGAGAGUGGAUACAAGAGAAACCGAUUCCACACGAGGUCCACAGCAUAAGACUUCACAUCGGUAGCGAUUGAUUUAGUCAUCUAGUCAUAAAGAGAAACGACAACAAUGACUACCGCUUCAUUCAUUCAUUCUACCUCACACAGCACACAUUUCUUUCGCAGACAUUGUCAACAAGAGACGAAGAACAUAUCAAUUGUCAACCAAACAAAAUGUGCAGGACAACCUUGGUGAGAUAAAAAUGGAGAAGUCACAAAUACGACCUAUUUUAAUUUCACAAUAUUUACUCGAUUGCUUUAGGCGGUGCUCAAGAUUGGCAAAAGGAUUUUACCUGAGAACCCCUGCAGAAUGGCUGCACAGCAAAUCGAGAGCGUCGAUUGUGGUCAAAUGCUAAAGAUCACCUUCGAUGUCCUCCCCUCGAGCAGAAAUAUACCCUUGCGAAAUCAAUGGCUGGAUGAGACGAAGUAUGAAUUUUUCCUCAUUUUUUAUCGCACUCUUCGGAAUGAAGCGAUACACCCAAACCUUUCAGCGAUUUUUUUCAUGUCCCUCCCCAAAUCAAAACGAGUAUGGAAAUACGAUAUCCAAAAAUUAAAAAUACAAAAAUUAAAAAUACAAAAAUCUGGGAAACAAGGUCCCACAUACCUUCAGUGAAGAAAAUUAGGGCUAGAUCUGCAAAUCAAAUGAUAUGUUCGGGAUGUGAGCGACCUUGUCCCAGUCCUCGCCUGCUUGUCUUUUGCAACUCUCCUCCAAUUCUCCGCACUUGUAGAUGUUUAGGUGAGUAAGGGAUGUGAGCCUUCAUAUUGCUUGAGGGAAUGAUGUCAACAAGUUGCACCCUCUGAUGUCGAGAAUUUGAAGUGAUUGAAGGGCCUCGAUCUGCUCUGGUAUAUCCUUCAAAUUUUGGCAUCCCCAAAUUUCGAGACGCUCGAGAUUGCGGGCCUGUAGAAGCCACUGUGAGAGUGAUGUCAAUUUGGGAAGCUCAUAGAUUUCCACGGAGCGGAGACAGUGAAGGCCUCCAUGGAAAUCCAAGAUGAUGUCGCGGCUUUCGUCUUUGGAUAUAUCCAGCUCCUCACAGUCCCGGAUAGAGAGAUCCAUGAGGCUCGAUAGAUGACGCAUACCUUGCGAGAGGGAAGUCAACUUAUGACACCACGAGAUGGUAAGAGAUUCAAGGGAAGUGAGACUUUGGAAACCCUUCACAGGCAAACAUUUCGGUAACUCUACAUCCUCGAUAUUCAGUCUCUUCAACUUAUUAAGGCCAAGCAUCAUCUGAUUUAUCAACAACGCUCCGUUGGCACGUGUCAGAUCGAACUCCUCGAGAUGAGGAGUUAGUGGCAUGGCUUUUAAUUUUUCACAGUCCUCGAUCUCCAAUUGCAAUAGAAUAGGAAAUGAUGCUGGUGAAGGGGAUGAUUGGUCCGACUCAAUAUAUUCCAAUUUAGGCAUAAGAUAAAUAUGCAAAGACUUGAGGCAAGGUAGUUGGUCCAGUGGGGGGAGACGUUCACAUCUUUUGCAAGCAUUGAACGAUACGUCGACUAAAUGUGGCAAGAAAGAUACAAGGCUAUCCAUCAUCCACUUGGGAAAGCUCUCACCUUUAUAUUCCCAGAUCUCCAACCUUUGUAGAUUUGAGGGCGGCUUUAGUCUAUCAAACAGCACUUCAUCUAUUACUACAUCAUCAGUAUUGAACUCGCCCCAACUAAGUACCAAAAAUUCCAGAGAAUGCUUCUCCAUCAAUAUCUCAUCCUCGCAUUUGACUUCCGCAUUUGUUACGUAUCCCAAAUUUUCAAUUGAAAGUUCUCCCCGGAGGUUAUUAAGCCCCUUUAGCUCCCCAAGUCCGCAAUAAUUCUUAGCACGAGCUUUAUCUUUGGGCAAAAUGAAGUUCGUUAGCCUAUGCAAAGAACUCAAUUCCCCUAUUCCACAUGGCAAAUAACUAAGUUUCAAACAACCAUCUAUGUCCAGAUUUCGAAGGCCGACUAACUUCCUUAUAUCAUUUGGCAACUCUUCGAGGGCAUCACAGAAAUUGAGAUUAAGUGUUUGCAAGCUCUGCAAUUUCGUAAUGGAGUUAGGAAGCCUUUUGAGUGUGCGGUUGUAAGAGAGAUCGAGAUAAGUGAGAUACUUUAACUUAUAAAUGGACCUUGGCACCUUCUCGACCUCUGUGGCUUGCAGAUCCAAGAUGCGCAACCUCUUGAAAUUUUGAAUUAAUUGGAGUAGGUCUACUUCACUUGUUAGAUUUCUUCCCCAACCUCCAACCCUACGUUUGGUCGUCCGGAUUUCUAAUCGGGAUAGGAUUGGAUAGGAUAGGAUAUGAAAUCCUGGGAUUUUUUUAUAUCCCGUCUAGUAUUUGGUGAAUCGCAGUAUUAAAGUCGGAUAUGUUCACAUUAUGUACAUUUUUUUUUAUAUAAACGACAUAUUAUUAUAAAUGAACCUAAAUGUUCAUAAAUAAAGACGGUGAAAAUAUCUCGUAACAUUAUUCCUUAAUUUAUUUAUUAUUUAUUAUUUAUUUUAUUUUUUCUCUUUUUUUUAUAUUAUUUUCAUUAUUAUUUCUUUUUCCCCUUUCAUCAUUCUUUAAUAAAAAUUUAUCAAAUAGUAAACUGUACUAACAUACCUAAAAUACAAAAAUACCUAAAAUAUAUAAUAAAUAUAAAUAUUUAAUUUAUAGGUUGAAUGUUUAUUAUAAAAUAUAAUUAAAACUGAAUAUAGAAAUUAAAAUAAGAUUAAUUAAAAAUAAAUUUUUAUUUUCUUAAAUUAGAAUUCAAAUAUUAUUUAUAUUGAAAUAUAAUUUCAAUUUUUUUAAUUUAAUAAGUUUGUUAUUCAAGAAAAAUAACUUUCCUUUUAUGGACAUUAGAAAUCCUAUCCACCUUUAUCCCACCUCCCCCAUGGGAUAAUUUUAUCCUGUCUAUAUCCCCCUUAUAUCCGACUUUAUCCUAUCCCGAGUGAGCACCAAACGUAGGAUAGGAUAAAUUAUAUCCUAUCCCGAAUUUUAUCCCGACUGCCAAACGCAGCCCAAUAGUACACAAAAAUGUUCUCAACACACUUGGUUUCAAGCGUGAGAUUGGAAGUUCACCCAUCAAAUUGAAAGUCAAACCAUAGGAUAUAUGACGAGUUCUUUCAUUUAUUUGAUUUAUGUCAUCCCUUGCCACCCAACACUUGUUCCUUGCAACCGAGCAGGCUAGAUCAUGCAUCAAAUCAUGCAUCUUGCAAGUUUCCUCCUUCGUGUAUGGAUCUUUUUUUAAAUCUUGGAAGAAGUUACUCCAACAUAGAUCCAUGAAAUAGUCAUGACCAAUGUCUUCUAAAAGCUUACCUGAAUUUGAUGGCUGGAUAAAUCCUUCUGCCAUCCAAAGAUCAACUAAAGUAUGCUUCUUUAUCUCAAAAUCUUUGGGAAACAAUGAACAAAUGGUGAAACAUUGUUUCAAAUGUGAAGGAAGAUGGUCAUAACUUAGCCUGAGAAUAGAUAUUAUAUCGUCUUUCAUUUGAGACACUUUUGGGAGCUCAACAUCUUUAAAACGUAACCAUUCAUCUUUAGUUUCCUUAAAGAAUAAUAACCUCCCAAUAGUUCGAACAAUCAAUGGAACUCCAUAACAAUUUUUAACUAUCUCUUUACCAAUAGCUAGCAUGCUAGGAUCUUGUCUAGCCCCUUCUUUUCGACCAGCCAUUUGCAUCAACAAAUCAAGAGAAUCACUUUCAGAUAAGCCAUUAAGAAGAAGAGGCGGAGCAGGGGAGGUGAUCUUUGCAACCAAAGGAAGGCGUGUAGUUAUAAGGAUCUUGCUUCCUCUAGCACCUCCCAUCAAUAAUGAUUUCAAGUCGGGCCAUGUUUCUAAUUUUGCAUCCCACAAAUCAUCCAAAACUAAGAGAUAUCUCCUUUUAUCAAUUAUUGUCCUAAGUUUACUUUGCAACCUAUCCAUCACAUUGUGGUUUGGUGGUUCUGUCUCCUCCACACAAACUAUGAUAUCUUUCACUAUUUUUAUCAUGUCAAAGUCAUUAGAGACACAAACCCACAUUUUCAAGUGAAAAAUGUUUACUAAUCAUCUCAUCAUUAUACACAAAUUUAGCAAGAGCUGUUUUUCCAAGCCCACCAAUACCAACUAUUGGAAGGAUAGAAAUGUUCUCUUUCACAUCCAUAUCCAGUAAGAAUUUCAUGACAUUCUUUUUAUCAUUACCUCUUCCAAUAAUGUCUUCCUCACAUAUAAACGAAUGCGUCUCCUCUCUCUUCCUCCACCCUCUCUUUGCUUGCGAAUUCAUAGGUCCCUUGUCCAAGUAGAAGUUCUUUUCAGCCUCAAUAUCUAUCAAUCUCUCCCUCACUUCUCUUAUUUUUCUACUCAUCUUCAGUUCAAAAGCAAGCUGGUUUGAACUUGAGAAAAAUGUUCUUACUGCCUUGAUCAUCUGAUUGUCGCCCCUCAGUUCUCGUUGCAUAGCUUCUAUAUUAAAUUCUUCAAGCACGUCCUGCAAGUCAUAGAAAGCCUCUUUUAGUUUCUCCACCCAAUCUUUGAUUUGGGAACUCUGGUGUUGUUGCUCUUCUGCAUCGUCCAGCACAGAAUGAAGCAUGGUGACGGUGCUCCUGAGCAUCUGAAGUUCACGCUUGAUGCCCCCCUAAAUUUCCAACCUUUCCCAGUGCUUGAGUAAUCAGAUUGGCAAGGACGCUUCCACCAAUGCUGAUGACAGCUUCUGCCAUAUUUGUUCUCUCUAUCUCUCUUUCUCUAUGGGGUUGAGAAGAUUUUAGUCCUGUCGUUCCAAGGCUAGAGUCUUCUUAGAUGAUGUAUAAAAAGUCUGUCAUUGAGAUUAAAUAAGUGUACAAUAAUAGUAGAUAAUAGAAAAUAUUUAACUGACAAAUAGUAAUUCCAAAGCAUCCUAUGUCAUGUAAGAUUCCAUCCCAUCUAAUAAGUAAGGCGAGUUCCUAUUCAUACAUUCUUCUAGAAACAUUAUGUUAGAUUAUAUUAGAUUGAUUAAGGUUUUUUUCUACCAUACUGUUAAGUAAUAUGUCUAAUUAACAUUAAGGAAAUUGGGAGGUAAUUGAGUGAUGAUGUGGUUCGACCGUUAAGCUCCAUUUUGCUGGACUUUCUUCUUAGUUUGGUUUUAAUAUACGAUGCGUAAUAAAUUAAAACGAAACAAGGUAAUCACAAUGAUCGGAGGCUUUUUAAAAAAUAAAUUUAAUUUUGUGCUUUCUUAUGUAAAAUUCAAAAUGUUCUUUAAAUAUAAAAAGUCAUUAUUCAAAUUACAUAUUAAUGUUUACGUGUUGUGAAAAUUUCAUAUGUUUCAAGACAAAAUAAUGUAAAAUGUAGACCGAGACAACAUUAGAAGAAACAAAAAUAAAAUGUAAAAGUCUAUCAAGACAAGCCGUGAGCUAAGUUGGUGAUGCUCUUGAAAUCCGCUAGAGGUGUUGGACCAUGUCGUUGUCCUUUGUACUUGUUAUCUUUUCUUUUUUCCUUACUUUUUCUCUUUUUGGGCGAACAGAAAGUGUAAGGUAACAUGAUGUUGAAGCAAAGCCACAAUUUUUCACUUCAUUGGCCGACAAAUGAGAAUCAAAAUCCACUUACGAGGGCUACACUACAUCCACCACAAUCUGCUCAAGCCCGGAAACUAUCUCAUUGCAGCUUAGAAAGUUAUCAUAGCUGUCUUGAAAGGGGCAGCAGCAUAGGGAAUGCCCCGAUGGAUGCCCACUCUCUAGUGUUCAGUGGACAAGAUCAGCUUAUGCUAGGUGAUAAAAUGUUGUAUUUUGCAAGACCGUACGUGUCAGAGAACAAGACAAAUGAAGAUAUUGAGUCUCAAGGUCUAGCGUCCCUGUCAAUUUGUGCACAAUCUCUUUUGAACUCUUUACCAAGCCCCUUUUCUUAUUAGUGUUGAACUCAAGUUCUUCUAAAUCACAUCCAACGAGUACGAUAAAUGUGUCCCAAUAUAUGAACUAUUUGAAGAAAAAGUACAUAAAAUGGUCAAGUCCAUAUAAAUGAGUAAUAGCAUGAGUCUUAACAUGAUACUAAAUAUUUCAUGAAACAUUUGGCAAGAUGCUUGCGAUCUUUAAUAAGGAUAGCAGGUGUUGCAGGUUCUUAUUCACUGAUAAUCACAAUUAGUUGUUGUAUUUGGUCACUCCCCCUUCCAUGUUAGUUGCAUGUUCAUAAUUUCUAUGGAUGCUGAUUCAAUUAUAUUUAAUUCCAUUUCUUUCUAACCGCCCCUUGCUCUACCAGGAUUUUCAAAAGAAAUCAUGUGACUCUUAGUAUGUACGUAACGAUAAUUGUAAUUUUUCAUGUGAGCAGUAACUUUUUACAAGAUAUUCGACUUCCAAUAUAUAAAUAAGUACUCACCUAUUUACAUUAUUAAUAAUCACAAAAGGUAACCUAUCUACAUUGAUUCUUAUCGUCCCAUGUAUUUUAAAAAAAGGACAAGUUUGAAAAAAAAAAUUGAUGAUUUUUGCAAUGUAAUAGUAAAUCUUAAUUUGUAAGACCAAAAAUUUACAUAAAGUUUGUGACCUAUUCAUGGGACGAGUAAGUUUUGCUUUAAAAAAGUAAUUACCACCGACCCUGUUUAAUAAAAGAAAAUAUAGGAAUUGACAAACAAUAUUUAAGCCGCCCACGGGUCUAGAAAGUGAAAAUUAAAGUUUUUUUUUUCUCAGCAGCUGUAAAUGAAAAUUUCUCCCAAGGGGGCUAAAGAACAAAUGAGCCCGGCUUUUUUCUGAUGAUGCCCAUUUUCCUAGUUUCAUCACAUGCUUUCCUUAGAAAACAGUGCACGUUCACAUGCUUUCCUUCUAAUACAGUGCCGGUUAACAUGCAUGCCUCAGUUGUUUUGUAGUAAACACCGGAGUAUUAAGAUUUAAUAGAACUUGGAUCUUGAGAAGACGGAAAAUUAUCAUAGCUGCGGGGGCAACUUAAAAUCUAACUUCACAUGGUAAAAAAAAUUUAUGUUAACGAAUUUCUGCUUUUGUCUGAAUAAAAAACUGAAGAAAAGAUUAUGAAGUAUAAAUUGUGAAUGAAGUAGUAUGAAACUUUUGUGGGCAAGAAAUUGCAAAUUGGUAUAGAAGUACGAUGUGCAGUGGGAUAACAAAAAAGCAAGCUGAUGAGGAUGCUUUUGGACUUUAGAUUUUAAUAUGCGGAAUGGUAGAACGGCUCUUAAAGUUGGCUAAUCUUCUCUUGUGAAUUCCAUUUAGAAUUGGAAAUUGGGACAUGUUACAUCUUCUUAUGUGCCCAAUUUGAAGAAGGCUAAAUAUCCUAAAUAUGUAAAUCUUUACACCAUAUAAGUCAUUUUUAAAUCCAAAUAAAAGACUUCGAUAGUUUCCCUAAGCAUUCUUUGUUUCAUCAAUUUAUUCAUUUUUAGAAAAGCUCUCUGGUUAGUCUCUAUAAGAAAGAACGAACCUGGCUAAUAGUGGGCUGAUCAACGGCCGACCAACAAAGGCGAGGCCCCAACCGGCUAGAUCAAGAGAGGAGGACAGGAGACGGUGUCGACAAGAUCAAGAGAGAGAUGAGAUGAGAUGGCAUGGGCAAAGACUCCAAGAAUAGAGAGAUUAAGGGCACUGCUAGGGAAAGUCAAGAGACGAAGAGUCUGAGAGAGAGGCUAGCUAUGGGAGUGAGAACUAAAAGAGAGUAGCGAGGGUCUUUAAAUUUAAAAGAUUUAGCACUGCUUUGAACUGUUCCAAAUAGGGGUGAUUGGUCCAGGGUGGGUAGGUUAUAGACCUAGACCCUGUACCCGACCUUAUUAUAACCGGUUCCCCUUUUUUGGACCAUGUACCCGACCCACCCUAUUUUUUCGGUCCAGUUCUAGGGUUAACCCUGUUUAUAUUGGAACCUGUUUUGCAAUUGCCCAUCCUAUACGACUUCGAAUUUUAUAUUAAUACGCGAUAAAACAACAUAAUUCUUCUAAUUUAUAUUGAAACAUUAAGCACUUGUAAUUAAUAAGUAAAUAAACUUUUUGACUAAACAAAAAACUAAGGAUUCACAAGGCAAAUUAUCAUAAACAAAAUCAUAAGGAAACUAGCUCCUGAUAUGACGCCUCCCAUGAUCAAAUAUAUUCUCUAGGGGAUAUCCAAGGGUGAUUCAUUCAUCUCAGGAAGUCACUCCGAAGCUGUACGUUUAAUUUAAACAGAAUGUCUUGAAACCCAUCGAUCGGACAUCACUUAUAUAAGACAAGGAAGAAAAUCCAGUGCAGCUGAAGCCAGAUAAGAGAUUUCAGGAGCUUGAAAACUGCAGAUCCUACACCAUCAGUCUCAUUAGCAUUGUUUUCAAGAUCCAUCUCUCGAUUCCAUGACAGAAUAUCACUACAAUCCCUGAAAACCUAUACCUCAAACAGUUUACUUGACUGCUUUUUCGAAAACGUUGAUCCAGAGUUUUCCAUUGGCAGAAGAUGUAGCAUAGUUUACAUGAGACAAUCUACGGUGACUACUACCCCGAAUGAUUUUAAGUUUUCUUUUCAGCCUGCUUCAAUGGAGAACCAAACACUUCACCAUGAAAACCCAAAUCUGCUACGUUGAUUAAUUAAAUGGCAAAUUAUCAAUGCUUGGAAGGCAGGACCGAACCAUUAAAGCUAUUAGUAGACGCCCACUGAAAAGUUCACGACACAGCAGGCAAUGAUCCGUUCAAUGAAUCCAAAGCGCAAUACUUAUCGUUCAUACUUCAGAACUGGGAGUUGCAUCGAGACAAGCAUUGAUUGCAAGACAAGCAUUAACAAGGAAAUGGUUUGCAACAGCAUGACAAUUUCAAUUAAACUCUCUUGCACAAAACAAAAAUCAUUUUCAAUUCAAGUACAAAAAGAACCAAAGUGAACAGCAGUUUAAUAAUUUUCACUUCAAAUGUGUCAAUAAAUCAAAAACAAUUAGACAGACCCAUUUGGAAAAUUUGGUUUGGUACAGAAGUUUUUUGAGCUUAUAAGAAAAAGAGAGAGAGAGCAGCUUAAAGGUGCUUGAAACCUACAUAAACAAAUUGAAAUCUUAAAACCUAGCUUGAUAUCUACACAUCAAAGGCUAUCAUUGAGCUGAUCUACAUAGACUAUUUAUAAUCCCACUACCUUCCCCAAUGAGAAUAUUUAUAAUCCAAACUGUAUGGCGAUAUAUGUGGUAAAUUAUUAAAAUGGGACUCCAUCCAACCAAAUUCAACUACGUAACAAACAUUGAGAUUCCUACUAAAAUCAAUAAUCUUAAAGCAGUCUCGUCUUCCAAACCAACUCAAAAUUUGGAGAGAAAUAUAUAGAAAGUUGGGAAACCAAAAACAGUUCAUGCUGUCUAGAAGACCAGCUCGUGCGGCUUCAUGCCCGCCUUCAAGGAGAACCUGGCAGCUAAGUAUGUCUUCAAAUAAAGUAUGAAGACACAAGAACAUAAUANNNNNNNNNNNNNNNNNNNNNNNNNNNNNNNNNNNNNNNNNNNNNNNNNNNNNNNNNNNNNNNNNNNNNNNNNNNNNNNNNNNNNNNNNNNNNNNNNNNNUUUCUGUUCUUUUUUUGUUCCAGGGAACAUAAAUAAAAAAAGUGUUUCUGUUCCGGGGAACAAUUUUUGAACAAAAGAACGCGUUUGGUAACGUUUGUUCCGGGAAUAAAAAAUGAAUAGAAACACGUUUGGUAAAUUUUAUUCUUUUUUGUUUCUUUUAAUUUUUUAAACAUUUUUAUUUUAUUUUUCAUUUUUUCCUUUCUUUUUUUCUUUUUUCUUUUUUCGGCCGGUCCCCGGCCUCCGGCGACCGGCCGACGGGGCCGGCAGCCUCGCCCAGCCACGGCGAGGCUCGCCGUGGUUGGGCGAGGCUCGGCCUCGCCGGGGGCCGGCGACGCUCGGCCUCACCGGAUCUGGGCGAGGCUCGGCCUUGCCGGGGACCGGCGACGCUCCGGCGAGGUCGCCGACCCUCGACGGUGUCGCCGGCCAAAGAAAAAAGAAGAAAAAAAAGAAGAAGAAAAGAAGAAGAAAAGGGAAGAGAUAGAAUUUUUGUUCUUUUUUUGCUUCGAAGAAGUGUUUCUUUUCUCAGAAACAAUUUCUUUUUUUUGUUCCUAUUUCGUUCCAGGAACAAAAAAACAAAAAAAGAACAGAAACGCAACCAAACGCGUUUCUGUUCUUUUUUUGUUCCCGGGAACAAAAUCCGUACAGAAGUGUUCUAGAAACGUUUCUUUGGAGCGUUUCCAUGCACGCCCGAAAUGAACCUAGAGCUUUAUUUUGUAUGAUAAAGGAGAAAUUCAGCUUUCUGUCCUUUAGCAUCGCAGUUGAGGGGCAGAAGGAUCAGUACGAACCCAGCUUACCCGAGUUCUACGAUUUCUUCCCUCUCUCCCCUAGCUUACCCCUACUCAUUCACAAUGAGUUCCCAUAUGAACAAAAAAAUUCAAAAUUUUCCACCAAUUUGACAAGAAAUCCAGCUCAGGAAAGCACCCCCAAAGAAGAGAAAAUAUUGGCUGGGUUUUACCCUCCACGUAGGCGAUGGGUAAGACCACUCAGUGAUCGACACGUGGCGCCACGUAGCGACGGCGUCAGAAGUUUAAAAUUUUCGCGCGCCGCUCCUGAAGCCCACCACUCUGACACUCUCUCUCCUCUGUUCUCCUCUGUGACCUGUCCACUCGUCCUCUCUCUCCUCUCUCUCCCCGUUCUCCCCGUUCUCCGUUCCAUUUUGCGGGAGAACAAAAGUCGCAGGUGCUUCUUUUCGAAUGCUCUUCCCCCUCCUCUGCUCUCUCUCCUCCGCUGGCAACCCGCGACGCCUCGCCUACAAGCGUGAGCAUGUUGUUUUUCAGUGAUGUGNNNNNNNNNNNNNNNNNNNNNNNNNNNNNNNNNNNNNNNNNNNNNNNNNNNNNNNNNNNNNNNNNNNNNNNNNNNNNNNNNNNNNNNNNNNNNNNNNNNNNNNNNNNNNNNNNNNNNNNNNNNNNNNNNNNNNNNNNNNNNNNNNNNNNNNNNNNNNNNNNNNNNNNNNNNNNNNNNNNNNNNNNNNNNNNNNNNNNNNNNNNNNNNNNNNNNNNNNNNNNNNNNNNNNNNNNNNNNNNNNNNNNNNNNNNNNNNNNNNNNNNNNNNNNNNNNNNNNNNNNNNNNNNNNNNNNNNNNNNNNNNNNNNNNNNNNNNNNNNNNNNNNNNNNNNNNNNNNNNNNNNNNNNNNNNNNNNNNNNNNNNNNNNNNNNNNNNNNNNNNNNNNNNNNNNNNNNNNNNNNNNNNNNNNNNNNNNNNNNNNNNNNNNNNNNNNNNNNNNNNNNNNNNNNNNNNNNNNNNNNNNNNNNNNNNNNNNNNNNNNNNNNNNNNNNNNNNNNNNNNNNNNNNNCGCCUCCACCUCCGCCUCCGCCUCCACAGGUUGCCUCCGCCUCCACCUCCGCCUUCACAAGGGACAUCGACGACCUGAAGAUUGCUGUUACUAUCCCGUCAGUCCUUUCGGCACAAAGGUUAGUCUCAUACCGUAAGGUAUGAUGUUUAACAAAUGCUGAUGGUUCAAAUGGUCAAAUCUUAGAGUGGGAACAUGUACCUGCUAUGAUAGCUGGUAUAGUUUCUUUGGUUUGCACUUGAGUUUCCUCUUUGCAUGGUGGGUUCUUUCUGUAGAUUUGAGGUUUGUCACCAUGUUGCCCAUGAUAAUUCUGUUUUCUUAAUGUUCCAAUUAAAGAAUAAUAACAGAACAAGUGCUGGUUUUCUCACUGAUAAUUGUGUUUAUUUACUGAUCAUGUGUGCCUAAUAGGUUUUGUCUAGUAGCAAAAGCACCUUUGUGAAAGGAGCCUGUGGAGUUGGCUUGGCUUUUUCAUGCCAGGAUCUUCUAACUAGGACCGAAGCUGCUGAUAAUGCUGACAGAGAUUCCUACAAGAUGGCUGAAGUUGAAUUAGUAGGGAAUAUUAUCCGGUCAUUAUCUAUCACGAUCUUGGAACUUACAAAAUCAACAUCCCAGAUUCUUCAAAGUCUGUGUGAACAUUUUCCCAAUGACAUGUGUGAGAAUGGUAGAUGUCAGAAUCCUCAUUUCUUGAAUGAGGACAGUGAUCUUGUGGAGGAAGACACCUGGGUCUUGCUGGACUUGUUCUUGGUUUGGGCAGCUCUAUUAGUGCAGUUUACCGAAGUGGGGAAAUUGAUGUGACACUGAAGAUAAAGGACUUGAUAACUUCAUGGAUUCCACACACGGAGCCAUUUGUUUGGAGCUCUAACUCCUGCAAUGAAGGAUCUGAGAUGCUUCUAUCUGUUGGAUCUUGUCUUGCACUUCCCAUGGUUGUGGCUUUCUGCCAGAGAGUAGAAUUGGUGGAUGUUGGUGAACUAAACCAACUGAUGAAUAGUUAUAGAGAACUUAUAUCUGAAUUAUUGUCUGUUAAAAAGUCAGGUGCAUUCCACCAGAGCUUGUUGAUGGAAUCAUGUGCUGGAGCAGGGAGUCUCCUUGCCUGUGUUGUGAAGGAAGGCAUAGAUUCCAUUGAAGUUGGAUGUCUGAAAGAAUUACUGGAAUUGUUGAGGAGAUAUUAUUCCAAUCCUCAGCCUCCCUCCACUUAUCUGGGAGGGAUGCUUGGAAUGGUUAAUUCUUUGGGUGCAGAAGCUGGGUUGGUUCUGAUUCAUCCCUUAUCCUCCAAUUAUGGUCGUUACAGGCUGAAGGUGAUUGAGGAUUUUCCUCAACUAGCCUUCUAAUCAUUUUUCAUGGUCCUUGUUUCUUACAGUGAAAUGUUCUCUUGGCAGGAAUCUUCUCAUAUAAUACGUGCGCUUCUUUCAAGUCCUGUCUGCGAGCCUUUGUUAACAUCAUCAAUGCAAGAGAUGUUUCUUGUUGCUCAACAUUCUGAAGAUAAUCAGCUGCAACAAUACUCUGCGUGGGCACAUUCUCUUUUCUUCGACAUAGUCUGUGGUCCAAGGAAGUAAAUUCGGAUGAUCAUAUUCAGACUGAUACCACUGUCUCAGAAGUUGCUUCUCAAAGUUUCUCCAAUGACAGUAUAGUCAUUAAACUCUGCUCAUGGUUAACGAUUGUGAAUUCAUCAAAGAUGAAUAGGCCAAAUACAGAGGUGAUGAGCUCCAUUUAUUGUUCUUGUUUCAGAAUUCUUCAUGUUGAAAGUUUAUGUCACUCUAUAUAUGAUGAAGGACUCACUAUAAAACUUUAGUCAGAAGUGGUUAUCAUGGACUCACAAAAUCAACUUAUAUUUUGCUUUCUGAAGUGUUUGAUUUUCCCUUGUUGGUGUAUUUUCUGUUGUUGAGACUCAAAAUUCUUGAAUAGAACGAAAUGAAGACAUGUCCAACAUAUGGUUCAAGAUGACCUAUAACCUUGUGAAUGCAGUGGUGAUCAAAAUAGAAGUUACUAGAUUUGUUUGAUGGGUUUUCUUUAACAUUUGACUUGCAGACACAUGGAAUGUGCUUGUUGAAGUUGUAGCAACUUUACAACGUGCUGAAGGAAGCAUUAAAAGACAGUGGCUUGUUUAUGCAGUGGAGAUUAGCUAUGUCUCUAAUUUUCCCUCUACGGUAUGCAACUAUUCCCAUACUUUUUGACGCAUUACUAAUGAAAUGGAUAGGGCAUUAACUAUUGCUUCUGUUCAUAAGUUGUACGUGUCUCGGUUUGCUUGAAGGCUUGUCCAUACCCAGCAUGUUAUAUUAAUUGCAAUUAACAAUGAUGAAUAAAAAAUGACUUCAAAAGUAUUUAAGUUUUGACUUAUAAAUUAGAGUCAAACAACAAAAGAAGUCGGUCCUGCCUUUUUGUUCCCCCUUAACUCUCUUAGUCCCAUUCUAAUUAUCGAUUGAAGGUACUCAAGUAAUGUGAGUUGAAAGAGAUGCUUUCUUGUAUUCAGUGUGUUGUACUGCAUCGGGAUUAUGAGUGAUGAUGCUUAAGUGUUUAGUAAACACACCACUAGCUCUUUGUUUUCAGGACAGGUUUGCCUCUAUAGUAAGAUGUUAAGUUUCCAUUUUAUUACCUCAGCUCUGUUGCCUCGUGAUAAAAUGGGUUUCUGCUCAUGUGGAAAGAUGGAGCAAAUGGGAUUCGCUUAUUUGUGUUGCUGCUGUAAGAUUACAUGUCUGUUCAUCAUGCUUCUAUGUAACUUUCUUAAUCUCUUGCAGCCAAUGCAAUUUAUUGGCCUGCUCUCAGGCAGUUGCUGCAAAUACAUGCCUUUGUUGAUCCCGGAUCGCUUCAGUGUCUUGUCUCUCUGCUAAGGUAACAAUGGUAUCUCAUAUUUGAUUAGUUUUGUGUUGGUUAGUUAAGAAAGGUGAGAAUAAAUUCCCAUCUCCAACAGCUCAGUUUCAGUGAGGCUUUAUGUUUUGUCUCCUUGUCUAUGAGAUUCAUUUUGCUCUAUUGUAUAUAUUUCAUGGCAUCCGAGCUGUAACUAGUCCAAUGGGGUGUCUACUUAUUGUCAAGGUACUUCCUUUACUUUAUCCUAGAGUAUUUUGGCAUACAUGUAAACUUGUGUAUACAAGGGAAAAACUAAAAAUUUUGUGAAUGGCACUUUCAUUGCCACGGAAAUUCCGAGAGUUUAUGCAGUUCUAGCAGCCGCAUAGACCACAAGUACUUAUUUCCCUGUGCUAUGACAUCUGUCCAAAACAGAAGAUCUAACAGAAAAAGGAUUACAAUCUCCCUUUUGCAGAAUUAUACAGGUGAUCGCUUGAACUUUGGAUUGGCUGCUGAGCUGGCUAAAUCUGAAGGUGGAGAUAAACCAGCUCCUGAGCCUGAUCAUCAACACCUUCUACAGCAACAAGGAGACCUUCCUCCACGAGCUCAUCAGCAACUCCUCUGAUGUACGUCUCCUCCACCUCGCUUUGAAGUACUAGGUUGCCUUGUUCAAUGUCUUUUGUCUGUUAGGUGUUCGUAAGGGCUUGCAGGCUUGAAGAUUAGAGAGAUUUAUGUUUGCUUGAAGUAGUUGUUCGAUGCCUAGUGAAGACUUAAGCGUGUCAUUUUUAGUUGAUUGGAUGGCUCUGCCUUCGUGUCAUUUUUAGUUGAUUGGAUGGCUCUGCCUUAGGCAUUGUUGAGAAAUAAUCGUGAUUGAAAUGCGAUAUUGUGAUGCUGAAGGUGAUAUAUUGAUUCUGAUCUGUGAUCGGUUUGUGUGUGCUUUAGGCAUUGGAUAAGAUUAGAUAUGAGAGCCUCACGGACAAGAGCAAGCUCGAUGCCCAGCCUGAGCUGUUCAUUAGGCUGGUGCCGGACAAGGCCAACAAGACCCUUUCGAUCAUUGACAGUGGCGUUGGCAUGACUAAAGUAGGUAAUGUAAUUGGCUGACAGAGAUUGAUCAAUUUUCUUGCUCACGUCUUUUGGCUAUGGCUAUGUUCCUACGCGAUAACGGUUACUGUUACGUUGAGUUCAUUUAAGUUGUGAGACUGUUGGUAGAUAUUAACGUCUGAGAUGAAUUGGACAGAUCUUGUGAACAACCUGGGUAAGAUUGCGAGGUCAGGGAUGAAAGAAUUCAUGGAGGCAUUGCAGGCGGUAGCUGAUGUGAGCAUGAUCGGUCAAUUUGGUGUCAGUUUCUACUCUGCUUAUUUGGUGGCUGAGAAAGUCAUUGUGACUACUAAGCACAAUGAUGAUGAGCAGUACAUCUGGGAGUCCCAGGCCGAUCGUUCCUUCACCAUUACAAGAGAUGUGAGUGGGGAGCAACUCGGCAGAGGGACCAAGAUCACCCUCUUCCUUAAGGAGGACCAGGUGAGUUCAUUUAUGGUUGCUUUUAUGAAUUCGUGGAGAAGAUUUGCAUUGGUUUUGGAUGAUACAUGAUGCUGUCAGCGUCACGUCUCUGUUUUCCUCAGCUGGAGUACCUGGAAGAAAGAAGGAUUAAGGACCUUGUGAAGAAGCACUCCGAGUUCAUUAGCUACCCCAUCUAUCUAUGGACUGAGAAGACAACCGAGAAAGAGAUCAGUGAUGAUGAGGACGAUGAGCCCAAGAAGGAAGAGGAAGGAGAUGUUGGGGCCGUCAAUGAGGAGAAGGAAGAAAAGAAGUCCAAGAAGAAGAAGAUUAAGGAAGUUUCUCAUGAGUGGCAGCUCAUCAACAAACUGAAACCCAUCUGGUUGUGAAAGCCAGAGGAGAUCACCAAGGAGGAGUAUGCUUCCUUCUACAAGAGCUUGACCAAUGAUUGGGAAGACCAUCUUGCCGUGAAGCACUUCUCUGUUGAGGGGCAGCUUGAAUUCAAGGCUAUUUUGUUCGUCCCAAAACGUGCUCCGUUCGACCUCUUCGAUACUCGCAAGAAGAUGAACAACAUCAAGCUCUAUGUUAGGAGGGUUUUCAUUAUGAACAACUGCGAGGAGCUCAUUCCAGAGUAUCUGAGAUUCGUGAAAGGAGUUGUUGAUUCUGAUGACUUGCCCCUCAACAUUUCUCGUGAGAUGCUGCAACAGAACAAGAUUCUGAAGGUCAUCAGGAAAAAUCUUGUCAAGAAGUGCAUUGAGAUGUUCAAUGAGAUUGCAGAGAACAAGGAGGACUACAACAAAUUCUAUGAGGCCUUCUCGAAGAACUUGAAAUUGGGUAUCCAUGAAGACAGCCAGAAUAGAGCUAAAGUUGCAGACCUCCUCCAGUACCACUCGACAAAGAGUGGGGACGAAAUGACAAGUCUGAAGGAUUAUGUCACGAGGAUGAAGGAGGGUCAGAAGGAUAUCUACUAUAUCACUUGUGAAAGCAAGAAGGCUGUAGAGAACUCUCCGUUCUUGGAGCGGCUCAAGAAAAAGGCUAUGAGAUGCUUUUCAUGGUGGACGCAAUUGACGAGUAUGCUGUAGGACAAUUGAAGGGAGUAUGAUGGAAAGAAGUUGGUCUCUGCAACCAAAGAGGGCCUGAAACUUGAUGAUGAAAGCAAGGAAGAGAAGAAGAAAAAGGAGGAGAAAAAGAAGUCCUUUGAGAACUUGUGCAAGACAAUGAAGGACAUUUUGGGAGACAAAAUAGAAAAAGUCGUGGUAUCGGAGAGAAUUGUGGACUCUCCCUGCUGUUUGGUGACGGGAGAAUAUGGAUGGUCUGCAAAUAUGGAAAGGAUUAUGAAGGCUCAGGCUCUGAGGGACAACAGCAUGAGCUCUUACAUGUCAAGCAAGAAGACAAUGGAGAUCAACCCUGAUAAUGGCAUCAUGGAGGAGCUGAGGCUGAUAAGAACGACAAGUCCGUGAAGGACUUGGUGAUGUUGCUGUUUGAGACUGCUCUUUUAACAUUCGGGUUCAGUCUCAAUGACCCCAACACUUUCGCAGCAAGGAUUCACAGGAUGCUGAAGCUGGGUCUGAGCAUUGACGAGGAUGAGACUGCUGGUGAUGAUGUUGACAUGCCUGCCUUGGAAGAGGAUGGUGCUGAGGAGAGCAAAAUGGAGGAAGUGGACUAAGCUUCUGCGACAUCGAAGUGAAUUCCAUUUUGUACUAGUGCCAUAGAAAGAUGAGGGGUGUGUGAUAUGUUAAUGGAUAUAGUGCUUCUAAAUUGUUACUUCUAUUAUUGUAUCCAUAAGGCUUAUCAUCUGAAAGGAGUUCGAUAUUUUGUGCUACCAGCAGUGUGUAAAUGAUUUUGUUUGGCAGAUCUUGUUAUCGUGUUUGCGAUAGAAUUUCAGGGUAACAACUCCUUAAGGCGUCAUUGUUGCGUGAAUUGGACUUGGAAAUUUAAGAAACUCUCAAAGUUCGGUGCAUGCAGAGUCCCUAAGGGCAUGAGCCUAUUCGAACAGUGAGUGUGGAAUGGACUCAAACAUGGUGGAAGAAAUACAUAGCACUCUUUUGAGGCGACAGCUUCUUGAUCAAUUAUCUACCUACUCGUUCCUUACAUGUGCAUGGCAUUACCCACGAAAGGGUCCCCCUUCUCAAUAGUAGGAAGUCACGGUUGUACUAUUCUGCACCAAAGUUUGCGCAAAGAAUGAAAGAAAAGUUUACAUAGUUCUGUCCGUUGGCUUUAACCAUGUUUGGAUUGCCUCAAUAGAAAUGUGAUUGGCAAUCUCUACUGAUUCUGUAUGUUCAGGACUACCAAGCGAGCAAAAUAUAAGUAUGUAUUACAUCUGAUCUCCGGAAGAAACUCCUGAGUCACUCGUGCAUACAUGUAAUGUAAAUUGAAACCCAUAUCUUCAUGGGCUUUCUAGUUCAGCAUAAGCUCGUACAUAGCUCAAUGUUAUUGCCUUCCGAUUGAGAAAACGGAAGUAUAAUACAAGAAUGCGGGAUUCCGAAAUAGGUGUAAUGUAUUCCAUGUGGAUUAUCUACCUCCAAAUGAUGGAUUUUAUGUGUAAUCAAGCCAUCUUCAGUAAAAACCAGAAGCACAUAGCCAGGCAUUCCGAUGAGGUGCAUCGUUCAAAAGAGAGAUUCUAGUUAUAGCAUCUCUUGCAAAACGAGCGCCCUGUCCUGCAUUGAGCAUUGUUGCAGAAGUCUCUCUUUGGUUGUCAUCAUUCUGCAUAAGACAAGACGAUCGAGAAUCAAAUCACUCAGUUUAUGAAUCAAAUUGAUUCAGAAGCAAAAUCAUCAAGAACAUGCAUCUUCUUCUAACUGUCCUUCGAUUAUUAAGAAUAACGAGGCAUUACUUCAACAAUUAUCGAGUAACUUUACAAAUAGUCAUUACUAUGAUCCACAUUUAACCUUGUUGUCUAAGAAAGAAUAACAAGAAAACGUCUGUUGCUUUCCUAAGGGGAAAAAACAUAACAUGUGCGGCCAAGAUCAAAUUCUUCGGUUUAAGGCCCUAAAUCUCCCAAUAAUUACUAAAUUCCCACCAUACAAUCUUCAAGAAAAAGUAGUUGAAUAAAAAAUGACAUAAACAAUCAAAAAGACAUGGAAAUCACGUUGACCAUUUAGUAGUAGCCCAUAUAUUACGGGCAUAUGCUGAUCUUAUAUUAACAGCAGCAGAGCCAAAGUUCGUAGCAUCAAGCCAAAACGAAAAUUUGCUUGAUCUUUUAUCAAGGUCCAGAUGUUGGAAGAUCUUGCUUCUACAAAGGGACCUCGUGCAUCAAGUUCAUAAACAAGUAGCUGGCAGUCUUACAUUUUAAAACUUCAAUUGUAACAAAAAUAAUGAGUUACAACACCAGUAGAUGAUAAAAAGGACAAGAAAAUUUUCCACUACACUUAUUGUUUUAUUCUAUUACACCCUUGGGAUGAUACAAAAUACAAAAGCCAAAGAAUAAGCCAAAACAGAAAGCCAAUUCAAAAGCAUAACCUGUGCACAUCAAGCGCGCGGAACAAAUUUGAAUUUUGCAUAUUCAAGAGAAUUUCAAAGAACAAUNNNNNNNNNNNNNNNNNNNNNNNNNNNNNNNNNNNNNNNNNNNNNNNNNNNNNNNNNNNNNNNNNNNNNNNNNNNNNNNNNNNNNNNNNNNNNNNNNNNNUCCCACUCUGGUCAAUAGAAAUGCGACUUCCCAGGACACGUCGCCGACCCAUUCAUUUUUAUUGCACAUGCGAAAGCGAAACAAAUCCCUGACAAUAUUUAACUUGGGAUAGAAAAGCAGGCAAUCAAUCACAACCAAACAAGCUUUCUAUAAACACAUAGGUUUAUAUACAACACUGGAUUGUCUACAAAAUAGACAGGCUCAACAACUAGGGAACUGUCCUAUGACCAACUUGUCAGACACGUUCACCGAUUCUUCAGCCUCCACCUUUCGAACUCCAGGACUUCCGGUCCUCCACAACUGUCAUCUAGGGACUUGAAAUAUUAUCCCACAACCGGGAUGAGACUACGUCUCAGCGAGUCCUACCCUCUAAAACUCAAUUAGGAAGAAAAUACGCCUCAAGGCGCUCUAGCCACACAAAUAGGAUAAAGGGCUUACCUCGCCUCAGUCCCUUUCCUGCACGUCAGUACAAUUCAUAUUCAAACAAUGCUCGCACAAGCUGAAACUACCGACACUUAUAUCAGUCUAUCAAUUCAAUCAAUCCAAUCAUUCGCAAUGAUUCAAUUCCAUCAUACUAUCUAUCUUUCCAUUUCAAUCCGUACUAUCUAUCAACCAUUACUAUCUAUCAUUCAAUACCGUCUAUCAAACCAAUCGUUAAUACGACACAUGUGAUGUUGCUAGUUAUAAACACCUAGAGGGGGGGUGAAUAGGCGCACAAACAAUUUAUCGAUAUACGGAAGCAAUUCUUAACAAAUUGAAAUACGAUCAAGGUAGAAAGAAAGAAAUUGGAACACAUGAUUUAUAGUGGUUCAGCUUUUCCAAGCCUACGUCCACUCUUCCGCACUGACAGCCCACCGGCUGGAUUUCACUAUGAUCAAAAGAGUAGUUACAGCACAGCUUUGCCUUGAUUCCACAGUGUAGAUGUACUAUCACACCUCCUCAAGGUCUCUCACAAAUAUAAACUCUCUUUUGUAUACAAGUAUUCGCUCAAAGGAUUUAUCUAAACAAAUAGGAGCUUCAGACUUUGGAAUUCUUCUAUCGCGCACACCUCGAACAACUAAGGACGUCUUCCUUAUAUACUCCUUUAUGCCAUCAUACCCGUUGGCACUUACCAAAGGAAUUCCUCCAAUCUGCCCGUUGGACGGAAUCAAUUAGGAAGAUCGUUCGAGCUAUUAAAGGAACGUGUUGAUAGCCCAUCAAUCCUGUUCGCCCAUACAAUCAGGAUCUCGGUUUCCAUAAGUAGAACCUUUCGAUAAUAUUUAGACAAUCAUCGAAUCUUCAGUCAUUGAAUCAAACUUGAUCAAUCAAAGGAUUCUGAUACGUCUUCUCCAGCCACGAGAUCUUCUCCAGAUGAUAAGGUUAAAUCCUGAACAAAACAUCUAGUUCGGGAUAUCCUUUCUUCAACGGAUCAGAGACUGUCAAUGAGGAUAGACUUUGAGUCUUGAGUCUGGCUGUCCGGAAGUCUUCAGACUUUAACUAACAGAGUCUGCAGACCUUCAGACUAGACUGAUGGAAACGUUUUGUCAACUUCAAAACUCUUCAUGAGGAUUUCUCCAACAACAUGCUCUCCAAAGCUGUAAUAUAUAGACGGUAGCUCGCACAAGCUGUAUAGAUAGAUAGCUCACCAAAGCUGUAAUUGAUAGAUAGCUCGCACAAGCUGUAUAGAUAGAUCGUGCUCGCACAAGCUGAUAAAACGAUCUUAGCUCACCAGAAGCUGCCGCAAUAUUCAAUAUAGUAUACUAUAGCUCACCAGAAGCUGCCAUAUAUAUAUGCAUAUCAUAAUUACUCGCCUAAGCGGAUACAUAUAUAUAAACCAAUGCUCGCCAAAGCUGAUCAUUCAAUAAUAAACCAUAGAACUGGAUAUUCAAUCCAAUAAUAACCAACGAUUCAAACUAGUCAUACAAACCAAUUACGGUGCUAAAAGCCAACACCGGGUAUUUUCAAGUUAAAUACCACAACUUCAUCAAUAUCACUCAAUUCCACACUUUUGGAAUAAUUAACCAUAAUCAUCAAUAACUCAAUUUCUCAAUUUAAGCUUACAAUUAACACAAACCGACCACACGGCUGCGAUCAGCGCGAAAUUCUAACGACCGGCCAUCUCGGCAUAAUUUUCGAAAUUAUUAAAUAAUUAAAUUUAAUUCCGAAAAUUAAAUAAUUAAAUAUUAUAUUAUAAUAAUAUAAUAUAAUAAAAUAAUAUUUAUAAAUUCGAAAUAAUUAAUUAAUUAAAAGUAAUUAAUUAGGGCUUAAACAAGAUUACAAUAAUUUAAUCAUACAAUUAGCCCUAAUUAAACAUCCAUUAAACUAAUCAUGCAACUAAUCUAAUUUACAUUAAAAUAAUCUAAUUUAGUCACAUAAACCUAAUUAGACUAAAGCGUCAUUAACUCACUAAGCAAGAAUUAGAGGAUAAACUCACCGGAUUAACGUUCCGACGAGUCCACGGCGAAGGCAACGCCAAGGCGGGCGAUAAACCUCAAGGCGGCGACACCAACCAAGGCCGGGAAGACACCUAAAACGGGCCUUGAAGACCUCACGGCUUUCUGGUUUUCUGCUUCUGCUUCUGAUCUGGGUUGAACUGCAGAGAAGAAACCAGCAACUUCAACGGCGAAAACGGGCCGAUCGGAGCUCCGGCAAGCGGGUGGUUGGCAACCAGCGGCUCCCGGGGGUCUUGGGGAUCUUAUAGGAGGUUGGGAUGGGCAAAGGAAGGGUCGGAAAGGGGUGAAACAGCAAGAAAACGCGGAACAGGCGGAGCAGGGCGGAACCAGACGGUCCGGCGAGCGGCAGCUUCUCUCAGGAUUUCGGGACGACCGGAGAGUCGUUCCGGCGAGCGGCUGGAUGCUCCGGAACGGGCUGGAUGUCUUCGUCACGGACGUGGGUGGAGAGUUCGCUGAUUCAUCUGAUAAGUCGACUUUUAACUCGAAUCUUUGGCGAAAGGUCAGCUGGAGCAGAAACUGGAACGAGGAGAAAACAGGGGAGGAAAACGGCCGACGAUGGCCUUCCGGGCGUGUGACGAUGGAGGGGCUGCUGCUGCUCGGUUCCUCUGGUUUUUGCUGAGCUUCUCUCCUUCAACAACAAUGGAGAAAGCCUUGGAUUAAGGGAGAAGAAGCUGCUGAAGAGUGGGGGGUCUCCUUGGGCUCUCUAGAGCUCAACAUUUGCCAUCUUCUCAUUGGCUUUGCCCCCACCAUGACAUCACAUGACAUCAUCCACUCUCUCUCCUCAAUCUUCCUCCACAACCUUGCCAAUAGGUGCAAAAUAGCUCUCCCCCCCCCCAUGGCAUACGAAUUUGUUACAUUUCCCUAUUCAAUCUCAAUCAAUUUCAUCCAAUUCUCAACUAAACACAUCCAAUUGAAGCCUAAUUAAAUCCAUCAAGGUAUCCUCGUCCGUCUCAUGACUUUUUCCCAUCAAAUGAUCCAACUUGCAUCCCGAAGAUUCAAUCAAAAACGACCCUCUGAUAAUCUCGAACAAAAACGGCAUUACUUUGCUUUUCUGCCAAAAAUCUCGGUUUGUAGAAAAAUCUUCUGGAGAUGAGUCGGCAUUCCUAAAAUGAAUUGUGACUUGACAGAACUUCUCAUUUCUGUAAUCGGGUUCAAUUUCACGGUUAAAUUCAAUCUGGCGCGACUUUAGCGCGUCCUAAUCUACCGGGUAGCUUUUAGGAAUUUUCUGUGCAAUUGACCUGUGAUUGAUUAUUCUCAAGCCACAAAGUGCAUCUUCGACACCUUGGCGACUCUCGAUUGUCGUAGAAAUCUCGAGAUUUCGAUUACGGACACAGGGUACCCAAAACGACAGAAGACUCGGUCUAGUGCCGGUCGACGAGCAUAUUGCGAUCAGGUGGAAUCACCCACACUCUAAUCACAUAUCUCAGUCGAAUCGACCUAUUACUAAUCUCUGUUCAAUUCUGACAGUGUCGUAAUGAUCCUUGCAGAUUAAUACGGUCGAGUAGCCGAUUCAUGGUCGAAUUCUCAAGUCUAUUGCGUUUAGAUUCCUUAACGGCUUCACAUGAUAGACUAGUUAUUUCGUGAGUGGCCAACUCAGAGAAGAGAGCUAUAGACGCAAAGAUGAAAUGCCCGACUUAUUCAAUUGAAACCAGAAUUGGAAAAUCGAGAUGUCACAAAAGGAUGAGACAGUUGGCAUUUGAAGGGUAUAACAAUCACAAGCCCUGCAAAAACAUGAAUGCCGUGCACCCGAAAGAGUUUGACCUACCCACAGAAAGAAUAAAAAUUUGAUUUAGUAAUUCUCAUACGCUCUUGAACACCUAUGAAAAUCAUUAGAUCUACCGCAUGCUUCUUAGUAUUCAGAUUUCCCAUUGGGCACGGACAAGACACGAGUAUAGUUCUUUGAUGGCAAAGAUAUAAUUGCUGAAUUCGGACAGAAAUCAUCCAAAUUCAAGCAUCAAAACAUCUCAGUUUCUCAACCAUUUGCCAGGUGAUGAAAAGGGCAGCUUUGCAGCUUAACGCUUAAGUCAUCAUAAAUCCGUAUCAAUAAAAAACAAACCCUCAAUUCAUCUGCCCUGAAAGGGCUCAAUGACAAGAACCAAGACCUCAUAAACUCAUGACUUCCAGCUAUUCUUACCGAUAAGCAGGAAGGGCUUCAUACUCAAACCAAUCUUACGUAGUAAAGAUCUCUCCUCAUCACUUAUGGUUUCCAGAUCAACUGGAAGGUCUGCUGAUCUAAGAUUCUCCUGCACUUUUGCUAGAGCUUUCUCAGCCCUUUUGACCUUCCCUUUAGCCUGGAAAGAAGAGGAAAAUAAAAAUGGAAAAUGUGAUAAAUAAUUAAGGAAAUGGAGCAGAAUUUUAUAGCAUAAGUUUGUUCAAUCAAGAAUAUUACAAGAGCAAGUUUCUUCUCAAGAUAUUUCAAGAGUGCAGCGUGCUUAUUGAGUGAUUCAUCUCAACGCAUUUGCUCAACAUCUUUGCUACUUAUUUCAUUCCCCCACCGAGAGGUGCCAGCCAGAGUUUCAGUAAGAGUGCCAGCAACAAGUGGGCUUUUAGAAGCUUUGAAUUUUGAUUCAAUUGCAGCUGAGGCCCUCUGACGAGCUUGGUCGUCCUCAUUUGCCUGCACAUCUGUUAGUUUUUCUCUCUUUCAGUGCUUCUACCACCACAGGAGGCAAGAAGUCAUUGCCCCUAUAAAACACAAUAUAAUCUUUGUUCCUACAAAGUAGUGUUCCCCCAGUUAAAUUCUGCAUUCAAAAUGACACAAAUCAAUAACAAGAGCACCAAAUUUUCCUUACCUAAAGAAAAAGGACGGAAUAUGCAAUACUAAACAGAAGUUGAUAUUAUCAUAAUGCCAGAACAUUAAGGUUGGCAGGAAGAAGAUGAGUUAAAAAGAACUUCAGCCUAUCGUCAACAGGAAUUAAAACCAACAGGCAAAAAUAAUGCUUGAGACUGUAUCCAAGCUCCUAGUUUCUCUCAUUGAAAUGCCCUUCUGUAACUGCUGGAAAGACCUUACAAUAAGAUAUACAAGAAAUUCCUGCUUUACUCUAAUAACAGCCACAAUCAUAGCAGAAAGUUAAAGCCUGACUACAGAUUGAAGCAAAUGAGCUAAAGCCCGCAAAAAUUUGGAAGAACUCCAUACAUUAAAUGGUUGGAUGAGACUAAAUUCACCACAUUAUAAGGAUAACAAGUCUCAAUAGAUAACUUCUUGCCUCCAAACACUCGCCGUCUUUAAGAAUUAGAUCCUCCUCCUCGCAUUUCAAGGUGUCGGAAUCCCUAACAAUUUUGUUCUGCACAUGUUCAUAAACAAAAAAGUAUCAACACAGAAGCAUAACAGAAACAUAACAUUCAUACUAUAGCAUGAGGAACUGACAGCUUAAGAGUGAUGCCUCCGCAACAACAAAAGCAGGGUAUGAUACUUACACGAGUUUCUUCAACAUUUAGUUGCACGCAAGAAUAAAAUGCCGCUUUAUCAUCCUUAUUGACAAAUUCGUGUAAUGCUUUAUCCAGAUCAUUGAAUGGAAGUAUCUCCAUUUUUUGCAAGGCAUAACUGCAUAUUAAACUAUAUACAGACCUUAAGAAAACUAAGAGACUGAUAACAAUUAUCAGCAUGUCUUUCUAACAUUCUACCCAUAACAAUAUACUCAAGGAAGCAUAUCAGUUGAAGUUAAAAUAUGUGUUUGCAACAACAAAUCACAAUGCAAAGCACGUGUUAUUAUUAUGGAUUUCAUUGGUGGCCAUAAGAGAUUUAUACAAUAUGAAAAAUACAUUUAGAAAGCAUAAAAGAAUCAGGAUUACCAGACUAUUCUCGGCAACAAGCGCCUCAAUGUUUUGUUGAUUUAGCUCCUCAGGGCGAAGUCGCUCAGAAUCUUCAAAUUGUGCUACAGAUCAGGAAGACGAACAAUUUCAAUGACAAGUCAUUUCUUUAUUCAAAGGCAAUAAGAAAGGCAUACAAAUAUUGACUUGGAAAAAGAAGGACAAAUAGUGCCAAAAACAUAGCCUACUAAAUUCCAACUCUUUGACCCGAAAAAGAAAAAUCAUCAAACUCCACUUGUCAAAAGAUCUGUACCACUUUCACUCCGACCCUUUCUUGAAGCCUUAGAGAAGAUUAAAAUAUCUUGAGGAUUAGCAACCUACAAAAAGAAAAAUCAUUACUCCUUUUUGGGUAGCGCUGUCAAAGACUACACCGUGUGCACCUUCUAGUGUGCACCUUCUAAUAUGCAUUUACCUUUCCAACAUACUUUUGUCCAAACCUUUGAGGAUUUAUCGUCAUAAAUGUGAUUGUCAAACAUAAGUAUAUGAGCUUUUUUUCUCCUAUGAAAUUGUCAAACGUGAUUGUCAAGAUGGAACAUCCAAUUUAUUAAAAAGUUCUAAGAAAACUAAACUUACAAUAUUUAGCCCAUCUUGUUUGACACCUACACUAAUUAACUCUAUAUUCUAAGGAAAUAAAAUAUCCCAAUCAUUAUCGUUUAUGAGUAAAAUGACAUAAUCCUACUACUAAUAUGCAUGGGCUAAUAAUGAGUGACAUUGGGACUAAAUUCCACAUGAAAAACAAACAGUCACUUAAUAAAACUAGAUGAACAAAUGCCUCUAGCUUUGUCACCAACCAUCUCUACCUAUUACUCAUGCUACAUCAGGCGAAGAGGAAUCAGGAGCUUUUGUUGCCGCAUUCAUUGCCUUGUAUGAGCAAAACUCUACAAAAUUCCUAGGCUAGACUGAAGGUUGCCUAGCACUUUCAGGUAUCUCUUCAUCAAAACGAUGGCACAGUUCUUUAGUGGAACACUCACGUCCGCACAUGCAUGUGCACGUCAGAAACAGCUGACUGAUUCCCUGAACAUCUUUCAUCUUCUCCAAGUUCAUCAUUGUUUAAUCAGCACUAAAUAAAAGACCGAAGGCAAAGGGACAGAUGACUUAACAUUUAGUUACAGACACUUCUCAUGGGCAUCUCGUUGAGCGAAACCAUCAAUUACAUGCCUUAAACAUCAAGCCAGUAUGAACAACAUAUAGGUUCCUAACAAUCUCACGCGAACAUUUUGGCAGCAACUACAAUAGACAAGCUCAUGUACGAUUUCAGUCACUGCCUAAUGCUAACAUAGGCCUAAUAUCGAAACCACCAUUCAAGCCCAAUCAAGUCGGCACAAGCCAUCAUACAUUACAGCUGCCGUCACGGAUUCAAAUUUCACAAGCAUUCCUAAGUCUACACUAAAUUUUCAAAAAAUAAAAUGCAUAUCGCGGCAUAGUCUGAACCUAAAGCCGCCACCGCUCUUUCAAAUAUUGCGCACCGAGCAGCACAAACCUCUGCCGACACCUGGAGGUACGUUCACUCGAUAGAGAGAUCGAAUCUCCUAGGAAAGCACAUUCACUUUCAGGCCGGUCGGUCACGAGCGAGUGAGCGGAGAAAGGAAUCGGAAGCGGCGCUCACCUGGAAUGUAGGUGUUCUUGGUGAGAAUCGGCAGCAAAAGCAGAGCCAGAACCCCAGCAACGCAACAGAUGACACUGCGAAGAAGUCCACAAGGUCAAAGAAGCGCGUGAGCUCGCGCUCGAGUCGCCGGAACAUAUUCGCCCGAAUAACAACGAGUAGAGAUAAUCAAAGACCGAGAAGCUACUGCGGUACCUGACGAGGACGCUGUGAGAUAUGAGCAGAGUCCCUAGCCGAACGAUCGGUUGAGGCUUCGGCGGAGGUGGGCAUCGGCGUCGGAGUCGGGGGCGACGGAGUCGCGAGAGGGCGUUGGGGCGGAGGCGGAGGCGGAGGCGGCGUCGUCGGCGUCGAAGGCAACCGGCUUGAGGGCCGUCGGAGUCGGGGGCGACGGACUCGCGAGAGAGCGUCGGGGGCAGAGGCGGUGUCGUCAGCGUCAGAGGCAACCAGCUUGAGGAGCGUCGGAGUCGCAAGAGGGCGUCGGGGGCGGAGGCGGCGUCGUCGGCGUCGGAGGCAACCGGCUUGAGGAGCGUCAGAGUCAGGGGCGUCGGAGUCGCGAGAGGGCGUUAGGGGCAGAGGCAGACGCGGAGGCGGCGUCGUUGGCAACGGAGGCAACCGGCUUGAGGAGCGUCAGAGUCGGGGGCGUCGGUGUCGCGAGAGGGCGUCGGGGGCGGACGCGGAGGCGGAGGCGGGGUCGUCAGCAUCGGAGGCAACCGGCUUGAGGAGCGUCGGAGUCGGGGGCGUCGGAGUCGCGAGAGGGCGUUGGGGGCGGAGGCGGCGUCGUUGGCGAGGUGUCGGAGUCGAGAAUGGAGAGAGAGAGCUCGUCGGCGAGAAUGGAGAGAGAGCAGAGGAGGGGGAGAGAAGCAGUUGUGCGACUUUUGUUGUCACGCCCCGAACCUCGAGCGCGCGCACAUCCCUCGGUGGUCGAUAGAAUUUUGCGACGUUCCCAGGUCUCGUUGCCGACCCUUCAUUUUCAUUGCACAUGCGGAAGCGAAUUACUAAUCCCCUGACCUCAACAAACAUGGGAUAGAAAAGCAGGACAACAAUUUCCAAAUCAAAAUACACAUUCAUAAACACCUCAAGCUUAUACAAAAUGUCUAUGUCAUAAAGAACUACUGAGCCACCUAUGCUCCUGACCCUUCCGCUUCAAGCUCCUGGCUCUUCACACUAGGGACCUGAAAAUGGUUAUUCAAUAACCAGUGAGAUAUAAAUCUCAGCGAGUUCCACCCCUAAGCCCCGGUUAGUACACCAACUCAACUCGGGGUAUCUAUCUAGAACUACCCCACCACAAGCAACAACCAACGGUCAAUUCGCAUACAACCUUACCUGGUAUGCCAUACCGUGCACGUUAUAACUCAGCACAAUACACGCAAUACACAUGGUCAUUAGAUGAUACAGUUCAUCAAUCACAUACGAGUCGCGUCACCAGCGAUCUCACCUGGCCAUUGCCAUACUCUGCACAUUAUCGAUUCAUGCGUGUGUGCCAUAAAUAAUGUGCUUAACUCAUGCAUGACCGGAAUCAACAAUGCAAUGAUUCUCAUGCGUUAUUGCACAUUAUCACAGUUCAGAAACACAAUGCAUAUACUCAAUGCAUAUUCCAGUUACUAAUGACCUACCGGCCAUAGCUAACUUUCCAAUUGGUGCUCAUCUACCUCAACACUCAUGCGUGCUCCAGAUAAUAAUGACCUCCCGGCCAUGGCUAACUUCCCAGUCAGCACUCAUCCGACUCCCGCCGGGCUACCGAUAAAAAGAUCGGGCUUCGUCCCACCCCGUCGGGCACGGCUACGUCUCGAACUCCCGUUCAGACGGUUUCCCAAAAAGGGACAUCGGUCCAGAGUCUACUGCGACCGGCUUCCGACUCCCCGUCGGGUACCGCCCCCAAACUCCCAUUCGGUGGCGUUCCAAUUCAAUCUCGUGAGCACACCACUAAAACUCCAUUUUUCUCAUGAUAACGGUCCACUUCCACGGUCCCUCGGACAAUCCAUUUUCCCUUCUUUGUGGAAAAACUUACAAUUCAUGCGGAUGUUUAUGCAAUAACACACUCAAUCACUUCAUAGAAUCAACACACAUGAAUUUUAGACACUUUUCGCAUUCUGGAUGAACAGUGCACGUGAACAGUACUCGUGAACAGUAAAUUUCCAGAAUUUAAUAAACUAUAAAUUAAAUUCAUAAAUCAUUAAAAGCAUUAAUUAAAGAAAUCAUCAAUUAAUUAAAGCCAAGCAUACUUAAUUAACCACAUAAACCACAUUAAGCAAAUAAAGCAAGAUUAAGAUAGACUAAUCUAAUUCAUCCAUCUAACCACCUAUCUUAGGGCUAAUACAAAUUAAUUAAAUCACUUAAACUAGAAUUAAAUCUAACUAAACCAACCCUAAGCAAGUUUAGGCACUAAUCGAAGGAUUAGGAGCUAAACUCACCCGUUAAGCGGGCCGGAAACACCGACGCGGCGGCGACGACGGAGGCGAUGCUCUGAGACCUCUACCACAACGAUCCAAGGCGGUCCCAAGCUCAACACAGCAACCACAGCUCAGACUCCCUCUGAAACUUCUGAAAAACAGCCCUGCCGGAGAAGAAAACAAGUUGAACGGCUUGGCCGGAGCUCCGGCGAGGAGGGUGGCUGGCAACCGGUGACACCCGGGGGUCUUGGGAGUCUUGUUGGAGGUUGGGAUGAGCAAAGGAACGGCUGGAAUGGAAGAAAACGGGCUGCAAAGUCGAAACAGGCGAAGCAGGGCGGAACCAGGCGGUCCGGCGACCGGCGUCUUGAGACGGCUGUACAGGACGACCGGCAGCUCCGUUCGGGACGAAACUGGGCUCGUUGGAACGUUCUGUCUCUCCCGGUCACGGUGAUAGGUGGAUUGUUGGCUGAUUCAUCCGGGAAGACCACUUUUGACUCGAUUCUUUGACGAAGGGUCAGCUGGAGCAGAAACUGAAGGAGAGGGAAAACGAGGAGAGAGAGAGAGCUCCGUUCGAGGGAGGCCGAAUGGGGGAGAGAGAGAGUGAAGUGAGGGCUGUCAAGACUCCCAUAAAUGCUUGCUUCAAGUCCCCAUGCCAAGCCAUCAUCAUUUUAUCUCUCUUCUCUAGCCUUUUCUCCCUACAACUAGGGGUAUUUUGGUCAUUUCACCUUGCACAAAUUACAAAUCUGACCUUGGGCUGAAAUUGGUGGAUGGGCCUAAGGAUUGGGCUUGGCCAUGAAUAGUAAUGGGCUUGGGAAUUGGUUGGGCUUGAAAUGGCUAAGAUUUGGCCCAUGGGCUUAGAAGAUGAAUAGUAGGUUUGGCCCAAUUGACUUAUUUGCUUGACUUAGGCCCAUUAAGCUGGCUGUCCAACUUUGGGCCUAGGGCCCACACUGGCUUGGCCCGGCCCACGACCUCACGGGCUCGCUUCCUCGGUCCGAAAAUCCCUUUUCCAAUUGCUUGGCUCAACUGGCUCUGUCGACUGCUUGAUGUAGCUUCAUCCAAAGUCCGUCCCGGACAUUCCUGAUAAUUCGAAGUCCAAUCCUAAGUUCUCUUGCCAUGUCAAUUUCGCCAAAUGCCAUUUUGGUAACAACUCAGACUGACGGAUGGCUUUGAGGAUUCACGCGUGACCGACUCGUGCCAAACCACGUUCAAGACAUCUCGACGCAUGGAUGUCUUUGACUGCAUGAAAUUACGAAGGAUAGAUUCUUAUUUCAAAGUACACGAUUACUGAGGAUCGACACAGGGUUGUUCGCGGGUUCGAUAACGGUAAACAGAAUCACCCGUCGUUCCAUUAUGUUCUGUCCACGAAUCAACUUCUAGUCGUCCUUGAAAUCGGCAUGUCUAUCUACAGGAUCGUCCUCACGUAAGUCUCACGGUCAAGUCGUUUUCCCAGGUCGAGUCCUUUAGUCGCACGAGUUUUGUCCUUAUUAGCCUUUCCCCUCAAGGUCAGUAUCUCAGGAGUGAUCAAUUCCGAGUGAAAUUAACCAACAAUGCAUUGACGAAAUUCACAUUCAUUCAUCCCUUAUAGGGCUCAAAUUUCAGGAUGUCACAUUUGUUCUCCCCCGCAACGGAACGGAACGGAGAACGGGGGAGAGAGAGAGAGGAGAGAGAGGACGAUUCGACAGGGUGCAAGCGUCGCAGAGGAGAGCAGAGCAGAGGGAGCGUCAGAGUGGUGGGCCCCACACGCGGCCUGCGCGAAUUUUGAACGCCUGACGCCCUCGCCUACGUGGCGCCACGUGUCGAUCGUUGAGUGGUCUUACCCACCGCCUACGUGGAGGGUAAAACCCAGCCAAUAUUUUCUCCCCAAAGAAAACGAGAAGAACCCAGCUUCAAUCUAAAAGAAAAUUUUAGAAAAACCGAGGAAAUUUGCGAGCUUACAGAUGAGGAAGCCGGCGAUGGAUGAAACAGAGCAAGGGGGAGCUGGCGAUGGCGCGACGAGGAAGCAGAUGAACGCAGAUGAGGAAGCAGCGCGACAGGGAGCUGGAUCUGGCGAUGGCGCGACGAAGGAAAAUGCUGUGAAGUCUGUGUGUGUGAGAGGGAAAGAAAGUAAACAGGAGACAAAUUAGGGUUUUGGACUUUUGGGUGGACUUACAAACCGGUUCCCGAACCGGUCCGGUCGAUCUGGUUCCCGGGUGGUAAUCUCUUGGAAUCGGUUCCCGGACCGGUUCAAACCGGUUCUGAAUUUUGGGAAUAGGUUGUUCUGUUGAGAUAGGUCUGUGAGAAUUCCUCCAGGUGCAUAUGGUGCAGUAUUUUUUGAUAUUUUACUCAACUUUAGGUNNNNNNNNNNNNNNNNNNNNNNNNNNNNNNNNNNNNNNNNNNNNNNNNNNNNNNNNNNNNNNNNNNNNNNNNNNNNNNNNNNNNNNNNNNNNNNNNNNNNCCGAUAGCAAUUGAUAUUAUCAGGUGAUUGCUUUUGCUGUGACACCCAUAUGAUGUUCCAUUGGCCAGAGAAUGAUAAAGAUGGUAAAGUACUUCAAAUUUUCUUACGAGAGAAAGUAUUAAUGCUUUGAAUUUGCAUGAAUGAAGCAUGUUUCCUCAUUAUGUUGUUGAAAUUCAUCAGUCCCAUUUACUACUAACCAAUAGCUAGGGGAUUUAUCUGGUUUAUGGUGGCAUAGUGCUAGUAUCUACAGUUUUAGCAUAUUUUCUGUUCAUUGAAGUAGUUUCUUUGUGCAUUUCCUGUGCAGCCCAUGCUGAGAGCCUUCUGAGUAAGAAUUGAAGAUGGUGGUAUGCCAGUGGUGGUUCUUUGCAAAGUGCACUUCCAAGUAUCAAAGUGAACGAUAAACAGUGUCCUUUUGGAGAUCCUGUUGCUCUCUUCGAAUUUUAAAUAUCAUGGAUUAGGCUAUGCUUUAGAAAUGCUUUGUACGUUUUUGUUGGAGUUGGGCUUUGUGAACAUCAAGUGCAAGAUGGUUGUUGGUUGCUGGUGACUCUUUUAAGUCCUGCGUCUGACCUUAAUGCAUGGCUCUUGACUUUAUAUGUGUCUGGUUUUUCUUUAUUGUCGGUUUAAUGUGUAUUCCUGGGCUUAGCACCAGAUAAAUGUGUGGGUUUACCCAGUGCUUGGAGUCGGUCCCAGUUCUGUAUUAACUGCGGUUGAUCUGCAAUGAGCUACUCUGUCUCUUCCUUGUUAUCGUCUGAACAUAGUCGUGUUGAAACUAAGCCAGUUCUUGCUAUUUGAUGGUCAUCUCCAUGUACAGGAACAGAUGAGGAACAUUGAUUUUGAAUGCUUGAGGGUCAGUGGACAUGAAUCAUUUGAAGCUGGGUGGUCUGGGAGGACUUGGAUGGAUCAUUUGAAUUUAAAUUGUUUGGUCAAAAUAUAGCACCGACAUCCUUUGGUGUAAGUCUGUAAAGGACCUGUUUUGGCGCCACAGGCUCUCACGAUUGUUGUCAUCUCAUCGAUGAGUAUGGAGGAGGGAGGAAGAAGGGAGAGGCGGGGCGGCUAUGGAGAUCGAACAUGGUGGAGGCCAAUAUAAGUUGUGUCGUUGCGUUAAGGAGCGGUAUCUAGAUGAGCUAGGCCCCCUUUAACCCUGCCCAGCACAUAGCCUAACCAGGGCCGAACUCAAUUCCAUCCGAAGAACUACAUUCGAGUGCACUGAAUUAAGCCACCGCGAUGACCACCACUCUACGAUGUGCCUCUGCUGCCGAAUCUCAUCCAUAUGUCUAGAGAAACACCUAUCCUGCUUCUUGAAUUUUGCGAUCUGCUAGAUACAACGUGAUUUUUAAAUUAGCAUCAGUAUCAUUUUUUAAUAUUUGUUCAAUUGUUAAAUAAGACGUUUGGAUCAGUGUGAGGAGAUGAAAAGAAAAUGACCGAGAGUAACUUUCGGUUUUGUAGAAGCAAAAUGGUAGUUACUGCCAAAUUGCAUUUCAAUGUUUGUACUGCACUUUCCAUGUAAAUAAGAAACAUUUCUUCGCCUUGCAAAUAAAAUGAACUUGCCAAGUUGCACGGACAAACUCAAGCGACCUUCUUCCCAAAGUUCUCUUAAUAAGAAAUUGGAAGAGAUGAAACUGACUCAUGAAUCGUCCUUCCCCCGCCAUAGCCGAGAUAUAAAGACGCAUGCUUAGAGUAAGAAGGCCUAUUAGAUUCAUAAUUUGGGGAAAAUUCCUUAAAUGGGAUGCCUAUUUGGCAUUAUGGGUUUUGAGACUACACCAGGCAUUGAAGGCCGCUUCAACCGCCGUAGCCGAGAUAUAAAAAUGCAUCCUUAGAGUGAGUAGGCCCGUUGGAUUCAUAAUUUGGGGAAAGUUCCUUAAAUGGGAUGCCUAUUUGGCAUUAUGGGUUUUCAGAUUGGACCAGGCAUUGAAAGUCACUUCAACCGCCGUAGCCGAGAUAUAAAGACGCAUCCCUAGAGUGAGUAGGCCUGUUGGAUUCAUAAUUUGGGGAAAGUUCCUUAAAUGGGAUGCCUAUUUGGCAUUAUGGGUUUUGAGACUACACCAGGCAUUGAAGGCCGCUUCAACCGCCGUAGCCGAGAUAUAAAGACGCAUCCUUAGAGUGAGUAGGCCCGUUGGAUUCAUAAUUUGGGGAAAGUUCCUUAAAUGGGAUGCCUAUUUGGCAUUAUGGGUUUUGAGACUACACCAGGCAUUGAAGGCCGCUUCAACCGCCGUAGCCGAGAUAUAAAGAUGCAUCCUUAGAAUGAGCAGGCCCAUUGGAUUCAUAAUUUGGGGAAAGUUCCUUAAAUGGAAUGCCUAUUUGGCAUUAUGGGUUUUGAGAUUGGACCUUGAUAUAUAGUUUGACCUUAUCAAGAAUGAAUCUUGGCCACUUGGUACUCGGCUAGUGGUAAGGAAAUUGAAUGAAGAGGUGAUAUUUAGUUUUUAGGUGUGGGAUUUGAUUUUCACGCUCUACAACAGUUAGUAAACUUAUAAGAGAGAUGAAAGUCAAAAGUAAGAUAGGCCAAAGAGUGAGAAUAAAUAUUGGAUUAGACCAUCAUUAGCUGAUGCUUUUAAUGCUACUUUACCAGCAAAGAUAUUGGAGAGACUGCUUUGUUCUAUGAUGGGACUAAAUAGGGCAAAAAUGAUCCAUUGAGUAAAGUUCUGGACCAUUUCAUUUAUUUUUUGUUGUAAACUUAAAUUGGGCUGAUGCCUCUCGUAAAAGUAAACUUUUCUACUUUUCUUUCUUCUUCCUUUUUAUCUAAUAGAUCUUCAUGGAUAUUCUCAUAUUAAACCUAAGCCUAAUUCUCAUGAGCUGCUACUCCGGAAGGCUUUCCUAGAUCAGCUUGGUCGUUAUAUGUUUGGCUUGAUAAAUCAUCAAGGUCUGAUUUUCAGACAUGUUCAAAAUAGGCGUGAAGAAUUGACCAUAGGGAAAUGUUGCUUGUAUAGUGUUUUGUGUCACUCCGUAAUUUUAAAAGGCAUCCUGACGAGAUUUUUAGAGGUACUUACCAUAAUGAAGACAUGGCAGAAUUUUUACUCGCAUAAAUUUGUUAGUGAUGUCGGAAUAUCAAAUUUUCAUUGAACAGUGAAAAAUUCCUCUUCUUCGCCGAUGCCACAAUAUUUGGCUCUUUAACAACCCUUUUUCUUUUUUGGAAAUAAAGAAAAUGGGUUUUGUGGCUGGUUAAAGCAAAUGCCUAGAGCUAAUGGUGAAAGUUAUCAAGUUUUGAAAUGGCAAUUAUAUCUUCUAUCAGACUUACAAAAGUGAUUUCAUACAUUCGAGAACAACUAUAUCAAGGCACUAAAAAACCUUCGUUGAUGCUUUCAGAAACAGCUCAAUGUCAAGAAGAGUUUCUAAAAGUUGAAAGAGACAUUUUGAUCAGAAAAACACUAAUAUGUGUUCAUCUAAGAGCAGAAUAAUGAUCUUAGUUUACAAAUGAAUUAAAUUAAUUAUAUUUCCCAACCAUUAUUUUAUGGAAACACAAUAAUGUGUGAUAUCGUUAAAAUUCACAAAGAUGGGGGCAAAAAACUGAAGUAUGAAGCCAUGGAGACUGGCCGAGUAGCAUUGAGAUGGUAGAAGGGGGAAGAAGCUUAGGUGAUUAGACGAGGGACUUACACAUCCUUACGACGUGACAUAAGAUAUCAUUUCCAAUGUUGCAUUCACAGUCAAUGCUACUCUUAGCUUCUGCUGGCGACUGUAGUGUCAACCCAACCCAUCAAUUUGAUGCUCAAUUUUUCUCAUUGAAAGUUAUCCAAGUGGUAAAUCCUUCGAAAUACUUCACAUUCUUUCUUCAAUGCAUGCAUUUUAAAGUGUGGAAGUCGCUCGAUCUCACUCUUUUUGUUCUCAAUCAAAAGCAAGGCAAUCGGUCCUGUGCUUGUAUAUGGCCAUCUCAACUCAUAUUUCACUCGAGAAAAUUUUUUUGUUUCCCACUCUAGGUUGAUUUUUGUAGAUCAUGACUAGGCUUAAAGUUGUAAGGGUGAUGUAUUUCUGAUCAUUGUGGAAUGAGUAAGUGUUUUUAUGGAUGCACAGUUUUCCUAUCAAAUUAGCAAGGCCUCCCUAACAAUAAAUAGAAUGCAUCCAUAGGAAUAGCAUCGCGUAGAAUAUUAUCUUAGUAACUUUUACCAAUUGAAAAUGACACAAGAGCUUGUUUAGUUACUUGAAGAUCGCUCCCCUUGCUAAACUUUUGAAGCUUGUAUAGUUCCAAAUACUUAGAAGUGGGUAGCUAAAGCUUUUCAAUCAAAGUUGUGGAUGCCACAUUGGUGCAACUCUCCAUCGAUAAUCCACUAACACAAUUUUCCAUUAAUGGAGCAAUGGGCUUGAAAGAUGUUCUCCCUUUACUCAUCUGUUUCUAGAGCAACUAGGAUGUGUAGAGCCCUCUAGAUUACUGGUAACUCAUCAUCAUUCGCUUGUUCCAAAACCUCAUCUUUCUCCUCAUAUUCGGACUCAAUCUGGUCAGGAUCUUGCUUGGCCUUCUGAAGUUCCAAAUCAAUCUUCUCAAUUUCUUGAAGGGUCGUAACCCUUUAGCUGGGACAAUCAGCUUGCAAAUGUCCAUAGCCGUGACACUGGAAUGAUUUUCUACCUUUUAGUUUCUGUUUUCUUUGUUACGAAUUCAGCAGACUUAUCCUUUUCUUUUUACUUUUUUUAAAGUGUUCUCGACCUUGCCUGAAGAUGCAACCUUAAAGAAGGAUGUCUCUCUAGUUGAAGAGUCGAAAAACCCUCGCCAUGCUUUAGUUGUUUCUCCACUUGGAUGACGAAUUUGCAAACAUCUACAAAGGACCAAUGUGAUUGAAGUUGAACUAAGUCUAAGUUGACCAUCUCCAUGUUUAAUCCUCCGAUAAAAUGAGUCAUGCUCUACUCUUGCAAUUCUAGAACAUCAGACCUUAUAAGGGUUGUUCAAUCUACCUAAUAUAUUCUUCAAUACUCAUCCCAUGUUACUUGAGAGGAUUCAUCUUUCGAAACAAGUACUGCGUGUAGUUGUUGGGUAAGAACCUCUUUUCCAUAUAUCUCUUGAGUUUUUUUCAAGACUUGACUCUGCCUUUUCUAUCUCUAAUUCUAUGAUUUUUUAGGUUUUCCCACCAAAGUGAAGCAUACUUUUUUACUCACAAGAACGACGAUCUUGCAUCUCUUUUUAUCCGAGUAUGAGUGGGAGUCAAAUACUCAUUCGAUAAUAUUCAGCCCAUCAACAAAGUCAUUCCGAUUUAAAGCUGUCUUCAAAUUAAGAUACCUCCACUUUAAGGUCGUGGUCAUUUUCAUGGUGCCUUCCUCUUCUUCUUCUAACUCGAAAAUUUAAAUCACUAGAGUCACCUCCAGUGUCAUUGGAUUUGUCGCAAGAGUUUGUUUGAGUUACUGGAUUAGCACGGUAAGCUCUGUGCAAUUGUUCUUGUCGUAUUUGAUUCUCCAGGAGAGUGAGGACCCUCUCAAUUUUUUGCUGGAGAUCCUCUAUAGGAUGGUCACACUUUUCGUUGUGUUCUUGCUCCAAAAGCCUCUUUAAAUCGAAUUAAUGGAAAAUGAAGAAAUCUCUCAAACUUGUACAAACAAGAGCCAAGAUACCACCUUGAUGCGUGAUAGAAAUUAAGAAAUUAAGAAAUUUGUUUUUAGGAAUAUACGUAUGGAAAAGUGUCUUCUGGAAGUGUUCUAAAUGGAAAGUGUGUUUUUGGAUGUGAUUGGAAGAAAGUAAGGAUAGAAUGGAUGAAGUUUACCAUUAAGGUAUAAAGGAAUAAUUCACUAAUCUAGGAUAAAGAACUUGAGGCUCACCACCAGGAAAUUGGAUAAAGAAUGGAAAGGAAAUUCGCUCACUAGAGAGAAUUCUAAUGUGUUGUCAAUUUCAAGUCUCAAUCCAUACAUUUGACAACCACCAUCAGUACCUUAAUAUAAAUAAGAGAAGAGAGCGGAGCCCGGGGGGGGGGGGGGGNNNNNNNNNNNNNNNNNNNNNNNNNNNNNNNNNNNNNNNNNNNNNNNNNNNNNNNNNNNNNNNNNNNNNNNNNNNNNNNNNNNNNNNNNNNNNNNNNNNNNNNNNNNNNNNNNNNNNNNNNNNNNNNNNNNNNNNNNNNNNNNNNNNNNNNNNNNNNNNNNNNNNNNNNNNNNNNNNNNNNNNNNNNNNNNNNNNNNNNNNNNNNNNNNNNNNNNNNNNNNNNNNNNNNNNNNNNNNNNNNNNNNNNNNNNNNNNNNNNNNNNNNNNNNNNNNNNNNNNNNNNNNNNNNNNNNNNNNNNNNNNNNNNNNNNNNNNNNNNNNNNNNNNNNNNNNNNNNNNNNNNNNNNNNNNNNNNNNNNNNNNNNNNNNNNNNNNNNNNNNNNNNNNNNNNNNNNNNNNNNNNNNNNNNNNNNNNNNNNNNNNNNNNNNNNNNNNNNNNNNNNNNNNNNNNNNNNNNNNNNNNNNNNNNNNNNNNNNNNNNNNNNNNNNNNNNNNNNNNNNNNNNNNNNNNNNNNNNNNNNNNNNNNNNNNNNNNNNNNNNNNNNNNNNNNNNNNNNNNNNNNNNNNNNNNNNNNNNNNNNNNNNNNNNNNNNNNNNNNNNNNNNNNNNNNNNNNNNNNNNNNNNNNNNNNNNNNNNNNNNNNNNNNNNNNNNNNNNNNNNNNNNNNNNNNNNNNNNNNNNNNNNNNNNNNNNNNNNNNNNNNNNNNNNNNNNNNNNNNNNNNNNNNNNNNNNNNNNNNNNNNNNNNNNNNNNNNNNNNNNNNNNNNNNNNNNNNNNNNNNNNNNNNNNNNNNNNNNNNNNNNNNNNNNNNNNNNNNNNNNNNNNNNNNNNNNNNNNNNNNNNNNNNNNNNNNNNNNNNNNNNNNNNNNNNNNNNNNNNNNNNNNNNNNNNNNNNNNNNNNNNNNNNNNNNNNNNNNNNNNNNNNNNNNAGUCAAACAACUUAUUCAUAAACUGACAUAGCCACCCAUGCUUACAGGUUGUGAAGUGGGAAAUGCAUUGACGCAGCAAAAAUGGCGAAAAAUCACCUAGCCUAAAAGGGGUAUGCGGGAAAUUGAGUAAAGCAUGAAGGGCUCAAAUGAAACAGAGAUUCAUCAAUCCAACAUGAUGGAGCUGCAUAUGGACAAGUUAUCUAACCUAGUGUGGCAUGCAUUUGACCAUAAGGACAAUGUCUUGCCUUCUUCAACAAAGCUACAAUGAGAUGCUGGAUUGCCCGACUUUGAAAAAGGGUGUACUUCGUUCCUAAACUUAAUGUACCUAAGAGUGGAAAUAAUACAUUGUUUCCAUAUGUGUAGGAAAUUUUAAUUGGGGCAAAUGGCCACAAAAUGAAUCAAGGGCACGCAAUGCCUGAGUCACCCGACUUCUAAAAAGGGAAAGACUCAAAUGGAAUAGAUAUGUGUCAAGUGAAUUGCUGUCAAUCAUGAGAGCAAAUUCGUCCCCAUAGCCAAGGAAACAGGAUGGAACGCAGUCAUCAGAUAUAGGGGUGAGCAUGGUCCGGGUUGGUCCGGGCCACCCCCUAACCCUAGGACCAACCCGUACAGUGUCGGUCCUCAAUUUUUAGGACCGAGGACCGACCCUAUUGAGCCUGGGACCAAGGACCGGACCGACCCAAUGGGUUCGGUCCGGUUCCAGGUCAACCCGGGACCGGAUCGGUAAUUUUUUUCAUCUUAUUUUUUAUACUUCCUAAAAAAGCAAACCUACAAAUUCAAAUUACACAUCCAUCAACAAUACGGUAUUAUGCAACUAAACUANNNNNNNNNNNNNNNNNNNNNNNNNNNNNNNNNNNNNNNNNNNNNNNNNNNNNNNNNNNNNNNNNNNNNNNNNNNNNNNNNNNNNNNNNNNNNNNNNNNNNNNNNNNNNNNNNNNNNNNNNNNNNNNNNNNNNNNNNNNNNNNNNNNNNNNNNNNNNNNNNNNNNNNNNNNNNNNNNNNNNNNNNNNNNNNNNNNNNNNNNNNNNNNNNNNNNNNNNNNNNNNNNNNNNNNNNNNNNNNNNNNNNNNNNNNNNNNNNNNNNNNNNNNNNNNNNNNNNNNNNNNNNNNNNNNNNNNNNNNNNNNNNNNNNNNNNNNNNNNNNNNNNNNNNNNNNNNNNNNNNNNNNNNNNNNNNNNNNNNNNNNNNNNNNNNNNNNNNNNNNNNNNNNNNNNNNNNNNNNNNNNNNNNNNNNNNNNNNNNNNNNNNNNNNNNNNNNNNNNNNNNNNNNNNNNNNNNNNNNNNNNNNNNNNNNNNNNNNNNNNNNNNNNNNNNNNNNNNNNNNNNNNNNNNNNNNNNNNNNNNNNNNNNNNNNNNNNNNNNNNNNNNNNNNNNNNNNNNNNNNNNNNNNNNNNNNNNNNNNNNNNNNNNNNNNNNNNNNNNNNNNNNNNNNNNNNNNNNNNNNNNNNNNNNNNNNNNNNNNNNNGAUAACUCUUAGGACCGAGGACCAACCCGCACAGUGUUGGUCCUGGAAUUUCAGGACCAAGGACCGACCCAGUCCCCUUGGGAACCGGACCAAGACCGGCAGGGUUGGGCCGGUCCAGGGUCGGUCCAGGGUCGACCCUAAACCGCUGCUCACCCCUAAUCAGAUAUGCCGUAAAAGGGAGUAUACCGUUCCUAAAAUGAAUUAUGUCGAAAAUGAAAAUAACAUAUUACGUCUCUUUUUACUUGCAGUUGAUAAAUGGGGCAAGUCACUCGAAGUAGAGUAGCUCCCACCUGUGAAGCAAGAUGAAACAAAGUCAAUUGAUUCAGCACAAAAAGGGAGUAUCGUCCCUAAAUUAGUCCAAUUCAAUUUUGGAAUAUAAGUAACAUGCCCCAUCUCUUGUAGGAAAAUGUGCACAUUGACCGCUGGAGCAACACCUUAUACCAAGAAGGCAUGCUAAGGCCCAACCAUCCAUUUUGAUGGAAUAAAUGGAGUAAAACAUCCAAGGAGCAAUGCCCUCACAUGUCAAAACAAGGAGUACCCUCUCCUUUCAUCUUUGACGCCCACUCAGAAUGAGUGAAUUCGAUAACAUCUAAAUGGCCUAUUUGAAAGCAAGAUCUUCAAGGAAAUGUUAACACCUGAGGAGCAAAAGCACAUGAAGAGGAAACACAAGACAUUUAAAGUCAGCUGCAGGAGAAGGGUAAUUCGGUAUCGUUUCCAAAAUGCCCCUCUCUAACUUCAUUAUUUGACGUAGUUCCCUUGUUUGACAGGAAGCGUUGGUAUUCGAGGAACAAACUCGAGAAAUUGAUUUAAGCAUAAUCUAUAUCGACAAAGUAAGCAUGUGGAGUUAACACAUGACAAAGUCACCUAAGUUGGCUUAAAAUAUGCGUCGUUCUAGAGCCGGUUCAAUUAAAUAAAAAAAAGAAGCGCCCCAUAGACACUACCAGCGCUUCGGCCUGGUGGUAUGGGAAUGAAUGAACGGUCCGAGAGGUACGGGGUUCGAUCCCCGGAAACGGCAACGAGGUUGCCAUGUAAAAAAAUAAAAAAAAUAAAAAAAAUUUUGCAUCUCUUAUUUUUGCAAAAAGAAGAAAAUGCUUGAACUAAUGAGACCAAAGACCUGAGAUUCUCUUCAAGCCUUAAAACAGUACGUUCAUUCCGCUAUUUGCCGCCAAAUGGUGAAAUUAACCAAGGGUAAUGUUGUAUCGUUUCCAAUUUUACAAUCCCUGAGGAUUCAUGUACUAACACAUUCCCUUUUGUUCUUCGUAGGGUCGCCUGACUACUAAGGCACAGGUAAGUACCCUUCUUCUCAAAAUCAAAUGGAAAACAAAUGGAGAAUUUCCAUCACAAAAAAGAACAUCUAGCGUUUUUCUGGAAACGAGCACAAGAAAUGGAAAUUGAAGAAAAAAAAAGUUUUCCACAAAGUUUGUAAAAAUCUUCUUUAUCUUUAAAUUGUCCAUCCAUUCAAUGGAUCACUCAUUUCGAAUCAAAAUUCUCUAUGGAGGUUAAUCCACCCACAUGAUCUCAACAAAAAUUGAAAGGCGAUGUUGCUUAUGCCAAGCGAGAAACACUUAGGAUGAGGAAAGGCAACCCAUUUCCAAAUAUGUCCUUUAAGCACUCUAGGAUUUGAGUGAAAAAGAAAACCCGUGUCGUUUAAGGUCAAUGAAUUCAUUCGCAAGCGGUACAUAAAUCAAGAUGAUAAGAGGCAUUUCUUUCCUCUAUCAUACACACUACAGGUGACAAUAAUUAGCCCAUUUGAGCCUUUUAAUGUGAAGAAUUUUCUACAAAAUACCCCUGUCAAGAACCACCCCACGAUGGGGCAAUUAUGGAGGUUUGGGUUGACAUUACUUGGAGAGGGAAGAUGAGAAAAGUUUCUUUACUCUCACUUGCAUAAAUCUUUUUGUGGUAACUUCAGGUGAAUUCUUAUGGAAGCUCGAAGCAUCCCAAGGUGAAGAAGAGCAUUCUUUUCUCUACCCAAACACUGAUACCCUUUGCUUAAACCAUAUUGAGCCUAACUAUUCAUUUCUAAAACCCGAGUGGUGAUUAUCUCCCCACAUUGGGGCAGGGCACAUGAUUUACCAAUGCAAUUGGUGUUUAUAUGAUAUGAAAAGCAUCUUGAAAGUCCCAAGAGCUCAAAAAGCUUGAAAGAACAAAAGUCAAGUGAAAAUUAAAGGGCAUGAAAAAGCAGUGUGCCUGGUAAAAGCAAGGCCAAUGCCCACAAAAAAAAAGGGAGAGAGAGUGGAAGAAAAACAAUUGCAUCAAGAGGAAUAUAUCUGUGAAAGCAAAAAUGGCAAAAAAAAUGCCUGUGUUGAAAAGAAAAUCAUUGCAAAUGCAAAAGCCAUUAUGUUAAGAUGAUUAGUCAAAGGACUUUCGAGACAAUUUGAAUUCUAAACAUUGAGCGCUUUAAAAAAAAAAGGAUGAUAUGGUAAUGAUGCCAUGAUAAUCACCAACUCCUAAAUCCCCCUUUGACAAAAAGUUCUAAGCCUUUUGAGCUAAGCCUUUUGAACCUUUCCCCAAAUCAACAUUACAACCCAUUUCCAAAGUCUCUUCAGAUUGGGAUGAUUCAAAGUGGAAAUAAGGACUUCCUAAAAAAGAUGCCGCUCGAAGAAGUGAGAGUAAGGUUGUCUUAUCUCAUCUUAAGGUUUCUUGACUUGUAAACCUGGCGAAGAUGUCGAUCAGUGAUUAAUUCAUUUCAUAGCCAAUGAUGCUUAUCCAUUGCUAAAACCAUGACCAAACCUGCACUACGGUCCUUCUAAAAGACCUCUUUGAUUGGUCAAUGUGUACUUAUUGCGAAUGAUUCAAAGCCUUGCGCAUUGGGAGAGUGAGGUUGAGUGAUCAGUUUAUUUCCCACAUGAACAGAUGGGAUCAAACAGCCAUUUUCUUGAGGAUAUGCGAGAAGCCCUUUUUGACUAGGGAUCCUUGCUUGGCAUACUUAACAAACCUUUCUCAUGAGUCAAGGUCAUUUCAACAAGGACUUCUCUCCCAAGAGAAUUUGACGAUUAAUGAUAUCAUCCGAGAGUGAUGACAGUUUUGCGAAUUUGUCAAGUGGUCGGAAUUAGUUUGAUUUGUUUAUGCAAUCAUUGCCUUCUCAUUACCAAUACACUCUUGAUAUUGUUUCGGAUGACAUAUGCUGAAAUUGAUCUCAUCUAGUAUGCUUUCGCUACUAGAAUACUUGUUAUAAUGAAUUCUAUUUGAUGUACAAUAUCCACUUCAGAAUAUUCUCGAAUGACAGGUUCCUCCAGUGAAACCACACAAUUUCAAAGGGUUCAUGGAUUAGCCUUAAACCAUGCAUUUUCAAAGGGUUCUCGGUUAUCCUUAAACCUUGCAAUUUCACACGGUUCAUGGGUUAGCCUUAAACCAUGCAAUUUUCAAAAGGUUCUUGGCUAUCCUUAAACCUUGCAAUUCUAAAGGUUCACACGGUUAGCCUUAAACCAUGCAUUUUCAAAAGGUUCUUGGUUAUCCUUAAACCUUGCAAUUUCAAAGGGUUCAUGGGUUAGCCUUAAACCAUGCAUUUUCAAAAGGUUCUUGGUUAUCCUUAAACCUUGCAAUUUCAAAGGGUUUAUGAGUUAUCCUUAAACCAUGCAUUUUCAAGAGGUUCUUGGUUAUCCUUAAACCAUGCAAAUCUAAAGGGUUCUUGGAUUAGCCUUAAACCAUGCACUUUCAAAAGGUUCUGGGUUAUCCUUAAACCUUGCAAUUUCAAAGGGUUCAUGGGUUAGCCUUAAACCAUGCAAUUCCAAAAGGUUCUUGGUUAUCCUUAAACCUUGCAAUUUUAAAGGGUUCAUGGGUUAGCCUUAAACCAUGCAUUUUCAAGAGGUUCUUGGUUAUCCUUAAACCUUGCAAUUUCAAAGGGUUCUUGGAUUAGCCUUAAACCAUGCAUUUUCAAAAGGUUCUUGGUUAUCCUUAAACCUGGCAAUUUCAAAGGGUUUAUGAGUUAUCCUUAAACCAUGCAUUUUCAAGAGGUUCUUGGUUAUCCUUAAACCAUGCAAUUCUAAAGGGUUCAUGGGUUAGCUUUAAACCAUGCUUUUUCAAGAGAUUCUUGGUUACCUUUAAACCAUGCAAUUUUCAAGGGUUCAUGGGUAAGCCUUAAACCAUACAUUUUCAAGAAGUUCUUGGUUACCCUUAAACCAUGCAAUUUCAAAGGGUUCAUGGGCUAGCUUUAAACCAUGCUUUUUCAAGAGUUCUUGGUUACCCUUAAACCAGAAAAUUUCAAAGGGUUCAUGGGUUAGCCUUAAACCAUACAUUUUCAAGAGGUUCUUGGUCAUCCUAAAACCAUACAAUUUAUGUGGUUAGUGGGACUGCCUUAAACCACAAGGUUAGUGGGUCUGCCUUAAACCACACGGUUAGUGGGACUACCUUAAACCACACGGUUAGUGGAACUGCCUUAAACCACAAGGUUAGUGGGUUUACCUUAAACCACAAGGUUAGUUGGUUUACCUUAAACCACACGGUUCGUGGGACUACCUUAAACCACACGGUUAGUGGACUUCCUUAAACCACAAGGUUAGUGGGAUUGCUUUAAACCACACGGUUAGUGGAACUGCCUUAAACCACAAGGUUAGUGGGUCUGCCUUAAACCACACGGUUCGUGGGACUGCCUUAAACCACAAGGUUAAUGGGAUUGCCUUAAACCACACGGUUAGUGGAACUGCCUUAAACCGCAAGGUUAGUGGGUCUGCCUUAAACCACACGGUUCGUGGGACUGCCUUAAACCACAAGGUUAAUGGGACCGCCUUAAACCACAAGGUUAGUGGGGACUACCUUAAACCACACGGUUAGUGGGACUGCCUUAAACCACACGGUUAGUGGAUCUGCCUUAAACCACAAGGUUCGUGGGACUGCCUUAAACCACAAGGUUCGUGGGUAUAUCCUUAAACCACACUUUUCAAAUUGUUCACAAGUACAUCCCUAGAUCACGCUCUUUACAUUAAGCUUACUUGCAUUUUCAUUUUACAAUUACAAAAACAAAAAAAAAAAAAACAAAAAACAAAAAACAAAAAAUUAGGCGUCACCUUAUAUUUGAAAGAAACCUCUUUGAGCUUCCUUCCAAAGAGGGGCAGCUGUUGACACCUAAUUUUUGCCCAAAAAUAUUUCAUUCCAGCAUACAGAUUAUCUAGGUGUUUAAUAUCGUGUUUUAAAUGAAAGAUGUUUUUCCUAUAAAAAAUAAUAAUAAUAAUUUAAAAAAAAAAGAAAAAAAAAAGAAAUCGAAAAAAAAAAGAAAGAAAAAAAAGAGAGAGCAAGUUGGGGCCAACGAUCUAAAUGUGACUAGCCAAGCCUAGGAGGUCAGAUUGGAAUCCAAAUGACAAGUUGGGGCCAAAAUGCAAUUUCCAAAAGUCGAGGGACCAAUUCGCAAAUUUUGUAAAAUUUGCGCCCGAGCCCUUAAAUCAUCAUCUUGGUCAUCAAUUAAGUUGAAAUUGAAUUUGGCCAAGUAGAAUCAAUCAAAUUGAGCCAAAAAGACCACAUUUGUAUUGAAUUUGGUAUUUUCGGAUAAGAAAAUGGCCAACUUUGAGGGUCUUUUUGGCAAAAUUGGGUGGGCACAAUUGCGAAAAAUGGUCAAGAUCUUAAGCUACUAUACAUGAGGUUGCUAAUUGAUCAGAAACCGCGGCCAAAUAGUGGAUUAAAGCACUCAAAUCAGCAGCCAAAACUCAGUCCACGAGUUGGUCUUAAUCCGGAGUUGCUGAGUAAGCAAUUUGGUGGCCCCACCAUAUCCUCCUCAGCUGCCCAACCAGCCCGAUCUUUGCACGUUAUGGAAGACCGUAUAUAGCAGUGCAAGUGGACGAAAAUUAGCCAGGGAUAAGCUUCUGACAACACCGGAAAUUCGCAGCAAAGUCCGCACACUCAACAGCUACAGAACUUAAAAAAUUGGCGAAGUCUGAAGAGUAGGUGAAGUAGCCCUGUUGAUAGGCUUGGUAGGUGGACAAAAGGCUGACCAAAAAUCCCUUAAUUCGGGGGAUAAUAUCACUAAAGCAAGGUAUUUCAUGGGAUGAGAGAGAGGAGACGAGAGGGAGAGGAGAGAGCUCGGAAUCGUCCCCCAAAGAGGCCCUCGGAAGCAACUCCAGAGGAAAAACCCAGAAAAUUCCAGAUCAACCUUCUGAGAGAAAAGUGAGAUUUGCGAAAACUUGCAGCCAAAAUUAGCCAAAACCUUAAACUAGAGAGUGAAACUUCACUCAAAUAUCUUUCCAUCCAUAGGUCGCACGUCCAAAAUGGAGAUCGGGAAGACCUCCUAAAGCCCCCCGAAACAGUGCCCUCCUGUCGGGCCAAGAAAGUCCGAAAUUUUUCUAAGUGUCGAGACUGGUUGGUCACGAGUGAGGAAAGCCAGUGUUUUUGAGAAAUUUGAGAGACAAAUGAGGAAAAUAUUGACUUUUAACCCAGACUAAAAUACAUAUAGUUUGGCGUGGUGUCAAUUUUUCCAACAAAAUACGUCUUGAAGUCUAAUGUUAGAGCUCAACGAAAACCUUCGUUGUCAGUUCGUUUUUUUUGCAGAUCUCAUUUCCAGUUGAAGAAGCCAACUUCCACAGGCCCCCGAGGAUAAUUUGUCGGUUUCAUCGGCCAAGGACCACUUGAAAAAGAAACUAGGAAGAAAGGUAAGCAUCCUAGAUGUAUUUAUUUUCGAGUUUGAGCAUGUUUUGAUCAUGAAAAUCAAGAGGAAAACCGGCCCGGAAAACUGAUUUCUGAGGUUGAAAUUUUUGUAAGUGUUUGAAAUCUCUUCAAGAGUGUUGCACGUGUGCUUCUUGGAGAGGUCGUUUUGAUGUUGUUCGGUGGGUCAUUCUCUGUGAUGUUUAUUGCAUUUGAAAGCUCAUGUUACCUACUUUCAUUCGGAUCAAGUAAUGUUUCCCUUAGAUCUCGUAUGUGAUAGGUGUUGGGGCUUGAAUAUGGGCACUCAACCUGUUUGCUUGACUUGGGUUCAAACCCAGAUUUGCAAAAUCAGAUCAAACCCGCAUAUUUGAUGACGAUUCCAGCUUGUUUUUCGUGUGUUUUAAGCUGUGUUUUUUUAUCUAUCUUACUCCUUGCGUGUUUUAGUUUAACCUUGAUGUUUUAGUUCCACAUAAUAUUGCUCAUGAGUUGAGAUUGAAGACCGCAAACAUGGCCCGAGGAAGCUGAUUGGGGCUAGUUUAAUGCACACCAAGUGUUUGACAAAAUGCUCAAACUAAGCUUCGAUCUUGAAACGGUCGAUUUGAGCUUGAUUAUUGUGAUAUUCAUGUGCUGUGUUACUCCAUGUUAGCAUAGAUCGGUUUAAGGAAUUAUUAUUAUUAUUUUUUAAAAAUAAUUAAAAAAGAGAAAAAUAUGAAAAUUUCAAAAAUAUCAAAAAAAUGUUAGAUGGCAUCAAAUUAGGAUAUAAAUGACAUAUAUGAAAUUUUCCUAAUUUUAAAAGGUCAUUUUCCUAAUUUAAUGCUAUUUUGGUAUUUUAUAACCAUUUUUGUAAAUAAUCCAUUUUGUGUAGAUUAAAAUUAUUUAGAGUUAUUUCAUGCAUCUAGAGUAAUUUCAUGCAUAUUUAUAUUUCCAUUUCGCUCACGGGGGUCCUGUCCCGGGGCGUGAUAACAAGGCCAUGUAAUAUUAUUUGCCCGACUUGUAUCGGGUCUUUCUUUUCCGCAUUACUUUCAAGUCAUUUCAAUUUCUUAAAUAUUUACUUGCGCACCGCUUUUCAUUAAUUUGAGUUUAAAUUUCUCUUCUAAAUUAUGUUAGGAUUAGUUUAGACAUUAAGGAAAACAAACCUACAAAAACAUUUGCAUGGACGCUUAGCGGUUUUAUAAAGAUUAUAAUUGGUAAUCAAGAUUGUGUGGCCAUUUAGAUGAACAACCUUUUAAGUUAGUGGUACCGCAAGGGCGUUAAUAGAAACAUUAGCGUAAACAAGUCCCCGUUCCUAGAAAUCUCUGGUUGCGUAGGAAUCGUGACAACACUCCCGUGUCUCGAUUGGUUUCUAGCCGACCCCAAUAGGCUAGUGGCGACUCCUAAAAAUAUUUAGGUUGUUAAGAACUGAAAAGAAAAUCCAACGUCGCGCGAGGUAUGGGCUUGGGAGAGCCUGUGUCUAAUUUAGGGCCAUUGGUCAGCCUCUUUAGGCAAAUACCCCUAAACCUUCUUCCUUUUCCCCCGGACGGAAAAAAGAGGUCGUGACAGUUAGCGUAUGCAAAGAACUGAUUUCCGCUAUUCCAUGUGGCGAAUAGCUAAGUUUAGAACAUAAACUUAUGUCUAGAUUCCGAAGGCUGACUAACUUCUUUAUAUCACUUGGCAACUCUUUGAGGGCAUCACAAUAUUGGAGAUUAAGUGUUUGCAAGCUCUGCAAUUUCGUAAUGGAGUUAGGAAGCCUUUUGAGUGUGCAGUUAUCAGAGAGAUCGAGAUAAGUGAGAUACUUUAACUUAUAAAUGGACCGUGGCACCUUCUCGACCUUUAUGCCUUGUAGAUCCAAGAUGCGCAAUCUCUUGAAAUUUAGAAUUAAUUGGCGUACAUCCACUUCACUUAUUGGUUCUAUUUGUUGUCUUUCUUUUCAAUAUGUAGUAGUAGAUAGAAAUGUUCUCAGUGCACUUGCUUUCAAGCGUAAGAUUGGAAGUUCAUCCAUCAAAUUGAAAGUCGAACCAUAGGAUAUAUGAAGAGUUCUUUCAUUUAUGAUAUUUGUGUCAUCCCUUGCCACCCGACACCUGUUCCUUGCAACUAAGCAGGCUAGAUCAUGCAUCAAAUCAUGCAUCUUGCAAGUUUCCUCCUUCGUGUAUGGAUCUUUUUUAAAAUCUUGGAAGAAGUUACUCCAACAUAGAUCCAUGAAAUAUUCAUGAGCAAUGUCUUCUAGAAGCUUACCUGAAUUUGAUGGCUGGAUAAAUCCUUCUGCCAUCCAAAGAUAGACUAAAGUAUGCUUCUUUAUCUCAUAAUCUUUGGGAAACAAUGAACAAAUGGCGAAACAUUGUCUCAAAUGUGAAGGAAGAUCGUCAUAACUUAGCCUGAGAAUAGAUAUUAUUGGGUCUUCCAUUUGAGACACUUUUGGGAGCUCAACAUCUUUGAAAUGUAACCAUUCAUCUUUAGUUUCCUUAAAGAAUAAUAACCUCCCAAUAGUUCGAACAAUCAAUGGAACUCCAGAACACUUUCUAACUAUCUCUUUCCCAAUAGCUAGCAUGCUAGGAUCUUGUCUGGCCCCUUCUUUUCGACCGGCCGUUCGCAUCAACAAAUCAAGAGAAACACUUUCAGAUAAGCCCUUAAGAAGAAGAGGCAGAGCAGGGGAGGUGAUCUUUGCAACCAAAGGAAGGCGUGUAGUUAUAAGGAUCUUGCUUCCUCUAGCACCUCCCAUCAAUAAUGAUUUCAAGUUGUGCCAUGUUUCUGAUUGUGCAUCCUACAAAUCAUCCAAAACUAAGAGAUAUCUCCUUCCAUCAAUUAUUUUCCUCAGUUCAAUUUGCAACCUAUCCAUCACAUUGUAGUUUGGUUCUUUCUUCCCCACACAAACUAUGAUAUCUUUUACUAUUUUUAUCAUGUCAAAGUCAUUAGAGACACAAACCCACAUUUUCAAGUCAAAAUGUUUACUGAUAAUCUCAUCAUUAUACACAAAUUUAGCAAGAGCUGUUUUUCCAAGCCCACCAAUACCAACUAUUGGAAGGAUAGAAACGUUCUCUUUCACAUCCAUAUCCAAUAAGAAUUUCAUGACAUUCUUUUUAUCAUUACCUCUUCCAAUAAUGUCUUCCUCACAUAUAAACGAAUGCGUCUCCUCUCUCUUCCUCCGCCCUCUCUUUGCUUGCGAAUUCAUAGGUCCCUUGUCCAAGUGGAAGUUCUUUUCAGCCUCAAUAUCUUUCAAUCUCUCCCUCACUUCUGUUAUUUUUCUACUCAUCUUCAGUUCAAAAGCAAGCUGGUUUGAACUUGAGAAAAAUGUUCUUACCACCUUGAUCAUCUGAUUGUCGCCCCUCAGUUCUCGUCGCAUAGCUUCUAUAUUAAAUUCUUCAAGCACGUCCUGCAAGUCAUAGAAAGCCUCUUUUAGUUUCUCCACCCAAUCUUUGAUUUGGGAACUCUGGUGUUGUUGCUCUUCUGCAUCGUCCAGCACAGAAUGAAGCAUGGUGACGUAGCUCUCGAGCGCCUGAAGUUCACGCUUGAUGCCCCCAAAAUUUCCAACCUUUCCCGGUGCUUGAGUAAUCAGAUUGGCAAGGACGCUUCCACCAAUGCUGAUGACAGCUUCUGCCAUAUUUGUUCUCUCUAUCUCUCUUUCUCUAUGGGGUUGAGAAGAUUUUAGUCCUGUUGUUCCAAGGCUAGAGUCUUCUUAGAUGAUGUAUAAAAAGUCUAUCCUUGAGAUUAAAUAAGUGUACAAUAAAAGUAGAUAAUAGAAAAUAUUUAACUGACAAACAGUAAUUCCAAAGCAUCCUAUGUCAUGUAAGAUUCCAUCCCAUCUGAUAAGUAAGGCGAGUUCCUAUUCAUACAUUCUUCUAGAAACAUUAUGUUAGAUUAUAUUAGAUUGAUUUAAGUUUUUUUUUUCUACCAUACUGUUAAGUAAUAUGUCUAAUUAACAUUAAGGAAAUUGGGAGGUAAUUGAGUGAUGAUGUGGUUCGACCGUUAAGCUCCAUUUUGCUGGACUUUCUUCUUAGUUUGGUUUUAAUAUAUGAUGCGUAAUAAAUUAAAACGAAACAAUGUAAUCACAAUGAUCAGAGGCUUUUUAAAAAAUAAAAAUAACUUUGUGUUUUCUUGUAUAAAAUUCAAAAUGUUAUUUAAAUAUAAAAAGUUAUGAUUCAAAUUACAUAUUAAUGCUUACGUGUUGUGAAAAUUUAAUAUGUUUAAAGACAAGAUAAUGUCAAAUGUAGACCGAGACAACAUUAGAAUAAACAAAAAUAAAAUGUAAAAAUCUAUCAAGACAAGCCAUUAGCUAAGUUGGUGAUGUUCUUGAAAUCCGCUAGAGGUGGUGGACCAUGUCAUUGUCCUUUGUACUUGUCAUCUUUUCUUUUUUUCCUUACUUUUCUCUUUUAGGCGAACAGAAAGUGUAAGGUAAUAGGAUGUUGAAGCAAAGCCAUAAUUUUUCACUUCAUUGGCCGACAAAUGAGAAUCAAAAUCCACUUACGAGGGCUACACUACAUCCACCACAAUCUGCUCAAGCCUGGAAACCAUCUCAUUGCAGCUUAGAAAGUUAUUAUAGCUGUCUCGAUAUGGGCAGCAGCAUAGGGAAUGCCCCGAUGGAUGACCACUCUCUAGUGUUCAGUGGACAAGAUCAGCUUAUGCUCGGUGAUAAAAUGUUGUACUUUGCAAGACCGUACGUGUUAGAGAACAAGACAAAUGAAGAUAUUGAGUCUUAAGGUCUAGCGUCCCUGUCAAUUUGUGCACAAUCUCUUUUGAACUCUUUACCAAGCCCCUUUUCUUAUUUUGAACUCAAGUUCUUCUAAAUCACAUCCAACAAGUUAGAUAAAUGUGUUCCAAUAUAUGACCUAUUCCGCAUGAGUCUUAACAUGAUACUAAAUAUUUCACGAAACAUUUGGCAAGAUACUUGAGAUCUUUAAUAAGGAUAGUGGUGUUGCACGUUCCUAUUCACUUAUAAUUACAAUUAGUUGUUGUAUUUGGUCACUCCCCCUUCCAUGUUAGUUGCAUGUUCAUAAUUUCUAUAGAUGCCGAAUCAAUUAUAUUUAAUUCCAUUUCUUUCUAACCGCCCCUUGCUCUACCAGGAUUUUCAAAAGAAAUCAUGUGACUCUUCGUAUGUACGUAGCGAGUAAUUUUUCAUGUGACCAGUAACUUUUUACAAGAUAUUCGACUUCCAAUAAGUACUCACCUAUUUACAUUAUUACUAAUUUUUUACAUAAAAGGCAACCUAUCUACAAUGAUUCUUAUCGUCCCAUGUAUUUUAAAAAAAGGACAAGUUUGAAAAAAAAAAAUUGAUGCUUUUUGCAAUGUAACAGUAAAUCUUAAUUUGUAAGACCAAAAAUUUACAUAAAGUUUGUGACCAUUCAUGGGACAGUAAGUUUUGCUUUAAAAAAGUAAUUACCACCGACCCUGUUUAAUAAAAGAAAAUAUAGGAAUUGACAAACAAUAUUUAGGCCGCCCACGGGUCUAGAAAGUGAAAAUUAAAGUUUUUUUUUUUCCUCAGCAGCUGUAAAUGAAAAUUUCUCCCAAGGGGGCUAAAGAACAAAUGAGCCCGGCUUUUUUCUGAUGAUGCCCAUUUUCCUCGUUUCAUCACAUGCUUUCCUUAGAAAACAGUGCACGUUCAUACUCUAAUAAUUUUUUCUUUUUUAAUUUAAAGAAUAUUAAUAUUCUUUAAAUAAUUUGAUAUUCGCUCUAUUUUCAUUUUCUUUUUUGGGGAUAGAGGGACUUGAACCCUCACGAUUUUUAAAGUCGACGGAUUUUCCUCUUACUCUAAAUUUCAUUGUUGUCAGUAUUGACCAAUCAGUUUCGCUACAGCACCCGCUGCUCUAGCUAAUUGUCCAAAGGGGAUCCUAUCAACUUGUUCCGACCUAGGAUAAAUAUUUCCCAACUGUUCUGGUCCAUUUACGGUUAUUGCUUUUGUGAACAUAGUAGCUAAAUAAUCCCAACGUGUCAUCCUCUAGAUAAUUCAAAUCGAAGCAAUUGGAUGUACAAAAAUAGGAAAUUAACUUCUCAUUUUUUUCUGACAGAUAAAAAAAAAAAGUAAAUAUAAGCAAGACUUUUACCCCAAGAUUGGUUGAUUAGUCAUCUUGGCUUGUUUUAGCUAUUUUUCUUUAUUUGUUUCAUAUUGUAAAUGUAUUAUCGCACCUUCCAGUACGGUUACCUUGUUACGACUUCAUACUUGAACAAAUAAAAAUUGGGAAAGUUUAAAUUGCGCAAUUGUUUACAGUUCCGGUUCACAUGCAUGCCCCAGUUGUUUUGUAGUAAACACCGGAGCAUUAAAAAUAGUAGAACUUGGAUCUUGAGAAGCCGGAAAAUUAUCAUAGCUGCGGGGGCAACUUAAAAUCUAACUUCACAUGGUAAAAAAAAAUUAUGUGAAUGAAUUUCCACUUUUGUCCGAAUAAAAAACUGAAGAAAAGAUUAUGAAGUAUAAAUUGUGAAUGAAGUAGUUUGAAACCUUUGUGUGCAAAAAAGAAAUUGCAGAUUGGUACAGAAGUACCAUGUGCGGUGGGAUAACAAAAAAGCAAGCUGAUGAGGAUGCUUUUCGAAUUUAGAUUUUAAUAUGCGGAAUGGUAGAAGGGCUCUUAAAGUUGGCUAAUCUUCUCUUGUGAAUUCCAUUUAAAAUUGGAAAUUGGUACAUCUUACAUCUUCUUAUGUGCCCAAUUUGAAGAAGGCUAAAUAUCCUAAAUAUGUAAAUAUUUACGCCAUAUAAGUCAUAUUUUUAAAUCCAAAUAAAAGACGUCGAUAGUUUUCCUAAACAUUCUUUGUUUCAUCAAUCUAUUCAUUUUCAGAAAAGCUCUCUGGUUAGUCGCUAUAAGAAAGAACGAACCUGGCUAAUAGUGGGCUGAUCGACGGCCGACCAACAAAAGCAAGGCCCCAACCGGCCAGAUCAAGAGAGGAGGACAGGAGACGGUGUCGGCAAGAUCAACAGAGAGAUGAGAUGAGACGGCAUGGGCAAAGACUCCAGGAAUGGAGAGAUCAAGGGCACUGCUGGGGAAAGUCAGAGAUACGAAGAGUCUGAGAGAGGCUAGCUAUGGGAGUGAGAACUAAAAGAGAGUAGCGAGGGUCUUUAAAUAGAAAAGAUUGAGCACUAUUUUGAACUGUUCCAAACCAGUUCUUCCAAAGGCUGGUUCCCAAGAUUUUUUCAUGAGAGCUAAUCGAAAGUUGUUGAGGUCAGUGAAUCUGAAACGUUGCAGCACGUGGCAGAGCGUGACGUGCAGCAGCGAACGGGGCUGAAAUUUCAGGGCCUAUCACUUUGGAGGAUGGUGAGUUUGAUGAUGGCAUCGAUUUUGUGAAAAAAACAGCAGAAGGGGGGCGUAAUGACACUCUAUAGGACGGGUUUGACCAAAUACGGACACCGGCAGAGCUGAUGUAAUAUUGCAACCACCGCUAUAGAUUAAAGACUUAUGCUUUGUUCGUUUUGCGGAAAAUAAUUUUCAGAGACAUAUUUUCCGAAAUUUCCGGUGUUCGGGUGGACGAAAAAUACACGGUCAAAGAAAACAUUUUCCGGUCAACGGAAAAUCCCCUCUUAAUCUUGGAAAAUGAUUUCCUGUUUUAAAAAGAGGAAAUCAUUUUCCCGGCCUCUCGCACGAGCUCUCUCGCACGAGCUCUCGCGCUCACUCUCGCGCUGCUUUUUUCCUUCCUCAUUUCUGCACUCUCUCACAAAACCUUAGGGUUUCUGAUCUCCUCCUCCUCGUUCGACACCGACGAUCGGUGAAGCAUCCCUCAUUCACAAAUGUCCUCCUCCCUUCAGUUCUCUCUCUCUCCCUCUCUCUCUCCCUGCUGCAAUGGCUUCGACGACGUCCUUCUCCGGGAUCAGCCUCUGCCCUCCCCGGCCGCUCCUGCCCACUUGCUCCAGCUGGGGCGCUGCCGCCACCGCCGCCGCGCUCCGCUUCCCCGGUGGCUCGAAGCCGCUCGGGAGGAUCCGGCUCAAGAGGGAGCACCGCGGCGGCGCCGGGAGGCUCGCGGGGAGCCCGCCGUCCAGGCUGCUCGCCGUGCGGUGCGAGGCUUCUGGUGGACGGGUGAUUGCCCCCGAUUCAUUUUCUUGUUAUUUUUUUUUUAGCGCUCCACGUGCUUGCUCGUGUGUUCGUUCGUUGCUCUGUUUUGGGGAUUUGGUUAUGCUUAUUUGGGGUGAUGCGAUGAGGUUGCGUGCGUCCAGGCUUGGUGCUAGUAGUGUUCUGUGUUCGAGUGCGUUGGAUUUUUCUUGCCAAGUUGUCAUUUUUUUCGAUAAUCCUGAAUUGUGCAAAUAUGUUGAUUGAUUGCUAGUGUGGUUGCCGUACUGCUAAAUUAGGCUGUGCAUAGACGAAGAGUGAGCUGCUAAAUGGAUGAAUGUGUAUAUGCAGCUUCUUUGGGGGUGGUGUUUGUAAUAUGUAUAAUCAGAUUUGUCCACUUGAACCCAAUAAAUUAUUGAUUUUGUAGCUUUGUCAAAUGACAGAUCACACAGCAAGAAUUUACAGAGAUGGCCUGGCAAGGGAUUGUUUCCUCUCCAGAUAUUGCGAAGGAGAAUAAACAUCAAAUAGUGGAGACUGAGCACUUGAUGAAGGCUUUGUUGGAGCAAAAUAAUGGGCUUGCCCGGCGGAUCUUCUCCAAGGCUGCAGUUGACAAUACCCGUCUUCUGGAGGCUACUGAUAAGUUCAUCCAACGGCAACCAAAGGUAUCUCUACUGAAUGACAAUGUCUUAAUGAGCAUCUCUUUUCAAUCAAUGGGUUAUUACAGCUAGAUGUUGCUAUUUUCUUUUACGAAUCGAUUAAACAUUUUCAGCAUGGGCAUUGCCUCUUGAGACCGAGUUCUUAAUUGAAGAAUAGAGGAUUUAACAUCACUUGAUGUUCUCAGCCAUUUAAAGGAUUCAAGCCCCACAAACGAUGUUCAAGAGAAUUACCUAAGUGCUGAAAUCUUAAAAAAUGUUUUCAGGUAGAAAAUAUUUUCCUUACCGAACACUGGAAAACAUUUUCCGAAAUAUUUUCAAGUUUUAGCCAAACACCGGAAAAUGACUUCAUGGAAAAUGUUUUCCGGAAAUGGCCCAUUUUUCGUGAAACGAACGGACCCUUAAUGGCGCUUCAUCAAUUUAUAAUCUCUCUAGUACCAUGAUAAGAAUAACAUGAAGAGAGAAAAUGGGGGAACAACUGUAUAUUUUUACGUAUUGAUAAACAAUACAUGAGACUUUAUUAGAUAACUAUUUAAAGUAAUAAGAUAAAUAUAAUGCCACAUAUAAUUAAUCAAGGAUAUACAUUAUUGAGGGAGAUAUAUGUAUAAUCCUGAAAAAUAUGCAAAAUUAAGUAAAUAUCCAAAUAUCAUUAACAAUUAGAAUGGGGGUUUUACAUACUAUAUACUAAAAAACAAAUGUUAAUUUGUUAAGGGCGGUGCUAUUUCCACCCCCUAAAUAACUUUAUCCAACCCCAUUUAUACUAAAAAGACAACAUUGUUCUCAAUCUUUCAGUUGCAGUUUAUAUUGAUGGCCCCUUUCCUUUUCUAUUUAGGAUAAUUACGAUAAUUAAACAUUUGAAUGUUUUGUUUUGCUUUUUAGUGUAUUAAAGCAAAGUGCAUUAUCAAAUAUUCUUAUAACGUUUUAUAUACUCCUUGUCAAAUUAUCUCGCUAAUAGUAAAGACAUUUUUUGAUAUAGUACAAAAUUGGCUGGUGGGUAAGUUUCCUUUCGUUGGGACACAACAGCAAAUGUAUAUCUUUGCAUUGUUACUUAAAAGCACGAUUUUUCAUAUGUAGGUGUUUGGCGCUUGUUAGUCGCACAAUUUUUAAUAAUAUAUACAUAUUGAUUGAUACGUAAUUUCGUUUAUAAUUUUUUUAUAAUUUGUGUUGUUGUAGAAAAAUAAAAAAAAAUGUAUAUUUAUAUUGAUCACAUGCCCUGACUUUUCACAUGUUAUUACCGUGUAGCAUCCAAAAGUAAAAGCAAAAACGAUAUGCAUAUAUUAACUAUUCAAAUAAAUAAUAGAGUAAACCGAAAAAGUUGCAAACAUAUCUUUCAGGUGGACCCGAGGCCCGAGAUCACGAUUUGGGGUGAAGAUUCCGUUGGUAUGUGGUGAAUUUGGAGUGGACAAUUGCGUAUAAAGACAGACUGGAUGAGUGCAUAGUGGGGCCCGCAUGUAUGGAGUCAUAUUGGUACGCGGCCGACAUAGCCAUAAAGCAACUUAACUCUCCACCAUGGUCACCUAUUAACAUCACUUGGUUGUUAUUAUUAUUUUUUUUUAAAUUUCUUUUUGCGUUUUGCGCCACUUCUGUCUCCUUCUCUCCUAUGUAUUUUAAAGAUGGAGACAACUCUAGAUAUUAACCACUGGGAUUCGCCCUAGUGGCCACCCUUCCAACAUGGAAGGGGGAGGUGAGGGGUUCAAAUUCCUACCUUCUCAGGGAGGAAUGGGGUGGGGACGCGUAAGUUUCAGGAGUGAGUUUCGACUCCCACGCCCUGCAAGAGGCAGGGCAAAAGUCUGAGAUGAGUGAGUUUCGACUCCCACGCCCUGCAAGAGGCAGGGCAAAAGUCUAAGAGUGAGUGUAGAGUAGGAAUAGAGUAUGACUGACAAAAAAAAAAAAUCUAGAUAUUAAAGGCCAAAUCACCUCAAUUGUCACUCAUUAAUGGCCCACCACCUCAUUUACAUAAAACUUAAUAUAAGUACCUACCUCAUUUAUUGUGAAAGAACUCCUUAAAGAUAAUAUAAGUGCACAAUAAUAAUAGAUAAUAAAUAAUAUUUGAAUGACAAAUACCAAUUGCAAAACCUAUGUCUAUAUGUAUAUAUCGAAAAAAUAUGUAAAGUAACAUGUCUGAUUAAUGUUAAGGAAAGAAAGAAUGAAUGAAGUUUUGCAAUGAUAUAGCUCAACCAUUGAGCUCUAUUCUAUCUUACUUUCUUAUUAUAUAUAUUAGCUUAGCAAUGGUCUCUUCAGCAAUGCUCCCGAGGACAACUUUCGCCAUUUUUGUUCUCUCUCUGGAUUAGAAGAUGAUUAGUCCAGUGGUUCUAAGUCCAUAGACUUCUUAGGACAUGUACAGCAAGUCUGUGUUGAAAAUAGCAUUUCUCAUCGGCCACGCAUAAUAGAAGGUGAAGCUUAAGUCCAUAAUGCUUCUAGGACCCACCGACUUUGAUAUUUAUUUCACAGGUUGGUUUUAUCUGGUAGUUUCCGAGGCCCGGAAGCAAGGGAGAGUAGGACCAAGUUGUGAAAGCAAAUUGCCUCUCCAAGGACAAACACUUCAUUUUUUUUCCCCAAGGUUUCGUUCUAUAUAUUAAUUUUUUUAAAUGAUGGAGGUCAUUGUUUAAUUUAUUGGGAUGGAUUUUGAGGUCUGACAAAGUUGGUAACAAAAAAAAACCUAGGGCAUAUUAGUUUGCUGUGAUCCAACACCGUAAAAUGUGUGAUGUGAUUAAUUAGUAACUUAUACAUGUAGAUAUAUUGAUACAUAUGAUAUACAUGUUUGGACAGAGAUUAUUUCCAUUAAAAUAGAAAGUUUUAUAUGCAUGGAUAACACCAGAUUUGUUAACAUUCCAUUGCCAGCACUACACCUCUCAAUUCAAAACUCUCCUUCAUAUCUUCACUUGACAUUAUUGGUAUUAUUUCACUUAAACCUUACUGUUUAAGGAAGUUCCCUCUCCUUGCCAAUCUUUCAAAACUAUUUGCUUCCUAUGAAUAAAAUGCUUCUAGAUUAUUUCUUUCUUCCUUUAUUUUUUUUCAUAUUCUCUAAAUAAAUGAAUAAAACUGCUUUAAAGAUCUCUCUUCCAUUACUAGACAAUAUGAAAACUUGCACAUUUAUGUAAUGUAAAAUGAUAUAUUUAAACAUUUUAUGCAUGUCACUCUUUUUUUAUAAAUUUCAAAAGGAUUCACAUGUAGGGCAAAACAACAUACACACGAUUUUUUCUAGCAUAUACAAUAUGUACAAAAUCUUUUACUAUCUCAGUAUCCUAUUACAAUUAUAUCAGUUAGUUUAGAAUACUCUUUAGUUCAAAUUUAUAGCUUUUUCUUUAACAAUUACUAUAAGAUAAGUCAUCUUUCUUAUCUUUUGAGUCUGGCGCUUAUUUCAAUCCCCCUAAUAUAUUAUUCUUCCAUUCAAUGUACACAAUCAAAUCUUUGCCAAGUUUCCUUGUGGAUGUUUUCUAAUAGUGCUUGCAAAACUGUAAGAAUUCCUAGUUGGCCGUUAAUGACAAGUUAGUGACAUCGGACCAAGUAGACCUUGUGCGACAAUAAAAUUUGUUGAAGUGGUAUGGAUUAUUGUGACAUGACUAGAAUGUGCAAAGCAUCUUUUAACAUCCUAGAAAAAUUUGGAGUGUUAAAAAAAUUUAUGCCGCUUUCUUGCUUGAAUACUCUAAUACCUGCUUGAACUAUGCAAGAUACCCUUAACAUACUUGUGGAGCAUCUUUUGUAGUGUAGACACAUUCAUCUCUGUGUAUGCACCUAAACUAUGUGCGAACAACCAGUAGCCAUUAUCAUUCAUGGAGGAUGUGAUAGUAGUAACUCUACAUAACCUUGUGCAGCAAUGAAAUUUGUAACUCUUCCAAAAAGAACGUAACUUUCGUCUUCCCUUCCCAAGAAUAUGUUUCCCGACAAUCAUUUCGACAAGCAUUUCCCUUUUCUUUUCAUUACGGAAACAAGAAAUAUUGUUUGUCCACUGGUGCUUGUUUGGUAAUAUUCAAAGAAUUUCUUCAAUUUUUUUUGUCUCGAAAGUGAAGCAAAAGACAAAAAGAGGCAAUGGCAAAGAAACUCCAAUAAAUUCCAAGAAGACCACAACUUUUGCAGGACACAAAUUGAAGUUUCUUGCUUCGCUUUUCGCAUCCCUCCUCAUGAAUCCCCAUGAGAACGUCUCUUUUUCCAUCGCUAGUAGAACUUCCAUGCAUUAUGUUUGGAUUAAUCUCUGUUGUUUUUUCCUUUUUCAAAUUUGUCUCAAUUCGAGGCAAUUUUUAAAAAAUUGCCACAUCGUAAUGAUUUUAUUGACACAAUUUGUUUACCCUGUGAAUUGGGUGAUGUGGAGAGAGUUUGUAUUGGUUUAGAUAAUCUUAGCAUCUAAUGUCUUUAUUGAUGUGGCAACAUCUCAAGAUGCCAUAUUGAACACUUAUAUGGACAUUUAACAACUAUUUAACGGUGUUGGCAUCAUGUCAACAUUUUUCGUUUGGAACAUUAACGAAGGCCUCACAUUGACCCUCAUGAAAAAUUCAGAUAAUUGAUUGAACGAGAAAACUUUAGGUACCUAAUUGUGAAAGGGCUAAUAAUACAAGUACUUGUAAUGUCAUUGUUCCAAAGAGUUUAUCACAGAAUCAUUGGUCUAGGCACAAAUCUCAAACAUACUUUUGUUUACAGAAUAUUUGCUCCACAACUCAUCCUCUCGAUUCAUUUCUUGGUUUCCCUUUAAUAAUUUUCUUUUGUAAGAUUAUUCAUUCUUUUGUGUGAAAGAAAACAGGAGAUAGUUUUGUUAAUUUCACGCGCCAAAAGAUUUCAAUGGCUAAAUGUCAAGCACAUUGGAAGACUACAAAAUUUCUCAAUGUCGAUUUCCCUUAGAUUUUUUCCUAAUCAUUCGAUCAUAAAAAUUCAAGCUUUACACUUGAAAAUUUUUAGUGGAUUAUCAAACAUUUGAUUGAAAUUAAUUUUUUUUAGUACUUGAUUUUAGUUUAGUUGGAUAUCAUAUUAAUAGUAUUAUCAUCACAUGUAACUGUACGGGCACACUUAACUUAAAACCUUACUAUGACUUCUUUACCAAUUACAUCUAAUUUGCCUAAAUAAUAUUUUUUGUAGAUAAUUUGUUCCAACUUUUCGAGAGAUCAAUUGAUAUCAUCUGGAAUCCCCGGUUUGACCUGCAAGAGACAAAAUUGAUACCACAAAGAAUAUAUUGCAGCCCAAUAUAAGCAGUUAACGACUACUUAAUAGCAUUGAUGUCAUAUAAACAUUUUUCGUUCACGAUUCAAUGGAGGUCUCGCAUUGACCCAUAUCCGAAAUGUCGAGAUAAUUGAUUGAAUGAAAAAAACUCUAGAUACUUGAUUGCCAGUUCAUAGGUAAGAAAUUUCAUGCACCUCACGAUAUGGUUUUAUUUCAGUCAAUUUGAAUGGACGUCGCUAUUAAUUGACCAAAGCGAGGGAUGGGUGCGUGCCCGAGGAUCGAGGCGUGACAGUGAUGGCAGGAAAGAAACUAAUAUAUUCUAAAAAGACCAAGACUGUUAACGUCAUUUGAUUGUGCACGUCUUUUGAUGGUGGGAAAGAAACUUUAAUAGAUUCCAAAAAGACCAAGACUUUUGCAUGUUUGUAUGUUAUGUUGGGAUUGUCGGAUUCCCAAAAACCGGAUUCGACACUAAAUCGAACCCCUAAAACGAAUGCGGAAGACGAAGCCUGGGAAAAUCACAUAUCACCGAUCCUAAAGCACACCACGGAUUCGAGCGUACAUUGUUAACCACAGAUUAAACACCAAUGCUGAAGAUUGAGGAAGAGAAACCGAUCAUGUUCGAUUCGAUGACGUCAAUUGGCCUUGAAGGGAAGACGGUGUCGCAUUUUGCGCACUUUUGCUUUUGGAGGGAGAGAGGGAGAAGAACGUACGCUCUUUUUGCCAAAAGGUACGUUCAUCUCUCUCUGUCCUCCCUUUUAUAUGUCCCCUCAAAAAUAUAAAACAUACCUCUUCAUCGUAUCCCUUCAUCCAUGGGCCCUAAUUUUGUGGGCCGGGCUUUUAGGCCCAACAUGGGCGGACGGGCCAACUUAGGCCCAUCACCUAAAACCAUCAUCUCCCACUCGCACAUGGUGGGCUGAACAGAAUUCUCUUUUACCUCUCUUCAACAUUCAUACCGGUGAAUAAUCCGUGCGACCAGCAUACUUUAAGAGCUCGUUGCCAUACAUCUGUUAGGAAUAUAUAGCAGCUCAUAAUGGGCAUCACACUCUAAGUAGAUUUAGUAUGCAGUACCCUAGAUCGAUCGAUCACAUUUAUAUCUCUCUUGAUCUCUUUUAAACAAUGAUAUAUAUAUAUAUUGUAUUCACAAUUAUAAUUAUCCCAAAGACAGUCAUAAUUGGUUAACCAGUGAAUACAAAACUACAAUGUGAUUCUCCAAAUUCGAUCUUCCUCUUUCAUUCAAACUCUCAAUUUCAGUUCAACUUGCUUUUCUAGAAAUGUCCCAUUAGAUCGAAUCAACUCAUGACCAUUGGCAACAUCCUAAGAUAGCAAACACUAAAUAGAAAUCUUGAGAAUAAAUAAGAGUCAUAAGAGGACUAAAAAAUUGAGGAACUCUUUUCCUCAAGAGUCUCACACGACAUAAAAGUUGAGAUCAAAUUUUUGCCACUCUUAUUGGUCGUCUCAUGCAUACGUAGUAUGAAAUACGUAUUACGGUAAUAACUCCUUUCCCAUGGAGCGUAUGUCUACACCUUUAAUACCGUACAGAUGAUAGUUCAGACAUACUCAAUGUCUAACUUGAGUUCACGUAUCUACUCAUUCACAAAAUUCAUUAGAACUCACAUCUGGCAUCAUAGACAGAUAAAAUAAAAUAUGUGGGGUAUUUUACUUUCGGACAUAGUAAGUAUUAUGUCCCCAUCUUAACACUCAGUUAAGGCAACGUACGUAUUUUAAGCUUUAGCUCUCGAUUAUCACCUAGAUAAUAAGCUUAAAAACAGUCUCAUCUCUAUUUAUCACACAAUAAAUAGAGGCGAUUACCCGUGUGAGUGGGCUAAUCUUAUAUCUGUCCGACAUACUUUCUCAACUUAAAGUAAUGCACUAAGCAUUAAGAUGCAUAAAGAUCAAACAAAGAUUCAUAGGCAUUAAUGAUGAAAAAACACAAAUUCAUCAAAUGUGAACACUUCAGGGAAAUUACAAUCUAGUACAUCAGACUCUACGCAAUCCCAGAGAUUUCAUAUGGCCACAAAACACAUCUCUAUGUAUUGGUUUUGUCAUAGGAUCUGCUACCAUUCUAUGCGUAAUAUGUACUGUAAGUUCAUAUCUUUUCGCGCAAUCAAAUUUUUUUUUGAUAAAAUUAUACUAGGUAUCUAUAUGUUUGGUCUUACCAUGAUAUUUUGGAUCUUUGGUGUACGCUAUUGUUGCUUGGCUAUCACAAUUAACCAAACAAUGAAUCUGCAGCACUUCCAAUAACACCUAAAUGAUCCAAUAAUCUCUUAAGCCAAACAUCUUCUUAUAUUGCUGCUGAUAAUACCACGAACUCAGUUUCCAUUGUGGACAAGGCUAUACACUUUUGUUUCUUACUGCUCCAACAUAUGGUGCUAUUAUUCGAUAAGAAAACAAACCCAGAGGUAGAUUUUCUUUCAUCUGAAUCUCCUCCACAAUCAGCAUCAGAAUAGCCUUAGAGUCGCAGAUCCUUUCCCUAAUAACUCAGCGUAUAAUCAGCAGUCCCCUUUAAAUACCUCAGUAUUAUCUUAACGGCCUUCCAAUGUGCUGGACCUGGAUUGGAUUAGUAUCUACCCACCAUUCCAACUGCAAAAACAUAUGUCAGGUCUUGUACACAUCAUAUUGUACAUCAAGCUCCCAACAGCACUAGCAUAAGGAACAUAUUUCGUUUGUUCCUUCUCUUGUGGAGUCCUUUGACACAAUCUGUGGCUCAAUCUUUCACGUUUUGCAAUAGGAGUGUCUAUGAGUUUACAAUCCCAUAUCAUUCAUCUCAAAGUUGGAAGACAACCAACUUUUGACAGUAUUGACAAGCUCCAUAUUGCUUCCGGCAAUUAGUAUAUCAUCAACAUAUAAUGAUAUGAUCACAAAUUGAUCAUUGGAUCUUUUGAUAUAUAUAUACAAUGAUCCUCAUCUAUCAUUGUAAAAUCAUAUGUCAUUAUGGCAUUAUGAAAUCGUAUAUACCAUUGUCUUGACGACUGCUUAAGGCCAUAUAUCGACCUCAAAAGUCGACAUACCUUUUCUUCUUGGCCUUUCACUAUGAAACCAGCAGGUUGUUCCAUAUAUAUUCCUUCCUCUAAUUCUCCAUUGAGGAAAGCAGUCUUUACAUCCAUUUGAUGUAACUUAAGAUCCAUACUAACCACUAUUGCCAGAAUUAUGCGAAUAGAGGUAAAUCUCACUACAGGAGAAAAUGUUUCUUCAUAAUCAAUUCCUUCCUGUUGAUUAUACACAUUCGCCAUAAGGCGAGCCUUAUGCCUUUAUAUCAAGCCAUCAGCUUUACGCUUUAUUUUGAGAACCCACUUGUUCCCAAUAGCUUUGCGUCCUUUUGGAAGAUCAACCAGUUCCAAACUUGGUUUGACUUCAUUGACUCCAUCUCCUCUUUCAUUGCAUAAAUCCAUUUUUCCUUACUAGGGCAAUUCAGAGCCUCAUUAAUAUUUCUUGGCUCAUCCUCAUCUUGCGGAGCAAUCAUAAAAGUUUCCCCUUCAAUGUCAAAACGUCGACGGUGAAUACUUUGGUGACUUGUUCGCCGUAUGGGAGAUUGUACACUUUGUACAUCAUUCCCUAUUAUGCUCCCACUAGGAUUAGAUAAUGAUAACGUUGUCUCAUCAUGUGGUUGCAAUUGAGAAUGAGUUGAAUUCAAUUCAUCACUUCUCAUAUUACUCCCACUUGGACGAACUCCACUAAUAUCAUUAUCUUAAUCCAAUGUUUCAAAUAGGGGUAAUCUUCCCUUAUUUCGCCCUUCUUAGGAAAUUCAUCCUCUAAGAAUGUGACAUCACGUGAUUAAAAUUCAGUUAUACUCCCACUUUCAUGCUCACCUAUGAACACAUACCCUUUCGAGUGUUCGGAGUAUCUCAUUAAAAUACUCUUAUUUCCUUUAGGACCCAAUUUCCCAAACUUGUGAGAGGACUAAUGAGUAUAGGCAGCACAAACCCAUGGCUUAAGAAAACUUAAGUCCGGUUUUCUACCUGUCCAUAACUCAUAUGGAGUGGAAGUAACUGAUUUGGAAGGCACCCGAUUAAGUAUAUAGGCAGCAGUUAACAACGCAUCACUCCAAAAAGUAAUAGGUAAGUUAGCAUGCGCCAUCAUGGACCUAACCAUUUCCAGUAGGGUUUUGUUUCUUCUCUCUGCAACACCAUUUGUUGAGGAGUAUAUGGAAUAGACAAUUGUCUUUCUAUUCCUUUUUCACCAUAUAAUUUUCUGAACUCAUCAGAUAAAUAUUCUCGACCUCGAUCGAAUCUCAAUGCUUAUAUUUUCUUGUCUAAUUGAUUUUCGUCCAAGUUCAUAAACCUUUUGAAACAACUUAAUACUUCAGAUUUAUGAAAAAUCAAAUAGACAUAUCCGAAUCGAGUAUAAUCAUCUAUAAAAGUGAUGAAAUAAACAGUCACAUGCUUUCCUUUCACAUUCAUUGCACCACAGACGUCAGAAUGGAUUAAAUGCAGAGGAAAUUCAGCUCUUUUACCUUUUCCAAAUAGUUUCCUUGCCGUUUUCCCUACUAGGCAAUGCUCAUAUAUGGGCAAAUCGACUUUUUCAAUGUUGCCCAACAAGCCCUCUUUGGCCAGUCUAUUCAUACGUUGUUGGCCAAUAUGACCAAGUCUAACAUGCCACACAUUCACAUCACUAUCAAAUGAAUUAGGAGAUGUGAGAAGGGAAUAACAAACAUUUGCAUUAACAUAGUCAAUAUCUAAUACUAUGAAACCAUCCAGAAAAUAACUACAAGUAUAGUAGUUUGUAUCCAAAUACAAAUCUACACCUCUAUUAUGGAAGUUCACACUAAAAACAAGCUUAACCAACACAAAAAAAAAAGACACUUAAAUUUCGACGAAUCUCCGAAGCAUAUAGAACAUCAUGUAGGAACAAGUUGCGUCCACCACGCAUGUUCAAUUGGCAGGUGCCAAUCCCUUUAACUUCAGCUCUGGAGUUGUUUCCCACAUAGAUCCAGUUAGUUCCAGUUGGUAUUCGUCGGAAUUCCACGAAGGAUCCUCUAUCCUUCGCUACAUGGUCUGUCACUCUUGAAUCUACAGUCCACAAAGGAUUGGAUUCAGCCAAUAAUGUAGAACUUGACACAUAAGCAAAGUUCUCAAAUGUACAAGAGGUGUUUACCUUAUUUGGCUCACGACAGUCGCGAGCAUAGUGACAUUUCUUGUCACAAUUGUAACACCUUACCCUUAACAUUUUCUUCACUUGAUGACGUUUUCCUCUCUUGUGUUGGUUAACUCUUGAUCUCUUGCAAUAAGGACUUGAUCCUUUGCAUUCCCACAUAUUGAACGAAUCAAUACGCUUGCGCUUAGAGCUCAAAGCUCUUUCUGAGCUAGAACCAGCAUUGCAAAUAUCUAUUUUCGGCUCACAUGCCGUUAAUCGGUCCUCUACCAGCUCAAGGUGGCGCACAGCAUCCUGAAGAUCUUCCAUAACAUGGUCAAGAGCUUCUAGUGUUUCUUGCUUUUCCAGCACAUAUUGAAUCUCCAUAUUCAAUAUUUCACAAUUGUUGCCGUUCAUAUCAACAAUUACGUUCUUAGUGCUGAAACCAUCGAUCUGAACACAUCAGACAUAUAUGCACGAAUAAUUAAUGCCUAUCAUUUAUGCAUCCACUUUGCACAGACUCAUCAUAUCAAUGAAUAAUUUCAAGUAAGGUUUCAGAAUCAAAAUGUCACUACGUUUCCAAUCAUCCUCCAAAAAUCCUAACUUAAAACUAUUAUUAAUAUAAUUGUCUUUUGCAAAAUAAAUUCUAUGAAGUUACAAAAACUUCUAUGAACUACCCACAACAGUCAACAAUAACAGAAAGCAAAUAAUAUCUAACAUCCAAUAGAAUAAUAAUGCUUUCACAUAAUACAACAAUCAAUUACACUAAGUAAUAUACUCAAAGAAGAAAUAUCAACAUAGAAAGAGAUAUUCACACUUAAAAAACAUCUCAAAAUAAUCUAAGAAAUAAAUAAGGAAUGUCCCUUCUAAUCUAUCAGUCAAAAUAUCUAAGAAAUUUGUAGGCACAUUUGCCAACCAUGGAAAAACUUUUGGAGAGCUCUCAUGUCGCCUCCAAGGCGCAUUCACUCUGCGCCAUGUGGCGCUCAAUCUAAGGGUUGAAGUUUUGGUUAACUCAACCCUAUAGUACUCUCUAACAAAAGCUACCAUUAGCCUCCUAUAACCCGGGACCACGUUGACCUCCCAUAGCCGAUCUAACACUGCUUGCCAUUCAGGUGGAAGAGUGUUCAUCAAAGCCGGCACCUUCUCAAAAUUCGGCAUAAGAUAACCAUUCCAAAUGAUUUCCUAUAUCAUCUGAUUGACUCUAUAACCUGGAUCGGACGAACCCGUCGGGCCGGUCGGAUCGGGUCGGACGAACCGACCGGCAAGUGCCGCGCGCGUGCGCGGGCUGACGUCACGCAGACGUUAGCCGGCACGUGCGCGGCACGCGCCAAGCUUCCGCGCAUGUCGGGUCGCCGGUCGGGUCGCCGGCCGGUGACCGCCCGGCCAACGAUCGUCGGCGAUGACGUCAUCGAUGACGUCAUCCCAGCGGUUACCGACCGUUGGGUGACGUCACGGUGACGUCAGCACGCGUCGGUUUGCCGACCGGCGCGUGCCGGUUCACUGGCCGGCGGCGUCGCGCACGUGCCAGUCCGUCACCGGCGCGUGUGGCGCACGCGCUGGCCGAGCCAGCGUUUCAGGCGCGUGGCGCCCACGCGCAGCGGCUUCUGGCCGCGUGUGUGGGCGCGUGCGGCGUCGCCCGGCGGUGGUCGAUAUGUCGACGGACUCGUUUCGACGAGCCCUUUCACCCAAUGCCUUCAGAAAUCGAUUUCGACUUAUAGAAACUCGAAAAAAUGGACGACCAGUGCUCGAGUGUCGGGAUUUUGCGCCCCGAUCCGUGUCGGCCGAAUAUUUUCGCGAAAAAUCAAUCAUAAAACAUCAAAGGGGUCGGGAAAACAUGAACUAGAGCUCUGAUACCAAUGUUGGGAUUGUCGGAUUCCCAAAAACCGGAUUCGACACUAAAUCGAACCCCUAAAACGAAUGCGGAAGACGAAGCCCGGGAAAAUCACGUAUCACCGAUCCUAAAACAUACCUCUUCAUCGUAUCCCUCCAUGCAUGGGCCCUAAUUUUUUGGGCCGGGCUUUUAGGCCCAACAUGGGCAGACGGGCCAACUUAGGCCCAUCACCUAAAACCAUCAUGUUAGUGGGAAAGAAACUUCAAUAGAUGCCAAGAAGACGAAGACUUUGUAUGUCUUUCUUGCCAUUACCAAUAGAAUUUUUAGGCGCUACAUAUCUUGCUUAAAAUUAACAAUACCAUAAUUUUCCUCCAAUUCUUUUCAUUUUGGGAUUUUUUCAUUCAUUAAUCUCUAUUGUAUCUUUUCAAAUUUGAGUUCAACAAAUGAAAAGAAAAAAGCAAAGAGAAAAACUGACAAGAAGAAAGAGCAAAAAAGUUUAAAAAAAAAAAAAAGGAAAUAAAGAAGGAAAAGGGCAAGAUAGAACACCAUUGAAGCACGGCCACAGCGUGUUGUUGCCGUUAGCACUAUCACUUUGGUGACUAUUUCCAACUUCGCUACCUUAUAAGUUACAAUGACCUUCGUAGACAAUAUUUUUCUUGAGAUGUUUUUCUUAGAGUGGGUCAGAAGUUGAGGAUAAUGACAUCAAAACUAUCAAAACUUUCGCUUAUUUUACAAUAGAGUACCUAAACUUUUCUUUUUUCAAUCAAGUAUCUCACUUUUUCAAAUUUGAUACAAUUUGAGGCAUUCACUAAAUGAAUCAUCAUGUCAUAUGAUUUUGGUUACAUGAUUCGCUCACCUUGCAUAUUGAGUAAUGUGGAAAGAAAAAAUAUUGACUUAGAUAAUCGUAGUGUCUUAUAUAUCCCGGCCGAUGUGGCAUCAAAUCAAGAUAUUGUAGAAAACACUAAUGGGCAAUUAACGACUAUUUAACAACAUUAGUAUGAUAUCAACAUUUUUUGUUAGUGAUUUAAUAGAGGACUUAACCUAUAUUUGGAAAAUUGAGGUAAUUGACUGAAUGAACUAAAAUUUUGGUAUGAUUAAAAAAAGGGUAAUAAUUUGGAUACAUGUGCGUCAUUAUCCAAUAAUUUAUCUUUUUUUUACGUGAUAUUCAUGUGAAAGAGAAUAUUAAAUAGUUUUGUCAAUUUCAAGCCAUUGCAAAAUGAUUUUAGUGGCUAUAUGUCAAGCCCAUUUGGAGACUAUAACGUUCUCAAUGUUGAUUUCCUUUAUAUUUUCUGCAAUCAUUCGAUCAUAAACCAUUCCUGCCCCUUUUUCUUGGCCAAUUCCACUGCUUUCCCUUUCAUCUAUUCACCCAAAACUCAAAAAGUAUGUGUAGUUUGGCCUAAAUCAGUUUGAACCAAUUUGAAAAUGUACCGAUUUUCAAAAUUGGAUUUGCCUAGUUUUAGAAUCUCACGGGUAUAGAACUGGGCUUUUGGCUACUGUUGCACAUGGAGGGACUCAAGCACUCAAUUCCACGGAUCACCGGCAUUUUACUUUACCACCAUGACCGAACGAUUCAUGUGUUCAUGGGCAAUUGACAGCAUUACAUAUCUAUAAUCGUUUGCUUCGGACACAAUCACCGAUUCACUUCUAGUCCAAUCGUUAGGACCGCAAACUGGCAACCUAACUGGUUCUCCGACUGGCCUAAGUUUGAAAACAUUGGUGCCAAGUUCCUAUCCCUUCUUAAAACAAGUAGAUAAUGACCAUUUUAUAUGAAUUGAGUUGUAAUUGACGCAAUACUUUUGCCACAUGAUGAAAGAUGAUAGCUAAGUGAUUAUAACUAAUAAACGUUGAUGCUCCUCUUUCUCCUUGAUUAUAUUAGACUUGGAAAUUCUUUGUAUUGCUCCAAAUGAGGUUGAUGCUCAACUUCCAUCGUACAUUACUCCUGAUGUUGCUCUAGUUGGAGCUAUGACUAAUGCUUGACCUUUCCCUUAAAAAUUUCGUAUUCAACAGUAAGUCUUUGCUUUGGCAUCGUACAGACUUCAAUUUAAGAUGCUAAUAAAUCUUAGUCAAGAGGGAAAAAAAUUUAACAUCUACCACUCUUAGGAACCUUAUAUGCUAUUAGGAACUUUGUCGAGCACGGCAUGCUAUCGAGAGGUCGUAGUACUUUGUUAGGCUUAAGAAGAGAUCUAAUCUCCCCAAUCAAAAGAAAUGAAAUCUAUCCACCAUUGGAUUUUGUUAUAAAGCAAAAAACCAGAAAAUGAUGCAGUGCAAUAUAUUUAGCUACAUAGUAGCAGUUUGAUUUGUCACAUGCAGUUUUUGGAUAUCAUGGUUUUUAUGAGCAUGAGAAGUAAACUAGUCACAACAUUUGGAAGCAAAUUACUCAGUAUCAUCUCCAGUGAGUUUGCUAAGAAUUUUCUUUUGAUAAGCAAAAGAAAUUUAUUGCACAAUGAUGUCAAGCAUAUGCUAGCCCAUGUAACAAAUUAUAAACGCAGUUCAUGCUAUGAGGUAUAAGAAAGAAUGCACAUUAGUGUUGACACCUAAAUUUUGGCGACCCGUUUUGUCAUUUAUUGCAUUAAAAAAUUAGGGGUUAAUUUUAUCCCCGAAAAAAUAGUCAAUUGUAUAGCAUAUAGAUUUAAGUGCAUUUGCAUUUUUUGCAUUUGUUUAUUGGACCGGUGGCGGAUGAGUUCGAAUUAGUGGUUUUGAGCUUUAAAUUGAUAGGCUGGACUAAGCCCACGAAGGGAACAAAUUGGCCCAAGCCCUUUUUUUUAUGAUCGAAAAUGAUCUCGUGAAAAAUAGAGAUUUGAAAUUUUUCCAGGAUAUGUUGGGGGAUUUUUCAAUAUCUUCGGAUAGGGCAAGUGCGACAAAAAUAUUGGGAGCUCAUCUUUAAAAUAUUCAGAAUCCGAGAAAAUUUUAUUACGAUCCCGAACUUUGGGCAAUGUUCGAUCAAUUGUGAGUUGGUAUUUGGAAAGAAAAGAAUUGUUUUUGUUGAUCUUGUGAUUAUAAAUGUGCGGACAAAAACAUCAAAAAGGGCAAGAAGGAUUAGCAUUAUUAAAAUAUAUAUUCAAUGAGGAUAUAUGGAUCCGCAAUGCGUACAAAGGAAAUAUAAACCCUCACAAAAGAGGGAAGUCAGUACGUGGACUUCUUUCCUAUAUUCAAAUUUCCCUUUUUGAAGUUCAUAUUCGGCCAGUAUAAAAAGCGUAAUGUUCGAGGAAAAAAGGGGAGGCCACACAAUUGAGAUACACGGCCAUAGGAGAGAACACACGCUAGAGAGAAUAAAAGGGAGAAAUCAUGGGGUUCGGCAAUUCAUUUGAGCGAUACACGUAAGAAGAAAGAGAGAGAGAGAGUCCACGGCCGAGUACUUCGCGUCCAAAAAUCUCAAGGCUGUGCGUCCACCGAUCCUCACCACCGUCAUUAGAAUCCUCACUGUCACUCACUGCUGCCUUCCGAAGUUGAGAAGUUGCUGCCUCGCUGAAGAUCUCCGAGCACUUUCUGUCGCAACUGAUCGUGAGUGAUACGUGCAUGGUGGUGUUCACUUCAACAACACACCCUCAUGGUCAAAGUUUGAUAAUCAAGGAGGUUUAUCACAAGACCUGCAGAAUUCGCAAAGAACUUGGGAACUAGCCAAGUUUGUCAUUGGUCAAAGUCUCCCUAGCGUCCUUUGCUACCUUGCCGAGAAGCCCUGCACAGCUACGUCAUCUCCAUACGAAUAAAGCUCGGGCCCAACUAACGCGAUGGCUGAUGCUGCUCCCUGUCCGAGACCUUGACAUUGGAGCCCCACCGCACUGCUGUCCGAGCCCUGCCGAUGAGCUGACACUCCUAUUGAUACCGACAUCGCCUGCUUGAAGCUGCUGCCAUUGUUGCUUACGUCCACAAACCGAGAUUCAGCAAAUUCCCGACAACGCUGUUGCUCCCCCGACGUUGCAGUUUCCUCGUGUCGCUGAUCAGACGACGUUGUCAUCCAAAACCCCGUCGUGAAUAGCAAAGCCACCGUUCCCAUUCGCAUCCAAACCGAGUCGAUCCCGAAGCUCCUAUUUUUUGCAGGUUCGUUGACCGUGAGCCCACGGUCAUCCUUUACUGAGGAGCACCAUUGUGCCGAGCUUCGUUCACGCACCGCCCUCUCCCGUUGAGCGGAUUCCAUCCGGUUCAAAUUUGGUAACAUUAUUUGCAAAAUUAGGUAAUUAUCUCAUCUAAAUUUGAUUUGGAUAUUUUAUUGCCUAAUGCAUGCUUUUCAAUAUCUUACGUGCAUGUUUGAAUUAUCCGCGUGUUCCCAAUUACGAUUUAUUGCCCAAUUCGCAACCACACACGGAUUUUUUAUUCCAUCUAUAAGGCUUUAAAUGGAAUAAUUAACCACGCGGGAGUAAAAUUGAUAUUUUGAUCUUUAAGGCUUAAGAUUAAUUUAUCGAUUUUAUUAGCAAAAGAAUUAAGUUUGAAUUUCAAUUCGAAUGGUGGAUAGCGUUUUUGAUGAUCAUGGAUGGUUUGAUGUUUAUCUCUUAAUUGUUUUGUUUAUCCCGAAAAUACAAAAAAAUUGCAUUUGCAUGUCGUGUAGAAUUAUGGCAUAUUUUGUACGUCAUUGCAUAUUAGGGUUAAAUUGCACUUAGUUUAAUUUUAGGUAAUAUUUUUCUUAAUUUAUUAUAAGUUUAGGUAUUUUCUUAAAUAGAAUGCAUUUUAGGAUUAUUUGGGUUAAGAUAAUAUUUUAUUUUAAAUUAGGAUUUGGUUUAACUUAAUUCCUAAUGCAAAUUGAAUAGGAUCUUAAUCUAGCUAGAUAAUUUUCACAUUUUAUCUAAUUUCGAAUUUUAGGAAAAAGAAAAAAUGUCACAGGUUAAAUUAGUUUUAUUAUUUAGGAUAAAAUGCAUUCUUUUAGGAAAAAGGAAAAAUGUCAUAUGCACGUCAUUAGGGUUAGAUUCAUUGAGAUGCGUGUCAUUUAGUAUUUUUGCUAGGCCCAUUUAAUUAGAAAUUAUAUGUCAUUAGAAUUAGGUCAUUUAGUUAAUAUUGCAUUGCAUAUUGCAUGAUUUUCAUCAAUUAAGUAAAAACAAAAAAAAAAAUUGCGUGUUAAUUAGAAACCAUAUCUAGGGUUGUUGAUGUGGAUUUUAAUUUAACACUGCAAUGCUUUCGUUGCUUUGAGGUAAGUUUUUGCAAUUUAUUUAUUGUUUAUCUGAGUGUUAAAUUGAUGGUUUGUGCACCCGUAUGAUCACCUCACAUAUUAGGGAAAUAAAUUUAAAAUCAAUCCAAAUUGCUUGCCAAACAUUUUUUCAAAAUAAAAAGAAAGGUACCGAAAGGGCAUUAGAGGAAUAUAGUGUAACAAAGUCCCCGUACCCAUAGUCUCUGGUUCGUAGAAGUAAAGUAAAUCUUCCGUUACUUUAGUUGGGUUUCUAAUCGACCCACCAAAAAUAGAUUAGUGGCGACUCCUAAUUAAAAAUUUGCAUGUUAAGAACUUGAACCGAAAGUCGCGAAUUGGUAUGAGCUUGGGAGAGCUCGAGUUAAGUCUAGGCUUAACAAUCCAUCAACCAAACCCUAGGUGGUUCACAUCCAAAAAAUUGGUCGCGACAGCUUGGCGAUGUCGUUGUCACACAACCAAAAGCCGUGGAAAGCCAUCUAUCAUUCAAAUAAAAAAAAAUAAAAAAAAACUAGUCUUGCUAUUUUCAAAAGCUCUUGUAUUUCUUUCUUCACAAUGAAAUAGUAAGCUAUUGAAGUGAAUCAACCAUGAACACAGCCCAACAUAAACAAGGAGUAAUAAAAACUACUUACUGUUUGAUGUUGGGUUCUAAAAUCCAACAAAAGGAAGUUCUCUAGUAGAACCCAAAAACAGGAGUGUGCCAUAGAUUCACGGAUAAUUUAAACAGAAAUUACAAGACCUAUGAAACAGGCAAUUGGAUAGAAAGCAAAUGAAGGUUUGUUGCAGAAGGCAGUCAUAGACAUUGUGGACCUGAAUAUCCAUGCAUAGUGAUGAACAAGGCAUUACUGCAGGGUGAGCUUGGCAUCUAAUUUGUAACAACAAGAGAGAGAAUGUCAAUCAUCAUAGCAGCUGAGGCUGUGUUCUCCAUGAUAGCUACUACCCAAUCAUCUCUUUGACCCAACAAUUGAGAUUCAGAUGCAGGGUGGCUAGUUCAUAUUCAGAAUAGCAGAUUAGUACAGCCACACUCAUUAAGUCAGACCAAUAACUGAGAAUGAACUAGCCAUUGUAAAUAGACUGCUUCUGAUGACCUUGCUGGCAUCAAGGCGAGCUGAGAGUUGCCAAAAGCAUUAUCUGCACAUUCUUUCUGAAUCAUUGAUUUCAGGAGUUCCAGUGGCAAUUUUUAGGACUAACAAGGAAUGAGAUGGAUCAGCCCACUAUUAAUUAACUUGGUUUAUAGAUGUAAGUAGAGUUUGUCUAAUUAAAUCUGUACAAAAACUCGAAUCUUUCAACUCGUGAAGAAGAAGACUGGAAAGCAAGUUAUCUUUACAACUCGAAUAAGAACAUAUGACCUUAAAAUGAAUCAUGAGGCUUGUAUUUAUUGUCAAUUUCAUGUAUAUCCAUUAAGGAGCUAUCUCCAACUGCAAUAUCCUCCAAUUCACUGAUGGCUUCUAUUUGGUUAAGCUGCAUAGCAAUGCCUCCAUCCUCAGAGCUACCCUCUAGAAAAUCAUUAUCUUCCAUAUCUGAUGAGUCCAUAAAAGUUUCCAUCUUUUUCUUCCUCCCCAUAUAACCAAUAAGGCUUGGGACUUUUUCCUUCUAAAUAACGAGCAAACAUUUAUGGAUCAGCUCCGCACCUUCAUAAGCUCCUCUGAAGAACACACUAAACCUCUUUCCCCUCUCAGAGACAUAGAAAACGCCAUAAUGCUUCAAUAGGAGUCUCAUCAGCUUCUGAGGCAUCACAAAUUCUUGUCGAAAGUGCGCGAGGUGAUUGGUUACCAACCUUUUUUCCAUUGUGAAGCUAAGUAACUCGUGCAUUGCUGCAAUGGAUCUCUUAUUAAAUUCUUUCAAUCCAGCUUGAAGGCCACAUGCAUCAGCGUAAGGAGUCAAGUAAGACCUUUUCUGAAAGUGCUCAAUCUUCCGUCCAUAUCUACACACCUUCUUGUAACUGGCAGGAAACUUCAAGGGGAAAGAUAGGGAAAGCAACCCUGGAGUAUGAAAAGGCAAAUUAUGAUACCCCCAAUAUGGCCUUCUCCAACUCUGUGAUAGCCCAAGCAGGAUUCCACUCUAUGAGCUCGAGGUAAUCAACUUCAUCUGGAGAUUUAACCACUUUGAAGUGCUGCGGAUACUCAUGUACCCACUUGCUCCUAAAAUCAGCUGGCAAACCAGACUCUCCUGAAAUGAGCAAUUUUGUCCAGAGGAAGCCAUUUAUCGACCGACGUCAUCAACAUCCUAGUUACGUAUUCAACAGCAUGCCAGAAUGUCCCCUAAUCAAUCUCUCCUCUUCCUCUAACAAGUCUUCAGCUUCUUUAGUUAAUUCCAAACCACAAUACCCCCUUCUGAUCCUUACACAACUCAAAACAGUUUUGGUGACUUCCGAAUAAAAUCCACUCUACCGUUUGCUUGGCUAUAGAUCCAGCGAUCUCACAGGGAUUAUCGGGUUCCUUUUUCAACAUUUCCAUCAAAACCAACACCUUCGACACCACUUUUGCUUCUCAGUGGCAAUUUCGAGAUCAUGGACCCUCUUGUCCUUGUUCCUAUCUUACACUCUCUUGCUGGUGGUCAUGAAUCUACGUUGUGACCAGUUAAGUAAAAUCUCAAGACAAAAACAUUCGAGAAGAUCGCCAUAAAAGAAAACACAUGCUCCGUGUUCAUUGCCUUUUACUGAAUCACUGAGUUACAAAUUUUAAGACGUGUGCCCAAACUAGUCACGAGCAAGUUCUUAGCAAGUCAUUCCGGAUAACUCAAUUAUUCAUUAAUAUUUUCUUAAUUCUAUGAGCAAUAAGCAUGCAGUUCAAACAUAAUGCAACUAAACCAAGUAUUGACCACAAUAUGGAUCGAUUCUUUUCCUUUUUUAAGCGGAACUUAAUUCAUUCUAAUUUAAGAAAAUUAUAAGCCGAACAGGAUUAAGAUAAAUAAAAAACCAAGCUAAAAAAAAAACUGAGUUAUUUAAUGUGAAAUAAAUAAAUAAAUCAAACCAAUAUUUUCCUCUCCCUCUUUAGGAGCGUAUCUGAUAAAUUCUUAAAACAUAUUCAUUAAACCUCAGUCAAACCUCAGAAUAACGAAACUCAGUCAAACCUCUUUUUCUUAAAAGAGAAAAAAGAAAAAUAAGCUGAGAGCCAUUCCCCCCCCCCCUUCCCGCCUCUCCGAUCGUUUCCAAAAUCUGCCAAAAAAAAAAAAUUCGAAAGUUUCUCCUCCUGCGCAGAGUGAAAUUCCAUGGUCGUCGUAGAUGCUUUUGUCUCUCAGGGGAGUUUCACGAAGCUCCGCUUGAUUUCACCUCAUGUCCUUUUCCGCGGGCACGAUCGCCGGCGAUGGUGAUUCUGAGUUUCGUCUUGUGUUCGCUCGUUGAUGUUCAGAGCCAAAGAGCAGAAGAUCGUGGAACGAGAGGACGUCGACGACGGAGCAGAAGACCUGCUCGAAACGAUCGACAAACAAACGUGAGUUACGGCAAAAACAGAGUGGAGGCAACUCCUCUCUGUUCAUAAUGCGUUUUCGUAAUGCGUUUCGGUGGCAUCCUUUGAUUCUGAGAUGAUUAUCGUGAUUUUCUGAUCCGUGUUCCGAAAGUUAAAAUUGAGAUGCAAAUGGUUCGAUGAAGCUGUGGCCGUGAUUAUCGUGAUUUACAUCUCGAGCUUUCUCUCGAACUUGCUGUGAUUUCCUGCGCGUGCAGUGGUUUUCACUUUUCAGUUUUUGUCUCCUGACCAUACAAGAGCAAUUCCAGCCUUCCUUAUGUUACGUGACCUUGGAAUUGCACCAUCGUACGUCUUAUUUUCCAUGUAUUCGUGACAUAGCUGGAUUAAUAACGAAUGUCCCAAGCUUAAUUCAUCGAUAAAGACUGUUGGAACGCUAGAUUGUCAUUGAUCAUUUAGGAAAUGCUUUUGUCCUGUCAUUCUACAUUCACCAGAAAACAUAGAGUUUAACACGAUGGUUAAGCUCGAGUCUUCGUUGAAGGACGAUUCUGAUUCGCUCAAAUCCAGCAAAGUGAAGAAUAAUGUGGAGAGAAUCGACAACUGGAAGCCAAGCCCUCGAUAAGCUUUUAGGCGGUAACAGACUUUCUUUUGCAGACUGUGUGUCUUUUUCUCCAUGCAUUUCAACGAAAACAAAUUUCACCGGUUUGGCAAUCUUGACAGGUGGUAUUGAAACUCUGGCAAGUACGGAAGCAUUUGGCGAACCUGGGUGAAAAUCACAGUCCAACAACGUUACCUUUGAUGAACUUUUAGUUGUUUUUGUUAAUUAGCUUUCUCAGAAAAAUGCUGCGGACGUCACUUCAGGUCUGGGAAAACACAGCUUGCAUGCACCCCAUGCGUUACUUCCCGGGUUGGUCUGAAUUGGAUAUUAGGUUUCUGUCUUGAACUUCUGUUGCAUUUGUUUUUUUUUUUUUUUUUUCCUGAUGAAAAAUGCCAAAUAGUAACAUAAUGAUUGAAUUUCUAUGGAGUAUAAAGAUGUGGGUAAUCUUGGCAUCAUGAUGCGUGUAUUAGGUGAUUCUGGAAGUAUGGCACUCUCAUUUUCUGUAAUCUGCAGUCAGUAUACUGGAACGCAUGUACAGUGGCUCAAACCAAGCAGGAAAAAGGCCAGAAGAGUUUGUACUAUGUCACAACCGAGUAAAAGCCUUAAUCAUAGUCGGACUCGGACUUGGGUUGAUCAUUAGUCGAAUGUGAUGCUUGAAGAUACUCUACUUUAUUUGCAAAUCCUACAACAGUAUUUACCCCUAUUUUCAAUCAUUCUUUAUUAAUGGUUUGUGGAUUCCAUGGCUGUAAAAUAUUUUCAGCUGCCAACUCACAUGAGAGGAGGAAAUGGCAAGGUAGCUUAUAUCGACGCAAGAGGAACUUUGUAUCCUAUUAUGAUCUGUCUGUAUUUUUCUUGACCUCUUGACAAAGAUACUUGUGUUUCUGAAUCGUAUGUAAGUGCAUGUGCACUUUCUUAACUUAGUACACCUGUAGUCUUAGAUAACGUAAGCAAUGCACUUUCAAUUUUAAUCAAAUUCUAGACAUAAACACGCUCCAUGUCCGUCACUCUUUACUAAAUCACCUAGUUACAAAUUUUAGGAUGUAUGCCAAUCUAGGUUUAGCACAACCAAAUCGGUCAUGAGUAAGUGCUUGGCAAGUCAUCGUGAAUAAACUUAAUUGUCGAUUGAUAUUUUCAUGAUUUCAUGAGCAAUCAGUGCGGAGUUUGAGCACAAUGCAAUUAAACCAGGAACUGACCUCAAUGCAGAUCGAUUAUUUUCCUUUUCUAAGAAGAAAUUUAUGCGGUCCAAUUUGAGAAAAUUAUAAACCAAGCGAGACGAAGGUGAGUACAAAAUUAAACCAAAUCGAACUAAAUUAUUCAGUCCGAAAUUAAAAAUAAAUAAUAAUAAUAAAAAAAAAAAAGAGGUCAUACCCAAUUUUCUCUCAUCCUCUUUAAGAGUGGAUUUAAAAAGAUUUUAAGAAUUUAUCAGAUCCAUUAAAGCUCAAUUUAUAAUAACAAAACUCCAUCAAACGUAAGUCAGGGCAAAACAAGGGCGUAGGCAACUGCUGUCUGUUCAUCUCAUCGCUUUCAGUUUCUCGUCGAUGUUCCGGUGCGUCGUUUGAUUCUGAAGUUGAUCAUCGUGAUUUUCUGGUCUCUGUUCUCAAGUUGACUGUAUAUCUCUUUGAAUGUCGAUGUUAAGUGACUCUGAAUACUGCUAAGUGCAUGAGCUUGAUUUCGGUUUCGGUUGCUCAGUUAAGCUCGAUUUUCCUGGAACAUCACCGUGAAUCCAUUGGCGUUUUUACAUCUCGGCCUUUCUCUCGAACUUGUCGCGAUUUUCUGCGCGUACGAUAGGUUUUAGUUUUUGUCUUCUGAUCAUCCAAGAGCAAUUCAGCCUUCGUUAUGUUACGUGACAUCCGCCGGAUGUCUUUUUUCCCGUGUAUUCGUGACGUAGCUGGAUUAAUAACGAAUAUCCUAAGCUAAUUUCAUCAAUAAUAUCUGUUGGAACGCUAGAUUGUCAGUGAUGAUCUAGGAAAUGCUUUUGUCCUGACAUUCUACAUUCACCAGAAAACUUAGUUUAACGCGAUGGUUAAGCUUGAGUCUUCAUUGGAGGACAAUUCUGGUUCGCUGAAAUCCAGCAAAGUGAAGAAUAAUGUGAAGAGAAAAUGAAAGACUAAGAUCGAACAGUAUCUCGAGCGUGUAAUGCGGAAAGCUGAUAUAUCUGCCGAGGAGGAUCUGAAAUUGGAAAGGAAGCUUGCCAAGAAGCUCAAGGUGAAGGAUGGACAGCUAUGUGGGUCAGACGAUGGAAUGAAUGUGUUAUUUCAAGGAAUUCCUUCUAUUCUUGAUUCUUUUGAACAAGAAGCGCCAGGGGUAAGAGAAAAUCGUAGCGAAAUAUUUGAAGGUAAAUCUUCAGGGGAAAAAAGUGAAAUGUCCAACUAAGAGCAUAUGCAGGAUGAUGGAAAAGCUGUUUAUGUUAAGGCUGGAGCCUGUGACUCAGGAGACUAGAAACCCCUUCAUUUCAGCUCUCAAUUGAGUUCAUGAGCUCCGCAAAUUUCAAUUCAUUUCCUUUUCAUGAUGUGAUUGCCAAGAAUGAUUCUGAGUUUCCAUUUGACUCCCUCUUGAACCUGUCGUGAUUUUCUGUGCAUACGAUAGUUUAAUUUUCUUUCCUUAAAUGACGAGAAGUAAUUUCCGCUACUACUUGAAUAUGAUACGUCUAAUUCACCUUUUUGACGUAUGUCUUCUAAAUCAUACAAGAGUAAUUUGGCCUUUGUUAUGUUACGUCACAUAGUAAUUGCACCAUCAGUACAUCUAUUAUCCACGUAUUUAUGGCAUAGAUGGAUUAAUAACGAAUCUCCUAAGCUAAAUUCGUCAACAAUCACUAUUGGAACACUUGACAUUCUACAUUCACCAGAAAAUAUAGAGUUAAACACGAUGGUGGGUUGUUUUUUUUUCGUUUGCAGGUAUUUCUCAGGGAAUCCAUGCUGGAGAUGUGAAAAAAGAUACAGGAUGCGGGGAUCGACACUUGCAAAUGUCUUGAUGAUGCAUACAGAGAAGGUAUAUCUGAUAUUCAGUUCCGAAAAUUAAGCGAAGGUAUUAUUUGGCUAAGGUGAUUUCCUGUGUCUUUGUUUUGUUUUUUUGUAGCACUUAACUAGAACCAAAGGUUUAUCUGAAGCAAAAGUUGAUAAGAUAUGCGAAUCAGCUGAAAAGAUAGUGGUUAGAGCUUAAUUUCUUCUUAUCCUGAGAUGGCGCCGUAAUCAAUUGCAACUUCUAUAUGCAUCUCACAAUAACUUCUCUUUGUUUUCAUCAGAAUUCUCAUUUUAUUACGGGAAUUGAAUCUAUGCUCAGAGCAAGUUAUGCUCAGAGUAAGUCCUUAAUUCGGCAAAUUUCGAGCUAAAAUGGUUCGGAAGACCUGAAUGAGUCAUUGACCCUUGAAAUAAAGCCUGCAAAUUAACAUAUCGACUGUAGAGAACUGCACUUGCUCCAAACCCUACUUGUCUCACAGCACAAAGUACUUUCAAUGUCUUCGUUUUUUCCAGAGCAAGUCGGUUAUUUGCAUCACAACUGGAAGCCAAGCCCUCAAUGAGCUUUUAGGCAGUAAUAGACUUUCUUUUGUAGAUUGUGUAUAUCAUUCUUCAUGCGUUUCCACAAAAACAACUUUCCCUGGUUCUGCGAUGUUAAACAGGUGGUACUGAAACUCACGCAAUUACAGAAGCAUUUGGCGUAUCUCGAUGACAAGCACAGUCCAAUAACGUUACCCUUGAUGAACUUUUAGUUGCUUUUGUUAGUUGGCUUUCUCAGAAAAUGCUGCUAACGUCACUUCAGGUCUGGGAAAACACAGCUUGCACAUACCCUGUUUGUGACUGCUCAGGUUGGUCACAAUUGCAUGUUAGGUUUUCGUCGUUAACUUCUAUUUCAUGUUAUGUUUCCUAGAUGAACAACAUAAAUAGCAAGAUAAUGAUUGAAUUUCUAGUAAAGAAUAAAGCUAUGGUUAAUAUUGGCAUCGGAACAUGUUUAUUAGGUGAUUCUGGAAGUUUGGCACUCUCAUCAUCUGUAAACGGCAAUCAGCAUACUGGAACACACAAUCUAUAGUGGUUCAAACCAAGUAGGAAAAGGCCAGGAGAGCGUACUAGGUCAUAACCAAUCAGAAGCCUUAGUCAUUGUCAGACUUGGACUUGGGUUGAUCAUCAGUUGAAUGGGAUGCUUGAAGUACUCUACUAUAUAUGCAAAUCCUACAACAUUAUUUUCCCUUCUUUCCAUCACUCUUCAUUAAAGCUGAUCCCGUUCCAUGAGAUGAUAUCUUAUGGUUUGUGGAUUCCACGAUCCUAAUAAUUUUAACAGCUGCCAACUCACGUGGGAGGGGCAAAUGGCAAGGUAGCAUACCUCGCCACAGAAAAAACUUUGUAUCCUAUUAUAAUCUGUUGGUCAUUUCCUUGACCUCAACAAAGCUGCUUUUGUUUCAUACUCGGCUUAUGUCCAUGUAAGUGCAUAUGCACUUUCUUAACUUGGUACACCUGCAGUUGCCAUGAUUGAAUUGUACAAAUAGCUGAAAGAUUUGGCAUGGAUCCUGGUGCCGUCACACGUAAUGGAAGCAAUGCUUUCUACACUGGUGGCAAUCUUUUCUGGCUAAUGUACUUGCUGUAAUCUAGUCUUUCCAUGAAUUUGAAGAUCAUUUAUGCCCGUGCCUCUACUUCUAAGCAUCUGUACAACUUCCUUCUCAGUUUGGCUGCCAAAGUGUCUGAAGAACCAUUUAGGUUCCUGGUAAGACAGUGCUCAAGAAUCAAACUGCACACAUUUUGUAAGGUGUCGAUGGUUGACCUUAGCUGAGUAAUAUCUUUCAGAUUGUGGAUUCAGUGAUCGCUCUCUUUCAAGUGGAAUAUAAUGGAAGGGGAGAACUUGCAGGGCGUCAGGUCGAUUCCGAAACCAUCAAAUCAUGCGAGUUGCAAAUUUUCAGCUCAUCUAGUUUGACACUAAUAGAUUUCCAAUUGCAGCAAACAUUGGCACAAAUGCUCUCACGCUUACUUAAGAUAGCCGAGGAAUUUAAUGUGGCAGUGUACAUGACCAAUCAAGGUACCGCAUCACAUCUCUUUUCUCCCACCUAGUCAUGCAUCCUUUAAAGGAUCUUAUCCAAUUUAGCUCUUUGAUGGUUGCACACUGAAAAAUAGCAAUUUGGUGACUACACUAAGCUCAUACUAGUUCUCAUAAAUCUCAAGAACCAGCUUUUUGGUGUAAACUAGUGAUGUGCACGGUAGCUGCAGUCCAUGAGUUAAGCAAAAAAGAUAAUUUUUUUGACAACUUUUUCUUUGAUUUCUUUGUUUCAGUGGCAUCAAAGAAGCAUGCAGGUGGGCAUGUUCUGGGUCAUGCAACCACAAUUAGGUUGAUGUUUACAAAUGGCAAAGGUGAGCAGUGGGUUUGCAAGGUGUUCAAAGCCCCAGACCUACCUAAAGCUGAAGCUAUAUCCUUUUUGUCUGGAUCUUCGUCUAGCUAUACACUUUAUUGAAAUUUACCAGAUUACACUGCAGACAUUAAACGAAAUUUCUAGAAAUCUAAUAUCAAUCGGAGAGAAAGUUGAUACUAAGUCUAUAUAUGGAUAGGUGGAGACUAGAAUUUGAGCAGUAUACUUGUAGUAUACUUACAUGCGCUGCCUGUGCUAUGGAAAUAAAAUACCCAACCAUUGAUGAUGCCAUACUGCAGAUCUUCCUCUAGUUAUAUACUUCGUUGAAAUUUUUCAGACCAUGCUGCAGAUACCAAGUAAAAUAUCUGGAAGUCUAGAUCAAAAUCUGUGAGAAAGUCGAUAAUUAGUCUAAAUAGGGAUAGGUGGAUACCUGAUUUAAGCAUGAUACUCACUUUAUACUUGAUGUUGCCUGGAGAUCCAUGAACAUGUUGAAUACGAAUUUUGUCCAGAGGAAUUAAACAAAAAGAAGUAGCUGUUGAGAAUUUUCCUCAGUAGGACCGGUAUGAUAUUUUUAGCUGUGCUGUUAUGUAGAUGAUGCACAUCUAUCAAGACCAUCACUUAAUUUAAUCAAAAAAUUUAGGAAGAGCUCAUCUAUCAAUAAGAUGAGACUGAGAUAUUCAAUAUAUGUUGAACUUGACAAACACAUGUUUUUCAGAUAACACCAGGAGGCAUCACCGAUGUGAAGGACUGAAGGAGUCUCUCCAACCAGGAGGGCAGGCGAAGUGCUUUUUUUUGUUAAUCUGCAAUUUGAUAUUAGUCAUCGUAUUGACCGCAAGAGGCAUAUAAUGAGCUCCCAAGAACUUGUUCAUUUCCUUUCUCUGCAAUGGACACUUUGUCACCCUUGUCAUAGCUUGUCCCUAAGUUUCAUGUGCUCGACAACAAACCAUUCAUGAAUGACAUGAGAUACUUUCUCUAACUGUGAUGGUGACCCAAAAGAUUUGUCAACUACAAUGUCACCUUUGUGUAUCAAAUGCAAAAUAUAUCAUAAGGGUAAGGCCGAAGUAUCCUUUCUGCUUCUUCUAUUUAUGUUUAGCCAAUUGAAUGCAACUAAUACAGCCUUAUAUGCUCUUAGGAACUUAAUCGAGCAUGGCAUGUCAUUGAAAGGUCAUAGGACUUCAUAAGAGAUGUAACCAAAAGAAAAUUAUUCUGUGUCAUUUCGAAUAACCUCAAAUGAAAUGAAAUUUAUCAAUCACUGUGUUUCGUCAUAAAGAAAAAUAAAAUAAAAUUCUCCACUGCAAUAUGUUUUUAACUACACAUAAUAGCAUAUGGGUUUAAGGUCAACAGUUUGUGGAUACCAUGGUUUUUAUGAGCCCGAGAAGAAUCUAGUCACAAUAUUUAAAAACUAAUUACCCAACAUCAUCUCCAUUGAGUUCACAAUAAUUUUCUUUUGAUAAUUAAAAAAACUUUGUUGAACUUUCUUACACGAGCAAUCUGGCUUUUGUUUAUGUUACACGACAUUCAAAUCGCACCAUUGCAGUAGCUGCAGUCCUUGAGUUAAGGAAAAAGAUGAUUUUUGAUGACUUUGUCUUUGAUUUAUUUAUUUCAGUCGUAGAUGAUCUAGGCGGUGCUGUGUUCAUAUCAGACCGAAAGAAACCUGCGGGUGGGGAUGUUCUGGCUCAUUUAGACACAAUUAGGUUGAUAUUUAGGAAAGGCAAAGCUGAGCAGCGCGUCUGCAAGUUGUUUAAGGCCCCAGACCUACCGAAAGCUGAAGCCAAGUCGAUACUGAGUCUACAUAUAGAUAGGUGGAGACCUGAUUUAAGCACGGUGCUCACAGUAUACUUGAUGGUGUAUGGAGAUCCAUGAACAUGUCGAAUACAAAUUUUGUGCAGAGUAAUUAAACAAAAAGAAGUGGAUAUCCAGAAUUUUUUUAAGCAGGACUAGUAAGUUAGUUGUGCAGCCUGUGCUAUGUAGACUGCACAUCUAUCAAAACCAUAACUUACUUAUGUAAGAAAUUUUAACGAGAGCUCAUAUGUCAAUAGGGUGAGAUCGACAAGCGCACGUUUUUCAGAUAACAACAGGGGCAUAGCCGAUGAGGACUGAAGAGGUCUCUCCUACCAAGAUGGCCAGGCGAAGUGCUUUUUUAUUUUAUCUUUUGGGUUAAUCUGCAAUUUGAUUUUAGUCAUCGUAUUGAUAGGUACCUCUAUCUCCAUGUUAAGUUUGUAUUGGCAGGCAUCAAGCUCCUUUUGACAGCUUUAAAAUUGCACGAGAGGUUACCGCUUUAGCCUUAAUAUCUAACAUGCUAUCAUUGUCUGUUAUUAAAGUUCACAUGACCCUUCACAAGGUGUUGUGUAAACUUGAUUUCCAUAUGAGAACCAGCACGCUCCAAGUUAUAAUGGUUCACAUUUGUUCUCAUAUGACAAUAUCGUCCUGGUUUGAUUUACUAGUAGAGGUUCUAUGCGGAAAAUAUUACAUUGGAUAGACUUUGCAUGACGGCUAAAUGAAAUGCCAGAAAGAUAUUACUGCACAAAGCAUGAUCAGGUUCUGUAAAGGCUUGGUUUUAUAAGUACAUAUACAGCUGCAUAAAAACGAUGUGAUCUCAAACUCUCAAUAUAGAGCAACGGACCAUUAGAGCUGAAAAAAUUGUCAAUGUAUGAGAAAGGGUGACUGGGUCAUAAGCAACAGAAGGCCAUUCAAUAGCUAAUGGCCUGACCAAAAGGGGCCACAAUGCAUAUGACUCGGCAGUGCAAGGACAAGUUCACAGCACUUCCAACUCUAGGCAUACUGGACUCCUUAGUCUCUGCACCACUUCAAAUGUAGCGCUUUGUACUCAGCCCAAGCUAUUCACCCUAGGAACUGGCUUCACCUCAUUCGGUGCAUGCUCGUAACUCCUCAAACAUUUAGAGCUGAUAAAGAAGCAUCAUGCGUUGGAAAGAAGGCAACAUUAACAGGUGAACGAUUUGGCACUCAAAAAUCACUGGAAGAGCAACAUUGUACGUGAAAAGGCACAUUUCAAUACAUGGAUACAGGUAAAGAACACCAUUUUAACCUUAGAUUAUAGAUUUAUGUUCGAAACCAAUUUUUCCAAAAUGCUGUUACCCAACAACAUAACAUUCUCCUCUGAACUCUGCUUAAUAUCAGCAGAGCUCAUCCAUCCUUACUUUUCAGAUUGCAAUGCAUGGACCAAAUUCCAGUGGAGCUGCAUCAACAAACUGAAAAAAUAAUUACCUUUAGGAAAUGGUGCGAAAGACUUCCCAAAGCCCAUCUUCACGACUUCUGCAUCAUCUGAGCGAACAAGACUGCCUCUAGAAUCAAUUCCCCAGGAGGAAGGAAAACUGCCAUAACAUCCUGAAUGAUUCAGAGGACAGAAAGGAUUAGAUAUAGAUCACAGGUGGAGGGAGAGAUUGAGAGCGAUAUCCCAGAACGAAACCAAUGAACAUUAUUGUUACUCACACAGGCCAGACAAGGGGUUUUAGAAGUGCUGUCGAAGAGCACAAAACCAAACUUCCUGCUGAUGUCUCUCACGACUUGAUCAGCAGAGUAGGCCUCCGAUCCCUCAGAGUUCAAUAAGCUUCUACGACGAUAAUGACCUCAUUAGCGGUUUUUUUCCAUCCAUAUUGCUGCUUAAGAAGAGCAACAUUGGCUCUGUCCUUGGAACAAGAAACCGCAAACAAUCUGUCACAGAGGGUAAGGCAUGUCAAAUCUCGAUGUGGGACAAGCUGAUUGAGAAGAGAAGACAGUACGGCAAUUUCCGUCAAUUAACAAUCCAAUAAAUUUCAUUUUCUGGCUUUCAAAAUGAACCAGAGACUCGAGUUCCACUAUCUCCUUUAGGCUGACAAAUGGAACCUUUCAUGGUAUCACAGUAAAGUCCAACAAAAAUCAGUUUGAUCUAACCGUUGCCUCUCUAAAUAAUGAAAUCACGAUUAUUUUUUUCUUUUUUGGUGGUUAAAGCUACCUUUAUCAAGAGAUGGAGUGGGAAUUUGAAUAGAAGAAAGAGAAACUUUAUUCUUUGACCAGGUAAUCAGUUUUUACAUGGGUUUCGGCCAACAUAAUUCAUUCAAAAUUUAGCUGUUUCAUUCACAUAUCCAAACCUCUGUUUUAAAUUUAUCCUUCCAUCUAUACAAUAACUGUUAUGGGAAGAAAGAGAGCUUCUUAUUUUGAAUAUUGACCUGUAAAUGUUAAAAGGAUAUCAUCUAACCAAUUCACAUAUAGAAAUUCACAUUGUAUUUUGUGGCUCCUACAAUAUAGUCACUAAAGCAAUUCUGUACUUAGAGUCAAAAGUACAACUUUUUAACCUAUUGGCAAGUGAUACUGCAUAUUCAAUGUUAAAAACUUAAGACUCGUCCUUCCAUGAGCCCCAAUCAAAAUGACAAACGAGGGCUGCCGUUACUGUGAGUACAUCAUGUAUAUCAGCAGCAAUCCUCUCUUCAUCCUUUUUGGCUUUCUCUAUGUAACAAAGCCUCAUUUUAUGUUUUAUAAGGUAAUGUGAUGUGAUCUCAUUGAACCACUCUUGGCUGAUGACAAGAACUAAACUCACCUGAUUCGACGAGGACUGAAGUAUCUUAUUAUCAUCUUGGAAAUUCCCACAGAAAGGCGCCACCUUGCCUUGAGAAACCACCCAAAGCUUGUCCAUGCUUCCAGAUAUUGGAUGCUCAUCGUGACUAACCUGCAAAUCAAGGUGAAAAGAUGGCUAUUAGCUGUAAAGACAAUCCAUCAUUGGUCAAAUUGAAGUAUUCUAGCAAAAAAAUCAAUCUCACCAUCAGACAUCUUCCUUGGAACAAGACCAGCCCUCAAAUGAGCGCCUCAACCGCAUCCAAAUCCUGCAGUUUGGGAUAGUAAAAAACACAGAAUCAUACUCAUCAAUCCUUAGACAAGAAACUAGCAAUUUAGAAAGAUAGAACUUUAGUAGUCAUAGGUCAUUAAAGUAGAACUUAAAGUCGCUUUGGUGCAAGUGGAUCCACUCCACGUUCCUUAAAAGGAAGAACUUCUGGGUGGUUAAGCAGCCGACCUGUUGCUCUUGGGCCUGGAAGAAAAUUUUACAACUCAGAGUAGAAGUCCGGCUCAGUUUCUGGUGCAGAAUUGGGGAUGGCCUUUCUACGUCACUUUGGUUUGAUAACUGGCAUCCUAGGGGGCCGCUGAAUUGGGUUUUCUUGGAUGUGUUAAUCUAUAACUCUGGCCUUUCUAGAGAGACUUCAGUUGUAGACCUCUAUGUGGAGGAUGGGCAGGCUUUAAGGUCGGUGUUGGAGUCGUGGGAGAUUCCCCUCCCCUCCCUCUCUCUUAACCAAGGUUGCUUUUGCUGGAAGGAUAAUCCGGCAGGGUUCAUGGUGGCCAUGGCCUGGGAGGCCUUUAGGAGGAAGAAGCCCCGAAUUUUAUGGCAUCGUUUCAUUUGGAACAAUGCCAUUACACCCAGGUACCAAUUUCACCUUUGGCUUGUCGCCAAGCAUAGGUUUCCCACCCAAGCUUUCCUCCUCUCUUAUGGAAGGAUUGAUACUACUUUUUGCCCCUUCUGUGAGGAGGUGCCUGACUCUAUUGACCAUCUAUUUUUUGAGUGUCGGGUCACGGCUAAUUUGGCUUUCUUUUGGGCAACCAGAUGUAACCUUCCGUGGCGAAACCGGUCUUGGAAUGAAAAUCUCCUCUAGGCCACAACCUUUCUUGUGGGCAACGACUUCUUCAAAAGCAUGGCGCGGUUUUCUUUUGGCACUCUCUGUCAUAUCAUUUGGAGGAAUAGGAACAAUAUUCUCUUUAGAGAGGAGCCGCUGUCCAUUCCGGCCAUGAAGAAUCAUCUCCUCAAAGUGGUCAAAGAUAAGGCACUCUCUUUCAAGGAUGUGGAAGAUUCCUUCAGGAAUAGGAGACUACAACGCAGUUGGGACCUGAAUCCGAGUAUCUUUGCUCCGCGCGUUCUCCUCUCGGGUGACUAGCCGUCUCUAGAUCGACUGAUGUUGGUCUUUGUGUCGUCGUGCUUGUCUGGCGGUUGUUCAUGCCGUCUGGGUCUCUUUCUUUUCUUUUCUUGCUCUUGCCGCUUGGCCUCUUUCUCGGCUUCCUUCCACUCAUAAUGAAGCCGUUCAUCUCGAGUGCAAGUUUAUGAAGACGGUUCGUUUUGUACUGUUUGGUCUUCCCCAUUUAUAUAUUGCUUAUUUUACCAAAAAAAAAAAAACAAAGAAAUUUCCACGUUAAUUAUGUGCAAAACCCAAUGCUGCCUAUAGGAUAUUGGAACUACUUGGUAUUGCAGAUUACUGCAAUACAAAAAACACCGAUCAUGCUAGCAUACAUGUUCAAUUCCCAAUAUUUUGCCAGUUGGAACAAUUAGAUUGGUUAUGUUCCAUUAUAAGUUAGAUGUAAGAUGGCAGAGGCUCCCUGUUGUGAUCACUAAUUGGUUCCAUUGUAUUUUCAAUGCAAAGACCAGAUUCCUAUAAGUUCAAAUAGUGCAAGAACAAUAUAACAAGCUAACUGAAAAAGUCAUCGAAGUCACAAAAUGGAGAAAAAUGAGUAAAACUUAGCAGAUGAUCGGAUGGCUUGCAAGCCAAAACUAUGUGAGGUUUCUCAAAAGUUAUCUUGGCAAAUGCAACUUUCUGACCACCUAUUUAUAUGGGCAAAGAACCAUGUUAUAUGUGCAAUAACAUUCAAAAAGCCUCAGAGAAAGUAGAAUGAACCGCAAUUUAGAUUACAAAUUAACUCACCUCUAAAAGAGCUUCACGAUCUCACACAAAAAUUGCUUCAAUAAAAAAUUUACAUAUGCAACAGUAACAGAGAGGGAGGAGAUGUAUCAUACAAGGUUUGCAUUCGUCGAACUGCAAGAUUUCCAGUUACACCAAACAAACACAAGUAAGCUCGAAACUUUUGUUCUGGAACUCCCCGCACGAAAAAUGCCACAUAAGAAGGUAUUUUCAAUAAAAUAACAUAAUGUAAGACAAAAUAAUAUUCCACAUUAGAGUAAACGCACAUGACUGAUACUUUAAAGAACUGAAUAGUUUUGCCCCAAAGGUCACUGCUGACAACACAAUCACAGAAGCAGGUAGCAUAUCAUUUCAAUCUCAACCAAACAAGCAUAAGUAGUUUGGCUAAAAAUUUCUUGCAAGCUUUUAGUAAUAGUUCCUAACCCACCAGAGAUCAAGACCCAAGCGGAAGGUGAUUUAUGGAAUAUCAAUGCUGUCACGAAUUGGCGUGGCAUUGAAAGGUUGGAGCCAUGAGGCGCCCCAGAAUUUUAUCCCAGAUUGACUGGUUAAUACUACAAAGGAUCAUCAUCAACAAAAAGAAGGUUCUCAAUGAUAAAGGAAACCAUUGAAAAAAGAAAAGAAAAGGAAGUGCAUCCCUUUUCUUCACAAUCAUAUCACAGCAUCCACAUAACUAAUCAUGUUUUUAGAUUUUAGAAAAGAUUAUUCUUAUUUAGAUCGUAUUCACUAGAAGAAAAUUUAGAACAUCUCAAUGCACCAUAUAAAAUUAAACGCUUCUUUUUUCUAUUAUUAAAUUGCAAAAGGUGACACUUAACAUUGACAGCAUUAGCCCCACCUCAACAGCAUUCGCAAGUGAUCCUUCCAAGAGAUUUUGCCAAUACAAAUCACAGUGGUAUCUGCAAAGCAACCACAGUGAACAAGCUUAAGGGCAGAAGAAAAAGAAGUUGGGAAGAGAAAAUACAACAAACGCUGAAAAGCAUAGUGCAUUUUGAUUCACAAUUUGUUUGGCGGGUCACGCAAGUGCAAAAAUAAGCACAGUUUUUGGGCAUCAAGAAGAGUUCAAGAUAUGUCAUCAAUAUAGCAAGAUGCAGCUUUGUGAACAGUUCGUUCUACAUAUGUCAAUCUUUCACCUUCAGUGGCUGGUUUUCGAAAAUCUAUGUGAAAAGUCUAAAUGAGGAAAAUCAGUUCGUAUCAAGCAUCGAAUUUAGGAAUUGGCUUCACCUCCUUCGGUGGGUGCUCAUAACUCCUCAAACCUCUAGAGCUGGUGAAGCAGCAUCCUGAGUUGGAAGAGAAGGCAAUGUUAAAAAGGUGAACAAUUUGGCGCUCAAAAACCAUUGGAAGAGCAACAUUGUAAGUGAAAAUGCACAAAUCAAACAUGCAUACAGGUAAAGAGCACCAUUUUAACCAUAAAUUAUAAAUUUAGGUUUGGAACCAAUUUUUCCAAUAUGAUGUUACCCAACAAAAUAACAUUCUCCUCUCAAUUCUGCUUAAUAUCAGCAGAGCUCAUCCAUCCUUACUUUUCAUAUUGCAAUGCAUGGACUGAACCCCAGUGGAGCCGCAUCAACAAACCGAAAAAAUAAUUACCUUUAGGGAAUGGUGCGAAAGAUUUCCCAAAGCCCAUCUUCACGACUUCUGCAUUAUCCAAGAGAACAAGACUGCCUCCAGAAUCAAGUCCCCAGAAGAAAGGAACACUUCCAUCAACAUCCUGCAUGAUUCAGAGAACAGAAAGGAUUAGAUAUAGAUCACAGGUGACGGGAGAGAUUGAGAGUUAUAUCCCAGAACCAAACCAAUGGACAUUAUUAUUACUCAGAGGCCAGAAAAGCGGUUUUAGAACAGCUGUCGAAGAGCACAAAACCAAGCUUCCUGCUGAUGUCUCUCACAACUUGAUCAGCAGGGUAAGGCCUUCGAUCCCCAGAGUCCUAUAAGCUUCUAUGAUGAUGACGACCACAUUAGCAGUUUUGUUCCAUCCAUAUUGCUGCUUAAGAAGAGCAACAUUGUCUAUGUGUCCUGUGUCCUUGGAACAAGCAGAAGAUAUUAUCGACAACCGCAAACAAUUUGCCACAGAGGGUAAGGCAUGUCAAAUCUUGAUGUGGGAUGAGCUGAUAAAGAAGAGAAGACAGUACCACAAUUUCCAUCAAUUAACAAUCCAAUAAAUUUCAUUUUCUGGCUUUCAAAUGAACUAGAGACUUGAGUUCCACUAUCUCUUUGAGGCUGAUAUAUGGAACCUUUCAAAAUAUCACAAUAAAGUCCACCAAAAAUCAGUUUGAUCUAACCGUUGCCUCUCCAAACAAUGAAAUCAUGAUUUUUUUUUUUGGUUAAAGCUACCAUUAUCAAGAGAUGGAGUGGGUAUUUGAAUAGAAGAAAGAUAAACUUUAUUCUUUGACCAGGUAAUCAGUUUUUAAGUGGGUUUCGGCCUGCAUGGUUCGUUCAAAAUUUAGCUGUUUCAUUUGCAUAUUCAAACCCCCGUUUUCAAUUUAUCCUUCCAUCUAUACAAUAACUGUUAUUAGAAGAAAGAAAGCUUCUUAUUUUGAAUAUUGACCUGAACGUGUUAAAAGGAUAUUAUCCAACCCAUUCACAUACAGGAUUUCAUAUAGUAUUUUUGGCUAGGCAUGGUCUACAAUAUAGUUACUAAAAGCAAUUCUGUACAUAGAGUCAAAAGUACAAACUUUUUAAGAUAUUGGCAAGUGAUACUGCAUAUUCAAUGUUAAAAACUUAAGACUCAUCCUUCCAUGAGCCCUAAUCAAAUGACAAACAAGGGCUGCUGUUACCGUGAGUACAUCCUAUAUAUCAGCAGCAAUCCUCUCUUCAUCCUUUUUCGCUCUCUCCGUAACAAAGCCUCAUUUUAUGUUUUGUAAGGUAAUGUGAUGUGAUCCCAUUGAACCACUCUUGGCUGAUGACAAACUAAACUUGCCUGAUUCAACGAGGACUGAAGUAUCUUCUUAUGAUCCUGGAAAUUCCCAUGGAAAGGCGCCAGCUUGCCUUGAGAAACCACCCAGAGCUCGUCCAUGCUUCCAGAUAUUGGAUGCUCAUUGUGACUACCCUGCAAAUCAAGGUGAAAAGAUGGCUAUUAGCUGUAAAGACGAUCCAUCAUUGGUCAAAUUAAAGUAUUUUGACAAGAAAAUCAAUCUUGCCAUCAGACAUCUUCCUUGGAACAAGACCAGACCUUGAAUGAGCGCCUCAACCGCAUCCAUAUCCUGCAGUUUGGGAUAGUAAAAAUCACAGAAUCAUACUCAACAAUCCUUAGAAAAGAAACUAGCAAUUUACAAAGAUAAAACUUUAGUAGUCAUAGGUCAUUAAAGCAGAACUUAAAGUCCACAUUUAUAAACAAAGAAAUUUCACAUUAAUUAUGUGCAAAACCCAAUGCUCCCUAUAGGAUAUUGGAAAUACUUGGUGUAUAGAUUACUGCAAGACAAAAACACUGAUCAUGCUAGCAUACAUGUUCGAUUCCCAAUAUUUUGCCAGUUGGAACAAUUAGAUUGGUUCUGUUCCAUUAUAAGUUAGAUGUAAGAUGGCAGAGGCUCCCUGUUGUGAUCACUAAUUGGUUCCAUUGUAUUUUCAAUGUAAAGACCAGAUUCCUAUAAGUUCAAUUACUGCAAGAACAAUAUAACAAGCUAACUGAAAAAGUCAUCGAAGUCACAAAAUGGAGAAAAAUGAGCAAAGCUUACCAGAUGCAACAGUAGCAUAGAGGGAGGAGAUGUAUCAGACAAGGUUUGCAUUCGUCAAAGUGCAAGAUUUCCAGUUACACCAAACAAGCACCAGUGAGCUUGAAACUUUUGUUUCGGAACUCCCUAUAGGAAGAAUGCCACAUAAGAAGGAAUAUUCAAAUAAAAUAACAUUGUGAAUAUUGACAGUGCACCUAAUUCUUUCCUCUUGCAAUCAAAAGGCAAUCACAUUGAAGUACUCUCUUCUCUCACAAACUUUGCACAAUCGCAAAUUGCCCUCGCCAACAGCUUUGGUGAAAAUAUCCAUAAGAUAUCACCAUGGCAAAGCAAGACUACCAAACACAACAAUCAUCAGUAUGGCCAAUUGAAGUCACAGAACAAGAAGAAUCUAAGCUGAGAGUGGAUACAAGAGAAACCGAUUCCACACGAGGUCCACAACAUAAGACUUCACAUCGGUAGCGAUUGAUUUAGUCAUCAAGAGAAAUGACAACAAUGACUACCGCUUCAUUCAUUCAUUCUGCCUCACACAGCACACAUUUCUUUUGCAGGCGUUGUCGUCGACAAGAGACGAAGAACAUAUCAAUUGUCAACCAAACAAAAUGUGCAGGACAACCUUGGUGAGAUCAAAAUGGAGAAGUCACAAAUACGACCUCUUUUAAUUUAAAAACAUUUACUCGAUUGCUUAAGGCGGUGCUCAAGAUUGGCAAAAGGAUUUUACCUGAGAACCCCUGCAGAANNNNNNNNNNNNNNNNNNNNNNNNNNNNNNNNNNNNNNNNNNNNNNNNNNNNNNNNNNNNNNNNNNNNNNNNNNNNNNNNNNNNNNNNNNNNNNNNNNNNAUACCCUUGGGAAAUCAAAUCGCUGGAUGAGACGAAGUACGAAUUUUUCCUAAUUUUUUCUCGCACUCUUCGGAAUGAAGCUAUGCACCCAAACCAUUCAGCGAUUUUUUUCAUGUCCCUCCCCAAAUCAAAUCAAGUAUGGAAACACGAUAUCCGAAAAUUAUAAAUGCAAAAAUCUGGGAAACAAGGUCCCACAUACCUUCAGUGAAGAAAAUUAGGGCUAGAUCUACCAUUCAAAUGAUAUGUGCGGGAUAUGAGCGAUCUUGUCCCAGUCCUCGCCUGCUUGUCUUUUGCAACUCUCCCACAAUUCUCCGCAAUUGUAGAUGAGUAGGUGAGUAAGGGAUGUGAGCCUUCGCAUUGCUUCAGGGAAUGAUGUCAACGAGGAGCACUUGAUGAUGUCGAGAUUUUGAAGUGAUUGAAGGUCCUCGAUCUGCUCUGGUAUAUCCUUCAAAUUGUAGCAAUUCCAAAUAAGGAGACGCUCGAGAUUGCGGGCCUGUAGAAGCCAGUGUGGGAGAGAUGUCGGUUUGGGAAGGAGCUUUAUUCUCACGGAGCGGAGACUCGGAAGGCCUCCAUGGAAAUCCAAGAUGUUGCCGCUUUCGUCUUUGGAUAUAUCCAGCGCCUCACAAUCCUUGAAACGGAGAUCCACGAGGCUCGAUAGAUGUCGCAUACCUUGCGAGAGGGAAGUCAACUGAUGACAACCACCGAUGCUAAGAGAUUCAAGGGAAGUGAGACUUUGGAAGCCCUCCUCAGGCAAACAUUCUAAAAACUUUAUAUCGUAGAUAUUCAAUCUCUUCAACUUAUUAAGGCCAAGCAUCAUCUGAUUUAUCAACGCCGCUCCGUUGGCACGUGUCAGAUCUAACUCCUCGAGAUGAGGAGUUAGUGGCAUGGCUUUUAAUUUUUCACAGUACUCGAUCUUCAAUCGCAAUAGACUAGGAAAUGAUGCUGGUGAAGGGGAUGAUUGGUCCGACUCAAUAUAUUCCAAUUUAGGCAANNNNNNNNNNNNNNNNNNNNNNNNNNNNNNNNNNNNNNNNNNNNNNNNNNNNNNNNNNNNNNNNNNNNNNNNNNNNNNNNNNNNNNNNNNNNNNNNNNNNNNNNNNNNNNNNNNNNNNNNNNNNNNNNNNNNNNNNNNNNNNNNNNNNNNNNNNNNNNNNNNNNNNNNNNNNNNNNNNNNNNNNNNNNNNNNNNNNNNNNNNNNNNNNNNNNNNNNNNNNNNNNNNNNNNNNNNNNNNNNNNNNNNNNNNNNNNNNNNNNNNNNNNNNNNNNNNNNNNNNNNNNNNNNNNNNNNNNNNNNNNNNNNNNNNNNNNNNNNNNNNNNNNNNNNNNNNNNNNNNNNNNNNNNNNNNNNNNNNNNNNNNNNNNNNNNNNNNNNNNNNNNNNNNNNNNNNNNNNNNNNNNNNNNNNNNNNNNNNNNNNNNNNNNNNNNNNNNNNNNNNNNNNNNNNNNNNNNNNNNNNNNNNNNNNNNNNNNNNNNNNNNNNNNNNNNNNNNNNNNNNNNNNNNNNNNNNNNNNNNNNNNNNNNNNNNNNNNNNNNNNNNNNNNNNNNNNNNNNNNNNNNNNAACAGUGGUAGAGAUUAAGUAUUUGCAAGCUUUGCAAUCUCGUAAUGGAGUUAGGAAGCCUUCUGAGUGUUUGCUGUAAGAGAGAUCGAGAUAUGUGAGAUACUUCAACUCACAAAUGGACCUUGGCACCUUCUCGACCUCUAUGGCAUGUAGAUCCAAGAUGCGCAACCUCUUGAAAUUUUGAAUUAAUUGUUGUAGGUCUACUUCACUUGUUAGAUUGCUUCCCCAAUCUCCAAUAGUACACAAAAACGUUCUCAAUACACUUGGUUUCAAGCGUGAGAUUGGAAGUUCACCCAUUAAAUUGAAAGUCGAACCAUAGGAUAUAUGACGAGUUCUUUCAUUUAUUUGAUUUGUGUCAUCCCUUGCCGCCCAACACUUGUUCCCUGCAACCGAGUAGGCUAGAUCAUGCAUCAAAUCAUGCAUCUUGCAAGUUUCCUCAUUUGUGUAUGGAUCUUUUUUAAAAUCUUGGAAGAAGUUACUCCAACAUAGAUCCAUGAAAUAUUCAUGAGCAAUGUCUUCUAAAAGCUCACCUGAAUUUGAUGGCUGGAUAAAUCCUUCUGCCAUCCAAAGAUAGAGUAAAGUAUGCUUCUUUAUCUCAAAAUCUUUGGGAAACAAUGAACAAAAGGCAAAACAUUGUCUCAAAUGUGAAGGAAGUUCGUCAUAACUUAGCCUAAGAAUAGAUAUUAUAUGGUCUUCCCUUUGAGACACUUUUGGGAGCUCAACAUCUUUGAAAUGUAACCAUCCAUCUUUAGUUUCCUUAAAGAAUAAUAACCUCCCAAUAGUUCGAACAAUCAAUGGAACUCUAGAACACUUUCUAACUAUCUCUUUACCAAUAGCUAGCAUGCUAGGAUCUUGUCUGGCCCCUUCUUUUCGACCAGCCAUUCGCAUCAACAAAUCAAGAGAAUCACUUUCAGAUAAGCCCUUAAGAAGAAGAGGCGAAGCAGGGGAGGUGAUCUUUGCAACCAAAGGAAGGCGUGUAGUUAUAAGGAUCUUGCUUCCUCUAGCACCUCCCAUCAAUAAUGAUUUCAAGUUGUGCCAUGUUUCUGAUUUUGCAUCCCAAAAAUCAUCCAAAACUAAGAGAUAUCUCCUUCCAUCAAUUAUUUUCCUCAGUUCAAUUUGCAACCUAUCCAUCACAUUGUAGUUUGGUGGUUCUUUCUUCUCCACACAAACUAUGAUAUCUUUCACUAUUUUUAUCAUGUCAAAGUCAUUAGAAACACAAACCCACAUUUUCAAGUCAAAAUGUUUACUGAUCAUCUCAUCAUUAUACACAAAUUUAGCAAGAGCUGUUUUUCCAAGCCCCCCAAUACCAACUAUUGGAAGGAUAGAAACGUUCUCUUUCACAUCCAUGUCCAGUAAGAAUUUCAUGACAUUCUUUUUAUCAUUACCUCUUCCAAUAAUGUCUUCCUCACCUCCUCUCUCUUCCUCCGCCCUCUCUCUCUUCCUCCCGCCCUCUCGGUCCCUUGCCCAAGUGGAAAGUUCUUUUCAGCCUCAAUAUCUUUCAAUCUCUCCCUCACUUCUCUUAUUUUUCUACUCAUCUUCAGUUCAAAGCAAGCUGGUUUANNNNNNNNNNNNNNNNNNNNNNNNNNNNNNNNNNNNNNNNNNNNNNNNNNNNNNNNNNNNNNNNNNNNNNNNNNNNNNNNNNNNNNNNNNNNNNNNNNNNNNNNNNNNNNNNNNNNNNNNNNNNNNNNNNNNNNNNNNNNNNNNNNNNNNNNNNNNNNNNNNNNNNNNNNNNNNNNNNNNNNNNNNNNNNNNNNNUGGUGACGGUGCUCUCGAGCGCCUGAAGUUCACGCUUGAUGCCCCCUAAAUUUCCAACCUUUCCCAGUGCUUGAGUAAUCAGAUUGGCAAGGACGCUUCCACCAAUGCUGAUGACAGCUUCUGUCAUAUUUGUUCUCUCUAUCUCUCUUUCUCUAUGGGGUUGAGAAGAUUUUAGUCCUGUCGUUCCGAGGCUAGCGUCUUCUUAGAUGAUGUAUAAAAAGUCUGUCCUUGAGAUUAAAUGAGUGUACAAUAAUAGUAGAUAAUAGAAAAUAUUUAACUGACAAGCAGUAAUUCCAAAGCAUCCUAUGUCAUGUAAGAUUCCAUCCCAUCUAAUAAGUAAGGCGAGUUCCUAUUCAUACAUUCUUCUAGAAACAUUAUGUUAGAUUAUCUUAGAUUGAUUAAGUUUUUUUUUCUACCAUACCAUUAAGUAAUAUGUCUAAUUAACAUUAAGGAAAUUGGGAGGUAAUUGAGUGAUGAUGUGGUUCGACCGUUAAGCUCCAUUUUGCUGGACUUUCUUCUUAGUUUGGUUUUAAUAUAUGAUGCGUAAUAAAUUAAAACAAAACAAGGUAAUCACAAUGAUCAUAGGCUUUUUAAAAAAUAAAAUUAAUUUUGUGCUUUCUUAUGUAAAAUUCAAAAUGUUAUUUAAAUAUAAAAAGUCAUUAUUCAAAUUACAUAUUAAUGUUUACGUGUUGUGAAAAUUUCAUAUGUUUAAAGACAAAAUAAUGUAAAAUGUAGACUGAGACAACAUUAGAAGAAACAAAAAUAAAAUGUAAAAAUCUAUCAAGACAAGCCAUGAGCUAAGUUGGUGAUGCUCUUGAAAUCCGCUAGAGGUGUUGGACCAUGUCGUUGUCCUUUGUACUUGUUAUCUUUUCUUUUUUCCUUACUUUUUCUCUUUUUGGGCGAACAGAAAGUGUAAGGUAACAUGAUGUUGAAGCAAAGCCACAAUUUUUCACUUCAUUGGCCGACAAAAUGAGAAUCAGAAUCCACUUACAAGGGCUACACUACAUCCACCACAAUCUGCUCAAGCCCGGAAACCAUCUCAUUGCAGCUUAGAAAGUUAUCAUAGCUGUCUCGACAAGGGCAGCAGCAUAGGGAAUGCCCCGAUGGAUGCCCACUCUCUAGUGUUCAGUGGACAAGAUUAGCUUAUGCUCGGUGAUAAAAUGUUGUACUUUGCAAGACCGUACGUGUCAGAGAACAAGACAAAUGAAGAUAUUGAGUCUUAAGGUCUAGCGUCCCUGUCAAUUUGUGCACAAUCUCUUUUGAACUCUUUACCAAGCCCCUUUUCUUAUUAGUGUUGAACUCAAGUUCUUCUAAAUCACAUCCAACAAGUAAGAUAAAUGUGUUCCAAUAUAUGACCUAUUCCACACGAAGAAAAAGUACAUAAAAUGGCGAUCAUUUUGAAUCAGGUCCAAAUUUAUGAGUAAUAGCACGAGUCUUAACAUGAUCCUAAAUAUUUCACGAAACAUUUGGCAAGAUGCUUGAGAUCUUUAAUAAGGAUAGCAGGUGUUGCACGUUCUUAUUCACUUAUAAUCACAAUUAGUUGUUGUAUUUGGUCACUUCCCCUUCCAUGUUAGUUGCAUGUUCAUAAUUUCUAUGGAUGCCGAUUCAAUUAUAUUUAAUUCCAUUUCUUUCUAACCGCCCCUUGCUCUGCCAGGAUUUUCAAAAGAAAUCAUGUGACUCUUAGUAUGUACGUAGCGAGUAAUUUUUCAUGUGACCAGUAACUUUUUACAAGAUAUUCGACUUCCAAUAUAUAAAUAAAUACUCACCUAUUUACAUUAUUAAUAAUUUUUUACAUAAAAGGUAACCUAUCUACAUUGAUUCUUAUCGUCCCAUGUAUUUUUUUUUAAAAAGGACAAGUUUGAAAAAAAAUUGAUGCUUUUUGCAACGUAACAGUAAAUCUUAAUUUGUAAGACCAAAAAUUUACAUGAAGUUUGUAACCUAUUCAUGGGAUGAGUAAGUUUUGCUUUAAAAAAGUAAUUACCACCGACCCUGUUUAAUAAAAGAAAAUAUAGGAAUUGACAAACAAUAUGUAAGCCGCCCACGGUCUAGAAAGUGAAAAUUAAAGUUUUUUUUUUUCUCAGCAGCUGUAAAUGAAAAUUUCUCCCAAGGGGGCUAAAGAACAAAUGAGCCCGGCUUUUUUCUGAUGAUGCCCAUUUUCCUAGUUUCAUCACAUGCUUUCCUUAGAAAACAGUGCACGUCCACAUGCUUUCCUUAGAAAACAGUGCACGUUCACCUGCUUAGAAAACAGUGCAUGUCCACAUGCUUUCCUUAGAAAACAGUGCACGUUCACAUGCUUUCCUUUUAAUACGGUGCCGGUUCACAUGCAUGCCUCAGUUGUUUUGUAGUAAACACCGGAGUAUUAAGAUUAAUAUAACUUGGAUCUUGAGAAGACGGAAAAUUAUCAUAGCUGCGGGGGCAACUUAAAAUCUAACUUCACAUGGUAAAAAAAAUUUAUGUUAAUGAAUUUCCGCUUUUGUCCGAAUAAAAAACUGAAGAAAAGAUUAUGAAGUAUAAAUUGUGAAUGAAGUAGUAUGAAACCUUUGUGUGCAAAAAAGAAAUUGCAGAUUGGUAUAGAAGUACGAUGUGCAGUGGGAUGACAAAAAAGCAAGCUGAUGAGGAUGCUUUUCAACUUUAGAUUUUAAUAUGCGGAAUGGUAGAACGGCUCUUAAAGUUGGCUAAUCUUCUCUUGUGAAUUCCAUUUAGAAUUGGAAAUUGGGACAUGUUACAUCUUCUUAUGUGCCCAAUUUGAAGAAGGUUAAAUAUCCUAAAUAUGAAAAUCUUUACACCAUAUAAAUCAUAUUUCUAAAUCCAAAUAAAAGACGUCGAUAGUUUCCCUAAACAUUCUUUGUUUCAUCAAUCUAUUCAUUUUCAGAAAAGCUCUCUGGUUAGUCGCUAUAAGAAAGAACGAACCUGGCUAAUAGUGGGCUGAUCGACGGCCGACCAACAAAGGCGAGGCCCCAACCGGCCAGAUCAAGAGAGGAGGACAGGAGACGGUGUCAGCAAGAUCAAGAGAGAGAUGAGAUGAGACAAGACGGCAUGGGCAAAGACUCCAGGAAUAGAGAGAUCAAUGGCAUUGCUGGGGAAAGUCGAGAGACGAAGAGUCUGAGAGAGAGGCUAGCAAUGGGAGUGGGAACUAAAAGAGAGUAGCGAGGGUCUUUAAAUAUAAAAGAUUUAGCACUGUUUUGAAGUGUUCCAAACCAGUUCUUCCAAAGGCUGGUUCCCAAGAUGUUUACAUGAGAGCUAACCAAAAGUUGUUGGGGUCAGUGAAUUUGAAACGUGGCAGCACAUGGCAGAGCGUGAUGUGCCGCAGCGAACGAGGCUGAAAUUCAGGGCCUAUCACUUUUGAGGGUGGCGAGUUUGAUGAUGGUGUCGAUUUUACAAAAGAUUCUUAAGACAAAAGCAUUCGAACAUCAUCUCUCUGUUACUUUAUUUUAUUCAACCGUAGUUUUUUCUCUUUUUUUUAAUAAACACUCGAGUGUCGAUGAUGAGGUGACAUUCAAAAUAAAAAAUAUGAGAAAAGUAGGAAAAAAAUUAUAAUGUUUGCCCUAAAGUUCAUCAAGCUCUAAGCAUUUGAAAAAAUGUAAUAAAAUCCUCAAGGUUCUGUACCUGGUCCAGUUUCCUCCUUCCAGCAAUAAUUUACCAAGUUUUGUCGGUAUUGAUAUGCCGGAAAGCCAAUUUGGCCUUUUAGUACGAUUUCAGCACAUGCCUCGCGAUGCGGUGCCCUUGUCCCGGAGUUUAAACCCAGCGGGUCAAGGGCGGCCCUGAGUUUACUCGACAGUUUCAUUACUUGACUGUGUACUGUAGGGGUGAGCAUGGUCCGGGUUGGUCCGGGCCACCCCAUAACCCUAGGAUCAAUCCGUACAGUGUCGGUCCUCAAUUUUUAAGACCGAGGACCGACCCUAUUGAGCCUGGGACCAAGGACCGGACCGACCCAAUGGGUUCGGUCCGGUUCCAGGGUCAACCCGGGACCGAUCGAUAAUUUUUUUCGUCUUAUUUUUUAUACUCCCUAAAAAAGCAAACCUACAAAUUCAAAUUAUACAUCCAUCGACAAUGCAAUAUUGUGCAACUAAACUAUAAAUACCAAUACAUAUUUAGCAAAUUUAAGAUGACACAAUAAUAGAAAUUUCGUACCUGCUAACCGCUCAUCGAAAUAUGGGACAAGAUGGAAUGUUUUUGUAAUCAUCUAUCUUUAAUAUUCAUAACACCAUAUGCAAAAGCGUUUUCCUACAUUUGAUCAUGUAGAGUCCAUUCAACCAAAAAAUGAGCUUCACACCACUUGACUACCAAAUUACCGUAGCAACUGCAGUACUACUCUACUCUUCAAAAACUUCUAUCAUUUGACACAAAUUGAAAAGCAAAGUGCAGCUGAAAUUCAUUAGUAAAAUACAAUUAAACCAUAAAAAGUUCAAAAUACUUAAUAUAAACCAUGAAUAUAUAACUUCACAUCUUAUUAAUUCACUUGAACUUCUAAACACCUUAAAACAAAACAAACGACACUUAAUUAAUACUCAACAAAAGUUUUAAAUUGAAAUUACUAUUAGUGCUAUUGAUAGAACAUCUCAAUAUAAUAUAAUAUAACAUACAUUUUACUUAGGUUUGAAUAUAUAAAAUAAUUAUAAAUAAUAUAAUAUAAUAUAAUAUACAGGGUUGGUCCAGGAUUGAACCGACCCAAAACUCUUAGGACCGAGGACCAACCCGCACAGUGUUGGUCCUGGAAUUUCAGGACCAAGGACCGACCCAGUCCCCUUAGGAACCGGACCAGGACCAGCAGGGUUGGGCCAGUCCAGGGUCGGUCCAGGGUCAACCCUAGACCGCUGCUCACCCCUACUGUGUAGACCACGAAACACUUUUACUAUUGACAUCGCAUCACACAUGAAAAAAGUAUCUAACUUUAUUUCCGUAUUGGGUCUGUGUCUUUCUUAACAUGGAGUUUUUUUUUUCCCCCUUUUUGGGUCAGACUCUUAACAUGGAUCGACGGACCCUAAUUCUACAGAAAAACUCCUUUUUUAUAAAGUAAGAAAUGCUCACCGCCUAUUUUGCUAUAAUUUAUCAUGUAUCAUUGAAGCAAUGCACUUAAUGGUUGCUGUGGUGAGACACCGCUGUAGUGGUCUCUACUCUCAUUUCUCUGACCUAACGCGUUGGUUUUUAUUUUGCUGUGGUUUGAAAAUUAUUUUUGGGAAUUUAUUUUUUGACUUUUAGUGUUUGGAUGAGGGAAAACUAAUCGGAUCUACCGAAAACAUUUUCCAUGGACUGAAAUUAUAAAUUUUUAUUGGGACAAAAUGAUUUUCUCUUCUAGCAAGAAAGGGAGCCUUAAUCUUCUCUAAACAUUUUAGUGAAAAAUUUUCAUCAUCCACAAAAAUUUCUGGGUAUAAAUUGUUGUAAAAAAUGAAAAUAUUUUUCAUUAAUUAAUUAUUUCAAGUAAUACAACCGAUCAAUUCUUGGAAAAUAUUUUCCAAAUCAUUUUUUUUUUUUUAUAAAAUAAACAAAGCUUAGGAAUGGUUUGUUGUGGAUGCUUAGGAGGUGUACUACAUGCUAAUGGCCUUAAAAACUUUGACAUCUUUAGUUAAGAAUGUAAUUUGCGUACAUCGAAGGGAAAUUGUCCAAUCAAUUUAAACUAUGCUCUUAAAAUUGAGUCUUGAAGGGCAUUUACGUAAUAGUUGUCUGAAUGAGCUUUUCAACCCAAGUGCAUUCAGCCUCUACUCAGGGACGGAGGAAAUAUGAGAUGAAGUUAUGUUACUUGAAUUAGCAUUUUAUCGAGGUAUGUAAUUUCCACCACUUCCAUAUUUUAAAAAAGUGCAUGACAUGAUUUGCCGAGAAGAAGCUACACUGUGACAUGGUUUGUUUGUUUUGUUUUUUUUGUUGUUCUUUUUAUAGCAUUUUAAGCAUAUAAGUAGAUAUUCUUAUAUGGCACGCUCUUUUAAAAAGUUAGAUCAAGCAUUGGAUAUUUUUGAGCCUCUCUAAUCUGGAAAUAUUCUAAACUGAAAUGCUAUAUAUAUAUAUAUAUAUAUAUAUAUAUAUAUAUGUAUGUAUGUAUGUAUGUAUGUAUGUAUGUAUGUAUGUAUGGGGGCGCGCCGAAUAAAUAUUUUUAAAAAAUCAUUAAUUUUGGGUGAAGGCUUGGUCCUUCAUUUCUUAAAAAGGAUGGCUGGGCAAUCCCUUCCUUCUCUCUGUGGAUGUGAGUUACGGCAACUAUUAAGAGAAAUGAAAAAGAUCCAGAGUACUCGACUCAUAUAAGUUCGAUUUAUAGUUCUAUGUGUGUUCUUAGAACGGCGAGAUUGAACUUGGAGAUAUGCCAAGCGGUCUUUGAAUUGGAAAAAUCGCCCGGUUUGAUUAAUACCUAUGUCCCCAUGUGAUCUAACUUACCGAAUCAAAAUGCAAGUUGGCCUUUGAAGCGUUGGUCUCUACAAUGGUAUGAGCGAGACCUGGUGUCGAUCGUCUUCUUUCACGAAAGCCUUCGAUUCUCCUCGGAGAUCAAUCAAAACCCAGAGCCGACCAAGUAAACUGGAAAAUCCUCUGAGGGAAAGUGGAGAUGGUGGGAGGUCUGCAAGGAGCGAGCAAGAGGCGACCGAAUGCCGUCCGGACGCAAGCAGUGAUCGUGAGCUCUCGCGAGAGAAUUGGACGACGUCGUCGCGCAAAUGGGGAGAUAGAGAGCCACGCGACCUCAAAACGCACAGGAAUUGGAGCCAAAAAAGCCGGUUGGAUCCACCAGCUUCGAUCGUCGCUGCCAAUGCCGUCCAAGACUCCCUCUGGUUAGUUGAACAACCGAUCGUGACCGAUGAUCGCUCCUCGCUGAGAUAAAAGCUCUUUGUUCUGUUUUGAGUAUCGCACGUGUGAAAUAGAGACCGAGAGCUUUGUUGUUUGCUAGCAAUGAAAAUUGUUCACGUCCGAGAUUAUAUUACUAACAACUGCGAUUCGGUCUUCAUGAUCUCGUGCUGAUUGGGCUGUGAUUCUCGCUCUCUCGUUGCUGGAUUGUGCCAUUUCAUCGAAUGCACAUUAAAUGUCUGGUGAAAUGCCUGAGCCGUAUUAGUCUAAAUACGCAUGGUCUUUGUCUGCUUGAAUGACUCAUUGUACCAGUUGGAUAGGUUAAGUAGAUCUAAAUUGAUAUCCACUUUUGAGUCCAUUCCCGAAUGUCUCGGUCUUGGUAGGCUUCCGGUACUCUAAGGCAGAUAAACUCGACUCUCUGAAAUUAGCUAAAAAAGAUGAUUCCGGUACUCUAAGGCAGAUAAACUUGACUCUCUAAAUUAGCUAAAAAUGAUGAUAUGCUGAAUUGUAAAUACUCUGUCGAUGGUUGCUGGUGCGCUCAUGAAGCAUAGGCUGAUCAUGGAGACUAAUACAUUGUAGUGUGGAUCCCAUUUGCUGUACAUAUCUUUUUCUAAUAGUGAAUUCCAAAUCACGUCUUCUCUGCGAGUGAACGUGAAUAUGUGUUCACCGGAUGAAAAGAUAGUGUGGCAGCCGCCAUGUUCUUGUUGCAAAACUAAAUGACAAAAAAGGUAGAAUUGAAAAGUAGUUGGAAAUUUUUUCUAAAAAAUAAAUAUGAAACGUUAUAAAAAUAUAUAUAGUAGACUCGCGUCCUCACAAAUCUAAAAUGAUGCAGAUCUAUUAGAAAACUCGAUACGUCUAUAAUCAUAGGCAAUGUAUAGCUUUUUAUAACUCAAAGGGAUGAAUAGACUCAAAGCUCAUGGAACACCCUAUUAUAAGAUAAAUAGUUACAAAAACAGGCCAUACUAUUUCCACACUCGAAAUGGAGGGAAAGGUUGAAAGGGAUUAAAAAAAUGCAAGAAAUGUUCUCAUAUGAGUGGAGAGCUCCAUUUAUUUCUAAUUCACUUAUGAUCAAACCAUCAUCAGAGCCAUUAUGCCAUUUCAAAAUAGAGGCAAAAUCCCAAGAAAAUCAUCAGUUUGACAAGUUCUGGAAAUUCUCUCCCUAACUUUUUAGAUAAUAAUUUCCAAUAAAUUGGACAAAUUGCGUCACCCUAAGUUAAAAAAGAUGAAUAGUGCUAGAGACACUCAUAUUGACAUAUUCAAUUGGCUCAAACUUUAUAAUACUCAAACAAUAAAUAGAUUUAUAAAAAUUAGAUAAUGUCACCAUUUUGCCACAUCUAAUGGAAACUGAAGGUGGCAUUGGUAAAAAAUCUUCCAACAAGGAAUGCGUUCAUCAGUAGUUAAGCGCACAGGAGUUGACUUAUUGCUCUCAGACAUUUCGAAAAAGAGACUAACUCGAGCUGUUCAAGCCCAACAUCUUGACAACAUUCAAGAGGGUUUGAACCACAGCAGCAUCUGCUACCUUGGAAGCUGCUCUAGGUUAUUAAAGAGUUGAGAUUCGAGGUACUAACCCCCUUUUAAUUACAAUGGGCAUGCCUUUUCAAAGGCUUGUUGCUCUUUGCGGCAUAAAUCGAACUCGUUUGUGUGGUAAUACAUGCAACCAACAUAAGCAUCCAUCUCUUUUGUGCACCUCUGGUGAAGAUCUUUCAGUCUGCAUAGCCAAAAAUACAUGGUUUAGAUACUGCAACGGAAAGUGGUAAGUAAAAUGCAACAGCUACUUUUAUCAGUUGAAAGAGGUAUAACAAAUUUUUCAGCACCUCCAUUUAAGUUUCCAAAAAGUCCAUUUGUAUCAGACUUCUGUGGGCGAACAUCAUGAAUCAUUGACAGUAAAGCUUAUAGCCAGUUUGUAUUUGCCAAUGCAAGGGUUGUGCAGCCCAAAUAUGAAGACAGUAAUGCAACGACUAAGAGGCUCACAAGUAUGUCUGCAUCUAAAACUAUGAAAAGAAGUAGACUGCAUUCCUCUCACUUGAAAUUGAAAGUGCAGAGCCCAUAAGUCAGUCACCAAGCCGUGUGCUCUGUAUAUCAAGAUCAUCAAGUAUCUAGAAUGAAAUCCCUAUCAAAUGGUGUAAGCAAAGUCUACUGAUCCAAGCAAAAGUCAUAGAUCCCGCACACAUCUUUAUUGAGAGAAAACUCAACCAUACUGAUUCUAAAGCACUAAGUCUUAAAUGCUGCACAAAACAGAAGCCCGACCUAUAUGACUACCUUCAAAGCAGAAAUAAUUGUUCUACCAAGAGAUUUGGAAUUAGGAUCCAGAACUAAGACCCAAGAUACUACUCAACUACAUUUGAUUUAACCAAAAUGAUAAAGAGGUUUAAGGAAGGAAGCUCCCAGCCAAAUGUGAAAGGAGCUCCUUGUGAAGUACUAUAUAUGGUGGUGUAUGAACGAAUGAAAUAAGGGAUGGUCGGUGUUGAGAAAGGAAUUGAAUCAAAAGAAGAAUAUUCUUAACUUUUGAUUCUGAUGGAAAAAUGGAAUGCCCCUUGCUUGUGUUUUUUUUUUUUUUUCUCAAUUCCACUUGAAUGUUCCUUGCAUUAAAGUGGCAAAGCUAAAUGAGUCUUUUUCCCCAAAUGUACCUUUCCUUCUCUCCCUCUUUUACUUUUACGGAAGAGACGAAUUUGAGAAAAAAAAAAACAAGCAAGGGGCAUUCCCUUGGAAUUCUUGCUCCUAUCCUAACAAAAUUUUGUUCAAUUCUUAGUGGAAUGUGGAUGUAAAGAAGACUAAAUUGUCCAUCAAAAUCCAUUCAAAAGAUUGCAUGCUUAACCACAUAUGAAAAUGGAUAACUAAAAACUGGCCAAAAGGGAAUUGAGAAGCGACCCCAUGUCAGAUACCCAACACCAUGUUCUGUGUUCUCCAGACCAUUAAUGACUCCCUUACGAACUCAUAUAGGGAGGAGAUGAACUUGAGAAAACACACAAGCAAGGGGCAUUCUGUUGGAAUUCUUGUUCCUAUUCUCACAAAAUUGUGUUAGAAACUUUGUGGAAUGUGGAUGUGAAGAAAACUAAAUUGUACAUCAAAAUCCAUUCAAAAGAUCGCAUGCUUAACCGCAUAUGAACAGGCAUAGCUAAAAACUGGCCAAACGGGAAUCGAGAUGCGACUGUACGUCAGAUACCCGAAACCAUGUUCUGUGCUUUCCAGACGUAUUAUGACUACAUAUCGAACUCGGUAUGCAAACUACCUUAUACCAAAACCUUUCCCAAUACUAUUCUUAGUUGCUAAUGAUUCCAACUGCCCAUUUUCAAGACAUUCACAAGCAACUAAGAAAAUCCCACGCUCUAUUCUUUGGGGUUUUCUCAGCAACAUUCCCCAAACCAUAUAUGCCAAUCAAACGACGCAAGAAAUGCCCCCACUUCCUCGCAUUUCAGAUAAGCGAACAAACGAUGCGGCAACAACAAGAACAACAAUCAUAUCGAAGGCGACCGCGACUGAAUCGGGGAGCCGCGAGAGAAAUAGAGAAUCACGCUCACAGGUGGAGCACGCAGCGGGUGACUUGCUGGCCCUUCUCGAGGCACUUCUCCGGGUUCGGGUCCUUCUGCUUGCACUUGAGAAAAGCCACGUUCUCCGACAGGCAGCUCGCCCCGAUGUGCAUGGACGACGCCGUCAGCACCGCCGACGUCGGGAUCGGGCCCCCGGCGGCGUCCAGGGACGUCGCCAUCCCGGCCGACAUCGAAUUCCUCUUGGGUUAUCUUCUCUUCCUUCUUAUUCUUCUUCCCUGCGGCAGAGAAGAUGGGUGAAGCAGAUUCUUCUUCAACGAAUGCGUGAUCCGGGAAUUCAAGACCAAGAGAACUCCAGAUCGAAAGGAGAGAUCUUUGAAUUUGUGGGCAAAGUCGUCAUCUUUACCUGAUUGACCGUUCGCAGUUGCAGUACAGAGUGAGAGAGAGAGAGAGAGAGAGUGGAUUCUGCAGUGAUAGAUGAUGAUAUUCUCAACAUCCGCAGUGAAAGUAAUUAUUUUUUUCUACAAAUGAAAUGUUUGUUAAUGAGAAUUUUAGAAGUUUUUUUUUUGAACUAAAAUGAGAAUUUUAGAAUGGCCAAUUGAUAAAAUCCAUCUCAUGUCGAGGUGUUUUUAUGUUUCCAAGAAAUAUCUGUACUUGGAAAAAAAAUCAUUGAUAAACUUAAAUUAUACUAUCAAUCCAUCUUAUGUCGAGGUGUUUUUAUGUUUCCGAGAAAUAUCUGUACUUGGAGAAAAAUCAUUGAUAAUCUUAAAUUAUACUCAUUGUGAUAUACUUAUUUUUCCUUUUUGGUGAUAUGAAAAAUUUAAAUUUGUAUACAUGUGAUAAAUUUAUUCUAAAACUAAAGAUCCCGAACAUUUAUUCUCAUGACACAUUAUAUAUAGAGUUUUUUAUGUCAUUAAAAUAAUUAUAAGUUUGGGAUUUUUUGGGGUAUAAGUUUAGAGUUUUUCAUGUCACAAAAAAAUUUAGUGUAAAUAUAUCAUAACGUGCAUAGUUUAAGGCUUAUUGUUGCCUUUUCCCUUACAUAUAAAUUGAAGUUUCACAAAUUAGAUUUCAAAUUUACUUUCUUGAGAGAUUUAUAAUUAAUGAAAUUUGGGAUAAUAUUAAGGGUUAACACUACAAAAAAAAAUCUUAAAUUAAUAUACUUGUGCCGCAUCCAAAUUAAUUUUGGCGCCACAAAAAAUUUCAAAUUAGUAUUCUCAUGAUAUAUUUAUCCUAAAUCAAUUUUCAUGACACAAAAUCAUAAAUCGGUACAUUCAAGUUGCAUUUAUCACAUUUUCCUUAGAUUCUAAUAAAUUUUAUUACAGAUGUAUUACUUUGAAAUUAUGUACUAGGCUGGAAUUUUUGGUAGUAUCGUUCCUAAAAUUAAAUUUUUUUUCUUCCAGCCUUAUGUUUUUUCAUCAACCCAAGUCCCGACUUGUCCCAAGAAAAGCCAAAGUCAGGUUUUAAAGAGGCACUCUCGUAAUUUUGCGGACACAAGCAUUUCCAUUUACGAGAGAUAAAUUCAGAGGUAUUGCGUUAAUUUUUUAUUUUUUAUUUAUCUCUGAUUAGUGUUUAUAAUCAAUUCUUUACUUGUGUUCUCAUGUAUUUGUAAAAUGAAGUUCAACUAUAUGUGUUUGUGCUGAAAUUACAAGAGUUAGGCUCGGCGGUUGAUUGUCGUUUGAGUUCAUCGAACUGGAAAUGUCGGUAGAAUUGCGUUUCUUGUGCCUUAGACAGACACAAGCGAUUAAGAAAGGAACACAAACUUGAUCUUGAUUCUUGGAUUUUGAAGUCCAGGUUUAGGACGAUUCGGACACCCGAUCGUAGGCUCUUGAAAUUGAUGGCAGGAUUUCUCGAGCUAAAAUUAUAGAUUAUAUUAAAUCAAUACAUUGUUGGGAAGUGAAGGCAUAGAAGAUUGAAGAAUAGGAAAAUUGGAAGUCAAAGUAAAUUAUAAGCCUCUGAGAAUACCGAUAAUCAUAGGCCUAUUCGUCGUGGCUCUAGCCAUUUCGGCCGUGGCAACAGAAUCAGCUCUUAUCUCAUCAAAUUUAAGCUUCCUUUGUUUUAGGGAAGAUGGAUAAUUGAACCUUAAGGGAUGAGAUAAGUUGUGGAUCCGAGAGAACCAUAUUGAAGUUUGAAAAUAGCGUAACGAACACUGUUUUUGCACUGAGAGUAGCCUGGAUGGUACCAAUGCCCUGAAAAUAAUGACUUAUAUUGCUUAAAAUAAUUAGUAAAUGGAAAAAAAAAAUACUUUCAUCAUCCCCAAUCAUUUAUGUCCAAAUAUUUUCUGGGAUCAUGAAAAUAUUUUUCAUUUAUUCAUUAUUGUAAGAAAGUUAAGCCAUCAUUUUUAAGAAGAUAUUUUGUAAAUUAUUCAUUUUUCGCAAAAUAUUUUGUGAGCCUUACAUAGAACUGAUUCCAAAUGAUCCUCUCAUUUUGACAGUUUCGAUCUCCUUUCAAAGAAAUUUUUUUUUUUUUCCUUAAACUUGCGAACGUAGUCUAACAUUUGUUUUGGCGUUUUGUCUACUAUCCAAGUCAAAUGAGAACAAAGAGAAAGAUAGAACCGACGCGUUUAGAGUGGAAUGCUAUUACUUUUGGAAUGAUAAUGGGUGCCGCCUGUUUGAUCUAAUGCUACUCGAGUUCAUAAAAAUCGGAAUGGGGAUUGAUGGAUCCCGUGAAGAUGGAGAAAUCGCUGGCCUUGUUGGAGAAACAGGCGAACCUCUUCAUGGAGUCUUACCGGCGGGCCAAGACAGCAAAGAAAUAGACAACAANNNNNNNNNNNNNNNNNNNNNNNNNNNNNNNNNNNNNNNNNNNNNNNNNNNNNNNNNNNNNNNNNNNNNNNNNNNNNNNNNNNNNNNNNNNNNNNNNNNNAAAAAUUGUGUAGUUAUCAAACGCAUUUAAAUGCUCAAAAACAUGUUCAAAAUAGAAAUAGGAAAAAUUGUUCCCAAAAACAGAAAUAUUACCAUAUGUACCCUAAGUGCUAUUAGAAAAGUAGAAGAAAAGAAAAUUGAAGAUUUAAUUAUUAGGGCAAUAGCCAGAUAACUCUGUCAAGUAUAAAAUAUGCAAAGAUGCUGCUUGCUUGGAUACUUUUCACAAGUAGUAAAAUAUCAGGUAAGUUCUAACCAUCAACCCCCUCAAAGCAACAAGUACUAAACUAUCCACUAGCUGGGUUCUGAAAACUUAUUUGCUACAUUAAUAAUUCUACCGAAAAAGACCAUUUGAAGGAUUAAGUAGUUCAUGUUUCUCAUUAUUGAUCAAAGAGCGGGGUACAUGACUGUAAUCCAUAUUGAGUGCUUAAAACCUUUUGACUUUUUCGAUGACCUAGAGGAAAAAACAUAACCACGGUGAAGCCAGCAUUGUCCGGUACUUGAAUUUGAAAUAGUUAGCCUCAAAUUUCACCGACGACUUCUACACAACGUUAUGACCAUUUAAAAAGAAAAGAAGUGAAGUCUACAGAUAAAAAGUGAAGCCAUCCCAUUUCAUCAAAGCAGAGCUCACAAUAAGAACGUGAUGCACUCAUACUAGAAGAAAAGACUUAAGCUAACAACUUACACCAACCUAUAUCGUCAAUCAAAUGCUAAACAAACAAUAAUAACUCGAAAUGAAAUUACUAGACAUGGCACAACCUUGAUAUUCCCGGCUGCUUUGAUGGCUGCAACAAUCCUGUCUUGGUCUUCUAGCUGUGCUCGCCCCACAGCAGAGAUUACCACAUCAACUUGCUUAAUCGCACUCAACAGACUCUUUUGAUUGUAUAUGUCUCCCUAAGAAUCAAAUAACCAUGAGCAUGGAAAAACAAUCAAUAAAGUGAGCAAUCAUCAACCGAUCCAAUUUUGGCCAGUAGGAAGACUACGAAAAAGGAGAAAUACAAAUGCUGAUAAGACUUCAAUACCUUCACCAGACAAGAAAAAGUGUUAUGAGAAAUUAAAAAAAAAAAAAAAAAGCUGCUAUCCACAGAAUUCUUGUCCAUGCAUUACCUACCAAUCUUUUGAAAGGUUACAACAAGGUAUUUGCAAUGGCAUCUGAAUUACAGAUCAGCCACAUGUACUUCUGUAUAAAAAUUCAUCUACACAGUACGAAACAUAUGGAAAAUUUCAUAAGAUUUGCCUAAAAAUGGAAACUUUCACAAGAUUUGUCUAAAAAUGUACUCGUUCGUUUCAGCAUGCGAAGCUAAGGGGAUUCCUCAGUCAGUGUGAAAAAUGAGAGGGAGAUUGUUUCUGGUUUCACCAACUUACGAGGCCGAAAUAUCAGAGAAGAAAAAAAGGAACGCCGAAUUCUGACGUGACUCCAUCAACUCGAUCUUGUGAAAGAUUGAGAUGAAAAUCGACUCCGAUACUACUGGUUAAAGACAUUUCUCAGAAUUCCGAGCAUGAUCAAAUGGCAAGGGACGCUUCGAUUCCUCGAAGCAGCACCAAAUGUGGGAAACGACCAAAUCACACGGGAAUAACUGCUCACAUGGACUAGGUUCACGUUUAAGCUCUUGAAACCUUCGAUGAUUUCGGCCUUGGCGGGGUUGGAGAGAGUGGACUCCCUCACAAGAGCAAAGGUAGGGCGACCGGACUUAGCGCUCGCUUUCACGAUGAACUUUCCAAUUUCUCCGGUGCCUCCGAUCACCAGGACUCUGCUCUUCUCUGCCAUCUUGGAGGGUCUUUUCACAGCGGGCGUGGCGUUUUCCAGCAAACUUGAUCGGGGAGAGAGAGAGAGAGAGAGAGAGAGCUAAAAGGCGGGGGUUCCUGUCUUCGUGAUGGGACGGAGUGUCAUUGGAUGAUUCUGGAAGGGCAUAAUCGUCUUUUCAAUGAAAUAAUUUUUCUUAUUGAGGUAAUCCUUUACUAGAAAAAGGGUACAUGGAAAGUGGGAAUAGAUAGAAGAUAACCAUUUCGUUUCAUUUUAACUUAAAAAAAGAAAAGCAAGAAAAUUUAAUUUUGAUGUUGCUAUAAAUUUAAGUAAUCGUAAUUGAUGAGGAAGUAGUUGAAACUACUUUCUUUACGUUGACUUUUAUCAUAUGAAAAGAAAAGAAAAAGAUUAUAAAAUGAGCAAUGAGCUACUCUACAUCCAUAUGGUAGCAUGAUAUCAUAGAGCUUCAUAGCCGCUAUGCUAUUAUUUUGAGGUUCAAUGAAUUCUUUUUCUUGGGAGGGUUGAUCACAAGAUUACCCUUCUUUAAUUAAUUGACCAACACAAGAUUACUAUAUUUGUAAUUCAUAACCUCUAUGUGAGAAAAAAGCAGCAUUACGAGUGUCCAUAUAUGUAGUGAUUAGUAAUAAGUUAUUAAACCUUUGACAUCAAUACCAAUUCAAUUUUAAAUAUUUCGAUUUGGUCAAUUUAGUUCUAAACUUUUUAACAAUUUACCUUGCGAUACAAUCUUACGUAGCAUUGAUACUGAUACAUGAUAUGAUAUGAUACGCCAAUACGUCAUUUCCGACACAUUGGGACAUGUAUAUUAAAUGUCAAAUUAAUUAAUUUAAUUCAAAUUCACAAAUAAAUAAAUAAUAAAAGAUAUUAGAAUGAAUUUACACUAAAAAUCGUGAGUCCUAGGAAGUGAAAGUUAAAAGAGAAGAGAAAAGAAGACUAAAUUUUUCUUUUUUUUUUUUAUUAUUAUUUUUAUUACUGCUCACCCGAAAUAUAUCGAUGCCUAAGUUCUUGAAACCUUCGACGAUGUCAGCCUUGGCGAGGUCAGAGAGAGCGGACUCCCUCACGAGAGCAAAGGUAGGGUAACCGGACUUAGCGGUCGCUUCCACAAUGAAUUUCCCAGGUAUCCAAUGUCUCCGAUUACCAGGAUUUUGCUCUUCUCGGCCACCUCGGAGGGUUCCUUCACAGCGAAGGUGCGGUUUUGCCCAGAGAACUUGCUCGCUCUCGUGCUGCGACUAUUGCCUGUUGGCGCGCAUCGAGAUGAAUCGUCAUUUUAUUUUGGUUCCAAAAGGGCAUAAUUCUCUUUUUCGGUGAAUUGACUUUCCCACCCCCGUCAUACUUCGCUCGGAAAAUGAGUAGAAGCAAAAGUGGGCCACGAAAGUUGGAAGAAAUUUACGGUGGAAACUGAGCACGUGCAAAGUACGUAUCUAUCGAUUUUGUGGAAUUUGGACGAUGACGAAAUAUUUUUUGAAACAACAACUCGACUUACUAAAAGUUGCCUGUAUUUGAUGAAGAAAAUUGAUUGUUGCGUCAACAAAACAUCCAUCGAGAUAGAAAAGAAAUUUUUUUUUUUUUUUUUUGAGAUAGAAAAGAAAUUGACGGCCCUAACUUAUGCUGGCUGCAUGUUCUUCAAGGAAUUCAAGAAGGAUAUCUUUUUACAGUAAUUGAUUGUUACUUUCUGACAAAAAAGCUAUUUUAUGUUUCUUCAUUAAAUAUUCUCGAUUUACGGUGGGUUUGGAAAAAAUUGAGCCAAACACACCCCUAAUUAGACAACAAUCCACAAAAUGCUGGGCUUUUGGGAUAAGAAUUUGGCUCAAGAGUCAUCCAGAUUGAUGGCGCAUGCCUCUUUUUGUUCGUGUUUGUUCCCUGCAGUCUAUAAAAGUCCCGGAAACAUUAAUGAUAACUCUACAUUGUGAGGAGUUUGUCAGUCGGUUUACGCUUGUUUUAACUUGUCAUUCUUUAAGAUUAUCCAUAAUCAGGCCACGAUGGAAAUUUCAAUCCUGCUGACACGUUAAGUAUCUAACUUCAAAACAGUGAUCGUCCACGAACUAUUUAGACUUGAAAGACAAUACAAUAUACAAAAAUAGAGAAACCCGUGUCUUUGUGGUAGCUCAGCUUGGCCCAUGAACCCAAUAUCAAUCUCCAAAACAUAAGUAAUUUCUCCAAGCACUUCAUAGGAUGUCCUCAGCCUUUGGGGUUGUACAUUGCAUGUGAUGAUCAGCGAAAGCAACACUUCACACUAGGAUCAUGAGAAGCAGCAUCUUAUAUUUUUUUAUGAUUCAAGCCGAUGUGAGAAAUUUAUCAAGCACAAUCGGGUUCGAUAAUCAGACAAACUGAUCCAAAUACUAAUCCACAAUUGUGGAUUUGACAUUAGUGUAGAGCUCUAAAGCUUCCACUCAAAAUGAUGGCUCAAUCUCGAAGCUGAUUUAAUCUCCUUUCAUGAAAACAUAAUGGAAUACUACCAAUAUCACAUUGAGCAGAACCACCACCUCUGCAAUGACCGGACAAGUUUUAAAUCUUAGAGAGAAUAGAGACGAUUCACGCGCUUAAAUCCAAUAGAAAUGCAUCCCUAACCUUGAAUAUUCUUCAGAACCUCCUCCUUCGAAACAUACACCCUCUCUAGAGUCCUGCCGAUCUUUCUCUCCCACAAUGACACGAGCUCACUAAAAGAGUAGGUGUUGGCAAGAGGUUUGAUGUACAGAAUUUUGUUCAAGAUCCUUGGAUCAUCCACAACUUUAAUGGUGUAGGUGCCAAUGUCAUCCUCCUUGUUAAACACCACUGCAUAUUGGCGUGGAGAGUUUUAGAAUUUGGCUAAUAAAUAAAUCACAGAGCCAUUGAUCUUCCUAGGGUUACUUUCGGCUCGAAUUGAAGAAGAAUUCUCUCGGUAAACAGAUUCAUCAAACAACCGGCAGACAGAUGCAUCCAUAUGUUCUUUUCUCAACGAAAUACAUGAAGAGAACCUUCACGAUCUGCCCACUAGGUGGUAUUAUGCCAAGAUAAACCACAACACACUCAUAUCAUCUACUAGGCUCUUAAGGUGAAGACUAAUGGAUGUAAGAAUCCUAAUAUCUCCAGACAAGGACGUUGCCCUGGAAUUCUCAAGCUUCAAGAACUGCCCCUCACACUAAUCACUACUGUAAUUAAAUCGUGAUUAAUGUACAGAAAAAUCUUAACUAGCGAGAUUAACGGCAAGGGACACUUCAGUUGCUCAAAGGAGCAUCAAAUGCGGGAAACAAACAGGAUUGCAUAGGAAGAACUACUCACAUGAACUAAAUUGACGCCUAAGCUCCUGAAUCCUUCAGUGAUGUUGGCCUUGGCAAGGUCGAAGAGAGUGGACUUUCUCACGAGGGCGAAGGUAGGGUGACCAAACUUAGCACUCGCUUCCACGAUAAAGUUUGCUUUAGGUCUUUGCUCUGCUUAUAAUUUUCUGGUGAGAGGAGCGACUGGACAGUUAUAGACGCUUCCACUGCAUUAUAGCAACCAUAAACAAAAGUCUCCUAAAAAUCAAUCGGUCAAUUUCGUUAAAGUCACUAAAGAAUGUCCAACCUUUUUGUAGGAACUUGUCAGAUAAUGCACACUUCAAUCCGAAAGUCCUUGGUUGUCAAUCUGAUUGGUCACAUACUUGACAUGUGUCCCUCCCUUAAUAGUAGCUAUCCCAUUCACCAAGCUGAACUGUUUUAGAAUUCACAAUGUUAAAUUCGUUCAGUAGCUAUCUAGCUCUAUAUUCGCCCGUUACAGAAGAAAGUAUUCAAACUACCUAUUGAAACUGUCCUUCGCUCAGGCUUAGACAGACUUCCACCACUCCUCACAGUCUCCUGAAUACUGAUCCAAUCAAGUAAAUUAAGUAUUCAGAAUACCAUUCCGAACUACAAAAUGACACUAAUCAGACAAAAAGAAAGGAGAGAACCUUGGGAGGAAGGAACGUUCUGGUUUUAUUUUCAUAGGCAUAUUUGAGACAGACGCAUGUUUUCACAGGAACCCUUUUCCCGUUCACCUCGAUCUUCUCUGUCUUCCCGAGACACCCAGCCAAGUCAAUCACACGCUUUUUCAUCAAAGCAACCACAUCAUCUUCAAGGUGGGUCAUGUUAAACUUUGCCAAGUCUGGCUUGAAUGAGACCUUGGUCCAGUUUCCGCCUGCCUCGCAUGCCUUAAUAUCAGGUGGGCCUUUCAAUCUCAUGUUUUGUUGAGAAAACCUUUAAAUCAGUGGAACAGAUCAGUAUAGGAGUUCAACCAAAGCAAUCCCGCUAACCCAAUGAAAACCAAAAUGCAGUCCUAUUACUGCUAAACCCACUGCUGAGAACACUCGACAGUCCCUGAUCGCGAACCCACCUGUUCCAAUCGAAAUGUCCUUGCCCCCUGCCCCUCCCACUCUGCUUGAAGGGAAUGUGCAGGCUGUAGACAGAACGUGAGACAACCCCCUUUUUAUCAAUAGGCCCGAUGCUGGUUGUACUUCUCCAGGGGAGAAUUUUUCAGAACUACAGAAGGAUGCAGUUUCUGCUACUGUUAUUGCACCGACCACUAAAGCUUCUGUUGCAAUGGCCUCUGGUUGUGAUGGUAGUCAGGAGGUGGCGUGCUCUGCUAGUAUUCCUCCCGCACUUGCUGACCCGGGGUGGAAGCAAGUUACAAAAAAGAAAAAGGCUCAGGUGAGCAAAGAAGCUGCCUCUUUUAGCCUAGCCCCGCCUAGUGAAGGAGGCCAACUGAAAGGCUCUACUUCUGUUAAAGCUGGUACUGCUUCGUUGCCUCGUAAGAUUGCUGGAGUCUCUAAGGCCGUUGUAGGCUCUUCUCUGGCAAAAGCGAAGGCUUCUCCUUCCAUCCUGCCUGAAUGCUCAGAUGAGAUAGCUAACUCCAGCAUCCAUGCUGGAUCGGAUGAUGAGAACCUGCUUUCGGUUGGUUGUCCCUCGCCAAAAGGUCCACCUACAAGCGUCUCGGAUGAGACGAUACAAGAUAAACUUCUGCUUUUAUGCCUGGAUCCUCCUCUUUCGGUGGCUCCUCCUCCGACAACUGCUCGGAAAAAGACCACUAAAAAGAGGUAAUCUCUUCCUCUCUCCUUGUAAAUAUGUAUAUAGCUGCUUGGAACAUUAGAGGCCUUUGUGAUCCUCUCAGAAGGGCUGAAGUUAGGAGAUUGGUCUCCACUCACAACCUUUGCUUUAUUGGUCUCAUUGAGACUAAAGUUCCCAAGAAUGCUUUUGAUUCUAUAUCUUCCUUCUUGUUGAAUGGCUAGAAAUGGGUUGUAAAUUAUGAAUUCUCCCCUCGUGUUAGAAUAUGGGUUGGAUGGAACCUAGGGUAUGUUAGUUAUGAAACCUUAUCAAUUAAUGACUAGGCUAUUCAUGGCCAUCUGAGGCUUACCUUAACUGGUAGAGUUUGCUGUGUGACUAUAGUAUAUGAGGAACAUUCUUUUAUUCAUCGAUGGCCACUUUGGGAGGACCUUCUCCGUAUGAACAAUCUUAUGCAGGAAAUACCUUGGUUGGUUGCCGGUGAUUUUAACACCAUUAAGGAUCCUUCAGACCGUUUCGGUGGUUCCAACAAUUGGAUCCCUUACUUUGAUGAAUUCAGCAAUUGCUUAGCUCAAUCUGAUUUGGAGGAUCUCAGGUAUGUCGGUCUUCGAUUUACUUGGUUGACCUCUACUGGAGCUACUAGAAAGAUGAGAAAAAUUGAUCGUGUCUUGGUUAAUACUAAAUGGAAUUCGGAUUUCUCGUACUCGGAGGCCUCUUUCUUGAACCCGGGCAUCUUUGAUCACUCUCCCAUGGUUGUCAGAGUACUCAACUUGAUUCUUACGAGAAGACCUUUCAAGUAUUUUGAUUUUUGGUCAAAGCACUCCGACUUUUCCUCCAUCAUUCAGCAAAUUUGGUAUAGACCGGUCGAUGGAGUUGCCAUGUUUAGACUUGUGUCUAAGCUUAAAACGCUGGAAGGACGACUUAAACAAUUGAAUAGAGAAGCCUUCUCGAAUAUUUCAGUGAGGACAGCGGAAGUUAGAGAGGCUCUUUGUCUUACUCAACUUGAUCUUCACCUCGACCCAAAUUUUUCUGAUCUUGCAAAUCUUGAGAAGACGCGUCGCAAACUCUGUGGACUUAUGCAGAUAUGAAGAAUCCUUCUACAGGCAGAAAUCAAGAGUUCGAUGUCUUAGGGAAGGCGAUCGAAAUACAAAGUUUUUUCAUCACUCUGUCAAGAGAAGGCAACUCAGAAAUAGGAUCCUUUCGGUAAAGGAUACUUCAGGUGCUUUAAUCACUAACCCUACUAUGGUUCCUCAAGUUUUUGUCUCGUUCUUCAUUGAUCUCCUUUCUCCUCAGAAGGAACUUUCCAGGCCUUCCUUGCAGGAAUUAAAGGGGUUCAUUCGAAGACCAUUGUCGACUGAUCAGAUCAAUACUCUUUCCAGCCCGAUUCUUGACUCUGAAAUUUGGGAUACGCUUUUCUCUCUUGUGAAAGGCAAAGCUCCCAGCCCUGAUAGCUUUAUUGUCGAGUUCUUUAAGCAUUGCUGGGGGAUUGUUGGCCCGCUGGUGAUAGAGGCAGCUAAAGAUUUCUUCUCUUCAGGCCGAUUCUUGAGAGAGGUAAACAAUACUAUACUUGCUUUGGUACCUAAAGUGCCUAAUGCUUGUGCUGUGACAUAUUUCCAACCUAUUGCUUGCUGCAAUAUUAUUUAUAAGCUAAUCACCAAAAUUUUGGCUAAUCGCCUAGCUGCAGAUUUAAGUGAUUUGGUUGAUCCUUUCCAUAAUGCCUUCAUUAAGGGGAGAAGGAUUAGGGAUAAUAUACUGAUGUCGCAGGAACUAUUUGCCGGAUUUCAUCUUGAACCGUAUCUUCCCAAAUGUGCAAUAAAAGUGGACUUCUAAAAAGCCUAUGACACUGUUGAUUGGGACUUCCUUCAACUUACUCUUACGGCGUUUGGUUUUCCUGAUUCUCUUAUUCAACAUAUUAUGGUGUGCAUCCGGACCCUGAAAUACUCUAUUUCUAUCAAUGGAGAGCUUCACAGAUUCUUCCCAGGUGGGAGAGGCCUUCGCCAGGGCGACCCAAUGUCUCCCUACCUAUUCACCCUUGUGAUGGAGAUGUUUUCUGGCAUCUUGAAUGCCCGCACUGCUCUAAAAGAGUUCAAGUAUUUUUGGAGGUGCAAAGCAGUCCAGCCGUCUCACCUUUUUUUUGCCGAUGAUGUAUUUCUUUUCAGUCAGGCUGAUUGGAAUUCCAUCACUGUAUUAAAAAAUGCCUUGGAUUUAUUUUCUUCAUGGAGUGGCUUAAUCUCGAACAAGAACAAGAGCGAAAUUUUUAUCUCGGGUGGGGCCUCUUCUUUGCAGAACUAUAUCCUUUUGGCAUUUGGCUUCCAAGAAGGGAAACUACCAGUGCGUUAUUUAGGAGUGCCUAUCAUCUCCUCUAGGCUUCGGAAAGCAUACUGUAUUGCCUUGAUUGAUUGGAUUACUGCUAGGGCUCAAUCAUGGACUCAACAUUUCCUAUCAUUUGCAGGAAGAUUGCAGCUUAUUAGGUCAGUCCUACAUUCUAUCCAAGCAUUCUGGUCUAGUGUUUUUACCUUGCCGGCUUCAAUUCUUAUUAGCAUCGAGAGAAUUUUCAGACAAUUUUUAUGGAAAGGCACCACGCUUGGCAGAGGUGGAGCUAAGGUUGCUUGGGAUGAAGUUUGCCUUCCCAAAAAUGAAGGAGGAUUGGGUAUUCGCAAGUUGAAGGACUGUAACAAAGCAGCGAUGCUUAAAUAUAUAUGGAUUCUUUUCACAUAUAAAGAAUCCUUAUGGUGUCGUUGGAUUCAUUCCAACUUUUUAAAAAGGAAGAUUUUUUUGAUCUCCUCUUCUCCUACUGUGUGCUCUUGGGCUUGGAGGAAAAUAUUACAUUUAAGAGUAGAAUUUCGGCUUUCUUUCUCCUGGAAAAUUGGGGAUGGACUUUUGGUUUCCUUAUGGUUUGAUCAUUGGCUCUCGAAAGGCCCUCUCGACCAGUUGAUUCCAAAUUCUUUCAUUGAGUCUUCUGGUCUUCCCAAGCAUGCUGUGGUUGCAGAUCUCUUUCCCCCCUUAGGCUAUUCACUCAGAAAUCUUUUAGAAUGCUGGGGAUUUUCCAUUCUGUUGGUUACCUUUGGCCCGGAUCAGUUCCUUUGGCGUCGGCACCCUUCCGGUUCCUUCUCGGUGGCUAGUGCUUGGGAUUGUAUUAGAUCUAAAAACAACCGGGUUCUCUGGGCUUCGCUUAUCUAGAAUAAUGAUAUUGCUCCUAGAUUCCAAUUCAUUCUUUGGUUGAUUACCAAGAACCGGUUGCCUACCUAGGAGUUCCUCCUCGCUUAUGGCAGAAUUGAUUCUAGAACAUGUGCUUUCUAUAAUGAAGUCCCAGGCUCCAUUGAUCACCUAUUUUUUGAUUGUCAUGCUUCGGCUUCUCUUGCCUUCUUUUGGGCUACAAGAUGCAAUUUACCUUGGCAUUUGAGGCCGUGGGUGGAGAUCCUUCCUUGGGCCAUUAAAUUCCUAUCCGAUAAUGAUUUUUUCCACCGUAUCGUUCGCUUCUCUUUUGGUGCCUUAUGCUACUUGAUCUGGAAGAAAAGAAAUGAUAUCAUCUUUUGAGGGGAAACGUUGGUUCUCUUUGCGUUGAAAAAUCACCUUUUAAAGGUUGUCAAGGACAAGUCCAUCACCUUCACCAAUGUUCCGGAUAUUUCGAGGAACAGGCGUCUCCAGAGAAGCCGGAGUCUUGACCCCUCCAUCUUCACCGAUCAUCUUUUGACUUUGCAAUUUGUUCGUGGUUUCUUUCGUAGGCCUGCUUACAAGCUGUCUUCAAGUCUCCGUUCUUUGACUCUUCCAUUGGAGUUGGUUGAGGGUUGUGUGGGCUGUUGCGGGUUGUAGCUUUUGUGGCCAUCUUUGUCUUUUUUUCUUUCGGUUGUUGUUGUUUCCUCCUUUGCUUUGUAGCUUCUUUGCUUCGGCUCGCUUCCACUCUUUUUGCUAUUGCACUUAGAGUGUAAGCUUUGGCGCCAUUUUGUACAUUUGUCCUAAGCUUUAUUUAUUCAUUACCUUUACCAAAAAAAAAAAAAAAACACACACACACACACAUAGGUUUAUACACAAAUGUUUACAAAAGGGAUCGGCUCCCAAUAAAAGAGAAUUGUCCUAUGAUUAGCUAGUCGGACAAGAUCGCCGAUUCUUUGAGCUUCACCUCUUAAACUUCGGGGCUUAUGGUCCUUCACCAAUAUUAUCUAAGGACCUGAAAAUGGUUAUACAAUAACCAGUGAGACAAUAUUUCAGCGAGUUCUACCCCCUAAGACUCGAUUAGGAAGCAAAUACGCCAUAAGGGUUGCCUAAGCACAAUCACAAGUCGGAUGACUUACCUUGAUCUCAGUUCUUCCCUGCAAUUCAACACAAUUCACAAUCUCAUCGAGUCACAUCAACAUAUCAAAUCAUUCACUCAGAUCGACUUAUCGAUCAAUCGACUUAGCCGAUUACAUGUCCAUCAGACUAUUCCCCGAUCAUUCUAAUCAAUACUAUACAUUUUCCAAGAUGAUAUAUCUAGUCACCGAGCCCAGGUGCAUUCUCCAAGAUGACAUAUCUAGUCACCAAGCCCAUGUACAUUCUCCAAGAUGACAUGCCUAGUCACUGAGUCCACGUACAUUCUCUAAGAUAACAUGCCUAGUCACUGAGUCCACGUGCAUUCUCCAAGAUGACAUAUCUAGUUACUAAGCCAAUAUAAUAUAAUGUUCUUUCUCCAAGAUGACAUACUGAGUCAUCAAGUCAAACUAAUAUAAUGUUUUUCUCCGAGAUGACAUACCAAGUCACCGAGCCAACAUGAUAUACGUCUUUCUCCGAGAUGACGUACCAAGUCAUCAAGCCGACAUUUGUUCUCCAACAAUUUCUCACUUUCUAUCAUACUUGGUAAAAUAGCCAUGUGUGGGUACAUGGUUGGCCUUAGCCAAAAUAUAAUAACUUCAUUUCCAUAAAUCUCACCAUUUUAUAUAGUCCACAAAAUAUUUUUGACGUUGUAAACUAACGUUCGGUUAUUUUCCAAUCAAUUACUGAAAUUAAAUCAAUUUAAGAAUAAAUUCCAGAAAUGCAAUUCAUGCACAAUCAGCACAAUUUAAAGCUUAAUUAAAUAAACAAGUUGUUUCACUGCAAUCAGCAUAAAAUUCUGGUCACCGGCUAUUCCGAUCUAAUUUUCAUAAAAUAAAUAAAUAAUUAAAUAAUUACGGAAAUAUAUUAAAUAAAUGCCAAUAAAUCCAACUUAGGCCCGUAAUGCCUAAUUGGACGCCGAAACAGAUCUGAAAAAUUUCUAAGACUUGUUAAAUAAAUACUAGAGUCUAUUUACUCGCUAAUUGCACUAACUAUCCACCUAACAUGUAUUGGUAAUUAAUUAAAUUCACUAAUGUAAUCUAACUAAUCACCUAAUCAUACUUAAUAUAAUCAACCCUUAAGUGUGAUUAACCUACUAAACAAAGAUUAGUAAGUUAAAUUCACUUGUUCGGCGAUCCGGUUGGUGCAAAUCAACGGGGACACAACGGGGCUCGAUUCUCUCCAAAGUGGGCCAAACUUUCAUGGUCCGGAACAACCUCAAAAUGGGCCAAAUCCUUGCUAGAAAACCCACUCCUUAAACUUCUAUUCUUGGCUAGAAAAGAAGAAAAUAGAGGUUGGUUUGGCGAGGUAAGGGUAGUGAAGGUAGUAGGGACACUCGGUGGCCACCGGCAGUGCUUCACGGCGGUUGAACGGGGCGAGAUGGCUCUAAUUGAGCCUGUUGGACGGUGACGCAUGCCUGGAUGACAAGCUGGGUGUGGCUAAGGCAAACGGCACACACGGGCGAAGGCGGAGCAACGAUGGGCUAGCGUGGGGGCGUCGAAUGGCUGCGGUGGCGUGCGGCAGUGACGGGCUGCUCAGCUGGUCUUCUCUGGCUUGCUGCUGGUGUCGAUCAACACAAAUGGAGGUGGGAUGGAGGCUGCUGACCGGUAGGGAUAAGGAGGGGGGCAAGGGGGGUCACUUAGUCUCAUUUUCUCCUUAUUUGUCCUCCAAGACCAAGUCCAACUUGUCCACCAAGCUUGGCCAUCUUCCACUAGCAUUUUCCAGACCCGUUUGCCCCCAUCUAGAAGCUUGAGAGGGUCCAAAAGUCAUGGUGGUGGGGGGCAUACGAAUUUGCUUGAUUCUCUCAUCAAAUGGACACUUAUUCUUGCUUAAUUCAUCACAAACCAGUCUCCAUAAAAUCAACCGAUAUCUCAUUGAUCCAAUUAGUAUUUUUCCUCACCAAUUGAUCCCACUUGCAUCCCAAUUUCGCGAUAAAAAACGAUCCCUGACUUUUUUUUUUGACAAAAACGGCCUUAUGACGAUUUUUUCCCAAAAAGUCUCGGUUUGCAAACAAAUCUCCUAAGACUAAGUCGACGUUCCUAAGAUGAUUUGUAACAUGACAGAACUUUCAAUUUCUGAAAUCGGAUUCAAAUUCGUUGUUAAUUUCACUCUGGCACGUUUUUAGCGUGACCUAGGCUACAAGGUAUCUUUUAGAAAUUUUUAGUGCCAAUGACCCAUGGUCGAUUUUCUUCGAGCCACAAUGAACUCACUCGACACAUUGGUGACUCUCGGUUGUCGUGAAAAUCUCGAGGAUUCAAAUACGAACAUAGGGUACCAAAACGAUAGAAAAAUUAGUUUAAUGUCGGUCGACGAGAAUUUUUCAAUUUAGUGGAGUCACCCAUGUUUAGUCACACAUUUCAAUUGAACCAAUCUAUCUCUAAUUCCUAAUUGACUUAUAUAUGUGCCAUAAUGACCUCUAAAAACAAGUACGGUCGAGUAUUCAAUUCCUGGUCGAAUUCUCCAGUCUAUUGCAUUAAAAUUCCUUAAUGGCUUCCCUAGAUAGUUUAGUUAUCUCAAAGUGAUUAGCUCUGAGAACAGCCCUAUAGGCACGUUGAUGAAAUGUCUGAUUAAUUUAAAUGAAAGCAAAAGUGAAAAAUUCAAGAUGUCACAACAUGCUUAAUUUUGAGUUGAGCACGAGUUCGAAUCCCUCAAGUAUCUUAUCGAGUUGAGUUCGCGCUUUUUGAUACUUAGCUCGAUACCUUAUCGAGCUUUCAUUAUUAAAAGCAUUUGAUAACUAUAAAAAUAUAUAUGAAGAUAUAAUAUCCGAGCUUACAAAAUCGAAGCUCGAGUUUUGAUUGUAAGUUUGACUAUAAUCAAAUUGAGCUAGGGUAUUAUGAAACCCUAAGUGCCUUCGAUCAUUAGGACCUUUGCUCUUAUUAGCCAUCAAAGAGUUUUCCCAACAGGAGGUGUGGUUUUUCUUAGCGAACUUGCUUGGUCUCUGAAGCGACUCUGCCGUACAGAGAGGGUGGGGGGUUCUUGUCUUCAUAAUGGAUUGUCAUUGGAUUUUGAUUCCGAAAGGGGCAUAAUCGUCUUUUUAGUGAAAUAAUCUUACUUGAUGAGACAAUCCUUCACUGGAGAAAGGGCACAUGGAAAGUGGGAAAAUAAAAGAUAACAAUUUUGUCCAAUUUCGGUGAUGAAUAAAUUAAGAUAGAUUUAACUUAACAAAAAACCAGAAAAUUUAAUUCUGAUGGUGCUAUAAAUUGAAGUAAUUGUAAUUGUGAAGUGUUAGGGAUUCUAUUCAAUUAAAUGUCAUGUUUUUACUAUAAAAAAACCCCUAAAUUCGGUAUUCAUAUUACAAAUUUACCUUAAACUAUUUUUUUGAAUAUCAAAAACCUUAAACUGGUACACUUGUAAUAAAUUCACCAAAAACUAAUUUUUUAUCACAAAAAACCCCAAAUUGAUAGAUCCUAACAAAUUUACUCAAAACUAAUAUUUUAACAACAAAAAGCUCCAAACUGAUAAACUUACGACAAAUUUAUCUUCUGUUAACUUCUGUCAAAUUUUACUAUUAAAUUUGCUAACGUGGAUAACACAUGGUAAUGUGUCAUGUCCAUAGGGUAAAUAUCAUGAAAAACUCCAAACCGAUAUACUUAUAACAAAUUUAACGUUACUUUUGUGAUAAAUUUAAUGAUACGCCUAUGAUAAAUUUGGGAUUUUUUGUGACAUUAAUCCAAUGAAUUAUUACAUGGACUUGCUAUGUCACCAUAACAUGUCACAAUGUGUCAUUUACCUUAACAAAUUUAAUGGUAAAAUUUGAUGGAGUUUAAUAGAAGGUAAAUUUAUCACAGUCAUACCAGUUGGGAAGUUUGGAGAUUAUCAUGAGUCUACCAAUUUAAGGUAAAUUUAUCACAAGUAUAUUAAUUUGAGAUUUUUAGUUGUCAAAAAAUUUAUUUAGGAUAAACUUAUUAUGAAUGUACCAAUUUGAAAUUUUUCUUAAUAUUAACCCUUUAAUUUAUUGGCCAAGGUUACUACAUUCGUAAUUUGCAACCUCCACGGAUAAAAGCAACAUUAUGAGAGUUGAAAUGUGAAAUGAUUUAACAACAAUCCUAAACCUUUAAUAUAUCAAUUCAAUUCUCAACUUUUAAAUUUGAUUAAUUUAAUUCUAAAUAUUUUAAAGAUUUAUUUUGCGAUACAAUCAACACUAAUUAAAUAAUGCAACACAAUCAAUGCUAACGUAAAAAAAAAAAAUCAAUUUUAAAAAAAAAAAUCUGAUUUUUUUUUCCUUCCUUUUCUUUUCAUUUCUUCGUACUUUGUUUUCCCUUCUUCUUCUUUUUUUGCUUUCCUUCUUCCCCUGCCAAUUGCCUAGCCUGGGCAAAGGCCACAACAUCCUUGCCAAGGGUUGACCUCAUCGUCAAAGGCUCCAAUUCAUUACCACACCAAGGACGCACCACAUAAAAUAUACAAAAUUAGAGAACCCAAUGCCUUUCCUUUUGCUUUCCCAUAAAUAAAAAACAAUGUCAACUCCAAAAUAGAAGAAACUUCUCCAAGCACUACAUAGAUGCAAACAAAUCGAAUGUUCAUAGUAUGUCCUCAUAUUUGAAGGUUGUACACGCCAUAAGAUGAUCAGUGGGAGCGACAUUUCACACAAGGAUCCUAACAAGCAGAAUCCUAUAUUAUUCAUGAUUCAAACUACUAUGAAAUAUCGACCAAUCCCAAGCAGUUUCAGCCAUUAGACAAAUUAAUCAAGGUACUGAUCCACAGUCGUGUAUUUGACGUCGGGAUAGAGCUCUGAAGCUUCCACGCCGAACGAUGGCUCAAUCUCAAAGUUGUUUUGGUCUCCUUUCACGAAAACGGAAUGAGAUAUUGCCAAUAUCACAUUGAGCGGAACUGCUGCCUCUGCAAUAUCAUCAGACAAGUAGAUUGAUCAAUGUCAGAAUACUAAAAUCCCGGAGAGAAAUUGACAAUUUUACAUGCUUAAAUCUAAUAGAAAUGCAUCCCUAACCUAGAAUGUUCUUCAAAACUUGCUCCUCUGGAACGUAAACCCUCUCCAGGGUCUUGCCGAUCUUUCUCUCCCACAAAGACACGAGAUCAUUAAAUGAGUAGGCGUUGGCAGGAGGUCUGAUGUACAUAAUUUUGUUCAGGGUCCUUGGAUCAUCCAUAGCUUUAAUGGUAUAGGUGCCAAUGUCAUCCUCCUUGUUAAACAUCGAUGUAUAUUGACGGGGAGAAUUUUAGAAUUCAGUUAAUAAAUAUAAGCCAUCAAUAUUCCUAGAGUUACUUUCAGCUUGCAUUCAAAGAAGAAUUUUUUCGAUAAACAAAAUCACCGGACAACUCGCAAACAACUGCAUCCAUACAUUCUUUUUUCUAUCAAAUACAUUAAGAUAACCUUCAUGAUCUGCUGCCCAGGUAGUGUUGUGCCAAGAUAAACCAAAUAACUUCCAUGUCAUCCGUUAGUCUCUGAAAGUGAAGACUAAUGGAUGUAAAAGGCCAACAUCUCCAGACACAGAAGAUGCCUAGAAUUCUCAAGCUUCGAGAACUACCCCACUCUGAUCACUACUGUGAUUAAGUUGUGAAAAAUGUACAGAAAAAACUCAAAAAUUAAAAUGUGCAUCUCAAGAAAUUGCUUCUUACCUUUUACAUUUCCAUCCCCUAAAAUAACAACUUUAUCUCUAGGGGGACUGUAGCCCCAGGCUGCGACAACGUUGGAAGGAAGUAACCUGCAAAAAAGUUAGAAGACACAUAGGUAUAAGGGAUUCCCUCAGCCUCAACAAGGUGGUGAAUCUUGGCCUUAAUAGCAAAUGCAGUUUUUGCUGGCUCCACAGCAUGGACACGAUCCACAUCAUUUCCAAAUUCUGAAGGUAAGAAUCUCUGUGAAGCAAAUUAACUAAAUUAGAAGAAACAUUUUCACUAGAAAGCAACAAAAAACUAGAGUAUAUACCCCUUAUCGAACAAACUUACAUGAGUUCUGGCAAACAAAGAAAACAAACUUACUUGAGAUUGAAUUUCACGUUUUAAUACGUUACUAUAACAGAGUAAAAAUGAUUACAAGUGAAUCAAUACGAGCAAUGAAGCAAAUUUAACCCCAAGUGCUAUUAGAAAAAUAGAAGAAAAGAAAACUGAAGAUUUAAUUGUCAAGGCAUCAGCUAGAUAAGUCUGUCACGUAUAAAAUAUGCAAACAUGCCGUUAGCUUGGACACUUUCACAAGUAAUAAAAUAUUAGGUAAGCCCAAUGCCUUUUGUGAGUAUAUGCUGAGCUCCACUCACUAUGGACCGUCAUCCCCCAAAGCAACAACUACUAAACUAUCCACUAACUAGGUUUUGGUAACUUAUUUACAACAAUAAUGAAACCACCAAAGAGAGACCACUUGAAGGAUUAAGUAGUUCAUGUUUUCAUUCAUGAUCAAACAGCACGGUAGAUGACCGCAAUCCAUAUUGAGUGCUUGAAACCCUUUUAACUUUUCCAAUGACCUAGAGUAAACCCAACCGCAGUGAAGCCCGCACUGUCCGGUACUCAAAUUUGAAAUAGUUGUACUGAAAUUUCACUCACGACUUCUACACAAAGUCAUGACUAUAUAUUAGAAAGGAAAGAAAUGAAGUCUACGGACUAAAAAGUCAAAUCCAUCCCAUUUCGACACAUUGCCCACCGAUCUUUACAAGAUCAUAACAAGGAAUCUUACGGUUCUUACCAUGACAUCUGCAGAACAAAUCAGCCACAUUUACUUCUAUAUAAAAGUUCAUCUACGCAGUACAGAACAUAUGGAAAAUUUCGUAAAAUUUGUCUAUAAAUGUACUCGUUCGUAUCAGCAUGCGAAGCUGAGAUGAUUCGUCAGUAACAAAAUAACAGAGGAGAGAAAGAGAAACACCAAGCCGUAACGUGACUCCGUCGUCAACUGCGAUCUUGUGAAAGAUCGAGAUAAAAAUCGUCUCCGAUUCUAUGGCUAAAGACAUUUCUCCGAAUGAAGAACAAGAUGAACGGCAGGCGACGCUUCGAUUCCUCGAAGCAGCACCACAUGCGGGAAACGAACAGAGAUUGCACGGGAAUGACUACUCACGUGAACUAAAUUGAUGCCAAGCCUCUUGAAAACUACUACGAUUCCGGCCUUGGCGGGGCUGGAGAGAGUGGACUCCCUCACGAGAGCGAAGGUAGGGUGACCGGACUUGGCACUCGCUUCCACGAUGAACUUUCCGGUGUAUCCGGUGCCUCCGAUCACCAGGACCUUGCUCAUCUUCUCAAUACGUGCUUUUUUACGGGUACGUUGAUCGAAGGUUUCCGGAACUGCUCUGUUGUUGCCAGAGAGAGGCAUAGCGAGAGAGAGAGAGAGUGGGGGAGAUAGAAUAUAGAGAGAUGGGGGGAGAGAGGGAGAGAUAAAAAGCGGGGAUCCCGUCUUAACGACGAAGCGUCAAAUUUAGUGCAUCCUAGAAGGGUAUAAUCGUCUUUUCAGUGAAGUGAUUUUUUCUCGUCCUUCACUGGAAAAAGGGUACGUGGAAAGUCGGAGACUUUGCAGAAGAAAAUGAAAAUGUGUGAAAUAAGCCAAAAUAUGAAAAUUUGAAUUUUAAGUUUGGAAGGUGCUGGAAAUACAGGUAAUGGCAUGAUUUUGAAACGUGAGAGACUCGAAUUAACUUCAUAUUAUGAUUUUAUUUUAUUAAGCCAUCACAAUUGACAUUGAUUUUUCAUGUGACCGAAAAGGAAAGAGCUUUUCAUAUUAUGAUUUUAUUUCUCUAAUUACGUGUCAAGCCAUUGCAAUUAAUAAUAAUUUUUCAUGUGACCAGUGAGGAAAGAGUUGAAAUCGCAUAUUAGGGUUAUCGGAUCAUAUUAAGAAAAGAAAGUGAAAAUGGUAUCAAAGGGCAACGAACUGCUCUCCAUGCAUGUUCUGUGUUGAUCAAAAGAUUGCUGUUUUUCAUUUUCUUUUUUUUUUUUAAAAAGAAAAAGAAAAAAGAGAACAACCUUGUUAGAUUCGUUUGGGAAUUCAAGAGAAAGCAUGAUGUAAGCAAAUCAUAAGCAUGAUGCGAUAAUCUCUUUAUGAUUAAAGUUAAAGGAAUUUAAGUUUGGAUGUCCAUUCGAAUUGAAAAUGAAAUUUUUAUUUAUUUUAUAAAGUUAGUGAGAUAUUUCAUAGUACUGUCGUUGAGAAAAGGCCCCAAAAAUCUAUGCCCACCGUCCAUGGUAUGGUGCGAAAUAAUUCAUUAAUUCAGUCCACUAAUACACAAAUGGCCGAGCUUGGAGAUGGGAAUUUGUUUUGUUGUUAUACAUGCACGUAGAUGCAAUCGCAAAACUCUUACCAACAAUAUAAAUUGCCAAAUUUUGAAUGUGACUCUUGAAGUUUUGGCCCAGUCCAAAUCGACCCCCUGCUGUUACUUUUCUGUGAAUCAACUCUAGAAAUCUGUCACAAUUGAGUCCAAAGUGAUCACUAUUCCGGCAGGGAGAUCAGAUCGAAUUGAGGCCAGGAUGUCCUUACUUCCAUAUGAAUUGUGAAGUUAAAUGGCAAGGAUAAAACCAUUUUAAAAUUGUUUACAACUUGCUUAGAACUUAAACACUUGAAAGGGAAUUUUAAAUUUUGAGACGAAUAAUCAACGAUCAAAUACUUAUUACUAAACGUGUCCCAUACCGUUAUAACAACUCUCCGAACAUAUUGGCAAAAGUCUUUUGUCGGUCUCGACAGCAAAAAAUCUUCCAAUUUCAAGAGGCGCAAUAAAUCUAUGAAAACUCCCGGUUGGAGUAUAUACUAAGAUUUAUUAUGACGGUUCACUUUCUAAAUUUAAAUGGACCCAAAUGAUAGCAAUUUAGCACGGUCUUGACCCCGUUCACAACUUCUAUUCGGUCGUAAUCCCAGACAUACACUAUUAUUGGCAUCGCAGACUAUUUGAUAAGAUGGACAGCAGAAAUUUCGUUUCAUAAAGAAGGAGCGACAUAGCAUGACAUGCCUCAGAAAUGGAGAAACUCUUUCUUUUCGCUUGGCCGAUAAACCCAUGUCAACUCCAAACAGAAUUAACUUCUCCAAGCACUGUGUAGAUUCGCACAUAUUGAUUGUUCAUAGCAUGUCCCUAUAAUUGGAGGUUGUACAAGCCAUGAGAUGAUCAGCGGGAGCAACAUUUCAUACGAGGAUCCUAAGAAGCAGCAUCCUCUAUUAUCUAUCAUUCGAGCUGAUGUGAGAAACUUACCAAGCACAGUAGGUUUUGAUAAUCAAACAAACUAAUCAAGGUACUAAUCCACAAUCGUGUAUUUGACACCGGGGUAGAGCUCUGAAGCUCCACUUUGAACGAUGGUUCAAUUUCGAAGUUGGUUUGGUCUCCUUUCAUGUAGAUAGAAUGGAAUAUGGCCAACUAGGCAUUGAGUGAAAUUGCCGCCUCUACAAUAUGACCGGAAAAGUAGACCAAUUGAAGCUUGAGAAUACAGAUAAUUUCACAUGCUUAAAUCUAAUGAAAAAGCAUCCCUAACCUUGAAUGUUCUUCAGAACAUUCUCCUCUAGAACAUACACUCUCUCCAGGUCCUUGCCAAUCUUUCUCUCCCACAAAGACACGAAAUCAUCAAACGAGGAGGUGUUGGCAGGAGGUCUCAUGUACAGAAUUCUGUCCAGGGUCCUUGGAUCAUCCACAGCUUUGAUGGUAUAGAUGCUUAUGUCAUCCUCCUGGUUAAACAUGGCUAUAUAUUAAAGAGGAGAGUUUUAGAAUUUGGCUAACAAAUAAUUCACAGAGCCAUUGAUCGUCCUAGAGUUACUUUCGAGUUGUAUUUAAUAAAGAAUUCUCUCGGUAAAUAGAUUCACUAGGCCCUUGGCAUCGGUAUGUUCUUCUUCAUACCAAAUAUGAUCAAGAUAACCUUCUUUAUAUGCUGAAAAGGCGGUACUGUGCCAAGAUAACCCACAUGCAGAUAACCCACAUGACAUUCGUAUCAUCUUUUAGUCCUUAAACUUGAAGACUAAGGUAUGCAAAAGGCCCAAUAUCUCCAGACAAGGAAACUGCCUGGAAUUCUCAAGCUUCAAGAACUGCCCCUUACUCUGAUCACUACCAUAAUUAAAUGGAUGCACAGAAAAAUCUCAGUGGCCUAAAAUGCGCAUUUCAAUGAAUUGCUUCUUAUCUUUUGCAUUUCCAUCCCCUAAGAUGACAACUUUAUCUCCAGGGGAAGCUGUAGCCCCAGGCAAUGACUAUGUUGGAAGGAAGUAACCUGCAAAGCAAUUACGACAUACAUCAGUAUAAGGGAUUCCCUCAGCCUAAACAAGAAGGCAGAUCUUAGACUUAGUUGCGAGUAUAGCUUUCACUGGCUCCACGGCAUGGACACAAUCCACAUCAUCUCCAAUGUCUGAAGGCAAGAAUCUCUAAAAAGAAACAUAAUCAAAUCAGAAGAAACAUCUUUACCAGAAAGCAACAAAAACUUAGAGCAUCUCCUUAACCAACAAACUUAUAUCUCUUGCAAAAGAAAAACUAUAUAAGACUUAAUUUCAUGUUGUUUACAUAUGUUACUAUAAACAAAGUGAAAAGUGAUUAUCAGUGAAUCAAUUAAUUCAGCAAUUAAGCAAAAAUAGAAAAAUAGAGGAAACGGCAGCAGCCAGAUAACUAUCUCAAGUACAAAAUAGGCAAAUAUGCUGCUUGCUUGGACACUUCCACAAGAAAUAAGAUUUCAGGUAAGUCCAUUGCCUUUUGUGAGCAUGCCGAGUUCCACUUAUUAUUGACCAUCGACCACCCAAAGCAAUGAGAACUACUAAGUUCUAUCCCAGCAAGUGGGAUUAACAUAUUUGCAACAAUGAUAAUACUACUGAAAAGACCACAUUGAGUGCUCGAAACUUUUACAUUUUUGGUUGACCUAGAGGAAACCUGACAUCACGCAGUUUCAGGAUAGAUAAACCCUCCUGGAGUAUGUAGGCAGCCCAAUAUCCAUACAAAUAUCGAGACAGAGGAGGGCGCGAGUUUGAGGUCAAAGAGCCUUUGUGUGCGUGAAGAUAUAAAUCUAUGAGUAAAUUACAUGUACAUAUUAAUGAGUUCGUGUAGAUGGUACAUUUUGCAUCCAUGAUGACAGAAUUCCCUACCCAAUUAAAUUCGUCAAAGAGAAAUUGCGUGGAUUCAGAGCAGCCCACUUAGAAGACCAAACUGUCCUAUACUUGGGUUUGAAAUAGCUAUCGUCGAAUUUCACCGAUCACUUCUACACAAAGAGAUGACCAUUGAAGAAAAAGAAGUGAAGUCUGCAGAUAAAUAAGUCAAUCCACCUCAUUUCAUCGAAGCGGAGCUCAAAAGAGAAAGUAGUGCACCUACAUCAUCAGUCAAAUGGUAAACGAACAAUGGUAACAACAAUGAAAUAAUUAGAAACAGCACCACCUCAACAGUCCUGGCUGCUUUAGUGGCAGAAAAAAUCUUGUCUUGGUCCUCUAGUUGUUCGUUCCCAACAACAGAGAUUACCACAUCAACCUGCUUAAUCACGUUCAGUAGAAUCUUCUGGUCAUAUAUGUCUCCUUGAGAAUCAAAUAACCAAGAGCAUGGACAAACAAUCAAUGAAUGAAGUCAGCAAUCAUCCGCAAGAUUCAUCUGCGCAGCAAAGUGCAGCUACGUAGCUACAGUUGUCUCAUAAACCGCUAAAGCAUACGGAAGUUUCCACAAAAUUUGUUCGAAAAUGUGCACGGUCGUAUCAUCAUGCAACGCCGAGAUUUCUUCAGGCAUUCGAAAAACGAGAGCCACGUGAUUUCUUUUCUAACAUAUACAAAGACAAAACAUCAGAGAAUAGAAAGAGCAACACCAACUCCAUUAACUCCAUGAACUGAAAUAUUUAGAAAGAAAGCAGCUCCGAUUCUACUGCUAAAAACAUUUCUCAGAAAGGCAAACGAGAUUAUCGGCACGCGACGCUUCGAUUUUUCUAAGUAGCACCGAAUGCGGAAAAUGAACGAAAUCGCACGGGAAUAGCUACUCACGCGAACUAAAUUGACGCCUAAGCUUUUGAAACCUUCGACGAUUUUGGCCUUGGUGGGAUUGGAAAGCGCGGACUCCCUCACAAGAGCGAAGGUAGGGUGACCGGACUUAGCACUCGCUUCCACGAUGAACUUUCCGAUGUAUCCAGUGCCUCCGAUCACUAGGACUUUGCUCUUCUCCGGCAUCUCAGAGGGUUUUCUCACGGCGGAGGAGUGGCCUUUCUGGCCAGCGUGAUUUGUCUCGUGCUGCAACUGUUGGCGCUCGUCGAGAUGAGUGGUCCUUUUGUUUUGACUCCGGAAGGACAUAUUUAGUGAAUUGAAAUUUUUGCUAGCAUACAAUCUACUGUGAGGAAAUGGAUUUCAUAAUAAAUUAUAAUUAUUUACAAUUUAAUUUUUUAUGAUUCAGAAUAGACUAUUAUUCUCAUAAUAUAUUAAAAAUUAUCAUGUAAUCAUUUUUAAAUUUAAUUUUUAAUUAGAUACAAAUUACUUACCUAUCGAUUUUGACUACGAUAAUGUGAAUUUUUUUUUGAAAAUAGGAAUAAGUUAACUUACCGAAAAUAAGAAAUUAUGAAUUUAAGUUUUUUAGAGAUAUAAAAUUGAUUGCUGUGUUGACAAAUCUCAUAAAAAAGAAAAAGAAAUCAAUGGGCCUAAUUUAUGGUGGGCUAUAAUCACGGAAUUAAAAAAUGAAACCUUCCCUGUCGAGGACAAAAGUUGGUUGUUACUUCCUGACAAGAAAAAAGUUAUUUUAUCUUUUCUUCAGUAGAUAUUGUUGACAUUUAAGCCUCGUUCGUGUACUUUGGACUUUUAUAAAACGGUGUGAGACUGGGAGUUGGAGGCAGCCAUAGAAACAGCAUUCUCAAUAAGAAGGUUCUCCAAUUUUUGGUGCUCUUUUUCCAAAUUUUUAAAGUUCAUAAUAUUAUUAUUCUUUUGAAUCCAACAUUUGGUAUAAUGUUAUCCAUCAAAUUCAUCCAAUGACAACUUUCAAAGUUAAACAAAAGGAAUUUCAAUAAUUAGCCUGGCUAGAUGAAAGUUCUUUUUAAAUCACAAAAUUUGCAAAAUCUAGUUGACAAUGACUAAAUCAAACUAGCUGAUGCUGAGUAGUAUAUGCGACCUUUCAAGCCGGGGAUGAAAGGAUAUUUGAAAAAAUACCAAGCACAAACACUACAAAAGCGGUAUGUGAUAUUUUGCAAAAAUUCUACAAAGGCUAUUGUCAUGUAAGACAGAUGCGGCUUCAGAAAUAAGGUAAUUUUGAGUCUCUAUACAUGAAUAAUUAUAAAUCAAUCUCAACAUAUUUUGAUUUUGUACAAACUAUCAUUAACCAAUUAAGGAUUAAUGGUGAAAAACUUCAAGAAGUACAAGUGGUUGAAAAAAUCUUGGAGUAUUAAUUGAAAUAUUUGACUAGUUGUCGUAACAGUCAAAUAAGGGUGGGAUGUGACAAUCUUUGGAGUGAUUGAUGGGUUCAUUGUACUUGUGUGAGCAAAGAAUGAAUUAAAAGUCCAUUGAUUUAAAUCCCGAGCAAGCUUUGUGUAGUCAAGUUAGUCAAUUAAGCUGAGGAGGGAAGAGGUUGUCGGAGGUUCUCGAGAUAGAGGUGAAAAUUCAAAUUCCAGCGAAAAAUAUAUAAAACAUGACAAAUCAAAACUCAAGUGUUCUAAGUGCAACAAAUUCGAAUAUUAAAAAUCUGAGUUUCAGGCAAAGAUGUAGUACAAGCAUGCAAAACAAGCGCACGCAAUUGAUGCUGACGAAAACAUAGUGCUAGCAUGCAAAAAAGAUGACUAGAGCACCGUGUACAGCAACAUCUAUUAUUGACAUUUGUGCUUAGUAUGUACUCGGACUUGGAGGUUUGUCCAUGCCAUGAGAUGAACAGCGGGAGCCGCAUUUCACACUAGGAUCCUAAGAAGCAGCAUCCCAUAUUAUUUACUAUUCAAGCUAAUGUGAGAAAUUUACCGAGCACAAUCGAUUUUGACAAUCAAACAAACUGGUCAAGGUACUAAUCCACGGUUGCACAUUUGACAUCGGGGUAGAGUUCCAAAGCUUCCACACCAAACGACGGCUCAAUCUCAAAGCUGGUUUGAUCUCCUUUCACAAAAAUUGAAUGGUAUAUGGCCAACAUGUGAUUGAGUGGGAACGCUGACCAGUCGAAGCUUGAGAUAGAGAUAAUUUCACAUGCUUAAAUCUAAUAGAAAAUGCAUCCCUAACCUUGAAUGUUCUUUAGAACUUGCUCCUCUGGAACGUAAACCUGCUCUCGGGUCUUGCCGAUCUUUCUCUCCCACAAAGACACGAGAUCAUUCAUCGAGUAGGCGUUGGCAGGAGGUCUGAUGUACAGAGUUGUGUUCAAAGUCCUUGGAUCAUCCACGGCUUUGAUGUUAUAGGUGCCAAUGUCAUCCUCCUCAUUAUUCACCACUAUAUAUCGACGGGAGAAAGUUUUAGAAAUCGGCUAAUAAAUAAAUCACAGAGGAAUCGAUCUGCCUACAGUUACUUCCCGCACGUACUUAAUAAAGAAUUCUCUCGAUAAACAGAUUCAUCAAACAACUGGCAUCCAUAUGUUCUUUUCUCAACCACAUACAUCAAGAUAACCUUCUUUAUAUGCUGAACAGGUGGUAUUGCGCCAAGGUAACCCACAUGACAUUCAUAUCAUCUAUUAUUCCCUAAAUUGAAGACCUAAUGGAUGCAAAAGGCCCAACAUCUCCAGCCAAGGAAGUUGCCUGGAACUCUCAAGCUCCAAGAGCUGCGCCUCACUUUGAUUGCUAUCGUAAUUGAAUCGUGAAAGAUGUAAAAAAAAUCUCAACGGCUUAAUAUGCGAAGCAUUUCGACAGAUUGCUUUUUACCUUUCACAUUUCCAUCUCCUAAGAUGACAACUUUAUCUCUAGGGGGAACUGUAGCCUUGAGCUGUGCCAAUGUCGGAAGGACAUAACCUGCAAAACAUUUACAAACAUACAUAGGUAUAAGGGAUUCCCUCGGCCUCAACAAGGCAGCGGAUCUUAGCCUUGAUGGCAAGAAGAGCUUUCGCUGACUCCAGAGCAUGGACACAAUCUACGUCAUUUCCAAUCUCUGAAGGAAAGAAUCUCUAAAAAGAAACAUAAUGAAAUCAGAGGAUACAUCUUUAUUAGAAUGCAGCAAAAAUUUAGAGCAUAUUCCCCUAAACCAAAAAACUUAUAUGAGUUUUGGCAAAAACAAAGGAUGAGGAACUUACAUGAGACUGAAUUUCUAGUUGUUUCAUUAUGUUACUAUAACAGAGUAAAAUGUGAUUAUAAGUGAAUCAAUUUAUUCAGCAAUUCAGUAAAUUNNNNNNNNNNNNNNNNNNNNNNNNNNNNNNNNNNNNNNNNNNNNNNNNNNNNNNNNNNNNNNNNNNNNNNNNNNNNNNNNNNNNNNNNNNNNNNNNNNNNCAAUAUACACCCAGUCUUGAGCAAGUUCGCCGGGAAAAACCAUGCCUCCACCAUGAAAGAACCCUUCGAGAUGGCCGAAAAGAGCAUAGUGCUGGUGAUUGGAGGCACUGGAUACUUCGGAAAGUUCAUUGUGGAAGCGAGUGCUAAGUCCGCUCACCCUACCUUCACUCUCGUGAGAGAGUCCGCUCUCUCCAACCCUGCCAAGGCCGGCAUCGUGGAAGGUUUCAAGAGCUUAGGUGUCAAUAUAUUCCAGGUGAGUAGUUAUUCCCGUGCGGUUGUGUUCGUUCGCCAUUCUGAGAAAUGUUUUUAUCAGUAGGAUCGGAGUUGAUUUUUAUAUUUAUUUCUCUCUUGAUCGAGUUGAUGGAGUCACGUUACGAUAUGGCGUUGCUCUUUCUCUUCUCCAAUAGUUUGUCUUUGUGCAUGGAUGAGAUCAGAAAUCACGUCCCUCUCCUUUUUCAAAUGCCUGACGAGAUCUCAGCUUCGCAUGAUGAUACAAACAUGCACAUUUUCAGACAAAAUCUUAUGGGAAACUUUGAUAUGCUUUAGCUGUUUCUGAGACUGCUAUAGCUAAGUAGCUGCGCUUUGCUGUGUAGACAAAUCUUGCCAGUAAUUGCCGACUUCAUUGAUCAUUCGUGCAUACUCUUGGUUAUUUGAUUCUCAGGGAGACAUAUACGAUCAAAGGCAGGAGGUCUGAUGUACAGAAUUUUGUUCAAGGUCCUUGGAUCAUCCACAGCUUUAAUGGUAUAGGUGCCAAUGUCAUCCUCCUUGUUAAACACUGCUGCAUAUUGAGGUGGAGAGUUUUAGAAUUUGGCUAAUAAAUAAAUCACAGAACCAUUGAUCUUCGUAGUUACUAAUGUUAAACGAGCAAUGGUAACUCGGAUGAAAUUAUUAUAAACAGCACGACCUUGAUAUUCCCGGCUGCUUUGAUGGCUGCAACAAUCCUAUCUUGGAUCUCUACCUGUGUUUGCCCCACGGCAGAGAUUACCACAUCAACCUGCUUAAUCGCAGUUAACAAACUCUCUUGAUCAUAUAUGUCUCCCUGAGAAUCAAAUAACCAAGAGCAUGGACAAACAAUCAAUAAAGUCGCCAAUCAUCAAUCAAUCCUAUCUUGGCCAGUAGGAAGACUAUGAAAAAGGAUAGAUAUGAAGUCCGAUGCAGAAAGACUUCAAAGACUUCAAAACCUUCACUAGACGAGAAAAAGUAUUUUAAGAAAUAAAGCAUCCACAGAAUUAUCGUCCAUACAUUGCCUACCGAUCUUUUGAAAGGUUAUAGCAAGGGAUUUGCGGUGACAUCUGAAUAAAAGGUCAGUCACAUUCACUCUUAUAUACAAGUUCAUUUAGGCAGUACGUAAAAUAUGGAAGUUUUUGUAAGAUUUGUUUAAAAAUGUAAUCUAUUCGUACUUCGUAUCAGAAUGCGAAGCUGAGGUGAUUCGUCAGUCAAUGUGAAAAACGACCAAUAAUUCAGGGACAAAUUACUGGAGGAGGGAAAGAGAAACACCAAAUAUCAACUCAAUCUUGUGAAAGAUUGAGAUAAAUGGCGACUCUGAUUCUACGGUUAAAGACAUUUCUCAAAACGACGGAUGAGAUUAAUGGUAGGGGAUGCUUCUAUUUCCAUAGGAGCACCAAAUGCGAGAAACGAACAGGAUUGCAUCGGAAGAACUACUCACGUAAACUAAAUUGACGCCUAAGCUCUUGAAACCUUCGGCGAUGUUGGCCUUGGCUGGGUCGGAGAGAAUGGACUCCCUCACGAGAGCGAAGGUAGGGUGACCGAACUUAGCACUUGCUUCCACGAUGAACUUUCCGAUGCAUCCGGUGCUGCCGAUCACCAGAACUCUGCUCUUCUCGGCCAUCUUGGAGGGUGCUUUCACAGCGGAGGCGUCGUUCUUCCUGGCGAUCUUGAUCGGUCUGUGAAGUGACUCUGUUAUAACUGUAUGUGUGUGUGUCUAUAUAUAUAUAUAGAGAGAGAGAGAGAGAGAGAGAGCUAAAAGGCGGCGGGCUAAAAGGUGGCGGUUCUUGUCUUCGUGACAGGAUAGAGACUCGAGAGUCAUUGGAGGAUUCCGGAAGGGCGUAACCGUCUUUUCAUUGAAAUGAUUUUUCUUGUUGAGAUAAAUCCUUCAUUGGAAAAAUGGUACAUAGAAAGUGGGAAAAUAGACAGAAGAUAAGAUUUUGUUUAAUUUCAGUGAUGAACUAAAUUAUUGUGAAGAAAGAUAGAUUUUCUAUUUCUUUUUUGGUAAAUAAUCAAUAUAUUGAGCGUAAACCAAAACUAUACAACACAGUCUGGCACCAAAGACUUACUAUCAUAAGGACAAAUUAGUCCGAAUGAGUAGAGGGAUGCCGACAAAACAACAACAGCCACCAAACAAGUUAGGCACAAAGCCAACAAAGCUGAGGCAAAUAUAAGAUAGAUUUUAACUUAGCAAAAAACAAGAAAAUUUAAUUUUGAUAUUGCUAUAAAUUUACGUAAUCAUAAUUGAUGAGGAAAUAGUUGACACUACCUUUUUUACGUUGCCGCCGCCAACCCGGGUAGCCCGCUCACGGUGGGGGCUACCCGGGCCUCUUCAUUUCCCUAAACCCAGCCUAGUAUGCUAGGAGAAUGGCUUCACGGGGAUCCGAGGUGGGCUCCCCUUCCUUUUAGAGGGGUUGGCGGGGAAGCCAUGGGGACAUUAUCCCGUAAUCCUAGUUAAACCCCCUGUAAAUGGGGGCUAACUGGGCAUCCUGUGAUGCCCGAUUCAGGGUGGAGCAGUUUAAGGACCUGCUUAGGUCCUAACCGUCUUUUCAUUGAAAUGAUUUUUCUUGUUGAGAUAAAAUCCUUCAUUGGAAAAAUGGUACAUAGAAAGUGGGAAAAUAGACAGAAGAUAAGAUUUUGUUUAAUUUCAGUGAUGAACUAAAUUAUUGUGAAGUAAGAUAGAUUUUUUUUUUUUUUUUGAUAAAUAAUCAAUAUAUUGAGCGUAAACCAAAACUAUACAACACAGUCUGGCACCAAAGACUUACUAUCAUAAGGACAAAUUAGUCCGAAUGAGUAGAGGGAUGCCGACAAAACAACAACAGCCACCAAACAAGUUAGGCACAAAGCCAACAAAGCUGAGGCAAACGUAAGAUAGAUUUUAACUUAGCAAAAAACAACAAAAUUUAAUUUUGAUAUUGCUAUAAAUUUACGUAAUCAUAAUUGAUGAGGAAAUAGUUGAAACUACCUUUUUUACGUUGACUUUUAUCAUAUGAAAAAGAUAAGAAAAUGGUAUGAAAUGGGCAAUGAGCUACUCUACAUUUAUAUGGUAGCAUGAUAUUAUACAGCUACAUAGCUGUUGUGGUAUUGUUUCAAGGUUCAAUAAAUUCUUUUUCCUAGGUGGGUUGACACAAGAUUACCAUUCUUUAAUUGGCCAACAUAAGAUUACUAUAUUUGUAAUUCAUAACCUCUAUGGGAGAAAAAAGCAACAAUGCGAGUGUCGAAAUAUGGAAUGAUUAGUAAAAAGUUGUUAAACCUUUGACAUGUAUACCAAUUCAAUUUUAAAUAUUUUGAUUUGAUUAAUUUAAAUCUAAAUUUUUUAACGAUUGACCUUGCGAUACAAUCCCAAGUAGUACCAACACCGAUACGCAAUACACAAAAUGACAUGACAUGAUAUGCCAACACGUCUAUCUAAGAAAAGAAAAGAAAUCGAACACAUUAGGACACAUCGUAUAUUAAAUAUAUAUUUUAUAUAUACAUGAUAAAUUAUCAUUUCUAUGAUUAUUUUAAUCAAAUUAAUUUAAUUCAAAUUCACAAAUAAAUAAAUAAUAAAAAAAAAGACUAGAAUGAAUUUACACUAAAAAUUGUGAAUUAUAGGAAGUGAAAGUCAAAAGAGAAGAGGAGAUUAGGUUUUCUCUUUUCUCCCUUUUAUUAUUUUUAUUACUAUUUAUCUUUGUACAUAUUUCAUUUUGACUCGUCAUCUAUUGAAAAUUUUUAAAAUUGACUUGUGUGUAUCGAAAUCAUGUGUCGGAAUUCUGGACUUGCAUGUCAAACCGUGUUAGAAGAGUUAAUUACGUGUCAGAUUUUUUGAUAUCUGUUGACCGCGUAUCGAAAGGUGUCAAAGUGUAACACCGAACUCGCGUAUUGGGAGAGUUGAUCACGAGUCGGAUUUUUCAACACAUGUUAAUCACGUGUCGAAACAUGUCAAAGCAUAUUGAACACGUGUUGGUAUGACAUCCUGAAAAUUCAGUUUUGUUUUUAAUUGAAUGAAUCGAGUCUUUCAUCGAUGCGCUUAUAGUGUUAUUCUCUGAGCUGAUUACUCAUAAGAUAACUAAACUAUCUAGAGAAGUCAUUAAGGGAUUUUAACGCGAUAGACUUAAGAAUUCGACUAGGAAUCGAUUGUUCAACUAUGCUAAUUUGCAAGGGUCAUUAUGGCACAAUUUAAAAAUCGAUUAGAGACCAGAGAUAGGUCGAUUUGACAGAGGUGUGUGAUUAAGUGUGGGUGAUUCCACCUGAUUACAAAAUUCUUGUCGAUCGGCAUUAGACCGAUUUUUGAUCGUUUUGGGUACCCUGUGUUUGUAUUUGAGACCUCGAGAUUUUCAUGACAAUCGAGAGUCGCCAAUGAGUCGAAGAUGCACAAUGUGACUCAAGAAUAAUCGACCAUGGGUCAGUUGCACUAAAAAUUCCUAAAAGCUACCCGGUAGGUUAGGUCACGUUUAGAUCGUGCUAGAUUAAAAUUAACAGCGAAAUUGAACCCUAUUUCAUAAAUUGAAAGUUUUGAAAUAUCACGAUUUAUUUUAGGAACGUCGACUCAUCCUCCCAAGAAUUUUCGGAGAGUUCGGGAUUUUUAUGAAAAAUCAAUUUGAACGUUUCGGAAAAGAACGGAAAUUUGGAAUGGCCAAAUUGAAUGGAUUUUUGACUUCCAAACUGAGCUACUCGGCGAAAGGAAAUUGUAGAAAUUGUGUGGGCUUCUUCUUCAUCAAAAUUAGACAUCAAAUUAGAGAAUUUGUGGAAGAAAUUGAAAUCCAAAAAUGAGAAAAUUCUAAGCUUGGCAUGGGGGCUGCAACUUUGGCAAUCAAAGUGGAUUAUUUGUGGGAAAUUAUAAGUAAGAAAGUAAUUAUGGACAAGAGGGAUAAGAUUGAAGACUUUUUGGUCCAAGGAAUGAUGAAUAUAGAUUUUUUUCAUUGACUUUUGGCCCCCCCUCACCAAUCUUCUCUCGUACGCUACCUUCCCCCCUUCUUCGUGCGCCCGCUUCCUCCCGAUCCCCCUUUGUUCUGUCUCUUCUUCUUUUCAUUUUGUUUCUUCGAAGACCCGCAUGCUUCUCCAUCAUCGAAUUCCCCUCCAUCCUCUGCCAUCUCCACCGAGCUCUUCCCUUCAAGCUGCCACACGUCCACGUAUCUUCUCCCCCCGGUCAACCCCUCGCCAGCAGAAGCCCCGAAGUUGUGACUGCCCACCCUUAUCAACACUGCCAGCCCUCCACCACCGCUUGUCCCCUUUGACUGAAGCUGCUGCUCCUCUUUCACGUUGCCACGAAGACGCCAGUAGCGCCCCCUCUCCUUUGGCUUCUCUCCCGCACGUCCAUCUGUCCACCGAGUCAACAUUCAGCACUAGCCCUCCCCAGUGAAGACCACCGAAUUUCCUUCCAGCGCCACACGUCCUCCACUCCAUCACCCGUGCACGAAGCCGUCCCACCAAUUCCCUUCAGCGGUCAAUUGACCAGAAGUUUUCAACGCCAGCAGCUUCAUUGACGUGAGCCCAUCUCCACGUAGGAGCUCCUUUCAGCCGCAUGAUCAGCCCCAACGACUAGCCCACUCGAAGUCGCAAGUCUAACCGCAAGUUCAGCCAAGUCCAGCAGUAAACGUGGGCUUUGUGGGGCCGUUUUUGGCCCGGUCCAAGCCUCCGUUGGCGUCGCCGCUUCGGAGUUUGUCGCUUGUCUCUGCGUCGCCGUCACUGUAGACUCACCGGCUCGCAAAUUCAAUGAGUUUACUCACUAAACAUUGCUUAGGAGGUUAAUUAUGCUUAGGAGAUGAUUAGUUUAAGUUAAUUAAGGAUUAUGUGGUUAGUUAGAUUAGAUUAGUCAUUUAAUUAUCCAAUUCUGUAUGUUAGGUUGUUAGAUUAGAUUAAUUAGAGACUAGACAGGUUGUAUUAAUUAUCUAGAUUGGUUCGGAAAUUUCCGGACCCGUCUCGGUAUUUAAUUAGGCUUUUCCGGUCUAAGUUCCUAUUUAUAGCAUUUAAUUGUAUUAUUUAAUGAAUUUUAGUAAUUAUUUAAUUAUUUAUUAUUUUUCGAAAAUUAGACUGGGAUAGCCGGUGAUCGGAAUUUCAUGCUGAUUGCAAUGGUGUGUUUAGUUUAUGCAAUUGGAUGUUAGUUUGUGCAAAUCGAGUGCUGAUUGGAUUUUUGGUCAUUUAUUCCAAAAUUUAGAAAAAUUCAUUAUUUAUUUAGAAUAUUCCGAGUGUCGGAUUUUGACACCAAAAAUAGUUUUAUAUACUAUAUAAAACAGUGGGAUUUUAAAUUGGAGGAUAUCAAUUUUCAAGGAUUGAUCUAACCGUGUACUCACACACGACUAUUUUCACCGGGUGUUUUAAUAUGAAGAAAAUAGGCUAGGAUCACUAUUUUAAUGGAGGCUUUUGAGUGCAAUGCAUAGUGUCUUGGGCCGAAAUUGAUUGAUCAUGUGUUGGUUAAGAGAACCCGUCUCGAGCUUUUAAGCCGAAUGUUACCUUAUAUGGGAUACCCACUCAGUGGGACUCAAGUUGCAGUAGAUUCUAGACCUACGCUCCUUCGCAAAAGCCGUCUUUGAGAGACGUCGCCGUGUUCAAUGGUGGUGAGACGAUGCCUAGCUAUGCUAGUAGACUGCCAAAUAGAGAGUAUGACAUGCUAUAAGCCGAGAUCAAAACUAGGAACGCAUGUUUAAUUGAGUUAAAUGUGUCGGAUUAUGAGACAAAAUUGUGUGACAUAAUAUGGGACGUGUUAUAACGAUUUGGUUAUAUAAUUAAGACCUCUAUGCUUGUUUGAAAUUUGAGUGUGGCGUUCCAGUUAAUUGAGCUUGGUUGUUGCUCAUGCUUUUGUGCUGUCUAUGGUAUGAACUGUGCUGACCUGUAGGAAGGAUUUGAGAUGAGGUAAGUCUCUGUGGUUGUAUGAUUGUGUGGUUAUGACACUUUUAGGCGUAUUACCCUCCUAAUCAGGGUUUAGAGCAUGAACUCGCUGAGAUUUAUAUCUCAUCCUGUAGUGGGCUCAAUUCUUUUCAGGGCCGUAGAGUGAAGGAUUUGGAGUCGAGCUAAGGUGAUCUGAAGUGUAGAUCAGAUAGAAUAGUUUCUUUUAAGAGUUGGUCUUUUGAAGUCUUUUGGUUAUAGACUUUUGUAUAUGACUCAGUUGGUUUAUAAAAGCACAUUUUGUUUGUGAAUCUAUUGUCCUGCUUUUCUAUCUCGAGAUGGGUUUUUGUCAGGGGAUUCGUUAUUCGCUUCUGCAUGUGCAAUAAAAAGAAAUGGUCGGUAACUUGUUCUAGGAAGUCGCAUUUUUAUUAUAGACCACCGAGGGAUGGGCACGCACUCGAGGAUUGGGGUGUGAUAGUUGGAGUGUCGAUACGUCCCAAGAGUGUCAAUGCUUUCUAGAUACAUCAGGCGUCGUCGGCUUCUAAUGUAACACAACCAAUGCUCACAUGAAACAAUUUGAAAUUUUUUUAAAAAAAGGAUCUUUUCGGCUCUUUUUACCUUAUUUUCUUUCNNNNNNNNNNNNNNNNNNNNNNNNNNNNNNNNNNNNNNNNNNNNNNNNNNNNNNNNNNNNNNNNNNNNNNNNNNNNNNNNNNNNNNNNNNNNNNNNNNNNNNNNNNNNNNNNNNNNNNNNNNNNNNNNNNNNNNNNNNNNNNNNNNNNNNNNNNNNNNNNNNNNNNNNNNNNNNNNNNNNNNNNNNNNNNNNNNNNNNNNNNNNNNNNNNNNNNNNNNNNNNNNNNNNNNNNNNNNNNNNNNNNNNNNNNNNNNNNNNNNNNNNNNNNNNNNNNNNNNNNNNNNNNNNNNNNNNNNNNNNNNNNNNNNNNNNNNNNNNNNNNNNNNNNNNNNNNNNNNNNNNNNNNNNNNNNNNNNNNNNNNNNNNNNNNNNNNNNNNNNNNNNNNNNNNNNNNNNNNNNNNNNNNNNNNNNNNNNNNNNNNNNNNNNNNNNNNNNNNNNNNNNNNNNNNNNNNNNNNNNNNNNNNNNNNNNNNNNNNNNNNNNNNNNNNNNNNNNNNNNNNNNNNNNNNNNNNNNNNNNNNNNNNNNNNNNNNNNNNNNNNNNNNNNNNNNNNNNNNNNNNNNNNNNNNNNNNNNNNNNNCAUUUCUUAUGUACUUGUUUCCUCUUCUUCUUCCAUCAAUCACCAGGCCUUGGUGAAGGCCUCGAUGCCCUCACCAAGGGUCGACCUCACAUGCUUGGGGCAAGGCUCGACCUCAUGGCUCCACUUCAUUACCCACACCGAGGAUGGACCAUAUAUAACAUACAAAAUUAGAGAAACCCGCAUCUAACUUUUAGCUUACCAUAGCUUGGACAUAAAACCAUAUCAAACUCCAAAAUAGGAGUAACUUCUCUAAGCACUGCAUAGAUGCACACACAUCGAAUGUUCAUAGUAUGUCCUCAUAUUUGGAGGUUGUACACGCCAUAAGAUGAUCGGCGGGAGCGACAUUUCACACAAGGAUCCUAACUAGCAAAAUCUUAUAUUAUUCAUGAUUCAAACUGAUGUGAGAAACCUACCAAAUACAAUCAGUUUCGGUUAUCAAACAAAUUGAUUAAGGUACUGAUUCUCGGUCAUGUAUUUGAUGUUGGGAUAGAGCUCUGAAGCUUUCACUCCGAAAGACGGCUCAAUCUCAAAGUUGGUGUGGUCUCCUUUCAAGAAAACAGAAUGAGAUAUGGCCAAUAUCACAUUGAGCAGAACUGCCGCCUCUGCAAGAUGACAAUACAAGUUGAUCGAUUGACUUUAGAAUACUCAAGUCUCGGAGAGAAAUAGACAAUACACGUGCUUAAAUCUAAUCCCUGACCUUGAAUGUUCUUUAGAACUUGCUCCUCUGGAACAUAAACCCUCUCCAGGGUCUUGCUGAUCUUUCUCUCCCACAAAGACACGAGAUCACUAAACAAGUAGGUGUUGGCAGGAGGUUUGAUGUACUGAAAUUUGUUUAAGGUCCUCGGAUCAUCCACGGCUUUGAUGGUAUAGGUGCUGAUGUCAUCCUCCUUAUUAAUCACUGCUGUAUAUCAACGGGAGAGAGUUUUAGAAUUCAGCUAAUAAAUAAAUCACAGAGCAAUCAAUCUACCUAGAGUUACUUUCAGCUCGCAUCUUGUAAAGAAUUAUCUCGAUGAGCGGAUUCAUCAAACAACUGGCAUCAUAUGUUCUUUUCUCAACCCCAUACAUCAAGAUAACCUUCUUUACAUGUUGAACAGGUGGUAUUGUGCCAAGGUAACCCACAUGACAUUCAUAUCAUCUAUUAGUCCCUAAAUUGAAGACUAAUGGAUGCAAAAGGCCCAAAAUCUCCAGACAAGGAAGUUGCCUGGAAUUCUCAAGCUCCAAGAACUGCUCCUCACUCUAAUUGCUAUCAUAAUUGAAUCGUGAAAGAUGUACAGAGAUCUCAACGGCUUAAAAUGCGAAACAUUUCGACAGAUUGCUUCUUACCUUUUACAUUUCCAUCUUCUGAGAUGACUACUUUAUCUCUAGGGGGAACUAUAGCCUCAAGCUGUGCCAAUGUCGGAAGGAUGUAACCUGCAAAACUGUUACAACAUACAUAGAUAUCAGGGAUUCCCUCGGCCUCAACAAUGCCGCCGAUCUUACCUUUGAUGGCAAGAGUAGCUUUUGCUGGCUCCACAGCAUGGACGCAAUCCACGUCAUUUCCAAACUCUGAAGGCAAGAAUCUCCAAAAAUAAAAUUUAGAAGAGACAUCUUUGUUAGAAAGCAGAAAAAAUUUAGAGCAUAUUCCCCUUAACCAAGAAACAUGUAUGAGUUCCAACAAAAAAAGGAAGACAAACUUAUAUGAGAAGGAAUUUCGAGUUGUUUCAAUAUGUUACUAUAACAUAGUAGAAAGUGAUCAUAAGUGAAUCAAUAAAUUCAGCAAUUCAGCAAAGUCGACUCCAAGUGCUAUAAGAAAAAUAGAAUAAACAGAGCAGCAGCCAGAUAACCCUGUCAAAUAUCGAAUAGGCAGACAUUCUACCCUGUCAAAUAUAGAAGAGGCAGACAUUCUGCUUGCGUGGACACCUUCACAAGUAACAAGAUAUCAGGUAAGACCAAUGCCUUUUGUGAGCAUGCCGAGUUCCACUCACUAUUGACUGUCAAUCUAUGUAGCACCGACACGGACACGCGACACGCGACACGACACGACACGACACGCCGACAUGUCAUUUCUUAAAAAUAGAGAAUUUUGACACAUUCCGACACGUUAUAUAUUAAAUAUAUUUUUAUAUAUAAAUACAUAAAAAUAGCAUAGAAUUAAUUUACACGAAAAAUAUUAAAUAAUAUUAUUAAUUAUUUUAAUUUGUUACAAUAAUACAUAAAACUUAGAGGAAACAAACAUUGUUUAAAGAAAAAUGCUGAAAUGAUAUUUUUAAAUUUAUUUAUUUAUCAUAUAUAGCAUUUUUUUAUUACUUCUUUUAUAGUAAAAGACUUUUGAAAAAACUAAAACAAUUCUAAAAAGCCAAAACUGAAAAAAAAAAAAAAUGGACCCCGUGCGUGUAUAUUUAUAGCAAUUUUAUUACUUCUUUUAUUACUUCUUUUGUGUAUAUUUAUAUUUUGACCCCUCAAGUAUUAGAAAUUUUAAAAUUGACCCCAUGCGUGUUGGAAUCAUGUGUCGGAAUUCUAGACUCACAUGUCAGAGCAUGUCGGAGAGAGUUGACUACAUGUCGGAUUUUUCGACACUCGUUGACCGCGUGUCGGAGCGUGUCGGAGUGUUGGACACGACACGAAAGCUUCCAAAGAGUGUCCGUGCUACAUAGCUGUCAACCACUCAAAGCAGCGACAAGUACUAAGUACCACUUCAAGGAUUAACUAGUUCAUGUUUCCCACACUGUCCUAUAGUUGAAUUAAAAUAGUUACUCUUGAAUUUCACUGAUGACUUCUACACAGGGUUAUGACCAUUUAAAAAAGAAAGAUGUUGAAGUCUACAGAUAGAUAAAUCCAUCCAUCCCAUUUCAUCAAAGCAAAGCUCGCAACGACAUCGCAAUGCACUUAAACUAGUAAGACAAGAAUCAAGCUAACACCCAUUAGUCAAAUGCUAAACCAACAAUAGGAACUUGAAAUGAAAUUACUAGGCACAGCACCACCUUGAUAUUCCCAGCUGCUUUAAUGGCAGCAACAAUUCUGUCUUGGUCCUUUACUUGUGCUCACCCCACAGCAGAGAUUACCACAUCUACUUAUGUAAUCACAAUAGACUCUCUUGAUCGUAUAUGUCUCCCUGAGAAUCAAAUAACCAAGAGCAUGGACAAAUGAUCAAUGAAGUCGGCAAUCAUCUGCAAGAUUUGUCUACACAGCAAAGCGCAGCUACGUAGCUAUAGCUGUCUCAGAAACAGCUAAAGCAUAUCGAAGUUUCCACAAGAUUUUGUUUGAAAAUGUGCACGUUCACAUCCUCAUGCAAAAGCUGAAAUUUCGUCAAGCAUUUGAAAAAGGAGAGGGACGUGAUUUCUGAUUUCAACCACGCACAAAGACAAAAUAUCAGAGAAGCAAAAGAGCAACGCCAGAUCGUAACGUGACUCCAUCAACUCCAUAAAGUGAGAGAUAAAAAUCAACUCCGAUCCUACUGAUAAAAACAUUUCUCAAAACGGCAAACGAACGCAACCGCACAAGAAUAACUACUCACCUGGAAUAUAUUGAUGCUUGAGCUCUUGAAACCUUCGGCGAUGCCAGCCUUGGUGGGGUCAGAGAGAGCGGACUUGUCAUGCCUCGGAGCUCCGAGCGCGCGCACAUCCCUCGAUGGUCAAUGAAAUUGCGAAGUCCUAGGACGCGUCGCCGACCCAUUCAUUUUAUUGCACAUGUGGAAGCGAAUAAAAUAAACCCCUAACAGCAAAUAGCAUGGGAUAGAAAAACAGGAUAACAAAUUCACAACAAAAACACGCUUUUAUACACAAACUAAGUUUAUAUACAAGACUAGCCUGUUUACCAAAAAGAUUAGCCCUCAAAAAGGAAAAUGUCCUAUGGUCCACUAGUCGGACGCGUUCACCAAUCAUUCGGACUCCACAGGCUCCGGGGGCACUGGGUCCACCACAGCCCCAUCAAGAGGGUCAGCUGUAUCCUCGCCAAAAGCGGCGUCGACUACCACAAUGGGGAUCUCAAAACCCUGGAGGGGACCAACUCUGUAUCUAUUUAGCCCGUGGCGAAACCACACCCUAAAUUGAUGAGGUACUCUCUAAGGUUGGCCCUCACUGACCCAGACGGUGGUCACUACGAGCUCAUAAACCCGGACCCCGUGGCCUCCGGGAAUAGGGUAGUCAGUAACCAACUCGGUAACCCUUUGAGGCUAACCAUAACGUAUCGGUGGAGCUGCCAUCUAAGGACCUGAAAAAAAAAAUUUUGAGCCCAUGACGGGGUGAGACAAUGUUUCAAUAAGUUCACCCUCUAAACUCCGACUAGGAAAGAAAUACGUCUAGCCACACAAUCACACAACCACAGAGACUCACCUUGUCUCAGAUCCUCCCUGUAGAUCAGCACAGUUCAAAAACACAACCAUAUGCAGUAAUCAAACUCAAUCAAUUGGAACGCCACCACUUUCAUCUCAAUAAACACAAGGGUCCCGAUUAUAAGGCCAAAUCGUUAUGACAUGUUCUAUACUAUGCCACACAAUUUUGUCCCAUAAUAAGGCGCGUCAAGUCAAUCAAUCAUGCAUUCCAAUUGAUUACAACCCAACGGUUACGACCGACUCAACAGUCACCGGUCUUUUGGGGUAGUCGGGUGUCGUCUCGCACCAUCGAGCAUUGCAACAUCUACAUCUAGACGACAUUCCACAUAAGAGCAUUGGUCCAGCCUCCACUGCGAUUGGCAUCCGUUGACUUGGGGCAUUCUCGAAGGAGCAUCGCCCGGCCCCAAAAGCUCGUGAUAGGUUCUCAUAUCAUUCAUGCACCCAUUCAAUCCCGGCCAAGACAUCGUGCUUCAUACUCAAAUGCUAUAAUUAAAAUAAUGUACUUGGCCUAUUUUAUUCCGUAUUAAAAACACACAGUAAAAUAAUCGUGUGUGGGUACACGGUCAAUUUGGACCAGAAAAACUGAUACACUUCUUUUUAAAAUCUCACUAUUUGAUAUAGUAUGUAAAACUAUUUUCGAUGUCAAAAUUCGACACUCGGGGUUUUCUUAGUAAAUAUCGAAAUUUCACAAUUUUGGAAUUAAUAACCAAAUUUCCAAUCACUACUUAAUUUGCACAAAUUAACACUCAAUUGCAUUAACUAAGCACACAAUUACAAUCAACACGAAAUUCCGGUCACCGACUAUCCUGGUAUAAUUUCUAGAAAAUAUUAAAUAAUAAAAAUAAUUAAAUAAAGCAAUUUAAAUACCAUAAAUACCAACUUAGGCCGGAAAUAUUAAUCUAACCACCUAAACGGGCCUAGACUAUUUCCGAACCUAACUAGAUAAAUAGUACAAUCUAUCUAGUCUCUAAUUAGUAUAUUCUAACCACCUAACAUGCACAAUUGAACAAUUAAAUAAUUAAUCUAAACUAACUAACCACCUAAUCCCUAAUUAGCCUAAACUAAUUAUCCACUAAGCGUCAUUAACUCCAUAAGUAGAGUUUAGCAAGUAAACUCACCGGUUUAGCGGGCUGGUGAGUCCACGACGUUGGCGACACAGAGAUGAGCGACACUCGAGCUUGCGACGACACCAACGGAGGUUUAGACGGGCCUGAAAACGGGCACGAGCUCUCAGCUAGGAGCUGAGCUUUGGCCACUGCUCAAGGCUGCUGGGCUGGAUCAAAGGGGCUGAAACGGCACAGGAUGGGACGCGGUGGCUGUAGCGACUCCAAGCGGUGGUUUCGGCUGGCUAGAUGGUGGCAAACGGUGACUGGACAUCAACCAGGAGGUCUUGACGGUGGCCAGGACACGUGGGGGAUGGCGAACAAGCGGGACGCAAGCAAGGUAGGUGGACGGCUCGCAAGUAGUGUGCGGGCUCGCGACGAGUAGACAAGUGGUGAGGGGGGCUUUGGCGGCGGUCGACGGGCUAAGGGGAGGGCUUGCCGGUUUCUGUAGUUUUUCUCAAGCUCUAAAACUCUCAACAAUGGAUAAAGUGGGCUCAAGGAGGGAGAAGAAGACAACUACAGCAAGAGGGGGAACCAAUGGCCUCAAAUAUCCACCAAAAUGCUCAUUGCUUGGCCCCCACUUGAUCAGCCAUAUCCUUAGCCAUUUGUCCUCACUCAAACUUUCCCUAGAAGCUUCCCCAAAUGGUCCAAAUGUUGCUGCAUCCCAUUGGCUACGAAUUUGGACAAUUCCCUCCAAAUUUUAUUCAAUUCCUCUCCAAUUGAGCUCAAAUUAGAGUCCAAAAAUUCAGCCAAGGUGUCAUCAUCCAUUUCAUGAUUUUUCCUCAUCAAUUGAACCAACUUGACAGCAAAAAAUCUGACAAAAAAGGGCCCUCUAAUUUUCCUGGUCCAAAAUAGCCUUAUUUUGAUUUUUCGCCGAAAUCUCGAGUUUUCAGAAAAAUCUUCGGAGGAUGAGUCAACAUUACUAAAAUGAAUCGUGACAUGACAAAACUUUCAAUUUUUGAAAUCGGGUUUAAAUUCGCAAUUAAUUUCAACUGGGCGCGAUUUUAGCGUGACCUAACCUACUGGGUAGCUCUUAGAAAUUUUUAGUGCAAUUGACCCAUGGUCGAUUAUUUUCGAGCCACAUUGUGCAUCUUCGACACAUUGACGACUCUCGGUUGUCGUAAAAAUCUCGAGAUUUCGAAUAUGGGCACAGGGUACAAAAAUGACAGAAAAAUCAGUCUAGUGCCGUUCGACAGAAAUUUUGCAAUCCGGUGGAAUCGCCCACACACUAAUCACAUACCUUUGUCGAAUCGACCCAUCUCCAAUCUCUUAUCGAUUUCGACAGUGUCGUAUUGACCAUUGCAGAUUAGCACAAUCGAGUAUUCGAUUUCUAGUCGAAUUCUCAAGUCUAUUGCGUCAAAAUCCCUUAACUGCUCCACCAGAUAGACUAGUUAUCUCGUGAGUGAUCAGCUUAGAGAAUAGAACUAUAGGCGCAUCGAUGAAAAGCCCAACUUAUUCAAUUGAAAACAUAAUUGGAAAUUCGGGAUGUCACAACUCUUCCCGUCUUAUAAAAAUUUUGUCCUCGAAAUUUAAAUCAUUACAAAUAUUUAAACAAAAAGGUAGAGGUACAGUCGUCUCAUUGGAUAUUCACUUUCCCAGGUUGCUCCUUCUGUGCCGUGGUGUUACCAGACCACUUUGACUAACAAGAUUGUCUUAGUGUGCAGAACAUGUUCCUUGCGGUCUACAAUCUGAACCGGUCUCUCUACGUAUGACACCCUAUUGUCCACAUCUAACUCUUCAAAGUUCAGCACAUAGGUCGGAUUAAGCUCAUACUUCCUCAACAUUAACACGUGAAAGACGUUAUGCACUUGCGCCAACCUUGGUGGCAAUGCAAGACGAUGCACUUGAGUCCCUAUCCUUUCUAGAAUCUCAAAAGAAUCUACGUAUUUCGGACUCAACUUUCCCUUUUUGCUAAAGCGCGAAUUACCCCUCAUCGGUGACAUCUUCAAAAAGACGUGCUCACCAAUUUGGAAUUCCAAAGGUCUUUGACGCUGAUCUGUGUAGCUCUUCUGACGGCUUUGAGUAGUCUUUAAUCUGUCCUUGAUAACUGUGACUGCAUUCACUGACUGUUGAACCAACUCUGGGCUUGUGAUUUUCCGUUCUCCAACCUCAUCCCAACAAACUGGCGUUUUGCACGCUCUACCAUACAACGCCUCGAAAGGUACCACCUGAAUACUCUGCUGGUAGCUGUUGUUGUAGGCGAACUCAACAAUAUGAAGCUGUUCCUCCCAACUUCCUUUGAAAUCCAACACACAAGCUCUCAACAUGUCCUCAAGAGUCUGAAUCGUCCUUUCAGACUGGCAUUUGUCUACGAAUGAUAAGCCGUACUGAAUUGCAGCUUUGUCCCCAAGGUGAUCUGUAAACUUUUCCAAAAGGCAGUUGUAAAUCUCAGGUCUCUAUUAGAUGUGAUUGUCACCAGCACUUUAUGCAACGAAUAAUUUGAUGCACGUAUAAUUCUGUGUAUCUGUCCAAUGCAAGGUCCUUUUGUACGGCGAUAAAGUGAGCCAACUUCAUCAGUCUGUUGACCAUAAUCCAAAUGGAAUCAUUACCCCUCUGACUCCUCGGUAAGCCCAUCACAAAGUCCAUUGUGAUGUAUUCCUAUUUUCACUCAGGAAUCUCGAGAGGUUGCAGAAGUCCUCUCGGCUUACAGUGAUGUGUCUUCACUUGCCGACACGUUAGACAUUUGGCAACAUGUUUAGAAAUAUCCUCCUUCAUACCGGUUCACCAAUAGUGUUGACGCAGAUUCUGAUAUAUCUUCGUACUGCUUGGAUGAAUGCUGUAACUACUACAAUGAGCUUCUGACAAGAUCUAUUCUUUAAGCUCUUCCUCGUUAGGUACACACAAUUGUCCUCGGAACCUUAGUGUUCCGUCUUUAGAAAUUUGAAAAUUAGCCUUUCUCUUUUCGGUAUCCUUUUGCAGGAUUUUCUAAAUAUCUGGGUCUGUCAACUGAAGCGUCUUGAUUCUGAUUCUCACUUCCGGCUCAAUUCUGAUGGUGGCCAUAAGAUUUGAAAUGUGACCUACCUCAAAUUUGAAAACCGAAUCUCGAGCUCUUUCGAGUAAAAUCCAUUCCUUAACUAUCAUUUGUGCAACUGAAGACUUCCUACUCAAAGCGUCUGCGACCUUGUUAGCCUUUCCAGGGUGAUACAAGAUGUUGCAAUCAUAGUCAUUCAGAAGUUCCAUCCAGCGACACUGUCUCAUAUUUAACUCCUUUUGAGAAAAUAUAUACUUGAGACUUUGAUGGUCUAUAAAGAUUUGGAAUCUUUCUCCACAUAAAUAAUGUCUCCAAAUCUUCAGAGUAAAGAUGAUUGCUGCGAGUUCCAAGUCAUGCGUCGGAUAAUUCAGCUCAUGAGGUCUCAACUAAUGGGACACGUAUGCAACAACCCUACUAUGUUUCAUUAACGCGCAACCCAGUCCUCUAAACGACGUAUCACUAUAGAUCUCAUACCCUCCAGGACCAUAUGAAAUUGUCAACACUGGUGCGAUAGUUAGUUUCUACUUAAGCUCUUGGAAACUACGCUCACACUUAUCUGUCGACACAAACUUCUCUUCCUUCUUCAACAGUCAAGUCAACGAUGAGGCCAAAACUGAAAAUCCUUCCACAAACCUUUUGUAGUAACUUGCCAAACCCAAAAAGCUUUUGAUCUCUGUCACUGUUGUCGUUCUUGGCCAGUUGAUAACUGCUUCGAUCUUGGUCCUUCGCCUGAAAUCACGUGACCUAGGAAUGCAACAUGAGUCAACCAAAACUCGCACUUGCUAAACUUAGCGUACAACUCAUGGUUCCGUAGUGUUUGAAGCACCAUCCUCAAAUGCCUUUCGUGCUCCUCAGGACUUCUCGAGUACACCGGGAUAUCGUCGAUAAAAACAAUCACAAAUUGAUCCAGAUAUUCUUUGAAAACUCAGUUCAUCAAAUCUAUGAAAGCAGCUGGGGCGUUCGUCAAACCAAACAACAUUAAAGUGAACUCAUUGAUAUAGCUAGUAUAAGUACCUAGAGGGGGGUGAAUAGGUAUAUAAAUAAUUUUUCGAGAUAUGAAAGCAAUACUAGGCAGACAAUAAAAAGAAGACUCCUCUUUUGUUAAUAGAACGAACUGUUGACAAAGUAAAAGGAGUAGGGACUGCCAGACUCAAGACUUAAAGUAUAUUCCCAGUGACAGUUUUUAAUCCGUUGAAGUAAGGCUAUCCAGAUCUGUGUGAUUCUUUGUGGACUCAGCCUUAUCGACUGGAGAAGAUCUCUUGGCUGGAUGUGACAUAACGGAUUCCUUUUAAGAUUGAUUAAGGAUCCGAUGAUUGGCGAAGUAUUCUCGGAAGGUUCUACUUAUGGAAACCAAGAUCCUGAUUGUAUGGGCGAGCAUGAUUGAUGGGCUAUCGACAUGUUCCUUUAAUAGCUCGAAUGAUCUUCCAAAAUUGAUUCUGUCCAACGGGAAGAUUGGAAGAAUUCAUUUGGUAAGUGCCAACGAGUAUGAUGGCAUAAAGGAGUAUAAAAGGAAGACGUUCCAGUUGUUCGAAGUGUGUGCACGAUAAAGAAUUCCAAAGUCUGAAGCUCCUUGAUUCGUAGUCAAUUCAUUAAUUGAACGACAAUCUUGUAUACUGAGAGAGUUCAUUUUGAGACAUACCUGGAGGAAGAUUGUAGAUAUCAUACUGUGGAUCAGGAGAGCAUGGCUGUAACAUCCCUUUUGUCNNNNNNNNNNNNNNNNNNNNNNNNNNNNNNNNNNNNNNNNNNNNNNNNNNNNNNNNNNNNNNNNNNNNNNNNNNNNNNNNNNNNNNNNNNNNNNNNNNNNAAGGAUGGCUGGGCAAUCCAUUCCUUCUCGCUAUGGAUGUGAGUCACGGUGACUAUCAGGAGAAAUGAAAAAGAUCGAGAGUACUCGACUCAUAUAAGUUUGAUUUAUAGUUCUAUGUGUGUUCUUAGAACGGCGAGAUUGAACUCAGAGAUAUGCCAAGCGGUCUUUGAAUUGAAAAAAUCGCCUGGUUUGAUUAAUACCUAUGUCCCCAUGUGAUGUAACUUACCGAAUCAAAAUGCAAGUUGGCCUUCGAAGCAUUGGUCUCUAAAAUGGUAUGAGCCAGACCUGGUGUCAAUCCUCUUCUUUCACGGAAGCCUUCGAUUCUCCUCGGAGAUCAAUCAAAACCCAGAGCCGACCAAGUAAACUGGAAAAUCCUCCGAGGGAAAGCGGAGAUGGUGGGAGGUGUGCAAGGAGCGAGCAAGAGGCGACCGGAUGCCGUCCGGACGCAAGCGGUGAUCGUGAGCUCUCGCGAGAGAAUUGGACAACGUCGUCGCACAAAUGGAGAGAGAGAGAGAGCCACGCGACCUCAAAACGCACAAGAAUUGGAGCCAACGCCGUCCAAGACUUCGUCUGGUUAGUUGAACAACCGAUCAUGACCAAUGAUCGCUCCUCGCAGAGAUAAAAGCUCUCUGUUCUGUUUUGAGUGUCGCACGUGUGAAAUAGAGACCGGGAGCUUGGAUGUUUGCUAGCAAUGAAAAUUGCUCACAUCCAAGAUUAUAUUACUAACAACUGCGAUUCGGUCUUCAUGAUCUCGUGCUGAUUGGGUCGUGAUUCUCGCUCUCUCGUUGCUGGACUGUGCCAUUUCAUCGAAUGCACAUUAAAUGUCUGGUGAAAUGCCUGAGCCAUAUUAGUCUGAAUACACAUCGUCUUUGUCUGCUUGAAUGACUCAUUGUACCAGUUGGAUAGGUUAAGUAGAUCUAAAUUGAUAUCCACUUUUGAGUCCAUUCCCGAAUGUCUCGGUCUUGGUAGGCUUCCGGUACUCUAAGGCAGAUAACUCGACUCUCUGAAAUUAGCUAAAAAAGAUGAUUCCGGUACUCUAAGGCGGAUAAACUCGACUCUCUGAAAUUAGCUAAAAAUGAUGAUAUGCUGAAUUGUAAAUACUCUGUCGAUGGUUGCCGGUGCGCUCAUGAAGCAUAGGCUGAUCAUGGAGACUAAUACAUUGUAGUGUGGAUCCCAUUUGAUGUACAUAUCUUUUUCUAAUAUUGAAUUCCAAAUCACGGCUUCUCUGCGAGUGAACGUGAAUAUGUGUUCAGCGGAUGAAAAAACAGUGUGGCAGUGCCGGCACGUUCUUGUUGCAAAAUUAAAUGACAAAAAAGGUAGAAUUGAAAAUAAGUUGGAAUUUUUUUCUAAAAAAUAAAUAUGAAACGUUAUUAAAAAAAAAAAAAUAGUCGACUCGCGUCCUCACAAAUCUACAAUGAUGCAGAUCUAUUAGAAAACUCGAUACGUCUAUAAUCAAUCAUAGGCAAUGUAUAGCUUUUUAUAACUCAAAGGGAUGAAUAGACUCAAAGCUCAUGGAACACCCUAUUAUAAAAUAAAUAGUUACAAAAACAGGCCACACUAUUUCCACACUCGAAAUAGAGGGAAAGGUUGAAAGGGAUUAAAAAAAUGCAAGAAAUGUUCUCAUAUGAGUGGAGAGCUCCAUUUAUUUCUGAUUCACUUAUGAUCGGACCAUCAUCAGAGAGCCAUUAUGCCAUUUCAAAAUAGAGGCAAAAUCCCAAGAAAAUCACCAGUUUGACAAGUUCUGGAAAUUCUCUCCCUAAUUUAUUAAUAAUUUCCAAUAAAUUGGACAAAUUGCGUCACCCUAAGUUAAAAAAGAUGAAUAGUGCUAGAGACACUCAUAUUUACAUAUUCAAUUGACUCAAACUUUAUAAUACUCAAACAAUAAAUAGAUUUAUAAAAAUUAGAUAAUGUCACCAUUUUGCCACAUCUAAUGGAAACUGAAGGUGGAAUUGGUAAAAAAUCUUCCAACAAGGAAUGCGUUCAUCAGUAGUUAAGCGCACAGGAGUAGACUUAUUGCUCUCAGACAUUUCAAAAAAGAGACUAACUUGAGCUGUUCAAGCGCAACAUCUUGACAACGUUCAAGAGGGUUUGAACCACAGCAGCAUCUGCUACCUUGGAAGCUGCUCUAAGUUAUUGAAGAGUUGAGAUUCGAGGUACUAACCCCCUUUUAAUUACAACGGGCAUGCCUUUUCAAAGGCUUGUUGCUCUUUGCGGCAUAAAUCGAACUCGUUUGUGUGGUAAUACAUGCAACCAACAUAAGCAUCCAUCUCUUUUGUGCACCUCUGGUGAAGAUCUUUCAGU